CCACUCAUCUUUGCUCUUCUCAGUGUAAGCUCUGCAAUUUGAUUAACAUUUCCAUUAUCUCUCAUUGUACUCUAUAUAAACGAAAGUUUUGCAUUCCUAUAAUCCUCUCUGAUUUUAUUUACCACAUAAGUGUCGUCCACUAAUUAAUUACACUUUGUGAUUUGAUUUUAAUUAGAGUUCGAAUUAAUGUUGCAGCUAGCAGCGGUGGCACUGGCAAACCAUGCUGCUCAACCAGCAGCUCAACUUUACUGGAACUCCGUCCUGCCGAACACACAGAUGCCAAGAACUAUCAGUGAACUUCUGCAUCUUGGUUUGUGUUAAUCACUUUAGAAUCUUAGAUAUUUUUUCUACCUGCCAUUUUACUAAAAUUUGUUUGACCACAUAUUUAUCGGUUAACUACUGUUUUCCAAUUUAUUAUUAACCUCUACAUGAGUAAUUAUAGUAUGGUACUAGAGUACGUACGGCAACAUAUUCACAAAUGUCUCACUGAAUCUUCAAUCGGCUGAUCACUUAUUUUCCAUUAUGACGUUGAUAUAUAAUUUGCCGACUCCACAAAUGAAGAAAAGAGCACAAAUAUCAUGAAUGCUGUUGGGAAUGGAAAGCCAACUGACCACAAGGGAAAACCUGAAAUAAACGCAUUGUUUAGCGGAUACACAAUUCAAGUACAGUAUGCAGGAGUUCCUAAUUCUGACAAUCAACUCCAGUAUUAUAAAAACAUAACUAUUUUCUUCUUGGGGAAGGACAUGCGCCUUGGCGCAACAAUGAACUUCCAAUUCCCUAGAAAUUCAAACACGGCUACUUUCCUGCCACGCGAAAGUGCUCAAUCAAUCCCCUUCUCCUCUAACAAACUAUCAGAAAUUUUCAAACAUUUUUCAGUGAAGCCAACAUCUGUGGAAGCCAAAACAAUUAAGAAAACAAUCGAAGAGUGUGAAGCUCCAGGCAUUAAGGGAGGGGAAAGAUAUUGCGCCACAUCUUUAGAAUCAAUGGUUGAUUUUAGCACUUCCAAGCUUAGAACAAGAAACGUUCAAGCAAUCUCGACUGAGGUAUUGGAAAAAGGAACUGCCAUGUCCAUGCACAAGUAUACAACAAUGCCGGGACUGAAGAAGUUGGCAGGUGACAAAGUCGUUGUGUGUCAUAAGGAGAACUAUCCCUAUGCUGUGUUUUUCUGCCAUGCAAUAAAACAAACAGCAGCUUAUGUUCUCUCCCUGAAAGGCGAUGAUGGGGUGAAGGUUAAAGCAGUAACCAUCUGCCAUCUAGACACAUCAGAAUGGAACCCAAAGCAUUUGGCCUUCCAAAUCCUCAAAGUUAAGCCCGGAACCAUUCCCAUCUGCCAUUUCCUUUCCACAGAUGCUAUUGCAUGAACAUCACUUAGCACUGUACGUAUAAUAAGCUUGCACCCCUGUAUAAUUAUCUCCCUACUCUACUUAUUUCUGCCUCUUCUGUUGAGAUUUCAAUCAGAACUUGCACACACAAUGCAUCAGCUCACACAAAACCAGAUGAAUUUAAGAAAACAGAAAAAUGCAGAGAAAGAAUGGAUUGGCUACUCAGUAAUGCUCAAAGGUUCGUUGCUAUGCACAAAACAUGGCAGUGCACAAUACUCUCAUUUCUAACGGAACCAUUCCUUUUUACAAUGCUGAGAAUGUGAUCUCAGCCUUACAAUUGAUCCAGCAAUGUAAGCUGGACACUUGUCUUAAAUCUGAGUCAUAUAAGUUUCAUCCAACCAAAAUAUUACAUCUGUGAAAUAAAACUUAAACCAGCAGGAAUUUAUAAUUCGACAUUCCCUUCUAAAUUGUUGACUGGUUUAACACCAAGUAGACCUCUUAAGUAAUUGAAUCGAUCCUUAGACAAAGCUUUAGUGAAUAUGUCAGCUGCUUGCUCUUCGGACUUGCAGUAUCUUAGAUCCACCACACCUUCUUGCAAAGCAUCUCGAAUGAAAUGGUAUAUGCGGUUAAUGUGUUUGGUCUUUUGAUGGAAAACUGGAUUCCUUGUCAUUGCAAUGGCAGAGGUGUUAUCUACCAUUAAUGGAGUUGCCUCUGUUUGCUAUUCUCCAAAGUCUUCAAGCACAAACUUCAACCAUAUAGCUUGAGUAGUAGCUUCACUUACACUAACAUAUUCAACUUCAGUUGUGGAGAGAGCAACACUGGGUUGCUUGACAGAUGCCCAAGAUGACACGCCACUUCCAAAUGAGAAAGCAUAUCUAGAAGUGCUCUUCAUGUCAUCUUGACUCCCACUCCAGUCACUGUCACAGUAUCCAAUUAAUACAACUUCUUUUCCCUUCUGGUAUUCAAUACCAUAAUCAAUUGUGCCUUUGAUAUACCUCAACACCCUCUUAGUUGUUCCAUAGUGUUUCUUUUAGGACAAUGCAUGAAUCUAGCUAAUAAGCUAGCUGCAAACAUUAUGCCAGGCCUUGUAGCUGUUAAGUACAACAAACUUCCCACAAUCUGCCUAUAUUCAUUCUCAUCUGCUGGAUCACUUCCAUCUGCUUUGCAUAAUUUCUCACUUGCCACCAGAGGAGUGCUAACAGGUUUACAUUGUUUUAAGCCAAACUUGCUUAACAGAGUCAAAGCAUAUUUCUUUUGACUUAUGAAAAUACUCUUUUCAGUUUGAAUCACAGCCAUACCAAGAAAAUGAUACAAAAGACCUAAGUUAGUCAUUUCAUACCUUCUCAUCAUCUUAGACUAAAAAUCUGCAAUCAAUUCUUCACUGCUUCCUGUAUACACUAUAUCAUCAACAUAUAUCGAUACAAUGAGUGUUCUAGAGUUUUCCUUGGUCUUGCAAUACAGAGUUGCUUCACUAGAGCUCCUUGUAUAACCGCAGUCAAUAAGAUACGAGUUUAUUUCCUCAUCCCAUGCUCUUGGCGCCUGUUUUAGACCAUACAGAGCUUUCUUUAGUUUGUACACUUUGUCUUUAGAGUUCUUAAUCACAAAACCAUCUGGCUGGUCCACAUAUACUUCUUCCUUAAGCACACCAUUCAGAAAAGCAGACUUGACAUCCAAUUGAUACAACUUCCACCCCUUUUGAGCUGCCAAUGCAAUAAAAGUUCUAAUGGUGUCUAAUCGGACUCUGCACCCCUCUCGAUUGAAAACCUAUUGUGUAAAUCUUCAAUCCUAAACGAUGCACCUAAAACACAUGUUGCAAUACACAUCCACCCAUUCUCAGGCCAAUUAUUGCUCAUAGUGGGCUCCCGACCCCCUCUCAAAUUUAAGUGGUCCAUUAUUCUUAACCACAUAUUUUAUGGACCAUCCAGCUGUGAGGUUUUGUCUCAAAAACCUUCGGUACAUUUCUCCCACAUGCCACAAUUGUAUAUUCACAAUUACGUCUGAUACAUCACAUCAUGCCACUUGCCUCAAAUGAAUUUAAGUGAGUGAGGCAGUUGGAAGUAAUUAAGCUCUAUAUUGGUGGGUGGAGUGUUACUUCUGGGUACCCCUCAUCAUUUGUCUAUAAAAUGGUGAAGUCAGUUGCUACUGUUACCAUAAGAGCCAGCUCCGACUUUCUUUAAUUUCUUGCUUCAUAUCCACUAGCUACAUCUGUUGCCAAGUUAAUUUCAGUCCUAAUGGGGUUUCAUCCCCCACUCAUCUUUGCUAUUCUCAGUGUAAGCUCUGCAAUUUGAUUAACUUUUCCAUGCUCUCUCAUUGUACUCUAUAUAAACGAAAGUUUUGUGGUCCUAUAAUUCUCUCUCGAUUUUAUUUAGUACGUACUUAAGUGUUGUCCACUAAUUAAUUACACUUUGUGAGAUUUGAUUUUAAUUAGAGUUCGAAUUAAUGUUGCAGCUAGCAGCGGUUGCACAGGCAAACAAUGCUGCUCAACCAGCACCUCAACUUUACUGGAACUCCGUCCUGCCAAACACACAGAUGCCAAGAUCUAUCAGUGAACUUCUGCAUCCUGGUUUGUGUUGAGCUCUUUAGAAUCUUAGAUAUCUCUUCUACCUGCCAUUUUACUUAAAUAUGUUCGACCACAUAUUUAUCAGUUAACUACUGUCAUUACAUGAGUGACACAUAUUCACAAAUCGGCUGAUCACUUAUUUUCCAUUAUGACGUUGAUAUAUAAUUUGCAGACUCCACAAAUGAAGAAAAGAGCACAAAUGACGUUGGCAAACCUGAAACUUUCCCAUUGGGCAAUCAAAAUUACUCCAGUCAAAAAAAUUAUGGAACAGGCAAUAAACGUUACUGCAGUCAAAAAAGGUAUGGAAGAGGCAAGAAACGUUACUGCGAUCAAAAAAAGUAUGGAAGAGGUGCUUCUCCAUCUGACAAUCAACUACUCCAUUAUAAAGACUUAGCUAUUUUCUUCUUGGAGAAGGACAUGCGCCCUGGCACAACAAUGAAGUUCCAAUUCUCUAGAAAUUCAAACACGGCUACUUUCUUGCCACGAGAAAGCGCUCAAUCGAUCCCCUUCUCCUCUAACAAACUACCAGAAAUUUUCAACCAUUUUUCAGUGAAGCCAACAUCUGAGGAAGCCAAAACAAUUAAGCAAACAAUCGAAGAGUGUGAAGCUCCCGGCCUUAAGGGAGAGGAAAUAUAUUGCGCCACAUCUUUAGAAUCAAUGGUUGAUUUUAGCACUUCGAAGCUUGGAACAAGAAACGUUGAAGCAAUCUCGACGGAGGUAUUGGAAAAAGGAGCCACCAUGUCCAUGCACAACUAUACAACAAUGCCGGGACUGAAGAAGUUGGCCAGUGACAAAGUCGUUGUGUGUCAUAAGCAGAACUAUCCCUAUGCUGUGUUUUUCUGCCAUGCAAUAAAACAUACAGCAGCUUAUGUUCUCUUCCUGAAAGGCGAUGAUGGGGAGAAGGUUAAAGCAGUAACCAUCUGUCAUCUAGACACAUCAGAAUGGAACCCAGAGCAUAUGUCCUUCCAAAUCGUCAACGUUAAGCCCGGAACCAUUCCCAUCUGCCAUUUCAUUUCCACUGAUGCUAUUGCCUGGGUUCCGAACCACAAAUCUGCAUGAUCAUCACUUAGCACUGUACGUAUAAUUAUCUCCUUACUUAUUUCUGCCUCUUCAUCAUGUGGUGUAAGAUAUAUGAUGAGAUGAAGUUUUUGGGAUUAGUGGUUGGGUUGCCUGAAAAACACAGAUUACAGAAACUGCUUGAAAUUAACCCGAUCAUGUUUUCUCUUGUAACUAUAUAGACUUCAACUUGUACUCAUAAUAAAGCAUGCUAUAUUUAUGAAGAGAUAUUAAUCUAUAUAUAUUUUUUAUAUAUGCUUUGGCUUUGUGGUUCUACCCAAUGUUUGAGUGUUGAAUUGUUACGUUGGAAUAGGCUGCUAAUGCAUGUAGUUAGAGAAGCCUUCAUUUAUAUCAAAGUCCUCAAACUAUCAAGAACUAAUGUAUCCAGAAACAUAUACCAAGACGCAAAACAACAUAUUUUCCAUGCUCUGUCUGUAACACCAAAGCAAACUUCCUUGAUCACAAAAGGAUCAAAUUCCAGUACUAAUCUAAUCCAUCAUGUAAAGCAUACAAGUGCCUCCCUAAAUACUAUACUCUUUUUGUUAUUUCCUACUAUACUAUUUAAGAUUUAAAAUUCAGGUCAACCCAUAGAUUUCUCGCCUUUUUCUUCUUCAUCUCGUCGGGCUUGUCUUCUUCUUGAGGAUUGUAUAGGCCAAGGAAAUGCUUUGAGUUAGUUUUUGCGCUUUUGCGUUUUGGGCCUUGGAAGUUGGGACCCAAACCAACUUCACAAAAAGAAAACGCUCAGACUAUAAUGAGUGGAAAGUUAUAAGGGGUAAGUUAUAAGGAGUUCACUUUAUAGCCAUCAGAUCAAUCUAAGGGCUGGGGAGAAUUGAGAUAAAGUUUUAAAAUCGGGUAGGUGAGGAACCCAAACCCGAAUUGAAUAUCCAGCACGUCCGAAAAAGAAGAAGAAGAGGCAAGCACGUCCGAAAAAGAAGAAGAAGAGGCAAGGUCGAAGUUUGAACAGAAAAAACUCAUCUCUUUAAAACCCAUAGCUCUGAGAAACGGUUGAAGGCAACGGUUAACGACGGUUGUUGAAGCCACUCCGUUCUCCAGACCCUGAAAAAGUAUUUAUUUUGAGUAGAAGGGGCAAAUGUGUGGAUUCCGAAACAGUGAAGGGGCGAAGCAGUGGAAGGGGAAGGAGAGAAGCCGUAUUCGUUGGAAGUGGUAGGUUCCAUUUGUGGAGCAAAGCAACACAAAGACCCCGCACAGACACCUUGCGAUUGUUCAAUAACCAGCAUUUGGUGAGUAAUUUAUGGAAUUUGAGUUUAGGGUUAGAGUAAUGGUUUUCCCCAAUUUGUACCAUCAAUUUUGUUGGAUUUGGCAUCUCUUCUUUGUGCUUCAGUUGCAUGUUAAUUUUUGCUUGGGUAUAUGUUAAAAAAAGAAUGAAAAUCAAGUCAAUAACAAGUGAAUAACAUGUCAAUAAUGAUAUGAAUAAGAUAAUGGUGUUGAAUUGGAGGAGGCCCUCAAAACAUUCCACAUUUGAAGCAGUGCAUAGUGCAGAUUAUCUCUCUGGCGCUAGAAUAUAUAUAUAUUUUGAAAUAAAUAUGAUUUCCUUUGUUACUAAAUUUGCCUGAGAAACAUGAGAACAGAUAAUAAUAAACUCAUGAAUAGAAGUGCAAAGCAUUUGAUGAGUAAUUUAUGGAAUUUGAGUUUAGGCCCAGGAAAUUCCUUGACCCCAAAAAAAAAAAAAAAGUUGAUUUAAAAUUCAGGUCAACCCAUAGAUUUCUCGCCUUUUUCUUCUUCAUCUCGUCGGGCUUGUCUUCUUCUUGAGGAUUGUAUAGGCCCAGGAAAUGCUUUGAGUUAAUUUUUGCAUUUUUGCGUUUUGGGCCUUGGAAGUUGGGACCCAACCCAACUUCACAAAAAGAAAACAGAUUUGCCAAAAAUCAAAUUUCAAGUCUCUCCUCCGAUCGAAAUUUGGAUUUGAUGAACUAAAGUGGUUUUACUUUCUCCAUCAGUGUUUGAUAACUUAAUUUGUUAUUUACUUUUUUUUUAAAAAACUUUGGCUUAUAUAUAUUAGUUUUCUUUUUUCCUUCAUAUUCACCACCUUUAUGUUGCAUAAGUAUUUCAGUCUUAAUGGGUUUCCAUCUACCACUCAUCUUUGCUCUUCUCAGUGUAAGCCUUUUUUUUUUUUUAAAGCACAAGAUUAGAGGGGAGGGGGAUUUCUCAAUGUAAGCUUUGCAGUUUCAUAAUUAAUAUUUCCAAUAUCUCACUGUUAGUAAAAUACAGAAAAAGUACUAAUAACAUAUGCACAUGUUACUAAUUUAUUGAGAUAAAACACCAUUUUGCCCCUAGAAUAUUUUAUUAGGUUUAAAGUUGACUUUUUGACCAGGAAGGAAUUUGGGUAUUUAGACUAUAUCGUUGCGUAGAGCAUGGCGAGAUGAGUCCGUAGACACAUGAUUGGCUCGAAUCAGAGUUAUAAUGAGAGAGAUACGAUCAAAAUACCCUCAGUGGUAUAACCGUAAUUUUGGCUUAAAGGGUUUGAUAAAAUAUAAUUUUUCUUUCUUUCUUUCUCUCUCUCUCUCUCUCUCUCUCUCUCUCCUCUCUCUCACGACGGCAGUGAUAGCCGGCCACUUUUUGGCCAGCCAUGCUCUCGUCCGGCCACUAAAGUUGACGGGGCCGGUACCAAAAUGACCGGGCCACCAUCCUUUUCCAACCCCAGCCAGGCCCCACUGCCAGCAGUCGUGAUUUUGCUGAAAAAUGGAGAAGAAGCGGCCGAUUUCGUUCGAACUUCUCCGACUUCGUUCUCUCUCCUCCGGCCACCGAUUUCGAUGAAUGAGGUAUGGUUUCUCACCUACUUUUUAUGCUCUAGCUGCCUGUUGGGUAGGAUUCGAUCAAUUCCUUGCGUAGGUAGCUUGAUUUUCGAAUUGGAUUUCGGCCGGUUUUGGGAUCUCGAUUCCGGCCACUUCCGGUCAGUUUUUGGGGUACAUCCCAAAACAAAAGUGGUUCUAAAUAGGGUGUUAUACCUAGGGUAGGAACCUUGAACCGUAAUUUUGAGAAUUUUCGGUGAUGCCUAAUCGCUUUGGACACCUACGCUAUGCCUGCGUGUGGGCACUAUAGAAAAAGGGCAUUGUGUCCCGAUGCAAUCCCCUUGUUGUCUUGAGCGCGUAGGUGUGCUCGGAUUUCAAUUUGGAUACCGUUUGAAUCUCGAACGAAUAUCGCAUAUUGUGCGUUAUUCGGGGUCGAUAGGUUUGAACUGUUGGAUAGUCUUAGAUUUAUAAUAUGUUAAUCUAGACAUUCUUAGGAUCGAAUGGGAUUAAACGGAUCGUAAAACGGAGUCCCGGAUACUCCAAAAAUGCCAACCCUAGGGCUAGGUUCCUAGUAACCGUCCGAUCGUGCGAUCGUGAGCGAUCCGACCGUUUGAUCCGAACCAAACUUGCAGGACGUGUAUCCUAAACCUUGUAGAACCCAUAGGAACUUUCGGAUUAGAAUUUGGAGGUCGUGGGCCCCUUGGGCCGUUUGACUAAGUUUGGGUAGUUUGACCCUUGGCUGAUCGUGAGUCUUCAGAGGUCUUGAGCGUUGUUGAGCUAUGUUGACUAGGUUUAGACUUUUAGAGUGUUUAUUAUUAUCAUAGGAAACUAUUAGAUAUUAUUUUAAUAAUUGAAAUUAUCAAAUUUAUGUUUAUGUGCAUGAUUGUUGGUCUAAAAAUAACAUUGUUUUCUUGAUAAAAUUACGUUGCAGUCUACUAUAGACUGGUAUCACUAAAUGGAGAUUACCUCUAUUAUUAGUUUAGAUAAUUAAGAGUAUGUCAGUUUGAAGUGCUAUAUGCACUACCCUAAGUACCACCCUGUGAUUGUUAGGUCCCAUGUGGUGUAGAUUAUACAGCGUCAGGACAGACCCCAUACGUGGCUUUGGAUGUUCUGGCGCAUGGGGGAGAUUAUGUAAUGGUUAGGUCAUACGUGGCGUAGGUUAUUCAGCGUGUUGACAGACCCUAUACGUGGCGUUGGAUGUUCCAGUAUGGAAAGAUUUUGUGAUUGUUAGGUCCCACGUGGCGUAGAUUAUCCGGCGUGAGGACAAACCCCAUUCGUGGCUUUGGAUGUUCCUGCGUAUGGGGGAGAUUAUGUGAUGGUUAGGUCACACGUGGCGUAGGUUAUUCGGCGUGUUGGCUAACCCCAUAAGUGCCGUUGGAUGUAACGACCGGUCCUAAAUAAAUUAGUGAAUAUUAAUUUAUUCAGAGAAAAUACCAUUUUGCCCAUAGAGUAUUUUAUUAGGUUCAAAGUUGACUUUUUGAUCAGAAAGGAAUUUGAGAAUUUCGAUUAUACCGUUGCAUAGAGCACGGCGAGAUGAGUCCGUAGACACGUGGUAUGCUCGAAUCGAAGUUGUAACGAGAGAGAUACGAUCAAAAUACCCUCAGUGGCAUAACCGUAAUUUUGGCAAAAAGGGUCGAUAAAAUCAUAUAUAUAUAUUUUCUCUCUCUCUCUCUCUCUCUCUCUCUCUCUCUCUGCGAUAUUGUCCCUCUCUCUCUUUGAUUCACUGCCAUCUGCCCACGGCAGGACUUGAGACUGGUCACGUUUGAACCGGCUCGAUGUCCCGAUCACGUCGCACCCAAAAUGCAAAUGGAAACCUUGAAUUCCAGCCACGGCUUCGACUGGUUUGAACUGGGUUUUUCCCGGCGUUGCGCCACCGCCUCCGCCGCCCAAUUCCGGUGAAACAGGUAUAAUUCCUCACCUAUUUUUCGAGAUCCAGCUGUUGUUGUGUAGGAAUUAGACGAUUUUCAUGUUUAGGAACUCGAUUUAGAAUUUAGGUUUUGGUCGAAUUUUCAAAGUGAAAUUUCGGCCACUUCCGCUGGUUUUUCGGGGUAUGUCUAAGAACAAAAGUGGUUCCAAAUAGGGUGUUAUACCUAGGGUAGGAACCUUGAGCUGUGAUUUUGAGAAUUUCCGGCGAUGCGUAUUCGCUUUGGACACCCACGCGCCGACAGCGCGUGGGCACUGUAGAAAAGGGGCAUUGUGUCUCAAUGCGAUCUGCUUGUUGUCUUGAGCUCGUAGGUAUGCUCGAAUUUCAAUUUGGAUACUGUUUGAGUCUCGAACGGAUAUCGCAUAGUGUACGUUAUCCGGGUUUGAUAGGUUUGAACCAUUGGAUAGUUUUGAAUUUGAUAUAUGUUAAUCUAGGCAUUUCUAGGAUCAUGUAGGAAUUCAGGGAUCAUGAAUCAGAGCCCCGGAUGUUCCGAUUUAAUAACUUAAAGUUUAUGUUUAUAAUAACUAUCAGAUCGUGCGAUCGUGAGCGAUCCGACUGUCUGAUCUGGACCAAACUUGCAGCACGUAUAUCCUAAACCUUGUGGAACAUAAAAAAAUUUCGGAUUAGAAUUUGGAGGUCGUGGGCCCCGUGGGCCCAUUUAACCAAUUAUGGGUAGUUUGAUCCUUGGUUGACCGUGAGUCUUCCGAGAUAGUUUUACCUUCCUAGGAGGAUUAUAAUGACCCUAGUGAUAGGUCUUGACCGUUGUUCAGCUAUGUUGACUAGGUUGAGACUUCUAGAGUGUUUAUUAUAUUAUUGUAGGAAACUCUUAGAUAUUAUUUUAAUAAUUGAAAUUAUGAAAUUUAUGUUUAUGUGCAUGAUCGUUGGUCUAAAAAUAAUAUUAUUUUCCUGAUAAAAUUACGUUGCAGUCUACUAUAGACUAGUAUCACUAAAGUGGGAAUACCUCUAUUAUUAGUUGAGAUAAUUGGGAGUAUGUCAGUUUGAAAUGUUAUACCCUAAGUACUACUCUAUGAUUGUCAGGUCACCCGUGGCGUAGGAUUUUCCGGUGAGAUGACAGACCCCAUACGUGGCGUUGGAAUUUCCAACGUAUGGAGAGAUUAUAUGAUUGUUAGGUUUCACGUGGCGUAGGAUUUUUCAGCGGGAUGACAAACCCCAUACGUGGCAUUGGAAGUUUCAGCGUAUGGGGAGAUGAUAUGAUUGUUAAGUCACACGUGGCGUAGGUUAUUUGGAGUGCUGACAGACCCCAUACGUGGCGUUGAAAUUUCUGGCGUAUGGAGAGAUGAUAUGAUUGUUAGGUCACUUUGGAUGUUCUAGCGUAUUGGGAGAUUAUGUGAUUACCAGUGAGAUGAAUAAAGGAUUGUUAUGUUAUAUUGGGAAAAACAUGUUUGUAGAAAGAAUUACGUGUGGCUUGAUCCCUCAGUAAGGGUACGUAGGCAGCCUAGGGUAGUGCCUUGGUGCAGUCGCUGACUAAACAUUAUAAUGUUGUUUUUAGGUUUGAUUAUAUGGUAUUAUGGGGCAAGGCCCCUAGGACUAUUGGUGAUAAUUCAUAGAUGGUAGUGGAUGCAUGCUAGAAAUUUGUAGGAAGUUAUUUCAUGUGGAUUGCAGUGGUACUCGUAAAAUUUAUUUGAGUUCCUUAAUUGCAUUGUUAAUAUAUUAAUUUACUUAAGAGUACUGCUAGUAGUUCUGCCUUGAUUUAUUUGAAGGCUGGAGGCCUUGUCUGGAAACUGUGUGCAAUUAGAUUGUGUGUGCUGGCAGUUGACUUUUUAAAUUGUGAAUUUUGUGCAGGUUGAAAUUUGGGAAAUGUUCAAUUUACAGGGGAGACUCUGCUGAAAUUUCGGUAGAAAGUCUUGUGCCCUUAUUCCUUUUUGGGGAAAAGGAUAUAGUUUUAGAAGUGGCGAUGUCGGGAAUUUCCACAGGAUUCGUCUCGGGUUUCGGGAAAUUCGGGGCGGGUCUGAAAAAGUUGUUUCAGUUUUGGCAAGUAUCGGAAAAGACCAAAAUUUUCCGACUUUAUUAUUACUAGAAACAAGGUCGAAGUAUUUACCAAUCAUGUGGCCUUCCAAGUGCUCUAGGUUAAGCCAGGAACCGUUCCUAUCUGCCGUUUCCUUCCCAACUAUGAUCAUGUUGUCUGGGUUCCAACCCACAAAUCUACAUUGGGCUACGUAUUUGAAUUUGUACUAAAGCGUGAUCUAUAGUAUGCAUAUAUUGGAUAAGUUUGAGAUCAGUGGCUUGGGUGUCCGCUGAGCUUGAACAAGUUUGGGUGUGCUGAGUGUUUCCAUGGGUGUGUUGAUGAUCAUGGUUAUUAGAUUUGUGAUAGUUUGGGCUCAAUUUCAACAGAACUCAUCUCAAGCCUAGAUAGUUGAUUCUUAAGUUUAUCAGGAAAAAAAAUUAAAAAUUAAAAAAUCUAAAGUUAAGCCCAAGGCGCCGAACUUGGACUUCUCACCAAACUGUGCAUAAAUUGAAAUAUUUAAUAGAAGCCCAAGAUUUUUGAAGCACAUAAUAUCUACAAAAAUCUACAAAGUGUAAUACUUUACAAACUUCUUAUGUGUACCAAUUUCUGCUCAAAUUAAUUUCUCUGUGGUGCUGAGAUUCAUCAUAAUUUUAGUAGAAAUUGGAAGUUUUCAUCAUUUUUGCUUUAAGUCUCUCCUCCACUCACUAAUAAAGAUUACUCAAGUGAGUUUACAAAACAUUUUUUUUCUACUCUCUCCUGAAGACUACACAUCUUCUCAAAAGAUUAGAUCACUUCACAUCUUGUAUAUGUGAAAACUAAUGCAAAAAGUUGAAACUUUAUCAUAAAACCUCGACAAAAAUUAGCUCUACUUAGAACAUUAAAUUUGGAUUCGUUGAUUUAAAUGGCAAUUUGACACUUCAUAGAAAUUUUUACAUACAUGUGUUAGUGUUUGAUCACUUCACUUAUUACUUACUAUAUUUAUUCCAUGAUUCUCCCUCAAGUUAUGUAAAUAUUAUUAUCAAACAUUUCAAUUCAUUUGUGAUAUUUCUUGUCCAUCUUUCAAUGUACCCUGAAAUCCAUUAGCCACAUAUGAUGACCAAAAUCCACACUCUGUUGUUUGCAAACGUUCAAUAUACGACUUGCAUCCACAGUCCUGACCCAAAUGAAAUGCGGAAACUGUCAAGCUAACUGUAGGGAGGACUAUAUUUGAUUUUACCUUAAAGACUGAUCCGAAACCACCUUCUCCAAGUUUAUUGUUGUUUGAAUAGUUUUUGGUUGCACAAACAACAGCGGCCAAGUCAAAUAAUGGCAAUUCCAGAUCUUCCUUUUGGCCGGGCUUCAGUUCUCCUGUGAAGUACGUAGUGAAGUAAAUAAUGUAGCAUGGAACCUUAGCUUAGAAACCAGAGAGGCAACAGCAAAAAUUUUCUAUAGAACUGAACCUACCUAUCUUAGAAAAUGAAGGGGCAGAAGAGUAGAAAAUCAAAUAGCUUACCAUAUUUUUGUUGCUGGUUCUUCCUCACAUAUAAUAGCAGGGUAAGGCCCAGGGUCAGCAGUCCAGUAGACAACACAGUACUGGUUACUAUGAUCUUUGUAUUGUGUCCUUGAUCUAGGAAUGAAGUAUUUGAAAGCAGAAGAUUGAGGAGUCAGAAAUUCAUAAAGAAAAAAUCUCUACUUUUUAUCAUCCAACGAACAAUUAAUGCUAGUUUCUGAGACAGUUCUAAAGAAAUAUUUUUCUAACAAUGUCAAAAGUUUUCUGGCUCUAUCUUGUUUCUAAUCAUGUCACUGUUGGAAGAUUUCUUUCUUCUUUUUUCCUUGGUGGCUUUUAUUUUUCUUUCAAACUUUGUUUUAAACAGCAAGAUGAUUCCAUACCUAGUUCUGACGAAGCCAUUCUUAUGUAAAUAUCUUGCCCAUUUAUAUUGGAAUAUCUUAUAUCAACCAGAUCGCUGAACCACAGCAAGGACCCCCUUCCUCCAUCUCGGAUAUCCAAAUUUGAAAAAGCGGCGCAGGAGCAGUUGUUCAUGCACAUCAUCUCACAUUCCUUGAGGUUCAUAAUUGUGUUAUACUAGGAUUGUUCUGUACUUUAUUUCACCCCAGUGUACUUCUUAAAGAUGUCUCCACUGCAAUUCAGUUGGCUCUUUCUCACAGAUCUAUAUGACCAAUCCACCAAGUCCCAGUCUUGUUGAAAGUCGGUAUAAAUCCUUUCAAGCAGCUACGUACUGGGGACUUGUCAAUACAACAUGCACCAUUCGGACCACAUAUUCCAUAUUUGUCGCAGAUAUCAGUCGUUGCUCUUAGAUAAACAACCCAACCUUGGUUUCCAUCACUCCCGAUGUAGCUCAGCCCAAAUCCAUCUUGAGUUAACGCCAGCCUGAAAAGAGUUGAGCUGUUGAGAAGCUUAUAACCAUAAUAUACUUCAUCAUCAUUAUCCAACACAAAAUCAUAUGUUGGAUUUAAAUUAUGCAUCCCACUAAAUUGGAUUCCAUUCCAUGGUGCAGUCCGAUAUUUUAUAACAGAACCCUCCCUCAGAAUUAAUUCAUGGUACCCAUAAGGACCAAGUUGAUAUGGGUAAUGUCCUUGAGAAGGAUCCUGGGGGCUUUUCCAGGGUGUAAGAUGCCAAUUAAAACCUGUGAUUUUGUUCCUAACAAGCUUCAUACCUGGUAUUAAUGUAUCUCCUGGGUAAUCAAAACUCUGCCAUAAAAUAUUAUCAGAGUCAUUACGACCAUUGCCAUCUAUCACAACAAGAUUUCCGGAAUCCAAAAUCUGUGCCACUGGAUUCUAUGAAGAACUUGAUGUGUUGGAAGACCUGUAGUGUUCUUUGUUGAAUAUUUGGAUUGCAAAGGGAGCAAGAAAUGUACUGAGAGAGAAAGAGAGAGAGAGAGAGAGAGAGAGAGAGAGAGAGAGAGCAGUGAGCCUUAGAUUGUUCUAACAGUUUUCUUACUCUGCAUGAACAUAGCAGCAGAGCUUAUAUUCCUUCAUGACUGUUACAUGUUCUCUCUUACAUCAGUAGAUUCAAAUCUAACGGUUUGUAAUAGUAAGCCAAUGUGAGUAUGACACAUGGCAAUACACAGCUGUCCUAACAGCUGGGAAUUCAAAACAGACUCUAGCAUUGCACCUGGCAUAUAAGCACAAGGCACUCAGCUAACACAAAGAUUAAAAACAGAUUGAAUAUAAACUGACAUAGAACUUACUAACUAAUCUGAAAUUAGCUAGACAGUUUACAUUUUAACACUCCCUUCUAAAGUGCUAGCUGAUUUCACUCCAAGCAUUCUCCUCAAAUAGUCAAACCUGUCUUUGGGAAGAGCUUUGGUGAAGAUAUCAGCAAUCUGCUCUUCUCCUUUGCAGUAGAGCAGUUCAAUCACUUCUUCUUGUAUUGCAUCUCUAAUAAAAUGAAACUUCCUUUUAAUAUGCUUGCUCCGUUGAUGAAAAACAGGAUUUUUAGCCAUUGCUAUGGCUGAAGUGUUGUCACAAAACACAGUUGUUGCAGUGGUCUGUUCUUCCCCAAAAUCUUCAAGAACAAACCUGAGCCAAAUGGCUUGUGAUGUAGCUUCUGCUGCACUCACAUACUCUGCCUCUGCAGUAGAGAGAGCCACACUGUGUUGUUUGACUGAUGCCCAUGAAAAAGCACCACUUCCAAAUGAAAAUGCAUAUCCAGAAGUGCUUUUCAUAUCUUCCUCAGAUCCACUCCAGUCACUGUCACAGUAACCAACUAAGAGUGCAGAUUUUCCUGUCACAUACUCAAUUCCAUAGUCAAUUGUGCCUUGUAUGUACCUUAGAACCCUUUUAGCUGCCCCAUAGUGCAUCUUAGAAGGGUUAUGCAUGAAUCUUGCAAGCAGGCAGGCAGAGAACAUGAUAUCUGGCCUGGUUGCAGUAAGGUACAGCAGGCUGCCUACAAUUUUUCUGAACAAACUUUCAUCUGCAGCAUCACUUCCAUCCUCUCUUUUCAAUUUAUCAGUAGCCACUAAUGGAGUGCUUACUGACUUGCAGUCUUUGAGUCCAAACUUAUCCAAGAGAGUGAGAGCAUACUUCUUUUGAUGAAUGAAGAUGCUCCCUUCAGUUUGUGUUACUCCCAUACCAAGAAAAUGGUGGAGUAAACCCAAAUCAGACAUCUCAUACUUGCACAUCAUUUCAGCUUUGAAUUCUUUCAUCAUUUCAUCUCUACUUCCUGUGUACACUACGUCAUCUACAUAGAUUGACACUAUUAGUGUUCCCACCUUCCUUUGUUCUCACAUAGAGAGUGGCUUCACUUGGACUUCUGUGAAAACCACACUGAUUCGAGUAGGUGUCAAUUUCACUAUACCAGGCCCUUGGAGCCUGCUUCAACCCAUAGAGGGCUUUUCUUAACCUAUACACCUUAUCCUCAUCAUCUUUAACCACAAAACCAUCCGGUUGAUCAAUAUAAACUUCUUCUUCAAGGACACCAUUUAGGAAGGCUGACUUGACAUCCAAUUGCCAUAGUUUCCAGCCUUUCUGAGCAGCAAGAGCUAUGAGAGUUCUAAUGGUGUCUAACCUUGCUACAGGAGCAAAGGUUUCAUUGAAAUCAAUCCCUGGUUUUUGUGUGUAUCCCUUGGCAACAAGUCUUGCUUUAUGUUUUUGAAUGGAGCCAUCAAGAUUAAGCUUAAUUUUGAAUAUCCACUUCACUCCCACAAUUGGUUUACUACUUGGCCUGUCAACCAAUUCCCAACUGGAGUUUUUCUCUAUCAUAAGUAUCUCCUCAGUCAUAGCCUUCCCCCAAGCUUCAUCUUUGACUGCUUCUUCAAAAUUUUCAGGUUCAAUGAUGCUCAUCUUGCAUUGAGCAUACACUUCACUCAAACUCUUCCAUUUCUUUGGGGUGUUAUCAUAAGUUUCUAAUGGAGCAGAGUCUUGAGUAGCAUGCACAUCAUUACUUGUUUGUGUUUCCAUAGGAGACUGUACAAUCUGUUGCUGUAACAGAUUUGGUUAUGAAUCCAAAUCUGAUACAAUUGAACUUACUCCAUCACCCCAAGACAUAGGGAUUUGCAAUGCCUCAUUGGUUUCCCAAUUCCACAUUGCUUCUUCAUCAAAAAUAACACUCCUAGACAGCUCAAUCUUUUGAGUUCUCAAGUUGAGCACUCUAUACCCCUUUUCACAUACACCAUAUCUUACAAAUACUCCCUUCUCACCUGUGUCUUCCAGCUUGUGCCUUUUCUGUGUGGGGAUGUGAAUAUAGCAUAGAGAACCAAAUAUUCUCAAAUGCUUGACACCUGGUUUUCUUCCACCGAACUUUUCAAAUGGAGUGGAAUUGUCCAGUGCACUUGUAGGACAUCUGUUCUGCAAAUAUACAGCUGUAUUGACAGCUUCUGCCCAAAACUUCAAAGGGAUUUUCUUCUCAUACAUCAUGGCUCUUGCCAUUUCCAUCACAGUACGAUUCUUUCUCUCUGUAACUCCAUUCUGUUGUGGAGAGUAGCCUACUGNNNNNNNNNNNNNNNNNNNNNNNNNNNNNNNNNNNNNNNNNNNNNNNNNNNNNNNNNNNNNNNNNNNNNNNNNNNNNNNNNNNNNNNNNNNNNNNNNNNNNNNNNNNNNNNNNNNNNNNNNNNNNNNNNNNNNNNNNNNNNNNNNNNNNNNNNNNNNNNNNNNNNNNNNNNNNNNNNNNNNNNNNNNGGUGUGGUCAUCAAUGAAGGUGAGGAAAUAUCUGUUCCCUCCAAGAGUGAUGGUCUGCAUUGGACCACAAAUGUCUGAGUGAAUCAGUUCUAGAGGUUGAGUGGCUCUCCAAGCUCCUUCCUUAUCAAAAGAGCUUCUGUGAUUCUUGCUUUCAGCACAACCUGAGCAGACCUUCUCAUGUUCUUGUAAAUUAGGCAUUCCCUGAACCAUAUCUCUCUCUUGUAACAACUUCAAACUAAUAUAGUUUAGGUGCCCAAAUCUUCUGUGCCACAGCCAGGAUGUUUCUCCAACUGUUGCUCUGUUUGCCAUAGGAGGAUUAACAUAGUCAAGAUUUAAAGGAAAACAUUUGUUUCCCUUCAUUGGCACUCUUGCAAUGCAAUCUUCCAACUGCCUAUCUCCAUAGAUAUCAACUGCAUUAUCACCAAAUACAAGCCAAUGCCCAUGUUCUAUCAUUUGACCUACACUUAGCAAAUUUUCAUCUAAACUUGGUACAAUCAUGAUUUCUUUGAUAUAUCUAGUCACACCCUUCAUUUCUAUAGCCAAAGUCCCUUUGCCUAUUAACUGCACUAGAUCACCAGUCCCCAUUUUGACUUUACUCUUCAUACUUUUAUCAACAUUUACAAGUAAUGACUCAUGGGAAGUCAUGUGAUUGCUGCAUGCACUAUCAACAUACCACAUAUUCACAUUCUUUCCAAUUGUUGCAGCAUGACAUGCAUAGAACAUAAUGGCAGGUUCAGUUACCUGAUUUGCAAUGUUAGCAAGUUUCCCUGCCUUGUUUGCUUGGUCACAGUCCUUAACAAAAUGACCAAAUCGAUUGCAGCCAUGACACUUUGGUUUUCCUUUAAACCAACACUCACCAUAGUGUAACUUCUCACAAUGUUUGCAUUUUCCAGAUUUGUCUCCUUGACUUGGUUUUCCCCCUUGAUUGGCACUGUUUUGGGGUUUAGAAUCCCAUUUCUUAUCCUUGGACUUCCAAUUCUUCUUUGAUUUAUUAGAGCCAGAACUAGAACUUGAUUGAGAUCCUUUUGAGUUUAUGCUCAUGCUGCUGAAAGCUUUCUCAGUGGUGCUUUCUGCAUGUCUGUCAAGGCGCUGAGCAAAACCUCUUAAUGCUGCAAUUACCUCCUGCACUUCAAUGGUUUCAAUGUCUCUAGUUUGCUCAAUCACAUAGCAGACUGGAUCAAAUUCCUUGGUUAAGCUUAUUAGCAGUUUUUGAACUAUCCUCCCUUUGGUCAGAUCUUCCCCAUAUCCCUUCAUCUGAUUUACAAGCUCAAGUAACCGAGUGAUGUAUCCAGACAAGAUCUCAUCAUCCUUCAUCCUGGUGUACUCAAAAUCUCGACGCAGACCCUGCAACAUGAUGGAUCUGACUUGCUUAUCACCAUGAAACUCCUGAUGCAAGAUAUCCCAAACACCUUUUGAGGUUUCUUCAUUUGAGAUUCUGGGAAAGAUGUCAUCUGAAACAGCACCUUGGAUAAUACCAAGAGCCUUAGCAUCUUUCAUCAACAAGGACACCAUCUCUGAAUCUGAUGACCCUUCUUUAUCAGCUUUUGAAUCUGGAACUUGAAGGCCUUUCUCAACCAAAUUCCAGAUUCCAUGAGAUUUGAAAAUUGUUCUCAUUCGAAUCUUCCAAAACUCAUAGUUCUCCCCAUUGAAUAUUGGAGCUCUAAGAUCACUCCCUCCUGACCCAGCCAUCUGAGACCAGACUCAAUGAGUUGAGAGUAGGAAAUUUCCCGUUGGAUUUCCAGACUCAGCUCCCACAGCUUCAACGCCCUCUAUCCAGAUCCAACCUGCGCACCUGAUACCAUGUUGAAUAUUUGGAUUGCAAAGGGAGCAAGAAAUGUACUGAGAGAGAGAGAGAGAGAGAGAGAGAGAGAGAGAGAGCAGUGAGCCUUAGAUUGUUCUAACAGUUUUCUUACUCUGCAUGAACAUAGCAGCAGAGCUUAUAUUCCUUCAUGACUGUUACAUGUUCUCUCUUACAUCAGUAGAUUCAAAUCUAACGGUUUGUAAUAGUAAGCCAAUGUGAGUAUGACACAUGGCAAUACACAGCUGUCCUAACAGCUGGGAAUUCAAAACAGACUCUAGCAUUGCACCUGGCAUAUAAGCACAAGGCACUCAGCUAACACAAAGAUUAAAAACAGAUUGAAUAUAAACUGACAUAGAACUUACUAACUAAUCUGAAAUUAGCUAGACAGUUCACAUUUUAACAUUCUUAUGGUCGGCAGGGACAAGAAUUCCAGGGCUGCUCAACUUGAAUACACCUGAUGAACCAGUGAGGGGUGUGUUUCUUUUAGUCUGCACUAUAUAUGCAGGGUCUGACUCUAAUUAGAAGAUAAUUGUAUUAAUUUGGUAAAGCUUUGUCUGUAACUGUCUCGCACCUUAAAAAAAUUUCACAAUUAGCAGCAUUGGCAAUACUUGAUUAGAAAGCAGAAACCCUACAGUAUAUAGUUAAGUUGAGUAGCUGGGAAGACAAUUAGUAAGCUUUCAAUACUAAAGUUGAAUAUUGGGGAGACAAAUUACUAGAGCUUCAAGUUCAGAUAAAUAGGAUGAAUUUCUCUUAAGGGAUCCCCUUUCACUGUAGCUUGGAGUAGAAUUCAUUUUGACACAAUAUCAAUUAUCAAUGUAAACACGUUACUGAUGCACUAUUGACAAUAUCGAUGCACGUCAUAUCAUAUUUGUGGGAGUAAAUUUCCUCACGAGAAUAUUUGGUUCAAAAGAUUCCCCUUUUUUUUUUUUUUGCCGCCUCUUUCUCCUUGCAAAAUAGAACAAAUAAGAGGACCACACCCGGGGGGUGUUGGCCAAAGGCCCUCCGAUGCUAAAUUAGUUCAAGUAUUUGUAAGAAAAAUACUAGCUAACUAGGGUACAGAGGUGUAUUUAAGGUGUAAACCGGGCAGCCGAAGUCUUAUGUAAAAGAGAGAGAGAAAGGAGGUGGCUAGCGUUUGAGAGGAAUUUUCUGCAGAGUUUUUAGUAGAGAUUUCAGACGUACCUCAACCAUUGUGUGUGGCCAUCUUUUUAUAGUGGUCUUGGAGGCUAGGGUUUCAGAGGAAUAAUUCCGUAGAUGGAAAGGAAUUAUUCCUCCCCUAUUUGGAAUUGAUUUGAUUAAUUAGGGAUUUGAUUUAUUAGGGUAAAUCAAAUCCCUAAUUGUGGUAGGUAUCAAAUCAAAUCCUUUUUUAAUUAGGUAACUCCUCAUUUAAUUGGGAAUUGUGGUAGGAAUCAAAUCAAUUCUCAACCUAAUUAGGUAACGUUCAAUUUAAUUGGGUAAUUCCCAAUUAAAUUGAGUAACUCCCAAUUAGGUUGAUUAAUUCCCAAUUAGAUCAAAUAAUCCCCUAAUUGAAGGAAUUAUUUGACCUAGGGUCUGAUUUAAUUCGAUUCCCACAAAUGCCCCCCAGCUUCUGCAUGGUGCAUGGUGGCACGUAGGAGAUGUAAAUUAUCUGUUGGGCUGUCCAGCUGUAACUGGGCUUCCUUCGUGGACCUGGGCUCCCGAGUAGAGGAGGUGUUUGACUUGCCAAUUUUAUGAACACCCAAUUGGAAAGGGUUUGAGAUUCCUUGUAGGUCAAGGAAUUUUGCUCCUUAUAAAUGUAGGGCUCCUCCAAAUUAUUCUCGACAUCAGAAAUCUACUCCUCCAAAUUUGUUAGUGAGAGAGAGAAGACUUUGGAGAAUUUUUCAGCGUGCUUGAGACUUCAUCUUUGCAGCCCAUCCAAGGUAAUUUGAUAGGAAGAAUUUUAUUUUGAGUUGCUAUGACUUUUGGCAGCAAGCUGUGAGACUAAGGGCAUGUCUUGAGGUGCGCGCUAGGGCUUUAGGCAUGGCAAGAGACUCGGAAAGGCUAGCAGGUUCGUUUCCACCUACGCUGGGCUCAAGGAGAAGGCAACAGGGCUUCAGGCCUUGUGGAUGAAGUGGGCUUUCGCUGGGAGCAAGAGGCCUGGAGCUGAGGCAAGGAGACAAUGGGCCUGGUACGAGGUGUGGGCUGAGCAUGCCAGCUUUGGAGCAAGGGGGCCAGGACGACUGCUGGGCAGGAGGUGCGCUGGGCUGCAUGCGCGAGCUGCGCCGAGUGCUGGCUGGAGGAGCGAGCUGGGCUGCGCGCUAGGCCAUUCAUGCUGGGCUACUUCCGUUUUUUUUUUGUUUUUUUUUAAAUUUUAUUUGCUGUUGCUGCUUUUUUUUUUGUUUUUUUGUUUUUUUUUUGUUUGGUAUUCUAACUCGUAAUUUUUUUUUUCUUCUUACAGCUACUUGUUGAUCAACCAUGUCUUCCGGAGAUGGUAGCAAGGCUCCAAGCUCUUAGGUCCUUUUGUAUUUAUGGGGAGGCUCCAUAGUGCAUGGCAAGAAGUUUGUGGUCAACUUGCAUCGCGUCACGACUUAUGCUCAGUUCCAGAAGUGGCGGGCCACUUAUGCGUCUGCCAUUCCAGAUGACGUGCUGGUCAAGCUAUUGAAAUCUCAAACUGAUAACGAGCCUUUGGUGGACGUGAGUGAUCAUGAUGCUAGGAUCAUUACCUUCCGUCCUUUUUACUUCUCUUUAGGCUUCAAAUUCCCGUUGUCAAAGCUCUUCAAGAAGGUGUUCUGUGCCAUGGGGUGUGCUCCGAGCCACUGUACUCAUGUGCUUCAAGAAUUUGAGUCGUUUCUUCAUGUUGGAGCUGACGAUGCGAGAGUUCUUUUAUUUUUUUCGAAGUGAGGCACUUUGAGCGGUACGCCCAAGUUCGUAUCUACAAGGCCAAGCUGUUCCACGGUCUCAGUCAAGGAGAUCACGCUUGACAUGAAGAUGUGUUGGAGGUCAGCAGACGGUGGGAGGGUGACGUCGGUGACGGCCCACCUGUUCCCAUCACCUAUUGUGAUGGUAUGUCUCUUUACGAUUUUUGAUAUGCUCCUUUUAUUUGAAUUUCUUGAAGUGUGGCAGACUAACUUCUAUCUUCUGCUCGUAGUGAGUGACAUUAGCAAGCAAUUGGAGCUCCGACCAGACAUGGCUAAGGUCCGUCGUGCUUUGAACAUCCCUCUAAGGUUUCACGAGUGGCGCUGGCUGUUGAGUGAGUACCGGGAGGAAGACGGUGGUUUUCUCCUUGCCGAGGAUGUCGAAAGGUGGAAGCAGAACGAUCCUGACCCUGAUGAUCUGCUUGGCAGACAGGAAGAAUGUUCUGCUUAAUCGCUCUUAAAGAGAAAGGCUGCUGCCAAAUCUUUGAGAUGUGAAGCUACUUCUUCGCAUGCAAAGGAUGGGUCUCCAUCGAGGAAGAAACCAAGGCUCCCUUCUGCUGAGAAGACUCAAGUGGGGUCUGCUCCCUCAUCAUCUGCCAGGGUUAAGCAUCUCGUGGGUGCAGAUAGCAAGAAGGUUGGUGGUAUGCAUGGUACUCGGGGUGUUCUGCCCAAGCUUCCUGCUGACACGCUCGAAAACCAUGAUAUACUUCGUGAAGUGGCUCGUGCCCAACCUAGUUCUGCCAAGCGUCAAAGAGAUGUAGACAUUCCUCCUAGAAGUUCGAGUUGUCUGCAUCGGUCAAAAGAUGGAGACCGAAGCGGGAGGUCUGCUUAUGAUCCAGCAUUAUUGACUCAUUUGGAGAUGAGGUUGGCGAAGGCUAAGAAGGUGAAAGAGUCAUCUGCCCGGGUUAAGGGUUCUUCCUCGGCGUUGGUAGUUGGUCCCAAGAUGAACAAGUCUAGCUCUGUAGGGGAUGCAUGCGUAUCUGAUCUGCUCAAGAUGAACUUCCUAUCAAACCCGUCCUCUUGUGUUGAGUUGGUUGAUCACAUCCCUCAAGCGGGCGAUCUAGGCACUUUCUCGUGCCUUUCCUUAGAAAAAUGAAGGAAAAUGACAUUCCAUCUGAUUCAAAAAGGACUGGUUUUUGCUACUGAGACUAUUUGGAACUCAUCUGCUAUUGCCCCUCUUCUGUCCAACUCAGCGAGUUGGAGAAGAAGAAUGCUGAUUGGCUAGACAGCUUUCCGCCGAGCAGGCCCGUUACGAGAAGAAGAUGUCUGAUUUGAGGGCGAUGAUAUCUGAGCUGAAAAGCUCCCUUACCGAGAAGGAUUUCGAGCUCAACUCUUCUGCUGCUGAUUUGGCUAGUCGAAAAGAUACCUUCUUUCGUCUUGAGCAUAAGAAUGCUGACAUCUUCCUUAGCUAUAACAAACUCCUGGCUAGAUUUCAUGCCUACCAUAAGUCUGCUAAAGAAUCCAAGACAGAUGGAGCUGCUGAAGGCGUAGCCGGUCAGGUGGAUGCCGAAGAGGCUGCAGCUUAAAAGUCUUCUGCUGGCGUCUCAGAGUAGAUGAAGACUCUUUUUUGUUUCUUUUCAGCUUUUGUAGUUUGCUUUAUUGUUUAGAAUAACUGGUCUUAUUUGACCAUCUUCUUUUUGUUGAACUUGGCUGGUUGGUCUGUUUGUUAGGGAAAUUUCAGUUACAUUUUCCAACUUCAAUUUGCAUAUUUGACUUGUGAACUGCUUAAGUAACCAGCCUGUGUUUUGAUUGCACAUCCCCCUUUAGAGAUUUGUGAGUACCAGGGUCCCCCUUGGAGGACUCCGGCCAUGCACAGUAUAUCUCGUAGGAUGGUUCCCCUUAGGAAGUUGGCGAGUACCAGGGUCCUCUUUGAGAGACUCCGGGUGUGUUCUGCACAUCCCGUAUGAUGCCUUAAUCGUCGCCUUGCUUCUCCCGUAGGACGCUGCUUAUAGGCAACUAUAUGACUAUCCUGCCUUUCUUAGGAAACGGAUAGGAACCUGGAUAUUUCCCGCAUGAAGCAUGGAGACCUCCUUUUAAGAAAUUUUUGGUGCACCAUGCUUCUCCCUUAGGACGCUUUUUUCGCAGGCUGGGUCUCCAAAUGGACGCUUUUAGUCGUUGCCCUGCGUCUCCCUUAGGACGCUCCUUAUGGGCAACUGUGUGACUAUCCUGCCUCCCUUAGGAAAUGGAUAAGACUUGAAUAUUUCCCGCAGUAAGCAUGGCGACCCCCUUUUAAGAAACUCCUGGCGUACCCUGCAUCUCCCUUAGGAUGCUUUUUAAGAGGGCUGCUUCUCCAAACGGACGCUUUUAGUCGUUGCCUAUGUCUCCCCUAGGAUGCUCCUUAUGGGCAACUGUGUGACUAUCCUGCCUCCCUUAGGAAACAGAUAGGAAACUAGAUAUCUCCCUUAGGAAAUUCCUAGCGCACCUUGCGUCUCCCGAAGGACGCUUUUUUAGCUGGCUACGUCCCGAAACGGACACUUUUAGUCGUCGCCCUGCGUCUCCCUUAGAAUGCGCCUUAUAGGCAACUGUGUGACUAUCCUGCCUCCCUUAGGAAACGGAUAGGAACCUGGAUAUCUCUCUUAGGAAAUUCCUGGGGCACCUUGCGUCUCCCGAAGGACGCUGCUUAUGGGAAAAUAUUGUGUUUCGUGGGCAGAUGAGACAUUUUGGAAUGAGAAACUGAACUUAUAUUGAUAUUCAUAAGAUUACAGUCCUUUAUUUGAAAAUGGAAAUAACUUGGUUCAAAAACUUAGAACUUCUAGCAGCUACGAGGAAGCACUAUGGAUAAUACUUUCGGAGAUGGUGAGCAUUCCAUUGUCGUGGUAUUUCCUUCCUAUCCAUGGUGUCCAGUGUGUUGCUUCCUCUGCCCCGGACCUGCUGAUCACAUAAACGCCCUCCCAGUUAGGAUUCACUUUUUUUGACCCGUGUCUUGGUGCAGUAAUGAAAGCCUUAGCACGAGGUCGCCUGGUUGAAACUGUUUGACCUUAGCUCUUUUGUCGUAGUAAGACUUCAACUGCUAGUGAUAGGAGGCGACCCGAAUAAUGGUCUUCUCACGCCUGCCCUCAAGUAAGUUGAGGUUGAGCCUCAUCUGCUCGGAGUUCUGAUCAACACUGCCUACCUUAAGACUUAUAGAGAGGACAGUGAUGUGAGGUGGUAUGAUCACUUCUGUUCCAUAGGCGAGAGAGAAUGGGGUUUCACCAGUCGAUCUUCGCUUGGUGGUGUGAUAAACCCAUGGUACUCUGGGGAGUUCAUCCACUCAUUUCCCUUCAGCGCCUUCCAGCCUUUUCUUUAAGCAGUCCAAUAUGACUUUGUUGGAUGCCUUGGCUUGUCCAUUUCCUUGUGGAUACCUCGGGGUGGACAAGUGUUGUUUGAUCUUGUAUUUCACAAAAAAAGCGGUGAUCUGCUUGCCAAUGAACUGUGAGCCAUUGUCGGUAACCAACGACUGUGGGCAGCCAAACCGGCAUAUGAUGUUUCUCCAGAUGAAUCACUCCACAUCGGCUUCUUUAGUAAAUGAUAGAGCUUCGGCCUCGAUUCAUUUAGUAAAGUAGUCGGUGGGGACGAUCAUCAUUUCUUUCUUGGCGGGCGCUAGUGGCAAGGGAUCCACUAGGUCGAUGGCCCAUUGCAUGAACAGCCAUGGACUGUUUUGCGGAUGAUAGACUUCGGCAGGCAAGUUAGGGAUCGGCUUGUAUUGCUGACAGCGUCACAUUUCUUGGCACAUUCAGCACAGUCGUGACGUAUGGUAGGCCAGAAGUAGCCUAUGUUUAGAACUUUCUGGGCGAGUGACCUGCCCCAGAAUGGUUGCCAUACUCGUCGUCGUGAAUUUUACAGAUAAUCUCAAGUGUUUGAUGGUACUUUAUGCAGGUGAGAUGAAGGCCGGAGUAUGAUCUGUGGAUGAGCUUGUUGCCGUGCAUGUAGUAUCUCUCGGCCUUUUGCUGGACUUUUCUAGCUUCGGACUUGUCCGUUGGCAGGUUUCCAUUCGUGAAAUAGUCGAUGAUGAGGUCUUGCUAGCUGGGGUCCUCGUCAAUCUGCAUGGUAUUAAUCGGCUCUAUUUCUUCAAUGCUUGGUCGGUCAAGGUGUUCGACCUAGAUGGAGUGUUUGAACUGGGUAUCCAGCGUUGAACCUUGGCUUGCCAGUGCGUCUGCAUGCGCGUUCUUUGCCCGGGACACUUGUUGGAUAGUGAAGGUAGGAAAUGCCUUCAACAGCUCUUGGACUCUAUCAAGGUAUAAGAUCAUCCUUGGGUGCUUUGCCAUAUAUUCACCUGAGGCUUGAUUCGUGAUCAACUGUGAGUUUGAGUAGAUGGCUAGCUUUUUGAUUGCGAGCUCCUUUGCCAAGCGUAAGUCGGCGAGUAAUGCCUCGUAUUCUACCUCGUUGUUCGAGACCGAGAAGCCAAGCGUAAUAGCUUGCUCUAACAGGGUUCUAUCCAGGGUGGUGAUAACGACCCCUGCUCCAGCUCCUUUUUGGUUCGACGCUCCGUCUACACGCAACUGCCACAUGUCUCUGGGAUGGCUUGGUUCUGCGGAGGUCCUGUCUGCUUUUGAACUUCCCUCCUUUUGGUUGACUAACUUCUCUUUUUUGGCUGAUGGGGUGAAUUCUGCGACGAAGUAUGCUAAAGCCUGGGCUUUUAUUGCAGUUUUUGGCCCGUAGAGGAGGUCAUAUUGGCUUAGCUCUAUAGCCCACUUCAUGAGUCGCUGAGAAGCAUCAGGGCUGUGGAGGAUUGAUCUCAAAAGAAAGUCAGUCAUGACUAUGACUCGAUGAGCUUAGUAGUAGGGUCGCAGCUUUCUCGCAGAAACUACAAGAGCCAAAAUAAGUUUCUCCAAUUUCGGGUAACGAGUCUCUGCAUCGAGGAGAGCUUUUGACGUGUAGAAUACCGGAUAUUGGGCCCCUAUCUCUUCUCGGAUGAGAGCUGAACUGACAGCUGAGUUGGACUUACCUCACUAGGGACUGGAUUUGAGAGCAUGGAAGGUGAGGUGAGGUAAGUCUUCAGAUUAUGGAAAGCUACUUUGCAGUCCUCAUCCCAUUUCUCUCUUUGUCCUUUCUUCAAAGCUUUGAAGAGUGGUCUGCACUUGUCGGUUGAUCUCGAGAGGAAUCGGUUGAGAACCGCUGCUUUGUCCGUCAGACUUUAUAUCUCUUUCACCGUGGAAGGCGACUUCAUCUCUAGAAUGGCUUUGAUUUGACGUGGAUGUGCCUCGACACCUCGUUGCGUGGCUAGGUAUCCCAAGAAUCGGCCGGAGGAUACACCAAACAGGCAUUUACUUGGAUUCAACUUCAUGCGAUACUGGCGGAGCAAGCUGAAUGAUUGGGUAAGACUUCCGAUGUGAUCUGCACGUUUUGGGGCUUUGACCAGCAUGUCAUCCACGUAGACCUUCAUAGUUUUGCCGAUCUGCUUAUUGAAGAUUUUAUUCCCGAGCCUUUGAUAGGUUGCUUUGGCGUUCUUCAGCCCAAAGGGCAUGACCUUAUAGCAGCAGGUCCCUCUCUCGAUGAUGAAAAAAGUUUUUGCCUUGUCAUCCUCGUGCAUCAGGAUUUGUUUAUAGCUGGACUAGGCGUCCAUGAAGCUAAGCAGUUGAUUGCCAGAAGUGGAAUCCACGAGUUGGUCGAUUCUCGGCAAUGAGAAGUUGUCUUUAGGGCAUGCUUUGUUGAGGUCUGUGUAAUCGACACAAACUCUCCAUUUGCCAUUUUCUUGUUUUGCCACCAAAACAACGUUGGCAAGCCACUCUGAGUAGGAGGCCUCUUCGAUGAAGCCGACAGCUAGGAGUUUGUCAAUCUCGGCCUCGAUGAUAGCAAGUCGCUGGGGUGCGAAGUUGCGUCUCUUCUGCGCCACUGGCUUGCAGGCAGGGUUGAAGUGGAGUCAGUGACAGAUGAUGUUCUUGUCGAUGCCAGACUUGUCUGACGGCAACCAUGCGAACAUGUCUCUGUUGCUCUGGAGGAAGGUGGUAAGCUCCACAUUCUCUUCUGGCCUUAGGCGCGAACCGAUCCACUCUUUCCUAUCUGGUUGGUCAGGAUCCAAGGGUAUUAACUCGACGUCCUCCUUGGGUUUCCAUCCUUCUUCAGGAAAGACCUAUGGACGGAUUUCCUCGACUUGGUCCUGACGCUUUAAUUGCUAUAAGAUAGCAAGAUCCAGUUGCUCAACCUCCUCCAGAUCUGCCUGGCUCACAGGGAGAAACUGCGCUUGUUUACCUUUCUUUAGCCCUUGGGCGGAGCAUUUCCUCGCCAUUGCCUAAUCGUUGUUGAUUUGGCCGACACCGCCCCCAAGGAUUGGGUACCGAAUUUUCUAAUGUGUGGCGGAGGUGAUUGCAUUAAUUUUGCCAAUCGAUGGUCUGCCCAGAAUGCCGUUGUAGGGUAAGACCUUAUUAAUGACCAUGAAGGUUAUGAGCUGAUUAUAAGUGGGGAGUAGACGUCGAGGUCUAUCAUGCCCACGGUAACCGUUGUUGCACCAUUAAAAUCGCUCAGCAACCUAGCUAAUUUGUAAAUCUUUGUCUCCAAUCCCAUCUGUUGAAUGACCUCCAGUUGCAGGAUAUUGGCUGCGCUGCCCUCGUCUGUGUGGAUUCAGUCUACCAUGACCUGAGCAAUUUGAAUGCUGAUGACAAGGGCUUCGUUAUGUGGCAUGUAGAGGCCGAUCAGAUCUUUCUUUUGGAAGCCGAUUACAGGAUCGUCUUCUGCUGGUGGAAGGUCGGUCGAGAUUUGGGAGAUCACAGUGGUCUGUUUGAUCUUCCUCUUUUUUUCCUUUCUGGUCAGCCCAGACUCCUCGGAGUCAGCUAGGAUUGUGUUAAUUCUUAUGACCUUCUGAGGCGGCUCCUUGGCGAUGUCACGAUCUUCUAUCCGCUGGAUGACCUUCUUUGCAAUGAAUUCUGUGCAGUGACCUUCUCUCACGAGUUCUUCAAGAUGUGCUUUCCAAGCGAAGCAGUUGUUCAUAGUGUGUCCGUGCAUUUCAUGGACGGCACAGUAUUUGCUAGUAUUCCUUUUGUCCGGAUCUUCUUUCAAGGGUGGUGGUCUUCUUACCCAAGGUUGUUCUUCACUUGGGCUAAGAUUUGAUGUAUGGAGAUGGUGAACUUGGUGUAGUUCUCUCCUGCCGUAGCAUCCCCUUAUGGGUGCGACCUGCGCUUGUCCUUGUCCCUGUUGCUAAAUCCGUCGCUUCUUUGGCCUGCCCCCUUAGUCGGCUGAUCUUCCUGCUUAGUAGAGUUCUUUGCGGCGAUUCGAUCGUCAUCCCAAAGCGCAUAGCUUUCCGCGGUCUCGUAGACCUCUGCCAAAGUUUGGCUGGGAGUGAUGGUCAGCUCGUGGUACAAGUCGUGCUCAGUCGAAAGGUCUUUCUUGAAAGCAGAGGACGCAAUUUGGUCAUCACAUCCUACAAUGUUGGCCUUUUCUACUUUGAAUCUCUUGAUGUAAUCUCUAAAGGAUUCGUCGAACUUCUUGCGCAGGUUAUACAGGUGGUCAGGGUUCUUCUUGAUUGUUCGGUAAGAGGUGUAUUCUUUGGUGAAUAAGUAAGUCAGCUCCUUGAAGCUGCUGAUCGACCUGGAUGGCAGAGUAUGGAACGAGUCUUGGGCUUCCUCACAAGGUCAUUGCAAACACCUUGCACAUCAGCGCGUCGUCAACCUUGUGGAGGAUCAUGACACUUUUGAAGUGUUUUAGAUGGCUCUCAGGAUCGGAAUCCCCCUUGAAGUGUGUGAAUGUGGGCGUUGAGAAUCGCUUCAGGAGAGCAGCCUGCUCGAUUUUGGCAGUGAAAGGUGUAGAGUAUGCCUGGUCUACCUCAUUUCGUACAUCUUCGAAAUUUCCACCGGUCUUCAAGUCUCGAAGUUGGUCAUUCACAAGCUUCUCUACGUCUUCCGCACACAUUGCUUGUCGGCCACAUUGGCGACCUUCACGAAUUGUUCGAUGCUGACUGACUUCCUCGUUGAUUUCCGAGGAUCGACCUUCUUGUCUGCAUUGCCUAGGUGGAGUGUUGGUGGAUUGCGCCUACGAAAGAUUCUCUGUGGCUUGUCAAUGAGAAUCGGUUCUUCGAGAGUGAGUAACGAAGUGCCUUUCCUCAUGGUCCUUAUUGUGAGGGUUAUCCAGCUGACCUCCCUGGGGCCUAGCCUUUCCUGAAUGCUUCUCUGCGAGUAGACAGUUGAAUGCUUUUCUUCACGAUCCUCGUUGUGAUGGUUGUUUGGCUGACCUCCUUAGGGUCUUAGCCUUUGAUGUACAUUUCCCUGCCUGCCCAAGUAGGUGCGGACGUCGAGUCGUGGGCCCAGCCUUUCGUGCACGUCGUUCCUUAAACUCAAUCUGCUCUGAGUGUGGCUUGCAGAUGCUUGCGACAUGUCGGCAGGUCGAUCACGUUGUUGUCCCUCGACUUGUCUGCCCACUCUUGCUUGACCUGCUUGGUACUCGUUGAGCUGUCUACCGGCCCGUUCAUCCUUCCUUCUUUCCUCGCCUGGUUGUCCAAGGCCAAGGUUUUGAGCAAAGCUUAUUUGGUUGAGGAGCUGCCUCAUUAGAUUGUUUUGGUCGUCCAUUCUUUAAGCUAGCUGGUCAACUCUCAGAUUAAGGUCUGCUUGAUUUCAUGGAUCAGGAGGAGAGAAGUGUGUGGAGCUCAACUGCACAUAGGCUAGGGUUUCAUUAGAGGUGUAUGCGGGAGCGUGUGUCGAGCGUGGAGGCAAUAGAGGGAAUGCUUGGAGUUGCUCCAAGACCGGCCCUAGGUCGGCGGUGGUAACGAGUCCACCUUGAUGGGAAGUUCCACCAUGUUUGGCGGCAGUGACCGAUGCAGUGGUGAGAGGUGGUGGUGCCACCAUGUCGAUCGCGGGAUCGUUGGUGGAGUGGCUUUGGGCCGUCGCAAAUCUAGCCAUCAUGGCGGCUUUGCCUCUCGUGUUCAUGCUUCCAACCAUGGUUGUUUGGAAGGCUUAGGUGGAUUGGAAAAUUAGAGGAACGGAUUCCUUGAGCACGCAUUGAGUAUAACUCGUGCUCUCAAUGAAAGCACCAAUUUGUGGGAGCAAAUUUCCCCACGAGAAUAUUCGGUUCGAAAGAUUCCCCUUUCUUAUUCGCCGCCUCUUUCUCCUCGCAAAAUAGAACAAAUAAGAGGACCACACCCGAGGGGUGUUGGCCAAAGGCCCUCCGAUGCCUAAAUUAGUUCAAGUAUUUGUAAGAAAAACACUAGCUAACUAGGGUAUGGAGAUGUGUUUAAGGUGUAAACCGGGCGGCCGGAACCUUAUGUAAAAGAGAGAGAGAAAUGAGGUGGCUAGGGUUUGAGAGGAAUUUUCUGCAGAGUUUUUAGUAGAGAUUUCAGACGUACCUCAACCAUUGUGUGUGGCCAUCUUUUUAUAGUGGUCUUGGAGGCUAGAGUUUCAGAGAAAUAAUUUCGUAGAUGGAAAGGAAUUAUUCCUCCCCUAUUUAGAAUUGAUUUGAUUAAUUACGGAUUUGAUUUAUUAGGGUAAAUCAAAUCCCUAAUUGUGGUAAGUAUCAAAUCAAAUCCUUUUUUAAUUAGGUAACUGCUCAUUUAAUUGACAAUUGUGGUAGGAAUCAAAUCAAUUCUCAACCUAAUUGGUAACGUUCAAUUUAAUUGGGUAAUUCCCAAUUAAAUUGAGUAACUCCCAAUUAGGUUGAUUAAUUCACACUUAGAUCAAAUAAUCCCCAAAUGGAAAGAAUUAUUUGACCUAAGGUAUGAUUUAAUUCGAUUCCCACAAUAUUUAGAUGCAUAAUUGAAUGCGAAUAAACAUCACUCUCUCCAGUGUGAAAUGGCGAAAAUUCUCUUCAAUCAAAAGUGGGCUUACUUCAAAUUUAGUUGAAGAAUGAUGGUGUGUCUUGCCUGACAAUUGACAAUUAGGUUUAGGAGCGUUCCUCUAGUAGAAAAAUCUAAAUCAUUUGUGGUCAUCCACUCACUUGGUUAGUCUUCCAGAAUCAAAUACCAAAUCAACCCAAAGGAAGCUGCAAUUUUCUGAAUUGUAUACUUGUUUUAAUUCUUCCUAUCUUUUUCUCUCUUUCAUUUUUUUUGUCUCCCUCAAGUUAAUACUUAAGUGAGUUGCCAAAUGGGGGUAAAAAAGAGAGUAGAAGAGAUGAACCCCACAUUUGACUUUAAUAGACAAAUGCCCAAGAGAAGUACCAGUAAGAGCAUCUCCAAUUGGGAGGUGCUAUCCUAUAAUUUGACACACAUUUCUUUUUUCUUUUUUUUCAAUUCUAACAACAUGUCAUCUAUAUCGCAAUAGGCCGUUGUAGUUAAAUUUUCAAAUAACCAAGUUGCUCUCUAUUUUCCAAAGAAGACUAGAAAACAACUUACCAUCUAUCUGGUGCUGCUUCUUCCAAACAUUAGAAAAAACAGAGCUACACCCAGGAGGAGCCCAGGAGAUGACACAAUACUGCCUACUAUGAUUCUUACUUUCUUCACAUUCAAUGAGACUAUAAAAUAUAACCCAAGUGGUCUAACCCCCCAGGGCGGAAAUUGGGUUUAGCAAGUUUAGCACUGAUUGUUGUAUAGUCUUAAACAGUCCUGAUCUCUUGGACCCCUGUAGUCCAAGAGAUUUAUGGUCACCCACCGUUGGAUGUAAAUUCAACGGUUGACUUGAAUCGGGUAAUAAUAAUUUAUGUCAUAUUGCAUUUAUAUAUAUCAUUUUGAACCAUUGGAUUAAUAUCCAACGGUGGGUGACCACAAUCUCUUGGACUCCUGUGGUCCAAGAGAUCGGGACUGUAGUCUUAAAAUAAGUAGUUUAGCGAGUGCAAACUUCGACUUAAAAAAACUCUCAUGUAUAGCCGCGCGGCUAUACUAUUUACAUAUAAAUAUAUAAAAAAGCACCCCCUAGUCACGUGUCACAAAUAGUAUAGUCGAAAACAGUAGAGCCGCGCGGCUAUACUGUUUUUAAAAUAAAAAAAACCAUAUUCGAUUCUCCUUAUAUUUAAAAGGGGUAUAGCCGCAUGGCGAUACUAAUUUUUUUUUUUCAAAAAAAGGGACCCCAGUACUCCUUUUAUAUAUUAUAAUAUAUUGUCUAAUAUUUGGAAUAUUUACUCUAAAAUAAACAAUAUAUUAGGUUCUUUUUGUCUACAAAUUGACCAUUAAACUUCUUAAUCACUCUUAUACUUUCAAUUAAAUCUACUAGGCUAGGUUAUGAUAUUUUCACUAAAAAACUCCUCCUUUUUUUCUUCUCUUUCUCUUCCUGUUUUGUUUAACUUAAGCUUAAGUUUUGUAAUUUUUUUUCCCGCCCUUUUUACAUGUUUGAGUAGGGUACUUUAAUAUUGGGAUUUAUGAACUUUUUUUGUAUUUCUUCUUUAUAUUGGAAUAUAAAUUAUUAACUUUUGAGUCUUUAAUAGUGUAGAUGAUGAGAUUAUUAUUCAACCAUUUUAUAAUAUGAAAUGAAGGACAAUCAUGAUUGUGAUGAAUGGAUUAUUAAUCAAUAUGAAAUGAUAUUAUGAAGUGGGCUAAAUCGAGUAGUUAGUAUCGUAUUGUUGAGACCCAAAAAAUCCAAGGCUAGGCCCAAAUAUAUUAUGAAGUGGGCUAAAUCGAGUAGUUAGUAUCGUAUUGUUGAGACCCAAAAAAUUCAAGGCUAGGCCCAAAUAUAUUUCCGGUCCAAUGCGAUACCUUACCGAGAAGAAACCUUAUUUGGGCACGCGAAAGUUCGUCAUAUGCUCUUGCACACAUGCCAUGCCAAGCAAAUAAGCAACAUGCCACGCUACAAGCUUAAGUGGGCCCAAGCCACGUGAAUGCCUAGGGCCUGCUGAGUGGGUUGUGGUAUGGAUGGUUAUGAGUAUUCACGAGGCCCAUUGAUGGUCUAAGGAGUGGAAGUUUUGGGCUACUUGGGAGCACCAAAACUCAAGCCCAUUCAUUGAGCCCAAACAUAUGGGUAAGCAUGAGAUAAAACCUAGUAGCCCAUCACCUUAAGAAAUCCUAAUAGCCCAUAACAUGUGAGAAAAUCCCACAUCAACCAAAGCUUCCAGCAGUCUGACGAAAUCAAAGGGAACUCACAAGCCGUUGGAAACAAAACAACCCAACACUGUAACACCCCGACCCCAAAUUUCCCCAAAUUUAACCCUUAUUUAAUUAUUUAAGGGUAUUUUAGUCAUAUUUUUAACCGGAGAGAGUUUGGGGCAAUGACUAGUAUUUUUGGAUAGGUCGUACUGAGACGAGUUUAUGGACACGCAGUGAGCUCGAAUCGGAGUUGUAACGAGAGAGAUAUGGUCAAAAGAAGCCCAGUGGCACAAUCGUAAAUAUUUUGAAAUGAGAUUUUUUAUAAAAAUCUGGUUUUCUCUCUCUCUCUCUCUCUCUCUCUCUCUCUCUCUCUCUCUCUCUCUCUCUCGCUAGCGACCUCUCUCUCUCUCCCCCGUCGGUCUCUCCCCUCUUUCUCCUCGUAACUCCGGCCACCGGCCCCGGCUGUGGACGGGGCCGGUACCAAAAUGACCGAGGCGUCGUCCUCUUCCUACCCCAGCCACCUCCCACCGCCAGCCGUCGCGGAUUCGCCGGAAUCUGGAGAUGAAGCGGCCUACGUCGUCCAAAUUUCAAAGCUGCCGAUCUCCCUCCUCCGGCCACCAAUUCCGUCGACCCAGGUAUGGAUUUUGAACUUCUCGAGCUGCUCUAGCUGAUGGUUGGGUAGGAUUAGAUCGAUUCUUAGCUUAGACAACUCGAUUUUCAAAUUGAAAAUCGGCCGAACUUCGGCUGCCGUGAUCGGCCAUUUCCGGCCACUUUUUGGGGUAGGUCCAAGAACAAAAGUGGCUCCAAAUAGGGUGUUAUACCUAGGGUAGGAGUUUGGAGCCGUGGUUUUGAGAUUUUCCGGCGAAGCGUUAUCGCUUUGGGCACCCACGCGCUGCCGGUGCGUGCGGCGGCGCGUGGGCACUGUAGAAAAAGUAGCACUGUGUUCCGAUGAGAUCCUUAGGUUGUCACGAGUGCGUAGGAUUUUGCGGAUCUCAAUUCGGACGUCGUUUGACUAUCGAACGGAUAUUCGCAUAUUGCGCGUUAUUCGGGUUCGAUAGGUUGGGACCGUUGGAUGGACCCAAAUUUAAUAUAUGUUAAUCUAAUUAAUUCUAGGAUCGUGUAGGAAUUCACGGAUUGUGAAUCGGAGCCCCGGAUGUUCCGAAUAAUAAUUUUAAAGUUUGUAUUUUAUAUUAAUUGUCAGAUCGUGCGAUCGUGAGCAAUCUGACCGUUCGAUCUGAACCAAACUUGCAGGACAAGUGUCCUAUACCUUGUAGAACCCAUAGGGACCUUCGGAUCGGAAAUUGGAGGUCGUGGGUUCCGCAAGUCGGUUUGACCAGGGUUAGAGAAGUUUGACCCUUGGUUGACCGUGAGUCUCCCGGAGUAAUCUCACCUUUCUAGGGGAGAUUAUCGGGUACUAGAUGAUUGUGGACACAAUAUUAGAAUUAAUUUAUAUAAUUAUAAUUAUAUAUGGUUGUACAAGGGUACAACAGAGUCUAGAAUGUCAGUUUGGAGUGCUAUACGCACUACUUUAGGUACCUCCCCGGAUGUUGGGAUUUACUACAAGUACCACCAAGUGAAAUUGAGGUCCCGCGUGGCGUAGGUUAUCCAGCGUUGGGAUAGGUCUCAUACGUGGGGUUGGUUGUACCGGCGUAUGGGGAGAUUUGUGAUAUUAUGUUCAGGUCUCACGUGGCGUAGGUUAUCCGGCGUUGAGACAGGCCCCAUACGUGGUGUUGGUUGUACCAGCGUAUGGGGAGCUAUGUGAUAUUGUGUUGAGGUCGCACGUGGCGUAGGUUAUCGGGCGUGUCGACAGACCCCAUACGUGGCGUUGGUUGUACCGGCGUAUGGGGAGAUUUGUGAUAUGAAAUUGAGGUCCCACGUGGCGUAGGUUAUCCGGCGUUGGGACAGGCCCCAUACGUGGCGUUGGUUGUACCGGCGUAUGGGGAAAUAUGUGAUAUGAUGGCAUGGUCGCACGUGGCAUAGGUUAUUCGGCUUGUUGACAGGCCCCAUACGUGGCGUUGGUUGUACCGGCGUAUGGGGAGAUUAUUUGAAAUGCAGAGAAACGAAAUAUGGUAUCGCCCAAAUGUGGAAUUGGGUUUUAGGGAAGAACUACGUGUGGCUUGAUCCCUCAAGGAGGGUACGUAGGCAGCCUAAGGUUAAUAGGUGCAGCCGCAGACUAAAUGUUAGUCAUAAUUGAUAUUUGAAUUGUUUGGUAGUUGGUUAAGAAUUAUUGGAAGGCCGAAGGCCAUUUGUGUGAAUUGCAUGAAAUUAUAUUGUGCAUGCUGCCAGUUGGGAAUAUUAAAUGCGUUUUUAUGCAGGUAUAAAUUUUAGGAAAUGUCCAAUUUAUAGGGGAGACUCUGCCGAAUUUUCGGCAGGAAGUCUCAGUUUUUAGUAUCUGGGCCUGGCAUCGGGAGGAUGUCGGGAAUUCCAAAGGGUCGUCUCGAGUUCUGAAAAAUUCGGUGCGGGUCCUUUCAAACACCUUAUAAAAUAUCCAACGCCGUGCAUCUCUGUUAAAACCAGAUCACAGCCAAACCACCAAAACCAUGCAAACCCAUAUGCUGAUCACCAUUUUUACUAGCACCCUUACCCAUUCUUUCCUCUUCAAGCUUUGGUGAGAAAACAAGAAACAAAAGUGGGCGGAUCUUCACCCACAUGGAGAAAUCCAGCUGCCUGAGGGCCCUGGAACUCCAAAAAACUUCUUACCUACAUGCUCAGGCUAGGGAAGUUUCACCAAAUAAGCAAGAAUGGAAGAAAGUGAAGGAAAAGGGGAAAGGGUGGCUUGACGAAAUUAAGGUUUUCAGCACUUAUAAAAGGAAACACUUUCUAUCCAGCAAAAACAACUCACCCUGGUUGCUGCAAGCCUCCUAGCAACCAUGAGAAUUCAUUGAAGGCAAGCAUCCCCUUUGGAACCCUUCAAUUUCAUGCUUUGUUCUUCCAUCUUCCUCCUUUCUCUCUCUCUCAAAACCCACAUCCAGAGAGAGCAAGCAUCAUCUCUCAUCUUUGGAACCCUUCGAUUUGAAGCCUUGUUCUUCCAUUGCUUCCCAUUUUCUCUUCUGUCAAAUCACCUAGGAGCUUGACGAAACUUUCGUCAAGCUGCUGGAAAUAUGGUAAAGCCACCCAUGCUUCCAUCUUCUUCCUCUCUUUCCAUAAACACACAUCCAAAGAGCAAGCUUCAUCUCUCAUCCUCUAAACCUCUGCAAUUUCAAGCCUCAUUCCUCUAUCUUCUCCCAUUUUCAGCGGUAGUGAGAAUGAUUUCUGCGUGUGCAUGGGAAGGAUUGUAACUCAGAUGAGGAGGAGAUGGUUUGGAGUGGGGUGAGGCAGUUGGAUAGAGCUCUUGGCCUUUUCAAGUUUGGAUGGGAAAGAGCAGGGAUGAAAGAAGCUUUACAACUGCAAGGGCAUAUAUGGUGCGUAGGGGCUGAAGGCAGAACACUUACAUAUAGAGGAAACACAUUUUUUGUCCAUGGGAUUCAUGUUUGACAAACACUUGUCUUAGACUAUGAGUUCAAAUUUCAAAACCUUUUUUUUUUCUUUCUGAAAUCAGGACCAGUGUGGAGAACUAGCAAGGAUUGGAGAAACAGAUUUUUGGGCGUCACUUGACCACAGAUUGUUGAUUGCUCAAAUGUGUAGAAUUGGCCAUCUUAAAUGUCAAAAUGAUUUAUCAAUUGGGGUUUUUUUAGAAACGUUUAUGUUUGUCAAUAGAGACAGAAGUCAGAGAACAUAAACCUUUCUCAGCAAAUUGAAAUUCUCAGUGCAUGCUCUGUUCUUCCAUGGCUUUCAAACCUUCUCUGCCACGGUGAAAUGGAUCGAUAGAGAUAGUUUAGGCCGUUCCAUUUGUUUGAUGAAGCAUUCGUUCUAGGGAUUCUGUAUAUUCAUAACAAAAUCACUAGAAUGAUUCUUAGAAAUUCAUCACUGCUAAAGGCAAUGGGUUCAGCAUAAUAACUUCUUAGUCUUGCUUCUUGGUCCUUUAUUUUCUUUGCAUAAUACUCCAAGUUUACCUGGGUUCUACAGAGAAAAUCUCGUAGAUACCUCUUUUUGUGGUCUUCCAUGGCAUUUAAGUGCUGCUUUCCAUGGUGAAGUGGGCCUAUAGAGACUACCUGAGGUGUGUAGGCUUUGUCAUUUCCACGCCGUAAUCGCUCAGGAACUCUGUAGAUACACCUUCAAGGGGGACAAGGGAGACAAACUAUCCAAUUCCUUGCGCCUUACAAAUAGAUCGCAUGGGUUUUCUAUUUCAUCUGCAGCUUCAUCAAUUCCUUCCAUUUUUCUCCUGAUCAUCAUGCGCGGUGAUUCAAAUAUUUCAUAAUGAACAUUGAAAUGAGAUGCUACAAGCAAACUUAUGAAAAGAAACAGAAAUACCAAAAAGACAAAUCAAUGUAGAUGGUUUAGAAAAUCUAAACAUUGCAAUUAUACUCCUUUGCCCAACUUCUAGGAGCAAACGUACACAAAGACCUUAUUGCUUCCAACUUUUCCAACAGAAUUUCAUAUGAAUUGCUCCAAGUGAAAUCCGUAUGAAAAAUCGGUAGUUGGAUUUUCAUCCUGCUUUAAUAUGAUUAUUUAACUUCUAACAAAAAAACUCUUAUUACUUGAGCAAGUAAAAUACUAUUCCAGGUUUCUCCUAGUUCUAUAUGCGCUUAUAAUUGGUAUACUCUAUAAAUACCAUAAUCUGAAUUUCUCUGUUUUGAUUACUUUAAUUUAUUACUUAUGUUUUAAUUAUUGUUUACUUAGUGAAUUAUUAGUAUUUAAGAGAAGGCCUUCCAUCGAUUAGGCACCACGUGUCUAUAAUAAGUAAAGCCGUCCGGCUAUACUUAAAAAAAAAAAAAAUUGUAGUAUAGCCGACCGGUAUAGCCGCGCGGCUAUACUAUUUAAUACAUUAUAUUUAAACGGUAUAGCCGCGCGGCUAUACUAUUUAAUAAAAUAAAAAACAAAAGAAAAAGAAAAAUUACCCUCCUAUUUCAUUAGUUUGUACUUUAUAGAUACUAGCCCCUUGACACAUGCUCACGCAUGUGCCAAUUGGUUUUCUUUUUCUUUUUUAUUUUUAUUUUUAGAAUUAAGAAAAAAUAACAGGAUAGUUAUGUUCCAUAAAAGUAGGACCUAUUAUCUUAUUUUGUUUUUAAUUUUAAUUUUUUUAAUAUUAAAAAAAUAUGAAUUUACGAUAUUAUCCUCAUUUAAUUAAUAAUUUCAAUUCUUAAUGUUUGAAUUAACAAAGGGCAUUUUCUGGUAUUUUGAAUGUUUCACCAUUCUCUGCCUUUUGCUUUAUAUAUAUAGAUUAAUUUGCCAGUUUCAAGAUAUCCAAAGUACAUAUUAGACUUUCACUAUAUAAAUUUCAAUAUAUAUUUUUUAUAACAUGUGUUGUUCUUAUUCAAUAAUAUGUGAGAAUUAUUUGUAUAAUACGUGAAUUUUGUGUGUCUUACUGAAUUUUUUUAAAUACGUGUAUUAAACGUUACAAAUACGUACAUAUAUGUACAACACGACUAUUGUAAGUUUGCUAUAUAAAAAAAAGUGAGAUGUAUCUAGAACACGAAUGUAUUAUCGAAAAAUAUAUAUGUAUGUAUAUAUAUAUAUAUAUAUGUAAAAGCCUAUAGCCUCUCACCUAUACUAUUUAUUAAAGACAAUUUAAAAAUUACAACAACAAAAAAACCAGUACAGCCACAAAGCUAUACUAUUUUAAAAAAAAAAAAUAGAAAAAAUAUCAAGUACUACACAGGGCAAAGGCCCAGUGUAAAAUAGUAUAGCCGUACGGCUAUACGUUUUUAAGAAGAAUUUAAAAAACUAAGUAUAGCUCACCGACUAUACUAUUUUUUAAUAUAAAAAAACAACCCCAUCCAUUAGGCGCCACGUGUCAACAGAAGUUUAUUUUUAAAAAAAAAAAUUAAAAGACAAGGAGUAUAGCCGGGUGGUUGUACUAUUUUUUUAUUUUAAAAAGAAGACAGUCCAUCGAUUAGGCGCCACGUGUCCAUAAUAAGUACAGCCGCUCGGCUAUAUGUUGGAUAUUUUGAAACUAGCAAAUUAAUAUCAAUAGCCGGUCGUAACCUAUGCUGUCCACGUCACUCAUGUUUUACCAGAGUUAAAGCAUCCACAAUGAGCUCCCCAAACCAUCUCUUUAGACAAAUUUUAGGGAGAAAUUGGAAAAGUACAACUCCAACCAUGCUCCCUAUCCACCAACUAAAAUAGGGAGACCUCUAGGAGCUCCUAAAUCUGAGGAGAGGGAAAGGACUCUUAGUGACUCCCUAUAAUUUAAUGUUGCUUUGUUUUAUGCAUAUUUUAAACUUUUAAUUAAAUCAAAUUAUUAUUUUAUAUUAUUUUGUAUACAGAUGGACCAAUUAUAUUAAAUUAAAAAAUAAUUAAAGUAUUUGUGACUCUCUAAACUAAGGAGUAUGAUUAGAGUUCAAAUUUUAUAAAAAGCUCUUAAAAUAGCUUUUGUGUGUUUUUAGCUAAAUUUUAACUAAAAAAUUUGAAGAUUCUUUAUUUGGGUUUCUUUCAAGACGAAAACCAUAUCCACAACAGACAUCUUUGGCUGUUCAUCACAAUUGAGAGACAAUGAAGAAGACAUAAGGGAGAGGCUGCCAAAUACUUAUCACCUUAGCCACCACCAACACCACAAGACCAAUAUGUGUAGGCCAGGAGGCUUUCCAAUUUUAAUAUAUAUAUAUAUAUAUAUUAAAAAAUAAAAUAAAAAUCAAUCUAUUAUCAUAUAUAUUAUAAAAUAAAGAUUAUUGCUCCAUCCUCCAUGCACUUGCGUGCCCUCUUACAAAGUAUGAAGUAGAUUUUGUUAGCUGGAUUUAUAAGAUCUUUUGUUUUUUGGAAAUUUUCUGAAAUAAGGAAAAUCAAGUAAAAUUAAUAAAGCAUAAAUUGGAAAGGGAAAAUAUCUAGAGGAUGCAUUGUAGGAUUGCUCAAGCCAAUAAUUGUACCCUCUAAAUAUAUAGGGACAUAUUUUUUUUGUUUUCAUGACAUGUCGUCCUAAAAUUAUUGUUCUUAGCGGGCUCUCCACCCCCUCUCGAUUGAAAACCUAUUGUGUAAAUCUUCAAUCCUGAAUUAGAAAAGUACAACUCCAACCAUGCUCCCUAUCCAUCUCCUAAAAUAGGGAUACCUCUAGGAGCUCCUAAAUCUGAGGCGAGAGAAAGGACUCUUAGUGUCUCUUUAUAAUUUAAUGUUGCUUUGUUUUAUGCAUAUUUAAACUUUUAAUUAAAUCAAAUUAUUUUUUUAUAUUAUUUUGUAUACAAAUGGACCAAUUAUAUUGAAUUAAAAAUAAAUUAAAGUAUUUAUGACUCUCUAAACUAGGGAGUAUGAUUGGAGUUCAAAUUUUAUAAAGAGCUCCUAAAAUAGCUUGUGUGUGUAGGGGUCUUUUUCUUCUGGCAACUACAGAUGGGUUGGGCUACCGUAAGGAGCAAACUGAAGAAAAUAUCCCCUGUGUCUGAGUUCAAAGAUUCGGCCCCAAAAUAUUUCGAAAAGGCAGUAAAGCCUUAGGAAACACCUUAGUUACCUUCACCAACGAAAAUGACGGCUGCUUACAGGUAGAUUCUUAGUGCUUACAGAUGAAUUCUUAGCUUAGCAUGAGGAGAUCGUGGCAUGGAAGCAAAGUUAGCAUGAGUUUAGCACUAAAGAGAAAAUUAUGUGUUCUUGGGAGGAAGAAGGGGUGUCCAGGUAAAUGGGAAAAGGUUUUGCAAGUAGAUUUGGCUAAGAGAGAAGGGAGAGAGAGAAGAGGGUGGCUAGAGUGCUUCUUCCGGCAGCUUGACAGUGACUCUGUCAAAUGUUAGAGCAAUCUGCCAUAAGAGGGAAAAUGGGGAAGAAGGAUGAACAGUGCACAAAAUUGCUAGGUUUUUGCAAGUAAGAGAGGAAGCUUGCUCUCUGGAUGUGGAUGAUCCGUUGGGUAGAAGAGGCCCCAUUUUAUAGCCGCUGGAAACUAUCAUUUCUCAAGAAACCCUAAUAGUUUCUACCCAAUUUGGUCAAGCUUUUCCCUUCCUUUCUCAUCUCCUCCCUUGACUUUUCCUAUCUUGGUGAAAUUUCCUCUGUCUAUUUGCACAAAAUCAGGAGCUCAAGGCCUCCCUUUCCCGCAACUGUUCAAUGGGAGACUCCAUUCUUAGCUAUUUUUCUUCUUCUUUCCUUCCUCCUUCCCUGACCAAAUCUGAUGAAGGAAAGCAAAUAGGUGCACACAUUGGUUUGAAGGGUGCUUCUCCUUCUAGCAGCUUACAUGCCAAUAUCCCUUGGGUCCUUGCAUGUUUUUUGCUUUGAAACUUGUUUCUUCCUUCCCGUCAACUCACGUGGUCUUCCAUGCUUCUUCAUGGCUUUAUCUUUCAGCCAAAAGAUGGAGUUUUUACUGCUUGCUACUUUUAAUUGUAUGGGUCUUCUAGGAUAGGAAGUCAACCUACCAAACAAAUGGGCCACCUUUAUCAAAUAUUGGGCUGUUGGGGUUAGUUUUAGUGGGCCAUUUUGACUGGGCUUUUUGGUUGGGUUAUUUAAGUUAUUUUCCCUUUUGUGCUCACCCAUGUAUUUAGGCCUAAGAAAUGGGCUUGGGCUCCGAGUCUCCCAAGCAACCCGGAACCUCCAUUUCUUGGCCCAUUAAUGGGCCUCAUGACAACCUAUUACCAUCCAUACCACAACCCACUCAAGCAAGCCCCGGGCAUUUGAAUGGCUUUGGCCCACUUUAGGCUUGUAGUGUGAUUGGGUGUGGCAUAACGAUUUCUCGCUUGGCAUGGCAUGUUGCUUGGCAUGUUUUUUCAUUACGAUGCUUGAUGGAUUUGUAGAGCUACCUAUUUUUAUGAUCUUAAUCUUGAUUCCUAGCAUGACAAAUUUAUUUAUUUGGCAUGGCAUGCGGAGCGUGACUUGUGCGUGGCGAGUUUUGUAUGCUCCAACUUGGGCCUUUCCUAAAUAAUGUAUCAUUUUGGGUUAUGAAUUCUUUCGGGCCCAACCGUGAAUUUUUUGGGUUUCAACAGUGUGUUUUUAGCUAAAUUUUAACUAAAAAAUAGGGAGCAUGAUUGUAGAUCAUCUUAUAUACCUUAAUUUGAAGAUUCUUUAUUUGGGUUUCUUUCAAGAUGAAAACCAUAUCCACAACUGGCAGACAUCUUUGGCUGUUCAUCACAAUUGAGAGACAAUGAAGAAGACAUAAGGGAGAGGCCGCCAAAUACUUAUCACCUCAGCCACCACCAACACCACAAGACCAAUAUGUGUAGGCCAGGGGGCUUUCCAAUUUUAAUAUAUAUAUAUGGAGUGAAAAAAAUAAAAUAAAGAUUAUUGCUCAUCCUCCAUGCACUUGCAUGCCCUCUUACAAAGUGUGAAGAAGAUUUUGUGUGCUUCAAGUCAUUGACUAGAGCUGAAACAUGGUUAGCUGGAUUUAUAAGAUCUUUUGUUUUCUGGGAAUUUUCAGAACCAAGGAAAAUCAAGUAAAAUUAAUAAAGCAAAAUGGAAAGGGAAAAGAUCUAGAGGAUGCAUUGUAGGAUUGCUCAUGCCAAUAAUUGUACCCUCUAAAUAUAUAGGGACAUAUUUUUUUUGUUUUCAUGACAUGUUGUCCUAAAAUAUUUGUUCCUAGCGGGCUCUCCACCCCCUCUCGAUUGAAAACCUAUUGUGUAAAUCUUCAAUCCUGAACGAUGCUCCUAAAACUCAAGUGUCCCAGGCCAAUUAUUGCUCUCAUACCACUUGUUGCAAUACACAUCCACUCAUUCUCAGGGAAAGAAACCCAUCGAUAUUAUCUCAAAUUUAACCACUUUAGUCUAUUAUGAUUAACUAUGUAUUUUAUGGAUCAAUGCAGUUGUGAGGUUUUAUACCCAAUUAGAUCGACCAAUACAGAGAUCACAUGUGGACUGAAAAGCGCCAUCGGUAGGGGAGUGUUUGGCACCCUUUACUGCCGAGUGCAACACAAGACCCCUUACCAGGAACUUAUCUACUAGGACACGUGAAGCCACCACAAGUAAUAUCAACAGUCCCACAUCGAAGUUUAACAUAACAUGUACACUCCCCAGGACUGAUAAAAGUGGGCACAAGUCCCAAAAAUGGGGGAACUUGGACUUUCAGCAAUUCAUCCAUUAUUAUGUCCAAAUUACUAUACACUCCGUACUUAUUCUUACUUAAGCAUUGGAGAGCCUUCGGCCGGUACCACACCAGUGCCUAAGGGCUUACCGAGCGUUCUCUAUCUUGCAUAUUGAUCGCUCUACUGAAGCCCAUAAAGAGUUAAAGGUCAAGACAUCACUAAGUUGAGCCCAAAAGUGCUGAACCACAUCAAAAAUAUGUAUAGAUUGAAAAAAUAAAAUAAAAAUCAAUCUAUUAUCAUAUAUAUUAUAAAAUAAAUAUUGGAUAAAUUACUCAAAUGGUCCUCAAACUUAUACUCGAUUUACAUUUUGGUCUCUCAAUUAAAUUAUUUGUUCAAAUGGUCCAUCAACUCUAUAUUAUUUCUGCAAAAUCUACAAAGUGGUGGGAGGCAGACCAACAAAAAAAAUUAGCGAAGGCUUAUAACUCUGGUAAAACAAGAGUUACUUGGAUAGAAUAAUGUUACGUCGUACUGAAGAUUUUUGGGUUUCUUUAAUUGGUUAAGUGAAGAUUCUUUAUUUGGGUUUCUUUCAAGAUGAAAGCCAUAUCCACAACCACAACCACAACUGGCAGACAAUCUUUGGCUGUUCAUCACAAUUGGGCGACAAUGAAGAAGACAGAAAUUGGAGUACUGUAUGUUAUCACCCACACCACAAGACCAAUAUAAGGAGGAUGGGGAGGCUGCGGAAUACUUAUCACCUUAGCCACCACCUACACCACAAGACCAAUAUGUUGUAGGCCAGGAGGCUUUCCAAUUUUAAAUUAGAUAAAUCGGAAACUGUUUCGAUAUCCAAUUGUAUUCUAUAAAAUCAAUGAACACGGUGCUUCAAGAAAGUAAUAAAAUUUCAAUAAUUCAAUUGAGUGGUCAAAUUCAAGUGAUUUUUUGUAGUGAUGAUCUUUGAAUGAGUAUCUAUAAAAGAGACGGUUUGGAUUAGUGAAAUACAAUAUGGAGUGGGCCCUACCAGCAAUCCACGACAAAAUGUCUGCAAGCUUUCGUAAUAUAAGGAGGAUGGGGAGGCUGCGCAAUACUUAUCACCUUAGCCACCACCUACACCACAAGACCAAUAUGUUGUAGGCCAGGAGGCUUUCCAAUUUUAAUAUAUAUAUAUAUAUAUAUAUAUAUAUAUAUAUAGGGAUGUGAUUUCUCUACUCCCCUUUUCUCUACUUAUACUCCCUUUUGCUUUUAAAUACUUUUUAAUCAAUUUUUUUUCCGCUUUCCUAUUAAUAUUCUACCAUUUCCCUACAUUAAUUUCUUUUUACUUCACUUUUAUAUUAGUUCUUUUUCUUUAUACUUAAUUUUUCAACUUGCACUCCAUUUUCAUUAUUUUUUUCCUAAUCGAGUAAGAAAUUAAGUUUUUUUUCCCCAUUUAAUACUGAAAAUGGAGUGUAAGUUAGAAAAUUAGGUAUAAAGAAAAAGAAAUAAUAUAAAAGUAAAGUAAAAAAGAAAUUAAUGUAGGGUAAAGGUAGAAUAGAAAAGAGAAUGAACAAAAUUGAUAAAUAAAUAAAAAAGGUUUAAAAAGCAAAAAGGAGUGUAAAUGGAGAAAAGGGGAAUGAGGAAAUCAGCUCCAUAUAUAUAUAGAUUGAAAAAAUUAAAAUUAAAAUCAAUCUAUUAUCAUAUAUAUUAUAAAAUAAAGAUUAUUGCUCCAAGGAAAUGACAUCUUUUGUUUUCUGGGAAUUUUCUGAACCAAGGAAAAUCAAAUAAAAUUAAUAAAGCAUAAAUUGGAAAGGGAAAAGAUCUAAAGGAUGCAUUGUAGGAUUGCUGAUGCCAAUAAUUGUACCCUCAAAUUAUACAUGGACAUAGGGGUGGGCAUUCAAAUAGGCAAACUAGAAAUCCGAGCUGAACCGCACCUAGGAAAACCGGAAAAAAAACCGAGUUGACCAAAAAGUCAACAACUGGUCAAAAAUCGAACCGGACCGAUUUGGACUGGUUUUGGAUUCAGUUUAUAUGCAAUGCUACAUUUUUAGUCUCAUAACUAAUAUUUAUCCAAGUUCAAUUUCAAAACAUCUUUCUUUUUUAGCUUUAAUAUUUAUUUUUAUAUGAAAUUAAAUAAUUUAUUAAUUUUCAAGUAAAUAAAAUAAAAUUUCAGUUGAAAUUUAUAUUAAAAAAAUAAUUUUAAUAAUCCAGUUCAAAACCAAACCGGACCAUCCAGCUGUGAGGUACAUUUCUCCCACAUGCCACAAUUGUAUAUUCACAAUUACGUCUGAUACAUCACAUCAUGCCACUUGCCUCAAAUGAAUUUAAGUGAGUGUGGCAGUGGAAAGUAAUUAAGCUCUAUAUUGGUGGGUGGACUGUUACUUCUGGGUUCCCCUCAUCAUUCGUCUAUAAAAUGGUGAAGGCAGUUGCUAUUGUUACCAUAAGAGCCAGCUCCGACUUCCUUUAAUUUCUUGCUUCAUAUCCACUAGCUACAUCUGUUACCAAGUUAAUUUCAGUCCUAAUGGGGUUUCAUCUCCCACUCAUCUUUGCUCUUCUCAGUGUAAGCUCUGCAAUUUGAUUAACUUUUCCAUUCUCUCUCAUUGUACUCUAUAUAAACGAAAGUUUUGUGUUCCUAUAAUUCUCUCCGAUUUUAUUUAGUACGUACUUAAGUGUCGUCCACUAAUUAAUUACACUUUGUGAUUUGAUUUUAAUUUGAGUUCGAAUUAAUGUUGCAGCUAGCAGCAGUGGCACUGGCAAACCAUGCUGCUCAACCAGCACCUCAACUUUACUGGAACUCCGUCCUGCCAAACACACAGAUGCCAAGAUCUAUCAGUGAACUUCUGCAUCCUGGUUUGUGUUGAGCUCUUUAGAAUCUUAGAUAUCUCUUCUACCUGCCAUUUUACUAAAAUAUGUUCCACCACAUAUUUAUCAGUUAACCACUGUUAUUACAUGAGUGACACAUAUUCACAAAUCGGCUGAUCACUUAUUUUCCAUUAUGACGUUGAUAUAUAAUUUGCAGACUCCACAAAUGAAGAAAAGAGCACAAAUGACGUUGGCAAACCUGAAACUUUCCCAUUGGGCAAUAAACAUUACUCCAGUCAAAAACAUUAUGGAAGAGGCAAACCUGAAACUUUCCCAUUGGGCAAUAAACAUUACUCCAGUCAAAGACAUUAUGGAAGAGGCAAACCUGAAACUUUCCCAUUGGGCAAUAAACAUUACUCCAGUCAAAGACAUUAUGGAAGAGGCAAACCUGAAACUUUCCCAUUGGGCAAUAAACAUUACUCCAGUCAAAAACAUUAUGGAAGAGGCAAACCUGAAACUUUCCCAUUGGGCAAUCAGCAUUACUCCAGUCAAAAAAAGUAUGGAAGAGGUGCUUCUCCAUCCGACAAUCAACCACCAAUUCCAUAGAAAUUCAAACACGGCUACUUUCUUGCCACGAGAAAGCGCUCAAUCGAUCCCCUUCUCCUCUAACAAACUACCAGAAAUUUUCAACCAUUUUUCAGUGAAGCCAACAUCUGAGGAAGCCAAAACAAUUAAGCAAACAAUCGAAGAGUGUGAAGCUCCAGACCUUAAGGGAGAGGAAAUAUAUUGCGCCACAUCUUUAGAAUCAAUGGUUGAUUUUAGCACUUCGAAGCUUGGAACAAGAAACGUUGAAGCAAUCUCGACGGAGGUAUUGGAAAAAGGAGCCACCAUGUCCAUCCAAAACUAUACAACAAUGCCGGGACUGAAGAAGUUGGCAGGUGACAAAGUCGUUGUGUGUCAUAAGCAGAACUAUCCCUAUGCUGUGUUUUUCUGCCAUGCAAUAAAACAUACAGCAGCUUAUGCUCUCUCCCUGAAAGGCGAUGAUGGGGAGAAGGUUAAAGCAGUAACCAUCUGCCAUCUAGACACAUCAGAAUGGGACCCAGAGCAUAUGUCCUUCAAAAUCGUCAACGUUAAGCCCGGAACCAUUCCCAUCUGCCAUUUCAUUUCCACUGAUGCUAUUGCCUGGGUUCCGAACCACAAAUCUGCAUGAUCAUCACUUAGCACUAGUACUGUGCGUAUAAUAUGCCUGUAUAAUUAUCUCCCUACUUAUUUCUGCCUGUUCAUCAUGUGGUGUAAGAUAUAUGUUGAGAUGAAGUUUUUGGGAUUAGUGGUCGAAAUUAACCCGAUCAUGUUUUCUCUUGUAACUAUAUAGACUUCAACUUGUACUCAUAAUAAAGCAUGCUAUAUUUAUGAAGAGAUAUUAAUCUUCAGGCAAAUAGAUAUUAUGAAAACAUAUAUAGCAAUUUAUCCAGAAGAAAUAUUAUGAAAUGAAAAGAAUAAAAAGUAAAAAAACAGAAGGAAAGGAAUUCGCACCUGCUAUGUAUGAAAGGACCAAGAUUGUUUUCCCUUUGGUUAAUGACUAGAAAAGCUCACUUGCAGAUUGCUUUCUCUGACCGUAGAUGCAACAGAAAUUUUCUCUUAAUAAUAGCACAAUGAUCGGGUAAUUGUAAGAACAAGUUGAUUUAAAAUUCCUUGACCCAAAAAAAAAAAAAAAAUCAUUUCAAAUUCAGGUCAACCCAUAGAUUUCUUGCCUUUUUCUUCUUCAUCACGUUGGGCUUGUCUUCUUCUUGAGGAUUGUAUAGGCCCAGGAAAUGCUUUGAGGUAGUUUUUGGCCUUGGAAGUUGGGACCCAACCCAACUUCACAAAAAGAAAACAGAUUUGCCAAAAAUCAAAUUUCAAGUCUCUCCUCAGAUCACUAAUACAGAUCAAAUUUUGGAUUUGAUGAACUAAAGUGGUUUUACUUUCUCUGUCAGUGUUUGAUGACUUAAUUUGUUAUUUACUUCUUUUUUUUUUUUUACUUGAUCUUUGUAGGGGUUUUUUUCUUCCGGUAACUUAAACGGGCUGGGCUGCCGUAAAGGGUAGAUUGAUGAAAUUGUCUCCUUUGUCUGAGUUCGAAAAUCAAGCCCCAAAAGCGCUUCGAAAGGGCAGUAGAGCCUUAGGAAGCGUUCUAGUCAUCUUCACCAACUAAAACAACAGCAACUUACAGAUGAUUUCUUAAGGCUUACAGAUAAAUUUUCUAGCUUGGCAUGAGAGGCUUGUGACAUGGAAGCAAAAUCAGCAUGAGUUUAGCACCAAAGAGGAAAAUAUGGCUUCCUAGGGAGAAAUGGGAGUGUUUAAGGUGAGGAAGAAGAGGUUUGCAGGCUGAUUUGGCUGAGGAGAGAGAAAGAAAGAACAAUGUUCUUCCAGUAGCUUGACAAAGCUUCUGACAGAUGUGAAAGUCGUCUGCCAUAAGAGGAAAAUGAAGAAGAAUGGUGAAUAGUGCAUGAAAUUGCUGGGUUUUUGCAGGUAAGAGAGAAAGCUUGCUCUCUGAAUUUGAGUUGGUUUUUGGUUGGGUAGAAGAGGCCCCCUUUUAUAGCUGCGGGAAACCAUCUUUUUUCAAGAAACCCUAAUGGUUUCUAUCCAUUUUGGCCAAGCUUUUCCCUUCAUUUCUCUUCUCCUCCCUUGACUUUUCCUAUCUUGGUGAAAUUUCCUCUGCCUAUUUGCACAAAAUUAGAGAUUUUGAGGAGCUCAAGACCCCUUUCCCGCAGCUGCCUCAGUGGAGAAUCCCCAUUUUCAGUCAUCUUUCUUCCUUCUUUUCUCCCAUCUUCCAAGGUUAGGUCUGAUGAGGGAAAGAAAUGGGUAUGCACACUGGUUUGAAGGGUAUUUUUGCUUGAAACUUGUUCUCUCCCAUGUGCUGGAGCUUCCCAGCAACUUACACACAUGGAUAUUUUGGCUUUCAUCGUGGCUUUUGUUUUCAGCUAGGUGCUGGAGAUUUCGCAGAUAUUUUCAUGAGUUGCUUGGGCCUUCUAGGACAAUAGGUUGGUUUAUCAAGUGAAUGGGCUAACUUCAUCAAUUGUUGGGCUAUUUUGGUUGAGUUAAUGGACUAUUUUGGUUGAAGUAAUGGGCUAUUUUGGUUGAAUUAAUGGGCUAUUUUUCUCUCUUUGUGCUCACCCACAUAUUUGGGCCUAAGAAAUGGGCUUGAGUUCCGGGGCUCCCAAGCAACCCCGGGACUUCCAUUUCUCGGCCCAUCAAUGGGCCUCAUAUCAACUUAUUACCAUCCAUAUCACAACCCACUCAAGCAAGCCCUGGGCAUCUUGCGUGGCUUGGGCCCACUUAAGCUUGUAGCGUGACGUGUUGCUUAUUUGCUUGGCAUGGCAUGUGUGCAAGCGCAUAUGACGAACUUUAGCGUGCCCAAAUUGGGUUUAUUCUCGGUAAGGUAUCGCAUUGGGCCGAGAAUUUAAUUGGGCAGAACUGUGGAUUUUUGGGCCUCAACAAUCUUAUAUAUAUUGGUUUUCUUUUUUUCCUUAAUAUUCACCACCUUUCUGUUGCAUAAGUAUUUCAGUCUUAACGGGUUUCCAUCUACCACUCAUCUUUGCUCUUUUAAGUGUAAGCUUUUUUUUUUUUUUUUUAAGCACAAGAUUAGAGGGGAGGGGGAUUUCUCAAUGUAAGCUUUGCAGUUUCAUAAUUAAUAUUUCCAAUAUCUCACUGUUAGUAAAAUAUGGAACAGGAAAAGUAUGAAUAAAAUACACACAUGUUUUAUUUAGCAAAAUUUUGACAAGAUACAACUGAAAAGUUUGGCCACUAUAUAAUAUUUUGAUAUAAUUUCUACACUUCUUCUCAAAAGAUUAGAUCACUUCACAUCUUGUGUAUGUGAAAACUAAUGUAAAAAGUUGAAACUUUAUCGUAAAACCUCGACAAAAAUGAGCUCUACUAGAAAAUGUUCAAUUUGGAUUCGUUGAUUUAAAUGGCAAUUUGACACUUGAUAGAAAUUUUUACAUACAUGUGUUAGUGUUUGAUCACUUCACAUGUUACUUACUAUAUUUAUUCCACUCAAGUUAGGUAAAUAUUAUUAUCAAACAUUUCAAUUAAUUUGUGAUUUUUUUAUUAUUUAAUCAAUUAUGAAUUAAUGGAUUCUUCUUGUUGUUUUGAAGACCAAUAAAAAAAAAAGGGUAAGGAUGGCUUAUAACUCUGAUAAAACAACAGUGACGUGGACAGCAGAUGUUACACCGUACUGAAGAUUUUUGAAGAUUCUUUAUUUGGGUUUCUUUCAAGAUGAAAACCAUAUUAUCCACAACCACAAUGAAGAAGACAGAAAAUGGAGUAAUUCAGAUGUUACCAGCCAUCCACGACAAACUGAAGUCUGCAAAGCAUUCGUAAUCUAAAGGGAGACUUUGGAAAAGCCCAAAGGAGAGAGAAAAUUUUUAAAAGAAGCAAAAAUGGACAAAAUUGCCCUUAUUUAUUUUUUGAUUUCCUAAGAAAUCCUUUACAUUUGCAUGUCUUUGGUUUGAAAGUUGAGAGGUUAUUCUGUCUUUUUUCAAAAAGCUUUGGCUUUUUCCAAAAGUGAAAGUUUUUUUAUGGGUAAAACCUAAAUUUACUUAAUCCCUAAAAAGGAUGGGGAGGCUGCGCAAUACUUAGCCACGUGUAGGCCAGGAGGCUUUCCAAUUUUAAUAUAUAUAUAAAUUGAAAAAAUAAAAUAAAAAUCAAUCUAUUAUCCUAUAUAAAAUAAAGAUUAUUGCUUCCAUGGGCAGUGCUAUGCACAGGACAGUGCCUGCCCAGCACAAAUUUUUUUUAAAUAAAAAAAAAAAAUCUACAUAUGUUAUAAGCUCAUCCAAAAAAAUAAAAUAAAAUAAAAGUAAAUUCUACAUAUAUGUUGCCCAUCUAGGUGGUUCCAUAUCUUCUCUCUCCUUCUCUUUUGGCUAUUAGACUUCUUGUUUCUCUCUCUCUCUUUGCUACCUCACAUCAGCAAGUUUCUCCCUCUCUUUUUUUGGGGUCAAAUUCUUCCUCUAUUGACAAAAUCUUCUAUUAUCUUGGGUGGGCAACUUGGCAACAACAUCUUCUCUUCUCCUUUUGUCAACAACAAGUAUUAUUCUCAUUCUCUCAUUUGCUAUAUAUCUUUAAUUAUAGUUUUAAUUUAAAAUUGAGUAUUCUAGGGUUUAAUUAGGGAUGAAUUAUAAUUUUAGAAUUUUGUUGAAAUUAAUUAAGGCUUCGAUUAGGGGUGAAUUAUUCUACUGCUUUGGUUUGGAAUUUUGUUAAAAUUGAGUAUUAUAGGGUUUAAUUAUGGAUGAAUUAUAAUUUUUGAUUUUGGUAUUAUUGAGAUGUUAUUAUGAGAAUUUGUUUCAUUUUUUUAUUGGUAUAUUUGAUUAAAAUUCUUUCUACAUAUUAUUCAUAGGCUAUCUUUUAUUAUGUCGGAUCACAAUCGGAAUCCCAAGAGAACAAAGAAUUUGAAUAGUGUUGUUUUGUAUUGCAUUGCAUUUACUUUUGGUUUUAGUUUUGCUUUUAGUGUAAAUUACUCAAAUGGUCCUCAAAUUUGUACCCGAUUUACAUUUUGGUCCAUAAACUAAAUUAUUCAUUCAAAUGGUGCACCAACUCUUUAUUAAUCAGUGCUUUGGUCCUACCGUUAUGUUUUCUAUUAAAUUUAGUCAUGUGAGCAGCACAUGCUACAUUUGUAGGGGUAAAUAAGACUUUUGACCACUUUAUCACCUAUGUAUCACCACUUUAUAACCUAUUUGGAGAACAUAGGUCAGUUAUGGACGGUUUUACAAUUAUAUUUGACGGCAACAUUAACAUAAUGUAACAGUGGGAUCAAUGGAGCGAUUAAUAUAGAGUUGAUGGACCGUUUGAACGAAUAAUUUAAUUGAGGGACCAAAACGUAAAUUGAGUAUAAGUUUGAGGACCAUUUGAGUAAUGUACCCUUCGCUUUUAUAUUUGUUGAACUUUUAUUUAUGGAUAGAUAUGCAUUUGAGGGUAAGACCCAUUAUGUUCCCCCUGACUUGGUGUAUCUUUUUAUGUUUAUUAAUGAAAUUCACUCGAACUGUUGAGUUUAGUAUGUAAGUUUUGCCUAACCGGCUUUUGAAUCCUAGAACCGCCACUGUUGCUCCAUCCUCCAUGCACUUGCAUGUGCUCUUACAAAGUGUGAAGUAGAUUUUGUGUGCUCCAAGUCAUUGACUAGAGCUGAAACAUGGUUAGCUAGAUUUAUAAGGACCCAUCUCUCUAUUUCCUAGACAUAUACCCAUCUCUCUAUAAAUCUAUAUGUAAAACUCAAUUUCAAACUUAAAUGACCAGUAAGAUAUAAGAGGUCAUAGUAUUCCUAUGUUUUUACAUCGUUGCCACCAGACUUCUUAUUUUAUUUAUAAUUUAUUUCAAGCAUUUCAUUAACUGCCAUAAUUGUAAUUAAUACUCCAUAUUAAUAGCAUAUCAAUCACCCCAUUUCUUUUGAUUGCCAUUCCCUCUAACAUAUCGCCCCUUAAAAUUGAAAACCAAAAAAAAAAAAAAUGUAAAUUACAUAUCCAAUAAUGUACCUAUGAAAAAUAUAAAUAUAAAUAUAUACGUAUAAAAAUAUAGGUUUAUUAUUUACCAAAUAAAAAAUAUAAAAAAACUAGGUCAGUUGCUUUGUAAUUGAAAUUUCUAUACAUUUUCCACAAAUUAAAAAUAGGUACACAAUAAUUUAUAGAAAAUAUAGGUGCAUUAUUUAUCCAUAGGUAAAAAUACCUAUAAAUGCACAUAGGUAAAUUAUUUACCCAUAUAUUAUUUUUUUGCUAAGGAUUUACCUUAGUUUUUAGUAGAUUAAUUUACCUACCUAGAGGCAUAGGUAGCUUAAAAAAAUUGUAGCACCUUAGUUGGUUGCAUACUAAUUUACCUACCUAGAGGCAUAGGUUGCUAAGAAAAAAUGUAGGUAAAUUCAUGUACCUAAACACAUAGGGGUCAAAUAGAGAAUAACAUGUUAUUUCCCUUCGAACAAAUUAAUUUCAAACCAUAACAAUAAUUGAAUUCGGAAAUUGGUAUAAAUAAAAGGAAAUAAAUAAGCUAUCAAUUUGAAAAUUAAAAUAAGAAAUGAUCAAGUAGUCAUAUUUGAAAAAAAAGAAAAGAAUAUAUUCUUGGUUUUUAUAGGAACAACGUGUAUAUUCAAACCAAAUGGCAGUAACUACACCAAGCUUUAAUUACUUUUUUUUAAGGCCAAAAGUCACUUUUGGUCUCUGUAGUUUGACACUUCUAUUACUUUUGACGCUGUAGUUUCAAUUCCGUCAAUUUUGCCAUUGUAGUUUCAUAUUUGUAGCAAUUCAAGGACAUGUUAAUAUUAAUGUCAAUUUGUUUAAUGAUGCAAGGGGUAAUUUCGUCAUCCCAAAAUCCUUGAGCAUAAAAGCUUGUCUGAAAUUCUCCCCAUUUCAUAUUAGGGCUCGAAAUUCAACCACUAAUCCCAAUUUUUGAAGAACCCUAUACCCAAAUGACCAAUUUCAAGCCCUAAUAACAAAUUAGGGAAGUUUUAGAUGAGCUUUUAUGCUCAAGGAUUUUGAGUUGAAGAAAUUGCCCCUUGCACUGUCAAAGAAAUUGAUAGGAAUACUGACUUGUCCUUGAAUUGCUACAAAUACAAAAAUACAGGGUCAAAAUUAACAGAAUUUAAACUAUAUGGUCAAAAGUGGUUAAAGUGCCAAACUACAAGGACCAAAAGUGACUUUUAGCCUUUUUGUUUAAAUAAGGAAAAAACUUACCUAUUAAAUCCUUGGAAUCUAUACAAAAUUGAAACACAGUUAAUCAGCAUUGAAUUGCAGCUAAUUUCUUAAACAAGGGUAUUAUAGGAAUUUAAAAAGUAUAACAUUUAAUCCAUUGAGCUUGAUUAGGAAUCUUGAUGAGUUGGAUCCUAGUUAUAUAGUUUCUCUUAUAAAAAUCGGGUUUUAUUUAUAGACAAAUAAAACAAUGGGUUGUAGGUAAGAAAAUAUUAAUUUGAAGGGAAAGUGUCACAUCCUGGGAUCGGCUCCGCCGUAGCACGAUAUUGUCCGCUUUGGGCCCCCCUCUCUGCCCGCACGGUUUUGUUUCUGGGAGCUCACGAGCAACUUCCCAGUGGGUCACCCAUCCUGGGAUUGCUCUGGCCCCCAACUCGCUUAACUUCGGAAUUCCUAUGACUCCGAAGCCAGUGAGCUCCCAAAAGGCCUCGUGCUAGAUGGAUGCGGGUGUGUACAUAUAAGACACAUCACCCCCUCUCCGUUGGUUGAUGUGGGAUCUUACAGAAAGAGUCAAAUUUACUAAAUUAAUAAAGCAUAAAUUGGAAAGGGAAAAGAUCUAGAGGAUGCAUUGUAGGAUUGCUCAUGCCAAUAAUUGCACCCUCUCGAUAUUGAAAAACCUAUUGUGUAUUAUUAUCUUCAAUCAUGAAUGAUGCACCUAAAACCCAAGUGUCCCAAGCCAACCAUUGCGCUCAUACCACUUGUUGCAGUACACAUUCACCCGUUUUUAAAGAAAGAAAUUCUACCAAUCGAUAUUGUCUCAAAUUUAAUCACAUAGGUCUAUUAUGGUUAACCAUAUGUACUUUUAUCGGCCAUAUAGAGGUACCUUUUUCCAACGUGCAACAAUUGUAUUUGAUUCACAAUUAUGUCUGAUAUACAUCACAUCAUGCCACUUGCCUCAAAUGAAUUUAAUUGAGUGAGGCAAUGGGAAGUAAUUAAGCUCUAUAUUGGUGGGUGGAGUGUUACUUCUGGAACCCUCAUCAUUCGUCCAUACAAGGGAACAAUUCCCUUCCUUCUAUAAAAUGGUGAAGCCAGUUGCUAUUGUUUGUUAGAGUUUUAGGAUCUGAGUGUUAGAUUUUGUGAGAAGAGAGAAGAGAAUUUAGUGAAAACUUCCAAUACUGCUCUGCUAUACGUGUAGCAGAGAGAACAUUCUGUUUUGUUAUAUAUUUUCAGUACAACAACACACACUUGGUGUGAGAAGAAAAAUGACUGUUAUGCACAGUACCAGCUGGAUGCUUUCCAUCAAAGUAAUCUCAGCCAUUCACUAUCUAACCAAUCAAGCUAUGACACCUGGACUAAGUAUAAAGAAAUACAACUAAGCAGAAAACAAGACUCUUAAUCCUGAAAUCAACUUAAGCACUUAUAAUUCAACACUCCCCUUUAAGUCUUGAGGUGAUUUCACUCCAAGCAUGCCUCUGAGAUAAUUGAAUCUGUCUUUGGCCAGAGGUUUGGUAAAAAUGUCAGCCAAUUGUUCAUUUGUAGGACAAUAUUCCAGAUUGAUUACCCCUUCUUGCAAUGCAUCCUUGAUGAAGUGAUACCUCCUGUCAAUAUGCUUUGUCUUCUGGUGGAAUACAGGGUUUUUAGUGAUUGCAAUUGCUGAGAUAUUAUCACAAUGCAAUGGAGUAGCUUCAGUUUGAAGCUCUCUAAAGUCUUCUAGCACAAAACGGAGCCAAAUAGCUUGAGUAGUAGCCUCAGCUGCACUGAUGUACUCAGCUUCUGCAGUAGACAGUGCAACACAGUUCUGUUUCACUGAGGCCCAAGAAAAUACUCCACUUCCAAAACUAAACGCAUACCCUGAUGUGCUCUUGCAAUCACCAACUGAUCCUCCCCAAUCACUGUCACAGUAACCAACUAGAAUUGAUCUUUUGCCUUUCACAUAUUCAAGACCAUAGUCCAGAGUUCCUUUGAUGUAUCUCAAAACCCUUUUAGCUGUUCCAUAGUGUCUAUUUGUAGGACAGUGCAUGAAUCUAGCUAGCAAGCUUGAGGCAUACAUGAUGUCUGGUCUUGUAGCAGUUAAGUACAGCAAGCUACCAACAAUGCUUCUGUAUUGUUCUUCAUUUGCAGCUCAACUCCCAUCAUCCUUAGCUAGUUUCUCAGUGGCAACAAGGGGUGUUGUCACAGGUUUGCACUCAGUCAAACCAAACUUGCUCAACAAGGUGCUAGCAUAUUUCUUUUGAUGUAGAAAUAUACUAGACUCAGUCUGAAUAACUCCCAUGCCAAGAAAGUGAUGAAGUAAGCCCAAAUCAGUCAUCUCAUACUUAGCCAUCAUGUCUUCUUUGAAUUCAGCCAACAAUGCUUGACUGCUCCCUGUAUACACAAUAUCGUCUACAUAGAUAGACACAAUUAGAAUCUCCUUAUCUCCCCUUACUUUGGUAUAUAAGGUUGUUUCACUUAAGCUUUUCACAAAACCACAUUGAGUGAAGUAGCUGUCUAUCUCUCCAUACCAAGCCCUUGGGGCUUGCUUCAGACCAUAAAGGGCUUUAUGCAAACGAUAAACCUUGUCUUCUUUACCUUUAAUUACAAAACCUUCAGGCUGACUGACAUAAACUUCCUCUUGCAGCACACCAUUAAGGAAAGCAGACUUCACAUCAAGCUGGAACAAUUUCCAAUCCUUUUGAGCAGCUAGAGCAAUAAGUGUUCUAAUGGUGUCCAAUCUGGCUAUAGGUGCAUAAGUCUCAUUAUAAUCCAGUCCAGGCUUCUGAGCAUACCCCUUAGCCACUAAUCUUGCUUUAUUCUUUUGCACUGAGCCAUCCAAAUUCAGCUUUGUCUUGUACACCCACUUAACUCCAAUCACUGGUUUUUCAGUUAGUCUAUCUACCAAUUCCCAUGUUUCAUUCUUUUCAAUCAUCUGCAGUUCAUCUUCCAUAGCCUUAAGCCAAGAUUCAUCCUGAGCAACAUCAGCAUAUUUUUCUGGUUCCAUGAUACACAAGUUACACUGAGCUAGAACAUCAUCUAGCCUUCUCCAUUUUAGAGGGGUGUGAUCAUAAGCUUGAGUUCUCCUUUCUUCACUGCUUAUAUCACCUGGAGUUGAUGAAAUGCUCUCUUGCAUAUCCAAAGUUUGAGGUGUACCAGUAGAAUUCUCAUUAGAACUGUCAGAUUUCAAGUCCAAAUCAACUUGGUUUUCAAUUGAGUAUGUUGUCAUAACUGAACCAUUUUUGUUUGUCCAAUGCCAAGCAUUUUCUUCAUCAAAUGUCACAUCCCUUGAUAGUAAAAGCUUGUUAGAAACAGGAUCAAAAACUCUAUAUCCUUUUUCACAAGUUGCAUAUCCCACAAACACUCCCUUUGUACUCUUAGGAUCCCGCUUGUGUCUCAAUUCAGUUGGCACAUGAACAUAACACAGAGAACCAAACACUUUCAGAUGUGCAAUUCCAGGCUUCCUUCCACUAUAUGCUUCGAAUGGAGUAAUGUUGUUGAGAGCUUUGGUAGGACAUCUGUUCAGCAAAUAGAUAGCUGUAUGCACAGCUUCUGCCCAUAGGAAAUAAGGCAUUCCCUUCUCAUGUAACAUUGAUUUUGCCAUCUCAAUGACAGUUCUAUUCUUCCUCUCAACUACUCCAUUCUGCUGAGGAGUAUAGGCCAUUGUAAGCUGCCUUUGAAUGCCAUUAGCUUCACAAAACUCCAAAAAAUCAGUAGACAUAAACUCUCCACCCCUGUCACUUCUUAUGCACUGAACCUUGUGUCCAGUUUGUAAUUCAGUCAUGGACUUGAACUUCUUGAAACAAAAGAAGGCUUUUGACUUGUUUCUCAAGAAGUAUACCCAAAUCAUUCUUGUGAAAUCAUCUAUAAUCAGCAUGAAAUAUCUGUUCCUUGCAACAGACUCAUUUCUCAUGGGACCACAGAGAUCCACAUGUAUUAGCACUAGUACUUUGCUUGCUCUUUGAGCUUGAUCUUUUGGAAAAACAUUUCUGUGCUGUUUUCCAAAUUGGCACCCGUCACACACACCACUUUGUUCUUCCAAUUUUGGUAAACCAUGUACCAUUUCUUUAUCACUUAGCUGCUUCAAUCCUCCAAAAUGCAGAUGACCAAAUCUCUUGUGCCAAAUCCAUGUGGAUUGAAGAAAACUAGUCUUCAUUAGUAACUGUUUUUCAGCUAGAAAAGAGACAGGAUAGCAUCUGUUACUCUUCAUUUGCACCUUUAUGAUGAGAUAAUCCAUGGAUGGGCUAUCAAAUACCCUGCACAUCCCUUCUCCAAACACUAGACAGUACCCAUGUUCAUCCAUCUGCCCAACACUUAGCAGAUUUUCUUUCAAUCCUGGCAGAUACAUUACUUCUCUGAUGUAUUUCCUGCCCUUUGCUGUAUCAAUACUCAGUGAGCCAAUACCAGCUACACUCACUAAUGCACCAGUUGGCAUUUGUACUCUCCCAGCUACAUUAGUUCUCACAUCAACCAGCAAAUCUAAAUUUCCUGUCAUAUGAUUGCUGCAGCCACUGUCAAUGUACCAUUCAUUGGUUUUGAUCUCAGUGGUUGAGCAAUUGGCAUAAAACAGGUUUCCUGUAACCUCCAUUUGAUUUACACAAUUAGCCUUCUGCACAUUUUUGCUCACUGUACAGUCUCUAGCAAGAUGUCCAACUCUGUCACAGUUAUAGCAUUUUGGUUUUCCCUUAUACCUGCACUCACCAAAAUGAUGCUUUGAACACACCUUGCAUUGAGGCUUUGUGUUUUCCUGAUUUGAGAACUGUGUUGAAGUGUGGUUCUGUGCAGAAUAAUUAUUCUGCUGUGUCUUGUCUUUUGCCUCCCAUGACUUCCCUUUAGAGUUCCAGCUUCUCUGUGACUUAGAUGAACCAGACUGAGAAGCAUUUUUGUUCUGACCCUUUGAAUUCACAGUGAAUGAGGCAAAUGCCUUCUCAGCUGUAUCAACACUAUGCAUUUCAAGCCUUUGCUCCCGACUCUUCAAAAUGGCAGUUACUUCCUGCAAAUCCACAGUUUCUAGUGUCUUUGUGUUUUCAAUCACAAUGCAUAUAGGGUCAUACUUCUUACUUAGACUAAUUAACACCUUCUGAACCUACCUCUCAUUUGACAGAACUUCACCAAAUGUUUUCAUUUGGUUAAUCAAUUCAGUUAGUCUAGUAAGAUAUUCAGAUAAGGUUUCACUAUCACGCAUCCUACUGUAUUCAAACUCACGUCUAAGGUUUUGAAGCUUUACCGAUCUAACAUGCUCUCCACCAUGAUAUUCUGAGUACAGCAGAUUCCAAGCCAUCUUUGCAGAGUCAGCAUUGGCAAUUCUGGGAAAAAUCUGAUCAGAAACAGCAUUUUGAAUGAUACCCAAGGCCUUCGCAUCCUUCAUGAGAAUCGCAGCUGUUUUCUCAUCAACUUCUUCUUCUGAACCAUCCUCAGAUUCCUGCUUCGUCUUUGAAUCUGGGAUUAAAAACCCCUUCUCUACCAAACCCCAUAAACCAUAUGAUCUGAAUAUGGUUACCAUCUUAAUCCUCCAAAAUUCAUAGUUCUCACCUGAGAAAAUGGGGAUUCUAGCCUCUGAACUUCCAGAUCCAGCCAUUACGAAUUUCAGAUUCGCCUGGAAACAAGAUGUUUUCAGAUUUGACCCUUGAUCGAGCUCAAUCAGCUUCGUGAGCUUAGAAUGAGCUCACCUCGAUCGAUUUUCUUCACAGAACAACGCCCAGCUUCAGAUAAUCAAACUUGGCUCUGAGGCCAUGUUAGAGUUUUAGGAUCUGAGUGUUAGAUAUUGUGAGAAGAGAGAAGAGAAUUUAGUGAAAAUUUCCAAUACUGCUCUGCUAUACGUGUAGCAGAGAGAACAUUCUCUUUUGCUAUAUAUUUUCAGUACAACAACACACACUUGGUGUGAGAAGAAAAAUGACUGUUAUGCACAGUACCAGCUGGAUGCUUUCCAUCAAAGUAAUCUCAGCCAUUCACUAUCUAACCAAUCAAGCUAUGACACCUGGACUAAGUAUAAAGAAAUACAACUAAGCAGAAAACAAGACUCUUAAUCCUGAAAUCAACUUAAGCACUUAUAAUUCAACAUUGUUACCAUAAGAGCCAGCUCCGACUUUCUUUAAUUUCAGUCCUAACGGGGUUUCAUCUUCCACUCAUCUUUGCUCUUCUCAGUGUAAGCUCUGCAAUUUGAUUAACUUUCCCAUUAUCUCUCACUGUACUCUAUAUAAAGGAAUAAGUGUCGUCCACUAAUUAAUUACACUUUGUGAGAUUUGAUUUUAAUUAGAGUUCGAAUUGAUGUUGCAGCUAGCAGCGGUGGCACUGGCAAACCAUGCUGCUCAACCAGCACCUCAACUUUACUGGAACUCCGUCCUGCCAAACACACAAAUGCCAAGAGCUAUCAGUGAACUUCUGCAUCCUGGUUUGUGUUGAAUAAAUAUAGUAUGUUACUGGAGUACGUAUGGCAACAUAUUCACAAAUGUGUCACGUAUUUUCCAAUAUGACGUUGAUAUAUAAUUGCAGACUCCACAAACGAAGAAAAGAGCACAAAUGUCAUGAAUGCUGUUGGGAAUGGAAAGCCAAUUGACCACAAGGGCAACCUGAAAAUACUGUACUACCACAGCUUGCACGACGCCCAUUUUCUUACAAGAGUGAUGAUCGUCCCACUGACAAUCAACUCCAUUAUAAAAACGUAGCUAUUUUCUUCUUGGAGAAGGACAUGCGCCCUGGCACAACAAUGAGCUUCCAAUUCCCUAGAAAUUCAAACACGGCUACUUUCCUGCCACCAGAAAGAGCUCAAUCGAUCCCCUUCUCCUCUAACAAACUACCAGAAAUUUUCAACCAUUUUUCAGUGAAGCCAACAUCUGUGGAAGCCAAAACAAUUAAGCAAACAAUCGAAGAGUGUGAGGCUCCAGGCAUUAAGGGAGAGGAAAUAUAUUGCGCCACAUCUUUAGAAUCAAUGGUUGAUUUUAGCACUUCGAAUUUUCGAACAAGAAACGUUCAAGCAAUCUCGACAGAGGUAUUGGAAAAAGGUGCCACCAUGUCCAUGCACAAGCAUACAACAAUGCCGGGACUGAAGAAGUUGGCAGGUGACAAAGUCGUUGUGUGUCAUAAGCAGAACUAUCCCUAUGCUGUGUUUUACUGCCAUGUAAUAAAACCAACAGCAGCUUAUGUUCUCUCCCUGAAAGGCGAUGAUGGGGUGAAGAUUAAAGCAGUAGCCAUCUGCCAUCUAGACACAUCAGAAUGGAACCCAAAGCAUUUGGCCUUCCAAAUCCUCAAAGUUAAGCCCGGAACAAUUCCCAUCUGCCAUUUCCUUCCCACUGAUCAUAGUGUCUGGGUUCCGAACCACAAAUCUGCAUGAUCAUCACUUAGCACUGUACGUAUAAUAAGCUUGCACCCCUGUAUAAUUAUCUCCCUACUCUACUUAUUUCUGCCUCUUCAUGUGGUGUAAGAUAUAUGAUGAGAUGAAGUUUUUGGGAUUAGUGGUCGGGUUGCCUUAAAAACACAGAUUACAGAAACUGCUUGAACUUAACCCGAUCAUGUUUUCUCUUGUACUCGUAAAGCAUGCUGUUGUGGUUCUACUUAAUUUCGUUCUCCCCAAUGUUUGAGUGUUUAAUUGUUACGUUGGAUAAUGCUUGUAGUUAGAGAAGCCUUCAUUUAUAUCAAAGUCCUCAACUUGUAAAGAUAUCAAUGGUCCUAGUGCUGCCACGUGUAAGAAGAUUGAAGAAUAAAGCUGUUGAGAUAUUGUUAGACCUGUUAUGCAGUUUAGGAAAACUGUUAGUAUUGAUAAGAGAAGGUUAGAGAUGUUAGAGAGGUUAGAAAACACGUGAACAAGGCUUUAACUCAGCUGAUAUAAAGUCUGUAGUUGUGCUCAGUUGAACUUAAUGAGAAAUACAACAAGUCUCUUCUCUAUCUCUGAAAUUCUCUCUGCUCUCUCUGCUUUACUUCUUUUGUCUCUGCUCUACAUUUUUUUUCAAUCUUCCUAUCUUAACAAAACUAUCAAGAAUUAAUGCAUCCAGAAACAUAUAUACCAAGACGCAAAACAACAUAUUUUUCAUGCUCUGUCUGUAACACCAAAGCAAACUUCCUUUAUCACAAAAGGAUCAAAUUCCAGUACUAAUCUAAUCCAUCAUGUAAAGCAUACAAUCUACAAGUGCCUCCCUUAAUUUGUCCAUUGGAUAUAUAUGUCACUUUUUGGUAAUUUGGUAUAGCAGCACCACGUAGUCUUGAAAUAGUAGUGCGGCUAUACCAAAUAUACCAUUUGCCCCUGCAUUUAACAGAAAAGUAAACAAAAUUGACGGUAGAACUAUUUGUCCUAACGAAACUGCAGUUGAAAGACCAUGAGAACGAUUUUGAAAAUUGAGGGACUCAAAUGAAAAUUGGGUCUAAGUUCAAGAACCAAUAAAACGAUUAACCCAUAGAUUUUGGAUCCAGUACCACAUCCCAAAGAGAAAACCACAAGUUUGCAAGCAAGUUUGUCCAUAAUAACACUACGUACAGUAUGGGCAGUGCGCUAGACUCAUCUCACUUUCUCAACCUAUCCUAUAGUUGUCUAAAAGAGUUUCUAAUUUAAUGUACUGAGAUUUACGAAAGAAAUAUCAGAGAAACAAUUUUCAGGCAAUAAAAAAAUGUCUUGGCAAGAAAAUGUACAAUUUGUUACAUAACUUAUUAAAUAUGAACAGUUGAAAGAAAAAAGAAUCUGGAUGAGGGAUUUGCAAAUUCCUAUGGCCCAAUUACCUUUUUUUCUUUGUUGUUUUUUUUUUUUUUUUUUUGGUUCUUUUGAUCCAGUAGCAUAUUCCAAAGAAUGAAAACCACAGGCAUGCAAUGCAAGCUCUUUUCCCACGUUUUCCUCUGUUUUUCUCCUAUCAUGGAAGUGAUUAAAACACACCUCUAAGCUUGUUUUGCGUUUGGUAGCCGAGUGUAAAAGCUCAAUGCAAGAUAGUUUGAGGUAGAAUUUUCUCCUAUUUUAUUAGGACAAUGAUAAUUAAAAAAAAGUGUGAUUCAUUGAAUAUUUGCGGGGUUUUGUUCAGACCUGACAAAGUUCUAAGUCAACACAUCAAAUUCCUUUUUCCAACAUGCAACAAUUGUAUUUGAUUCCCAAUUUUUUCUGAUAUACAUCACAUCAUGCCACUUGCAUCAAAUGAAUUUAAUUGAGUGAGGCAAUGGGAAGUAAUUAAGCUCUGUAUUCGUGGGUGGAGUGUUACUUCUGGAACCCUAAUAAUUCGUCCCUACAGGACUCUAGAACUCUCAAACUUCUUACAAGGACUACUUAACUCUAUAGCUUAAUGCAUAUAGCAUAUAUAUGCAAACACAAUUAGAAAUUCUACAACAGAAGCAAGAUCAAUCUCACUAUGCCUUCUAAACAAACAAACAAAUAAAACAAGCAUAUUAAUUGCUUUAAUCACUCUACUAACAUCAACACAGCACACUUAGUUUACUAACAGAUGAUAUAGAAAGGAAAAAAAAGGACCAAUAGGGAGAAAAUGGUGAACUAAGGAGAGACUAAUACUUCUGGUCCUUAGAAGGCAUAACAGAAAUAAUAGAGCACACUGCUUGAAUGCAAGUCAGUAUUAGGAGCAAAACAGCUGCAAUGAAAGAAAUAGUUGCCCAAGGUGUAUUGAAAUAAUGUUGCCUCAAAUUUGCCUUCCAUUUGUUCCAAGGCUUUCUGCAGUAGCUAUUAAGGCGCUCAGAAAGAAUAGCAAAGUAGAAGCUUUCACGAUACACUGCAAUUCCUUUUCCGAGGUUGUUAAUCAGAGUGCACACCUCAUUGUAGUCACCAAGCAUAUUUUUGACAAUCCCAUCCUUCAGAAGGAACUCCACAUCCUUUUCGGUGUUCACAAACUCAUCCAUGAGUGAAACAUAAUCACUUAUGUAAUUCUUACGGCAAUGGCACUAUUCAAAGGCAAUGAGGUUACGGAGUGUGAGCUCUGUGUAAUCGUGUAUUUUUAGUUUUGGAAUUUCUAGAAUCCCAUCGUUGAAUUGUGUUAACGCAGCUUUCCUUUCCUAGCCUACACGGAAGUCAACUUCACAAUCUCCUCCUAGCAAUUAGUCUUUCCUGCUGUAAAUCAGAUUUCCUACUGUAAAUCGGAUUGUAUUCAUGUCUAUAUUAUUUCCUACUUUAAGUAGAUAUCUUGUACUAGUAUAAAUAGGGACUUUGUGUAAUCUGUUAAAUACAAGGAAAUAUAUACUCUGCAUGGUAUCAGCCUAACCUAGGGUUCUCUCUCUCUCCCUUAUUCGAUCCUCUUCUCCUUUAGGUCCACCUCAUGGCUUUGUCUGAAUCCACCAUCUCCCUCCCAAGCCCCAACUCUUCUAUUUUAUCAAGCUUAUUGACUCCAACUAUCUUCUUUGGCUCCGCCAACUCAAACCCUUUUUAGUCGGCCAUGACCUCUGGAAAUUUAUCGAUGGCAUUCAUAAACAACCUUCUGCCCACACCUCCACCUCUACCACCGCAACACCCACAACCACCACCACUCUUACCCAAAUCAAUCAUGCCCAUGCUCAGUGGUACCAACAAGACCAACUCAUUGUUAGCUACAUCACCAAUACACUCUCUGAGUCCAUUCUCUUUCUCACUGUUGGUUGCACCUCUGCCCGGGAUCUCUGGGAGUGUCUCCAACGCCACUUCUCUCAAUCCAGUAUGGCCAGUGAAUCUACUCUUCGUUUUAAACUCAUGGAUUUGCAAAAAGGCUCUGAACCCACUUAUGCUUACAUUCGUCAUGCUAAGUCCUUUGCCGAUUCACUGGCUGCCAUCAAUGAACCUGUCUCCCCAAAAGAACUUGUCACUACUGUGCUUUGGGGUUUAAGACCCUAUUGCAACAUCCUCGUCACAGCAAUUCUCAAUUUCCCUCUGCUUCCUAACUUUGCUAAUCUUCGUGCUCGUUUGUUAGCAUUUGACGCACAGACUCCUUGAAUCUCUCCUGAUCAAAACACAGCGCAAAUGGCCACCCAAUCCUCUCCUCACACCACCGGUCAUACUUCCUUCCCUUCUCACCGUGGUGGUGGCUCUUCCAACAACAGGCGUGGUGGCCUCGGUGGCUGGCGCAAUAGCGGCCGGGGUGGCUGGCGCAGCUUCUCAUCUUCCUGGAGCAACCCGUGGAAUGGCUUCCAGCAGCUCCAAUGACCUAAUCAACCAUGGCCUCCUUUUGCUCCAAGUUCUGGAUCUCAAAGCAACUGGCCUUCCUUUCAGCCUCCUUGGGCCUAAUCUGCCGCUUCUAUCAAACACUUUGCCCGGCCCAACUCAGCUCCUGGUGUCUUGGGACCCGCUUGGUGCACUACCUGCAAUACCAAUCACAUACUACUACAAUAUGUCCUCAUCGCUACAAUGGCCCAGAAUCCUUUCUUUGCUAGGGCUCAAUUCAUGUAGCCACCUGACUCUACUUGGUACCCUGACACAAGUACCACUCAUCAUAUGAUUGGUAGUCCUUCUAAUCUCCAAAAUCAAUCCUUCUAAUCUCCAAAAUCAACAGCCAUAUCAGGUUCAUAAUUCUGUAUUUCUUGGUAAUGGAGAUUCUCUCCCUAUCUCUCAUACUAGCUCUCUCUUUUGUCUUCCAUCUCUUCGUACUAAUCUUCUUUUUGUUGCCCAUUUUACUUGUGAUAAUUUAGUUUUCUUUGUCUUUACUCUUGACUUUUAUCAAAUCUAUGACUUAUGUACUGGUUCGUUACUCUUUCAGGGCCCUUCUAAAGAUGGUCUUUACCCACUUUCCAUCUCCUCUCACUCAUCCAUAGUCCCCCAUGCCCUUACCACCGUGCACUCUCCUGCUUGGCAUCAUUGCCUUGGCCAUCCAUUCCAUCGUGUGCUCUCUCAUUUAGCGCCAUCUCUAGGCUUUAAAGUUUCUCAUGCUUUCUGUAAGGAUUGUGCACUUAGCAAAUCCACCAAACUGUCAUUUCUUAGUAAUAAAACCUUUGCCCCAUCUCCCUUUUAUUUAAUUCACUCUGAUGUAUGGAUGUCCUCGGUCAUUUCUGUCACUGGUUAUCGCUAUUAUGUCUUGUUUACAGAUGACUUUUCUCGUUACUCCUGGAUCUAUCAUAUGCACCGUAAAAAUGAGGUCUUUUCUCACUUUCAAACCUUUCUUGCUAUGGUUAAAAAUCAAUUUCACACCACUGUACAAAUUCUUUAAAGUGACAAUGGCACUGAAUAUGUUAAUAAUGCUUUCUCUGAUCUUUGCAGUCAACUAGGCAUCCACCAACGUUUCACAUGUCCCCACACUCCCCAACAAAAUGGCCUAGCUGAACAUAAACACAGACACAUUGCCACCAUGAUCUGUCCCCGGUCAUUUAUUCAACCAUCUUGACCUUUUGCUUGAUCAUUUUCCACAAGCAACCGUCCACGUACCCCAAUAAUUUAAAAGGGCUGAUGAUCUUUAAUUUGGUGAAAGCUUCUAUCUACCUACCGUGCUAUAUAUGAGCUAUGCAAUCGUGACCGUGUUACAUGACGUCCCAAUGUCGUAGGGAUAAAAAAAUAAUAGUCAUGGUUUUCUUAUUAAUGUCAAUACAUUCAUAGCAAAGAGCUUGUAGCUCUAGUGGUUAAGAGCAAUUACCCAUGCACUUGAGAUAUUUUGUGUUUAAAUCCCCUCUUCCCCAAUAUUUCUUGUAUAAAAAUAAAAAUAACAAUAAUAAUGACAUUAAUGUUGUAUUCUAUAAAGUGUUGGACAUGUUUUAUACCCCUUUCUUGCAAAUUACAGUUUGCCACGUGUACAAAAAUAAUAGAUAAGUGUUGGACAUCAAGAGCACUUACAUAUAGGUUUAAUAGGUAAGUUUUGAAUAUUUCUGUAUUUAGCUUUAAAUAUUGAAAAUCAACCUAUUAGCAUAUUAAAGAUUUGUCCAUAUUCGACGUACAUUCUCUUAUUUUUCUCUCAUUGAAGUAAAUACAAAACUAAGCACAUAGUGGGAAAGUGCGUCACGAUUAGGGGUGGGUUUAGUCUAGGUUGGUUCAUUUUUGGGCUCAAUUUGAACACCGAACUGUAAGCUUCGGUUUGGCUAUUUUGGAAACCGAAACCAAACCAUAAUUGAUGAAAACCGACCACUUCGAUUACCUUCUGGUCUUCCAACCAGAAGAAAACUCAAAACUUUAACCAUACCAAGUGCAACAGAAUUACACCAGGCUGGAUUCAAGUUUAUGAUGGUUAAAGAUAAAAACUUAUUUGACAUACAAUUUGAGAAUGGAAUCCUCAAAAUUCCACACCUGCGAAUACGGGGUUUAACAGAAAUUUUCUUCCGCAAUCUUAUUGCCUAUGAGCAGUGUGAGCUUCAUGAUCAUUACAUCAACGACUAUGUCUUCAUCAUGGACCGCCUGGUCGACAGUGCCAGGGAUGUGGAAUUGCUUGUGAAGAGUGGAAUUCUUGAAUCUAUGCUACCGGACAGCGAGGCAGCAGGGGAAUUUAUUAAUUCUCUUGACUUGGGGCCUAUUUUAGGCAAGCUUGAAACAAGACUAUUUCAGUUCACCAUGGGCUGGCCUGUCUAUUAUUGUAGCCGCUAUACUAGUUGUGCUCACAUUUAUUCAAACAGUGUGCUCCGUAAUGGCGCUGUAGGUUCUUCAUUUCCUCAAUUUCAUGUUUAGUGGUUGCAGAUUUGUUGCUCAUGUACGUGUUUAUCUAAAGUUAAAUAAGAGUGAUUGACUGGAUUGACUGUUAGUCUGUUAGUUUGUUUUUCUGGGGUUUUUCCCCCCUGUUCGUCAAAAAAAAAAAUAAAAGAGUGAUGGCUUGUGCCUAUGAAAAUUACUUAGGAGUAUGCUCCACAGAGCCAAAAUAAAUAAACUAGGGAAGUGGAGGUUCUUCUGUUUGUAUAUAAAUGAGCAAUUCAAACUCUCAGUGCCAAGGGAGUUACCCUUGAUACAUUUGUUAAAAAUUAUAUAUUUGGUCUUACAUCAAACAAAUAAUUUGAAGGGCUUUUUUGACAACUGCUGACAGCGUUUGGCAGAAAAGUUUAGAAGCGCUUCUACGCUUCUAGAUCAUAAAAGUGCUUUACCAAAAAGCACUUAGAUUUCUUAUGAAAAUUUCAACAUUUUUAUAAUAAAAGCGCUUGCUAGAAGCACUUAUAAGCAGAAGUGCUUCAUAGAGAAGCAGUCCCAAACGAGCUUGAUUUUCAAAUGUGCUGCUUAAGAAGAAAUUUAAUACGUUUUGAAAACAAAAAAAAAUACGAAAUUUAAUACGUUUGUUUUACAAAUUGUAUUAAUUGUUAUCAAUAAUACUUGUGCACACCCACAACAUACUUCUUUCUUUCUUUAUUUUCCUUCAGUACAGUUCUGCCUUUCUUUAAUUAUUUUUAACGAAUGCAAAGAGUUUGUCACAAAAUCAAGGAUUGAAAAAAAAAGAGAGUAAAUUAUGUGCUAGAGAAACUUUCCUGCAGAAAUUGAAGAACAACUCUAGUUUCUCUCUUUCGCCUUGUACUCCCGCACUGAGGUUAGUAUUGUUAUAAUGUGCAGAUUAUACGGUCACUCUUGUAUAAUGGCGAGAAGGCUCUAAUUAUAUUUUUGAACCUCUUUGACAGGACCCGCCCCGAAUUUCCCGAAACCCAAGACGAAUUCUGUGGAAAUUCCCUACAUCACCCCGAUGUUGGGCCCACUUCUAAAACUAUAUCAUUUUUCCUAAAAAGGAAUAAGGGCACGAGACUUUCUACCGAAAUUUCGGCAGAGUCUCUCCUGUAAAUUGAACAUUUCCCAAAAUUUCAACCUGCAUAAAACACAUUUUAUAUUACCCAACUGGCAGCAUGCACAAAAUAAUAACAUGCAAUUCACAUAAACGGCCUCUGGCCCUCCGGUAAUUCAGAGCAAUGCAAACUAGCAACUCUAAACCUAAUAAAACAACAUAAGUAACAUUUAGCCAGCGGCUGCACCCAGGCACUACCCUAGGCUACCUACGUACCCUUACUAAGGGAUCAAGCCACACGUAGUUCUUUCAUACAAAAUUUCCAAAUCCAUCAACAUGCAAUCAAUUACAGAAUCCCAAACAAAAUCUUUCUCAAACAUCAUUAGUUCCCAACUCAGUAUAAUAAUCCUUAAUUCAUCUCUGUAAUAAUCACAAUAUCUCCCCAUACGCCGGAACUACCAACACCACGUAUGGAGCCUGCCUGUACGCCAGAUAACCAACGACACGUGGGACCUCAUCAUCAUAUCACAUAAUCUCCCCAUACGCCGAAACUACCAACACCACGUAUGGGGUCUGUCAACACGCCGGAUAACCUACGACGUGUGACCUCAACAUCAAAUCACAAUAUCUCCCCAUACACCGGAACUACCUACGCCACGUAUGGGGUCUGUCCACAUGCCGGAUAACCUACGACACGUGGGACCUCAUCAUCAUAUCACAUAAUAUAUUAACGAUCAAGAAAUAUCACUACGGUCAUUUAAUCCUCCUGGGAAGGUAAAACUAUCUCAGGAGACUCACGGUCAACCAAGGGUCAAACUACCUCAUACUUGGACAAACGAGCCCACGGAGCCCACAACCUCCGUUUUACUAUCCAAGAGUUCCUAUAGGUUCUACAAGGUUUAGGAUACACGGCUUGCAAGUUUGGUCAAGAUCAGACGGUCGGAUCGCUCACGAUAGGACGGUUACUGCAAACCUAGCCCUAGGGUUGGCAUUUUCGGAGUAUCCGAAACUCCGUUUUACGAUCUGUCGAAUCAUAGACGAUCCUAAGGAUUUGCAGACUAACUAUAAUAAAUUCAAGACCAUCCAACGGUCUAAACCUAUCGAACCCGGAUAACGCGCAAUAGGCAAUAUCCAAAUUGAAAUCCGAGCACACCUACGCACUCGUGAGGACUAGGAGAUUACAUCGGGACAUAGUGCCCUUUUUCUACAGUGCCCAUGAGCCGCCGCACGCACCAGCAACGCGUGGGUGCCCAAAGCGAUUAUGCAUCGCCAAAAAAUCUCAAAACCACGGCUCAAGACUCCUACCCUAGGUAUAACACCCUAUUUGGAACCACUUUUGUUCUUGGACCUACCCCAAAAACUGAUCAGAAGUGGCCGGAAUGGCUGAAAUGUAAUUCAAAAAUCAAGCUACCAACGCUCAAAAUCGAUGCAAUCCUACCCAACCAUCAACUAGAUUAUGAAGAAUGGAUAAAUUUCCAUACCUUGAUCGCCAACAAUGGCGGCCGGAGGAGAGAGAUCUGAUCCGGCGAAGUUCGAGUGAAAACGGCCAAAAAUCAUCUUUUUCAGGCGGCUGGAGGGCGACCGAUGUCAGGGAAGGGCAGGGUCGUGACGCUAAGGCUGAGCCUGUCCUUUUGGCACCGGUCCCUUCCGCAGCCGUGUCCGGUGGCUGGAGUUUCGAAGAGAGAGAGAGAGAGAGAGAGAGAGAGAGAGAGAGAAAUCUGAUUUUUAUCAAACCUUUUUGCCAAAAUUACGGUUAUGCCACUGAGGGUAUUUUGAUAGUAUCUCUCUCGUUACAACUUCGAUUCGAGCCCACCACGUGUGUACGGACUCAUCUAACUGUGUUGUACGCAACGGUAUAGUCGAAAUUCCCAAAUUAUUUCCUUGUCAAAAAGUCAACUUUAAACAUUAUAAAAUAUUUUAGGGAAAAAAUGGUAUUUUCUCUCAAUAAAUUAGUAACUAAUUUAUUUAGGACUGGGUCAUUAUACUCUUUUUCGCUUCAAUGGAUGGGAAAAAAUUUUAUGUAAUAUCCCACAUCGACCAACGAAGAGGGGGCGAUGUGUCUUAUAUGUACAUGCCCGCCUCCAUCUAGCAUAAGGCCUUUUGGAAGCUCACUGGCUUCAGAGUCAUGGGAACUCCGAAGUUAAGCGAGUUGGGGGCUAGAGCAAUCCCAGGAUGAGUAACCCACUGGGAAGUUGCUCGUGAGCUUCGAGAAACAAAACCGUGAGGGCAGAGAGAGGGGCCCAAAGCGGACAAUAAGGCCUCGUGCUAGAUGGAGGCGGGCAUGUACAUAUAAGGCACAUCACUCUCUCUCCGUUGGUCGAUGUGGAAUGUUAGAAUGGAAUUGUUACCUUUGGUGUGGAGGUGUUCUAUCAUUUGAGCAAGAAAUUCCCACAUAUUCUUCAACUAUUUUUCAAGCAUGCAUAUUCCUCCCUAUCAAUCUUUGGUUUCUUCCUUUACUGUGCAUAGUAAGGAUCCAGUCAGGGACGGACCGUCGCUAUGACUAUCCUGGGCUAUAGCCCAGGCAAAUUAUUUUUUUUUCUAGUCUAAAAUAGCAAUCCCACCGCUUGCUGUAGUACUUGUUCAGUUCGUCACAAACAUGAGCAUAAUAGAAGUUAUCAACAUCUAUAUAGGAACCCCAAUGAAAAGGCUGUUAACUAAUAAUGAAGUUAACCCGUCAAUUUUUCCGCAUAUCAGAUAUCUCUCAGAAUAUGCGAUUCCAUAUUCAAUAAGCCACUCCACAUGCCCUGAGGUUUUCAUCAAACCACCCAUUAAGGAAACAUACUGACUCAUGUAAUUAUCAUUACUCAUCGGGUAAUGCAAUUGUUCAAAGGCAAGGACAUUUCUCAUUAUUUAUGUAGCGAACCCCAAUGGAAAUGGUGGGAUCUUCAGAACCCCAUCGGUGCUACUGAAUUGUAUGUCAAAUAUGUUUUCACCUUGUCACGCCUCAAACUUGACUCCAGCGUGCUGUAAUUCUGUCAAGCUGGGUAUGGAUGAUGGGAGUUUGAUGCAGGAGCAUAGGGGUGGAUCAAGAUAGAUAUUUACUAUUUAAUUAGUUAUUUCAUGAUAUAUUGUUAUUUUCUUAUUUAGGUAGUUUUAUGAUAUCUUUUAUUAUUUAUGUGUGAUUUUAUAAUUAAUUAGUAUACUUUUGGACCAAGUAGCCUUGGUGCUCAAGUCUUGUAAAGCCUAUAAAUAAGGCUAAUGUAAUAGUUGUAGAAUAGAUGUCGAUGAUUAAUAAAAUCGUUUAUUUGUGGCAUGGAUUUGCUACGAUAUAUGUGAGUUUGCACUAGCCCUAGAUUUCAGUGCUCGUGUAUGUGGUUGGUGACCUGUGUCCGGAUCCCGAUCCCCAUCAAUUGGUAUCAGAGCUAUGGCUCAAGAUCUGCUAUAUCGGGGAGGUUUUUGGAUGGAGGGUCGUUUUAACAACUACAACGACAUGGAGGAAAUUAGGAGGAUGCUACGGCAACUUAUGGAACACAUUGCUCGCAUUGAAGCUCGAACCCAGAUAGGUAAGAGUUCUGACGGGGAGGGAUGUGUGAACCCUUAUCUGAACCGAGUAGCUCGCAUCGACACUCUAAGCCGUGAGAGUCUCGACGGGGAGUACGAGGGAGAUAGCCCUUUUCAUUAUUGUGCUCCGCUGUGUGAGUCAAGUGAAGAGGGGCACGGUUAUUCUCAUUGUGUCUUUGAAGGUAUAAAUGAAUUUAGUAAUUUUGGUGCAUCUUGUUAUUCAUCAAAGUUAUUAAAUUUGGAUUUACCUCCAUUAUUUGAUCCUUGCAAUUGUGAAAAUUGCAAUAAAAAUUGUUUGGGUGUUCAAAGCAAUUUUGAUAAGCAAUUUAUUGACCAGAACAGUGAAGAGAUGAGAAUUGAGAAAACUUUCGAAGAUAUUAUUGAUUUUAUGGGCAUUAAUAUUUUCACUUGGAAGGUUGCCAAAAAUCUGGUUGAUUUUGUCAAUCGGUUGAAGAUUCUAGAGAGAAACAUUUGCAUUGCUAGAGGGAGUAAGAAGUCAAGAAUAACGAAAUAUUCCAAAUAUCUUUUUAUUUGGAAAGGAAGGUUUCAAUUGGAUGCUAAAAGAUCCAAAAUUAAUAUGCAGCAAUUGAAGAUUCUACUCGGAUUUUCCUUAAUCAAAGGCUUGAAUUCGAGGACGAAUUCUUUCCAACUAUGGGAGUCUGAUGCAGGAGCAUAGGGGUGGAUCAAGAUAGAUAUUUACUAUUUAAUUUGUUAUUUCAUGAUAUAUUGUUAUUUUCUUAUUUAGGUAGUUUUAUGAUAUCUUUUAUUAUUUAUGUGUGAUUUUAUAAUUAAUUAGUUUACUUUUGGACCAAGUAGCCUUGGUGCUCAAGUCUUGUAAAGCCUAUAAAUAAGGCUAAUGUAAUAGUUGUAGAAUAGAUGUCGAUGAUUAAUAAAAUCGUUUAUUUGUGGCAUGGAUUUGCUACAAUAUAUGUGAGUUUGCACUAACCCUUGAUUUCGGUGCUCGUGUAUGUGGUUGGUGACCUGUGUCCGGAUCCCGAUCCCCAUCAGAGUUCCCCUCCAGCUUUUGAUUCCAACGGUUGAUAGAGUUUAAAUAUUUUCCUGAAAAGAUCAAUAAUAUGUGCCACUGAUCUAAAAGUCUCCAAAUUGUCUUCCAAUUUGUCAACAGGCAAUAGAUGUUCGAAGAAACUGAAAGAAAUACAAAUUAUUGAAAGCCCCUCAGUAAUGCUGUUAUUGUCAGCAUUAGCAGGGAGUGUAAUUUUCUGUGGGUCGAAAAGAUCCUCGAGAAUGAAGAAUGGCAACUGAUUUUCAAGCAACCACGUAUCUGUCCAUGCAUCUUGCAACAUACCUGGUUUGUCAAAUAUGCGGUCAUUUUCGUCCCAAAAUUUGAAGUAGUCCUUCAAUAAGGGCUCAAUAACGAAGGCGGCGCCCACUAGAAUGAUUGUUACAAAUUCAUCACUGCUAAACUUGAUGGGUUCUCCAUAACAACGUCUCAAUCUUGCUUCGUGGUCCUUUAUUUUCUUAAUAUAAUCCUCCAAACUCACAUUGGUCCGACCUAUAAAAUCUUGCAGGUAUCUCUGUUUGUUCUCUUCCAAUACGACAUUCAAGCCUUCCUUUCCAUGGUGAAGUGGACCUAUAGAGACCGACUGCCUGAGGUGUGCAGAGCUUUUCAUUCACACAUACGUAGAUAAAAUGUCUGGGGGCUCAGAGAGUGAUGAAUGUGCAACAGCUAAUGGGAGGGUUUAUAUUCCUGAAGUAAGAAAUGAGGAAACACCAGCAGUUGGGAUGAAGUUUGACUCGCUUGACCUCGUUUACAAUUUCUAUAAUAGAUAUGCAUUCUUGGCUGGCUUUGGUAUUCGACUUCAUUCUAGCUUUUGGGGGAAAAAUAAGAAAGAGAUUUUGAGGAAAGAAUUUGUAUGUUGCAAACAAGGUGCAUACAAGAAGGAUGAAACUCGGGAGAGAAAAAGACAACGGGGAAUAAGUAGAUGCAAUUGCAAAGCAAAGAUUGUGGUUGUGAAGACAAAUGGGAGCAAGAAGUAUACCAUUUCUCUUUUUGCAGAGGGACACAAUCAUAAGAUGACACCCUCAGAAAGAAUGCAUUUAUUGAGAUCACACCGUCAUAUUUCAGAUUCUACAAAAGUACUCACAAAACAGUUGGGUUCAGUUAAUAUUCCCAUUCAUCAGAAGGUAAGUAUAUUCGAGGUGCAAUCCGGAGGAAUGGAUAAAAUCGGUUUUAUCAAAAAAGAUAUCUACAAUCUUGAAUGUAGUGUGAAUGGGAAGCUGAGGAACCACGAUGUUGAACUAGUGACCGAGUAUUUUAUGGCUGAACAGAAAAAAAAUGAGGCUUUUUAUUUCAAGAUUGAGGGAGAUGGGCAUGACAGGUUUAGUCGAUGUUUUUGGGCAGAUGCAACUUCUAGACGGGCGUAUGGGUUUUAUGGAGAUGUUGUUGUAUUCGAUACCACAUUCAACACGAAUCGAUACGACUUGACAUUUGCACCAAUGUUGGGAGUUAAUAACCAUGGUCAGACAAUUGUCUUAGCAUGCGCAUUUUUGAGCAAGGAAACGACUGAGUCGUUUGUUUGGAUGUUUGAGGAGUUUAAGAAAGCCAUGCCAGGUGGGGAACCUAAAACGAUCAUUACAGAUCAAGAUGCGGCAAUGGCCAUAGCGAUUUCAAUAGCCUUCCCGAGUACAUUUCAUCGACUUUGCAUAUGGCACAUCACAUCAAAGUUCUCUGUUAAGUUACCACGUGACGCUUAUAAGGAGUAUUGGCCUGAAUUUCAGAAAGCCAUAUGGGAUACUGACAAUAAGGAUGAGUUUGAUGCAAAAUGGAAUAUUGUGGUUAUAAAGGCUGGUUUGACUGACCAUCCAUGGCUAAGUUCAAUGUUUGAUUUAAGGGAAUCUUGGGUUCCAGCCUACGCACGACAAUUUUUUGCCGCUGGAAUGUCAAGCAGCCAAAGAGCGGAAGGUUCUCAUGGUUUUUUCAAGCAAUACAUAUCAAGGAGAAAUUCGUUGAUGGAUUUCAUAAUACGAUUUGAGAGGGCAUUUUCUCAUCAACGUGAAAAAGAGUUAGUUGCUGAUCACGUAGAUGCAUUUGAAGUGGCUCAAUGUCUUCUACCGAUGCCAAUGAACAAACAAAUGGCUACCUUGUACACAAGGACAAUGUUUCAAAAGUUUGAGCAAGAACUAAUACAAAGUACAGCAUGUUUCCUAGAGCUCAAAACAGAGGAUGCAUGUAAAGUUGUGUUCAACGUGAGCGAAAGGAAAAAUUGGGAAACAAGAGUGGCAGAAGUCGUAUAUGUCAAAGAUUCUGACCACGCAUCGUGUAGCUGCAAAAGAUUUGAAUUUGUUGGAAUUAUUUGCAAGCACAUCCUAGCAUUGUUCAGAAGGGACCAGAUUGAAUAUAUGCCCGAUAAAUAUAUUUUGAAGAGGUGGAAGAAAACUGCGAAAUGUGGAUUGGUGUCAGAUGCAAAUGGCAACGAAAUUAAAGACUGUGCAGAUCCUGGCCUUCUAAUAAAGCGGAGUACAAUGUCUCGACUUGCUUCAAAUGUGGUUGAGGAUGCAUUAAUGAGUGAAGAAGGAUGUGAGCUACUGUCAGAGACUCUAAAAAGUUUGCAGGUGAAGUUGAAGUUGCUGAAGGAUGGACCAAGUAAUAACGAAGUUGGAGGGUCCAGCUCUCAAACACAAUAUAUGAAAGACCCUAAGAGAGUGAGGUGCAAAGGAAGGUCGAAAGGAAUAACGGGAGCAAAGGAAAAGGCAAUGAAGCGAGGGAUUAGACACUGUCGGGAGUGUGGACACAUUGGUCAUGAUAGAAGACAAUGCCCAGCCUUGAACACACCGUAAGAUGCUACCACUAUUUGUAAUAAUAUCUAAAAUAUGAAAAGGUAAAAUUUUUAUGUGCUUGUGUUUGAUGUUUAUGCAGGACAUCACCGUCGAACAAUGACAAAUCAACUCCAAUACAUCGUAGUGACCCAUUAUUCGACGAUUUUGACAAGAUGCACAGACCAACUGAAUGAUUGAUAUUUGUAUUAGACGAAAUGUGGUUGUUAUGAAGAUUAAUGAUCAAGUGAAGUUUUAUAGAUUCAGUUUUUGAAUGUUAUUGUGUUUUUGUUCAUGUCCACCGAUGAGCUCUUACUAUGUCCACUGGUAAUUGAAAUGAAAAUUUUCUUGGUUUCAUUCUUCCAAGACAUUUGGAGACAUGUUAAUUUUACGUCUUCUCCCUAUUUAUAAAUUUUCAUAGACAUUUGAUCAAGUUUGAAAUUUGUAGUUAUGUGAAGAAGCAAUGACUCUUACCAUGUAAAAUGGGCAGUUUAGGGUGAAAUUUGUUUUAACAGAGAUUCAUUUUUCAAUUCCUCAGGGUAAUGCAGCAAUUACAGCAGCCAGCUGUUGUUUCCAUUACCAGUAAUCAUUUCCAGCAGCAGCCACUUUUUCCGACUGGUUAUUAGGGGCACGAUUUUGUACACUUUUGUAAGUGAAGGAUACUCGAAGCACUUUGUUGGAACAGAGCAAAUAGAAACCAGCGGGUAAAAAAAAAACAUAACAUUGCAGCUAAUUACAUUUCGAUACAUAGGUGAAAAAUAUUAAAGGGUACACUAACUUACAUAAAUACUCAUAAUUCCACACACAAAAGAACAUUUGAUUGCAAAACAUAUUAUGUGCUUCCUCAUAGCAAUACCACGAUCUCCCCAACCAACUGAACAACGGUAGCCACAAUCACUGGGUCGUACUCGUCAGCUUCUUCUUAGCAGGUCUCACAUGCUUAUGGCCACUCAUAUCCCUAGUGAUAUACACGAAAUAAAUCUUCAGCAAUAUUUGGAAUUUUAUUAUAUAUAAAUAAACCAUAAACCAUUCAGUAAACAAUGUAUAGCACAUGUUAUGUAACUUAUGACUCACGUGUCAGUUUUUUUUUUAACACAUUAGUACUCCAGCUCUUUAAUGUAAAUGGACAUGAUAAGGAGCAUUUACUGAUUCCCGGCUUUCUAUGAUAUUGACUGCUUCUUGAAUAAUAUUUCCAUAUUUGCAAAAUAUAAUGUUAGACAUUAUAACACAUGAUGACUUGCAAUACAUAGUCCCAAUAAUUAUAUAUCAAGCAAAUGAAACUGAUAUUUGUGUUAUUUUAAGUUAGAUAAUGACAUUAAGGGAGUAUAUGUGCAAUACCACGGUCACCCUCAACCAACUGAACAGCGGUAGCCGCAAUCACUUAGUCGUAUCGGUCGGCUUCUUCCGAGCAGCUUUGACGUGCUUAUGCUCAUUCAUGUCACCCCCAUCGUCUAGUAUCUCUCUCACAGCAUCAGGGGACACAUAGUUCCAAUCAUAACUUGUAUGAGUAGUUGCCGCAAAUGCUCGGAAUUUGUCGAAUCCUUCGUUGAAUGCCAACUCCAGUUCAGUAUGGUGCUCUUCGCAUCGCAUAUGGUUCAUCAAACAACCUUUGAUUUCAUCAUUCAUUACUGUAUCCAACUCCUCAGCUUUCAGCUUCCUGCUAUGACUCAGCUUCAAGUACUUGUUCUUUUGGGAUAACGCUUUGUUCACCCUAAUGUUAAGAUCAGCCAAAAUUGCCUCGUCUUCAACACAUUUCUCGUGCCAUGAAUUGAUCAGUCUGGAAUUAUAAUCCAGCUUGCCACUGACUGCAUGUAUUGCCUGUAAUGGAUCAUCGGAGUCCCCCUCACUCCCAAAUGAUGUUGAAAAAGGAAGGGGUCGGCGAGUACAAUGUGGAAAUAGAACCUGCCACUCCAAUUUGUCAUCUUCGAUUGUGUUGUUGGCGCCUGAAGAGGUUGACAUGCUUGAAUAAUCCUCUUUGUUUUGGGAGGAUGAGGAUUGCAUAUGCAAUUUCGUUUGAGAAAGGGAACAUAGGUUUAUAGACCAACAUACCAAAGCUUGUGUGUAGUCAACAUAUGUACUUUUUGGCGGGAAUUUUUUAAAAAUAGGUGUUAGGUUUUGCUUUUCAAGCAUGUCAACCUCACACUCUCCUGACACCACUGCUAGUGGUUGAAACAAAGUCAAUGGAAGUGACAUCUACUUAGUUAACUCAACCAAACUAGUUAGGAUUAAACUUAGAUUGUAUCAGACCAAAAAAUAAUUUCUACUUUGUCAACCAAAUAUUUUUUGGCGGGAACCCUUUUCUUGGUAUUACUAUCACCCCUUUCAUAUAAAAUCUCCUUCCACACAAAACUCACUCCUCCACCGAAUCUGUCUCCAUCUACCGAUACUCUCUCAAGCAAACAAACUCAUUCCCCCCAAAGAAUGAGCAUAAGCACAACCAAGUUUGAUGUGAGCAUAAUAAACACCCCUCCAAACAAAGACCGGCUUCGACACGCAAGUGAGUCACCGGACAAGCAAUGUCACAUUGCUAGACAGAAUGACCAUUUUGUUGGAAGUUUUGAGUCUGAAAGAGUUGUUGCUUUUUGGAAGGAGAGGCAUCUUCAACUUGGUGAUGAAAUCCAAAGGGCAAGGGCACGUUUGGAAUUUGUGGAAGGCCAAAUUGAAGAUGACAAAAGGCAGGCCAAUCUGGAUAGGGCGAAGUUGUAGCGCAUGAAGCGUAGACACAAACGACUUCGGAGUGUAGCUGUUCAAAAAUACAAGAACUCAUCUAAUGUAGUGGAGUCAAAGAAGCGUGUGAUGCAAGCUGGAUUCGACUACUUCCGAUCCUAUGCAAAACUCGUCGUACCCGGGUUUGAUUGGUCAUCUAUUACCGUUUCCGACGUCACCAAAUAUACUCAGCAAGGGAAGUAACCAUUUUGGUUCUCGUGUUUUAGCAGAGGCAAAUAAGUGGAAUUGGAAUUUUGGUUACACUCUGCUUCAAAGCUAUUUUGAUGCUAACUACUAUGGAAGAUUUAAACCUUAAUAUUUUGAUGUCUUUAAUUACGAAAACAGAAGAUGCAAAGAGCUCAUCUACUUCAGCCAUAUGUUGCUGCCAUGUCCAUUUGUUUUUGAUCACUUAUCAGAUUUGGACAUGGUUGCAUCAUAUGCAAUGUUGCCUUUAUUUAUUAUAUGUUAGGACAAGGUUUAUGGAAAAGCUUUUGUGAGUGCGUUUGUGACAAGGUUAUGGAAUUAUUAUGUACACUUUAUAUAUUGUUUUUUGUACUGGUUCAUUUCCUACUAUUUCUUGCUUUCUUUAUAUUUUAUGUUUGUGGAAUCCCUCUCAAAGUUAACAUAUACUGUGAAAAAAAUAUUAUGCAACUGAUUAUAUAAUCACUCAUAUAGACUAGGACAAAUAUUCACUAAGGGUUUUAAACUUGCUUCACUUGUGUGAUGUUAUUGACAAAAAGUAUGGCAUUAUUUAUGUGAUUUGACAUGAUUGAAAAUAUAUUACUGAUUCCCAAUGCGGCGUCAUAUGGACAACGUAUUGAAUACCUGUGACGUGUUAAUAACUCAAGGUGCAGUUGCAUGUGGACAACUUCUUGAAUACCUCUGACGUGUUGAAAACUCUAGGUGCAGUUGCAUGUGGACAACUUAUUGAAUACGAACUGACGUCUUCAAAGCUCUAGGCGUAGUUGCAAUGAUGGCUUCAAAGCAUGUGCAAUUAUUUUUUAUGUACAUUAUUAUAACAAAACAUAUUAUUGUAUAUAGUGAAACUAAAUAUUGUAUUAUUAGAAAUUAUAUUUCGAAUAUUAUCCGAAAUAUACGUGUUAACGUGAAUUUGGGUUAAGAGGAAAGUGAGUUAUGUACAAAUAAUUUUCAUUUUCUCAUUUUCCGGGCAUUUUUUGGAUUUUCGUAGAAUUUAUUACCUAUGUCCACAGAUUGUUGCACUAAAAAAGCCAAAAUAAUAGCAAGAGGACACCUGGAGCGAUCUCAGCCCGUCACUGAUGACUACUUGCACAAGUGUACGUCAGUCAACAUGGCCACACCCUCCCAUUUUACCCUAAAUUAUUAUUUUAUUACUUUUCCUUACAAAAAUCAGAACUAAUUACACACAAAAUAAAAAAAUUAUCCGAAAAUUGCUACGAACUCAUUGACACUCCAUCUCCGUUGCUGAAUUCUCCGAUUCAUUGUUACGUAUUUGUAAAAUUAAUUCCCAACAUUAACGGGAGAUGCUUGUUGAAGUAGGUUAUUCAAGUUGAAGUUAACAAACAUCAAUACUUAGGGUUAAGAGGAAAGUGAGUUAUGUAACACAAUUUGGAUUAUUUCAUUGCGAGACGAAUGAUUUAUAGGUUCUCCUAGUUUUAUGACGUCACAAGUAGGCCGGAGUAAUUUUUGGGGCAUUUUUACGAUUUUCCUACUAUUUUUUACCUAGUUUCAAAGAUUUUUGAACAAAAGAAUCCAAAAUGUAAAAGAAGAUGACACCUGGCGCGAUCUCAGCCCGUCACUUUUCACUACUUGCACAAGUGUACGUCAGUCAACAUGGCCACAUCCUCUCAUUUUACCCUAAAUUAUUAUUUUAUUACGUUUUGUCUUGGAAAAUUCAUAACUAAAUACACAAAAAUUCAAAAUUAUUUCUGAAAAUUGCUACGAACUCAUUGACACUCCAUCUCCGUUGCUGAAUUCUCCGAUUCAUUGUUACGCAUUUUUAAAAUUAAUUCCCAACAUUAACGGGAGAUGCUUGUUGAAGUAGGUUAUUCAAGUUGAAGUUAACAAACAUCAAUACUUAGGGUUAAGAGGAAAGUGAGUUAUGUAACACAAUUUGGAUUAUUUCAUUGUGAGACGAAUGAUUUAUAGGUUCUCCUAGUUUUAUGACGUCACAAGUAGGCCGGAGUAAUUUUUGGGCCAUUUUUACGAUUUUCCUACUAUUUAUUACCUAGUUUCAAAGAUUUUUGAACAAAAGAAUCCAAAAUUAACAAGAAUAUGACACCUGGCGCGAUCUCAGCCAGUCACUUUUGACUACUUGCACAAGUGUACGUUACCGAACAUGGCCACAUCCUCCCAUUUUACCCUAAAUUAUUAUUUUAUUACCUUUUUUCUUGGAAAAUUCAUAACUAAAUACACAAAAAUUAGAAAAACGAUCCGAAAAUUUCUACGAACUUAUUGCGAUUUCAUCUUCCUACUGCAUUCCCUGUUUAAUGGUUAUGCUACAUUAGUAUUUUAUUAUUAUUUAUCCACAAUUAUUAUAAUUAUUAUGAUAUUACUUUUUAGGCUGUCCAUUUGUUAAUUAUACCACAUCCAACUUGUUGAAAACAAUUUUAUUUUCCGUGCGAAUAGGCCAUUUGUAGUGCUUAUCGGUUUCUCUGUUCUUCAAUUUGUUAAUUUUUUUAUUUUUUAGGUUGAAGGGAUGUUUUGAAACAUAAUAUGGAAAUAUACAAGUCAUCCAUUGUACUCCUUCCACACAAAAAAAUAGUCUACGUCAUUCACUGUUCAACACCCUAGGUUAAGACACGUGUAACCAAAUCCGUUCGGAUAUGCUAAGUGGGAAAAUGUCAUUCCCAAGCACUGGUGAAAAGACACUUAUUUACUCCAUGCAUGACUUUUGGUUUACCAAAUAUGAAGAUUGGGGUCGGUGAGCAAAAUAUCUGUGUCAGUAAAAUGUCAUUCCUAGCCAUCUAUGAUGUAAGUAAUAAUUCCGCUAUAUAAUAAAUAUUAUACAUUUAUAUAUAAAACGGUUUAUGACAAAAUACCAACAUUUGAACAACAUUUAAACUGAGAUAGGUAUAACGUAGCCAGCCAACCUAGAAGUGAAGAGAAGCAAGUCCACAAUGCAUCAAAACUGUAAAUUCGUACUAAAACUAAUGCAAAAAUACGUGAUUCCCUCGCACAACUUACUCACGCAGGAUUUUGCACCAAAAAAUACUCUCACGGUGCCAUUUGCAUCGGUUGCAGCAAGUCCAAAACGCAGGAUUUAUCUUGUCUUCACUAGGCCACCCUGGAAUAACAAAAUACCAUUCAUUGUUGUUACAAGCGCUGCACCGAUUGAACUUAAUCUUCCCAUAGUCAAACAUAUCUACGAUAUGUCUUGCAACAAAUGCUCCGCGACAUCUUCCUGUUAAAGCAUCCCUGGUUCCUUUCAUAUCAAUGUUGUUACGUUGAUUCAAAGAACACAAGAAUUGUAAUGCAUCCUCUUUUGACUGACCAAUUCCGGACAUACCAAGUAGUCCAACUACAUAUGCCGCUUCCAUAUGGCCUGCCGUGGCUGCAAUGCGCAUCCCAUACAACGCUUCCACCUUACCGUCUGUGAAAAAACCUUCGAAUGCUUCUCUAAAUAUGGACUCAGGGUUAUCGCAAGCCCUGCAUUGUUGCAAGAAAUGCUGGACUGCAGGUUUGGCACGGUAGCAGAUAGGAUGGUGUGGGUACUUUGCCAUUGAAAUGGUGUUCCACACUUGUGGACUGUUUGCCAAAAUGUUGAACAAUCGGCACACACAUGCCAUACGGAAGAGAUCUUCCGAUGAUUCGGUUGCCACGUAUAACAUCACUUGAAACCAAGCGGACUCCGGGAUAAAGGCUUCGGGCAUAUCGAAAUGGAGAUGCUUCCUUCUCUUUCCUCCGACUGUAGUGAAGUGUUUCGAAUUCAUUGAAAAGUUUUUGGAAUGGAACGAUUUGAGGAGUGGCAGAGGGGAUAAAUGAUAAUAUUUGGGGUACACGUUCUACUUCCGAGCCUCUGUUUAUAGUGUUUUGAAAAGGUGUUUCCAGUUGGGGUUUUUCCAAGUUGACCCUUUUGAAAGAAACUGAAUCCAAGUGAAUUAAAACUUAAGACAAAAGAAGGGAAAACGUCAUAACGGUGCAUACAGAGUCAGACAGUUAAAAAGUUAAUUAAAUGGCUAUUUGCAUAGCCAUUUUUGGGUUUAUCCCACUAUCAAAUUCAUUGAUACAAAUGUGAUGGAUUACUGACUAGUGACAGAAGGUCCCAUCAUAUACUUUUUCAUUUUCGCACACCCAACUAUCCCUAGUAAUGUUAUUAAAAUGGAACCAAUAAUGACGGAUUCUUAUCCAACUAGUUGCCUUAAUGAAAUAUAAAUAAAUUAAUAAAAUUGAAGCAGUGUCCCGUCAUUAGUCAGAAAAUAUAUUUGGUAGUGAAGUAGUUUCUAUUGCUUUUCGGGCUAAAAGAUGUCACAAUGCUGACGGUACAGGUGUCGACAUCGUGACCAACCCACCAAAUGAUCCCAAAAAAAAGUAAUAUAACUCGAUUUGGGCAGAGAUGAGAGAGAGCUGAGUGACAAGUUUAGGGUUAUGAGUGAAGGGGUAUGAAUGACAACUAUGAGUGAGAAGGUAUGAGUCCGAAGAGGUUUCAGUGAGAAGAUUUGAGUGAGAAGAGGUACAACUGAGAAGAUUCAACAUGUCUUCGUCUUCAUCUCCUGCUCAAACAAAGAGGUGUCAGUAUUGUGGAGCUACAAUGGUGCUUCGGGUUUCAAAAUCUGAAAAAAAAUCGAGGGAAGCCAUUCUGGAAGUGUCUAACCUCCUAUGUAAGUUUUAAUUUAAAGAAUAUGUAUGUGGGUGAAAAAAAACCUAUGUCUAACUCUGACAGAAUUAUAUUCCAUAUAUGAUGCCUGCAAUUAGGGAGCCACCAGUUGCAAUGGAUUCGAAUGGGUUGAUGUAACCUCCGCUGAAGCAGAACAUCAAGAUGACACGUAUGAUGUUAGAGUGCUGAACAUGCUGAAGUCCAUUAAGGACUUGGUAUUAGUUUUAUUAGUUGUAUUAAUUGUCAUUUUAUUUGUUCUUUUAAUGAUCAUUUAACUGCACGGUUUAAAAGAUUGUGAAAGUUCUCUCGCACAAGACAUAUUGCACGCACCACCAAUGAGACCCUAAACCCAUUUUGUAAUAUUUGGUAACUGCAUGUAUUUCGCAUGUUAUUGAAUGUUUAUUGAAGGUUUAUUGAUAGUUUGCUGCAUGUAUAUGGAAUAUCAUUGCCCCAAAAUUGGAUGUUUAUUGGGGCCACAAGUAUCACUCAAGUAAGAAUGAAGGGGAGAAACGGACCUUAUUCUUUCUUAUAGUAGGAAGAACAACUGUUAAGUUUAAUAUCCUAUUCAAUACGACUUCCCUAUGGUUGGUGUACUUGGGGACUGAAGUAUAUUGCAUCAUUAUUGUGGGCAAGGGCAUGUCUAUUGUGUGUGUUAAGGGAGUAUUGUGUGGGCAAGGGCAUGUCUACUGUGUGUAUAUUGCAUGUCUACUGUGUGUAUAUUGCAUAUCUAUUCUCUGUAUAUGGCAGGCCAAGUUUGUGUAUAUUGUUUGUCUGUUGUGUGUGUAUUGCUUGUCGGUGCGUUUGUGAAUUGUGGUUCAUUUUGUGUAUAUUGUCUUUGUUUCUACUUUUAUGCUACUGAGCUGCGGAAAACCUCGCAUGUUUAGACACCUAUUAUGAUGCAACACAUUGCGAUUAAUGGUGGCUUGCAUCAACAAUGACAUAUCACUUUGCAAUGAUGUAAUACACUUAAAAAGCCGUCUUCAAAUCCCAAUUCACAUAUGCAGUCUUAAAAUUCUAAUUCAAUGCAGUUUGGUUAACAAACAUGUAAAUGUCAUGAAGGAGUUAGCGGUAGAAUUCGAUAAGGACCCGUACGUCUCUAUUGUGUAUUUACAUUAGUUUGAGAAUGGACAUUCCCAAAACCUUCUCAUGUACCAUUUGUCAUCUUCAACCAAUAUCAUGGGAAGUAAGCAUCUCCCCUUGUUAUCUCCGCAGCCAAUUUCAACCGAAAAAAAGGCAUGUUGUGCGAGGUGCAAGUAGCUAACGGAAGCUUAGCGCUGAAAAGCUCAAUGUACUUUAACACAAACAUGCCACAAUCGCCUCUGAAGCAAAACAAGAACUCGAUCAAUUCAACUAAUGACAUUCUAAUGUAAUUGACAAUUGAAAGUAAUAAAAUUAAAUUGCAAGUUGUGCUUACUCAUUAGACUGUUGUGGAACAUCCACACGCUCUAUUGGCCACGGACACCACCAAUCUCGGCUGCAAUUGUUUGCAUAAACACCUUCUUCAUAAAAGUCGAUGGUGUUGAGAAGAUUUGGAAGCGUAAUUGAUAGCGGGCCGAGUUCUUCCUUUACGAUGUCAUCUGGAAUUAGUGAAACCUUUGAAUCGUACACUUUGAUUCACACAAUACCAGAUCAAACANNNNNNNNNNNNNNNNNNNNNNNNNNNNNNNNNNNNNNNNNNNNNNNNNNNNNNNNNNNNNNNNNNNNNNNNNNNNNNNNNNNNNNNNNNNNNNNNNNNNNNNNNNNNNNNNNNNNNNNNNNNNNNNNNNNNNNNNNNNNNNNNNNNNNNNNNNNNNNNNNNNNNNNNNNNNNNNNNNNNNNNNNNNNNNNNNNNNNNNNNNNNNNNNNNNNNNNNNNNNNNNNNNNNNNNNNNNNNNNNNNNNNNNNNNNNNNNNNNNNNNNNNNNNNNNNNNNNNNNNNNNNNNNNNNNNNNNNNNNNNNNNNNNNNNNNNNNNNNNNNNNNNNNNNNNNNNNNNNNNNNNNNNNNNNNNNNNNNNNNNNNNNNNNNNNNNNNNNNNNNNNNNNNNNNNNNNNNNNNNNNNNNNNNNNNNNNNNNNNNNNNNNNNNNNNNNNNNNNNNNNNNNNNNNNNNNNNNNNNNNNNNNNNNNNNNNNNNNNNNNNNNNNNNNNNNNNNNNNNNNNNNNNNNNNNNNNNNNNNNNNNNNNNNNNNNNNNNNNNNNNNNNNNNNNNNNNNNNNNNNNNNNNNNNNNNNNNNNNNNNNNNNNNNNNNNNNNNNNNNNNNNNNNNNNNNNNNNNNNNNNNNNNNNNNNNNNNNNNNNNNNNNNNNNNNNNNNNNNNNNNNNNNNNNNNNNNNNNNNNNNNNNNNNNNNNNNNNNNNNNNNNNNNNNNNNNNNNNNNNNNNNNNNNNNNNNNNNNNNNNNNNNNNNNNNNNNNNNNNNNNNNNNNNNNNNNNNNNNNNNNNNNNNNNNNNNNNNNNNNNNNNNNNNNNNNNNNNNNNNNNNNNNNNNNNNNNNNNNNNNNNNNNNNNNNNNNNNNNNNNNNNNNNNNNNNNNNNNNNNNNNNNNNNNNNNNNNNNNNNNNNNNNNNNNNNNNNNNNNNNNNNNNNNNNNNNNNNNNNNNNNNNNNNNNNNNNNNNNNNNNNNNNNNNNNNNNNNNNNNNNNNNNNNNNNNNNNNNNNNNNNNNNNNNNNNNNNNNNNNNNNNNNNNNNNNNNNNNNNNNNNNNNNNNNNNNNNNNNNNNNNNNNNNNNNNNNNNNNNNNNNNNNNNNNNNNNNNNNNNNNNNNNNNNNNNNNNNNNNNNNNNNNNNNNNNNNNNNNNNNNNNNNNNNNNNNNNNNNNNNNNNNNNNNNNNNNNNNNNNNNNNNNNNNNNNNNNNNUUUUCCUCUCCCUCAUCUCUAUUAUUUGGCCCUUCACCCCCUUCAAUCCCUUCAUCUUCUUUUUCCUCUCCCUCAUUUCUGUUACUUGGCCCUUCAUCCCAUUGAAUGUCAUCCAUUUCCCCAUAUCCCUUAAAUAGAUGUGAGACGACACAACGAUUCGUCCUCUGUUUCAGUAAAGCUAGGUCCCUCCUUACUUCCUGCUCAAACUGAGGACCUAAACAUUGGUCCAAUAGUUUUUCCAUCCGUAUGACCUUUAAGUGAAGGACGUCUUUUUCCCGCUUUUCUUGAAACAACUCGGACCUCAACAAGCUUACCACCUUGUUCAACUCAUCAAGAUCACCACAUGAAGAAGGAAUUGACUCUGCCGAGACAACAGCAGGGCGAUCCUGUGGCCAACUCCAAUAUGGCUGUCUCAUUUCCUCUUCACUUAGACAUAGCGCCCGCAACUGAACUGACUGUUUCAGAAUACAGACAAGAGUCAUAUUAAAUCAUUCUACUUCAUAAUUUCAUUCAAUCUUAUCAAUAGUUCUAAGGGCUGCAAACCAAACCUCUUUGCUCUGGAAAAAAUAAUUGUUCAACUUUCUCAUCUCUGGAACAGACGUAGUAGUUCUCCAUCGCAAAAUACGCGGGACAGCGGUCGGAUCAACAACCUUGCAGUAAUUCAGGUCCGCCAUUCUAGGAAUUAAUUCAUAUACCCAAAUCUACACAAUUCACAGGACAAAAGUCAUUAUUUAUGUUUUAAAGAAAAACAAAACAUAACUGACAUGAACAUUAUUACCAUGUACCUGGAAAGCAUACGUGAAACCUUUAAAACUCCAGCCACUCCUUUGCGCUUCACUAUGCUUAUCCUUCUUGCCCUUCUCAUUUCUCCGGCUUGUUCCCGUUACCUUACUUUUCCCCUUCCCUCUUCCCUCUUCAUUUUCCAAGCUUUUCACAUACUUUGUUGGUGCAGAAAAUAGACUGUCUUGGGUUUUGUCAAAGGACACCGAACCCCACGGAUACCUGUUGAACGCAUCCAAGUCCUCUACAAGGGUCAGGUAAUUUAGAUUGAUGUUCAAAUGUUUGUCCCUUCCCAAAACCACUAACUCAGCAAAGUAAACAAGAGGUAGCUUGAAGAUGUCAUCUUCCUCUGUGCACCUCACAAAUGCUUCUUCUAAAGCAUUGCAUGUAAUUCCUUCGUCUAUAAAAUAUCUUUUCUGAAGUCUGAUUUCAUUACUCUCUCCACUGGAAACUUCAGGCACUUCCCCAAAACGAAGCCCUGUGAUCAAACAGAAAUCCUGACGAGUGAACUGAGCAACGUCACACCCUAAUAAGAAACUCAGUCCAUCCAAGUCUUUCACACCCUGCCCCGCUACUCUACGCAACACAACCCCAUGCACAAUCUGUCCGCUAAACUGAAUCUUAUCUAUAUUCAGAAGAUGGCCAAAGCAUGAUGUCUUGAAUUGUUCUAAUUGUUCCGCACUCAACUUCGCUCGAAUUGCAGCUAGAGAUGAAUUUGCAUGUGAGCAGUUGUUCACCCGUGAUGAAUAUACCUCUGCCUCUGGCCAUACCAGCUCCACGUUGGAUCCCAUUUCCUCAAAUACAAUGUGAAAUAACGUGAACAUAUAUACUACCACGUAUUUGCACAAUCACAACUAGUCAACCAGGCACAUUACAACUUUUACAAAGUACAUGAGCAUAUGGAUUACUCAUCACAGGCUUUAACAUCAUCAAAGCAAUAUGACAAUUUUUGUGCAAAUACCUGUUAAUGCAAUGAUUAUGUGAAUUACAAACAAUUUCACGUGUUUUAUUUAUGGAUCCAUACUCGUGUGAGUGCAAUGUAGGCAAGUUCUGCACUUCACACACAUGACAAUUAUUGUCAUCUCAUACACAACCCAAAAUAAAUAAAUAAGAAAUAUAGUGGAAGGAAGCAAAGCAAAGCAUGUACUCUGCUAUCUGCUUGCUAAGCAAUUGCCACAUCCUUCUUUCUUUCUACCUUUUUCUUCAGUCACCCACAAUCGUCAUAGAUCAACCUUCAUUUCAAAUGCUUUGCACUUUUAUUCAUGAGUUUAUUAUUAUCUGUUCUCAUUUCUCAUAGGCAAAUUUAGUAACAAAUGAAAUAAUAUUUAUUUCACAAAAUAUAUAAAUUCUAGUGCCAGAGAGGUACUCUUCACUCUGCACUGCUUCAAAUGUGGAAGGUUUUGAGAUGUUAUUGACAUGUGAUUGACUUUAUUUUCAUUCGUUUUUUAACAUAUACCCAAGCAAAAAUUAACAUGCAAUUGAAGCACAAAUAAGAGAUGCCAAAUCCAACAACAUUGAUGGUACAAAUUGGGGAAAACCAUUACUCUAACCCUAAACUCAAAUUCCUUACAUUACUCAUCAAAUGCUUUGCAGUUCUAUUCAUGAGUUUAUUAUUAUCUGUUCAAAUGUUUCUCAGGCAAAUUUAGUAACAAAGGAAAUCAUAUUUACUUCAUAAAAUAUAUAUAUAUAUAUAUAUAUUCUAGCGCCUCUUCUUAAUCUGCACUAUGCACUGCUUCAAAUGUGGAAGGUUUUGAGGGCCUCCUCCAAUUCAACACCAUUAUCUUAUUCAUAUCAUUAUUGACAUGUUAUUCACUUGUUAUUGACUUCAUUUUCAUUCUUUUUUUAACAUAUACCUAAGCAAAAAUUAACAUGCAACUGAAGCACAACGAAGAGAUGCCAAAUCCAACAAAAUUUAUGGUACAAAUUGGGGAAAACCAUUACUCUAACCCUAAACUCAAAUUCCAUAAAUUACUCACCAAAUGCUGGUUAUUGCAAGGUGUCUGUGUGGGGUCUUUCUGUUUCUUUGCUCCACAAAUGGAACCUACCACUUCCAACGAAUACAGCUUUUCCCCUUCCCCUUCCACUGCUUCGCCUCUUCACUGAUUUGGAAUCCACACCUUUGCCCCUUCUACUCCAAAUAAAUACUUUCUCGGGGUCUGGAGAACGGAGUGGCGAAUCGUUGCCUUCAACUGUCGUUAGCCGUUGCCUUCAUUGGGUAUCUCAGACCUCUGUGUUUUAGAGAGAUGAGUUCUUUCUGUUCAAACUUCGAACUUGCCUCUUCUUCUUCUUUUUCGGACGUGUUUCCCUCUUCUUCUUCUUUUUGGACGUGCUGGAUAUUCAAUUCGGGUUUGGGUUCCUUACCUACCCAAUUGUGAAACUUUAACUCAAUUCUCCCCAGCCCUUGGAUUAAUCUGAUGGCUAUAAAGUGAACCCCUUAUAACUUACCCCUUAUAACUUUCCACUCAUUAUAGUCUUGGCCAGGUAUGGCGGCCAUGCUAGUAAGUGUUGGGUCUUUGACCCAACUUAAGCUAAAUGGGUCAUAAGAUGACCGAUCAUCUUAUCUCAUAAGGAUAUAUAAGUCAUGUUAUGAUUUAGGAUUUUAUAGGGUUUCCUUUGUAAGAGGUAAGAGAGAAACAAGCUCUCUCUCUCUCUACACAAGGAGGUCAGCCAUAGCAAGGGAAAGGCUCCUAGCACUCUCCUCUCUCUUAUUAUAUCAUCCUUCCAAGGACAGCUUUGGUAUGGUAAAGUUGGAGGUUGCACACUUUGUGCACUUUGGUAAGAACUCAUCCAAGGGAGCCAAGAUUAAAUUGGUUAGCUGUUGGAUUAAAUUGGUUAGCACGAUUCAACGGUUAAUAGAUAAAACUUCACAUAAAAGUCAUAUAUAAGGCCCUCACUAUAGAAUGACUCGUUAGUUUAGUCUCUUGUUACAUAUCAAAUGUUAGAGAUAUUUUUUAAUAAGGAUCUGCCAUACCACAUAGUUGGAUAAGACAUUAUACACGGCUUUUGUAAGAGCAUCUCCAGCGCUCCAAACUAGCCCAAGCAGCAGGGGGGCCUAAGUCUAGGAAGCAGCUCCAGCUCGCAAGAUUCAACCCAGGCAAGGUGUGGAACCCACGAGGAGAUCUAGCCCGUCACCUUGCCUUUGGGUUUCAGUCAAGCUGAUGUCAACGAAAGAAUUUCAAAUUUUUUUUACCGUUACAAUGUACGCGCCAACGAUAAAUUUUCUUUGGAUUUCUUGCAUUGAUCCACAGCUACCAAAAACCAACAGCUACAAGCCACGUGGCUUCUCCAGGAGCCUCCGAUCCAAAAAUCAUGUCAAAUCUAACGGCAGUCCAUUUUUUGGCUAAAAAUAUCAAAAAAUUAUGGAAACAUGUUCUAUAAAUUCCUACAAAUAUUAUUCACUUCCCACACCAAAUCUUCAUACAAAUUCAUAUCCUUUCAAUAUUUUUCACUUUCCAUACAAGAUUUUCUACUACUAAGUUUCGUUUGUGUAAAAAUACAAAUGACCUCUUCUAUCGAAGCCGGAGGCGCGUGUACAACCGUGGAAGAUAUUUUGUUGCGUGAGUGUUGGGUCAAAGUUGGUCAUUCCCUGAUCACGGGCAAUGAGAUGAAGUCCUCUCGUAGGAGUUUCUGACAUCGCAACGAAAGUAAGAUGUGAUAUGAAAAUGUAAGGAAUUUGAUGAGAGGAAUGGGAUUUGAGGAGUUUGAUGUAGGAAUUGAUGUAGGAAUUGAAUUUGGGAGGUAUGUAUAUAAGAUUUGAGGGUAUGUGUUUAGGGAUUUUGAUAAGAGGAUUUGAGGAAUUUAGAUUUGAAGGAUUUGGAUUUGGGGAAUUUAAAUAUGAGGAAUUUGAUUAGGGUUUGGGUUUGAAUAUGUGAAAUUUGAUAUGAGAGUUUAGAGACAACAGAUGAUCGAUUGCUCUGAUACCAUGCUAAAAUAUGAUAUGGUUUGAAUACUUUAGGUUGAGUUUUAUUCUUUUCCAUAAAAAGGUAUAUAUAGGAGUUUACAUGAGUGCUUUACAAAGAAAUAGAUACAAUAAUCAAUUAGGAUAAUAUCUCCUAAUUAUACAAUAAUUUGUCAACUAUAUAGAAUAGGAAAGUAAAUUCCUUAAUUAAUCAAGAAAAUAAAUCUCAUUGAUUAAUUAGGAGACUAACGUCAACAUUUAUAAGCCAUAAAAGAGCAGAAAAAGAGGUACUUAGGAGAUUUUAUACGUCGGACUAAGGUAAGCUUAAAGGACUAUAUCAAAAAAAUAAGGGACCAAGAAGCAAGACAGAGAAGUUGUUAUGCAAACCCAUUAAGUUUAGCAGUGAUGAAUUUGUAAAAAUCAUUCUAGUGGAUUCUGCCUUCACUAUUGAGUUCUUAUUGAGGUUCUAUCUGAAAGGAUCUGGACAUGAAGGAGACCGCUUAUUAAACAAACCGUGGAUGUUUACAGCCUGACAUGUGGUUGCUUGAAAAUCAGCUCCCAUUCUUUAUUCUUGAGGAUCUUUAUCACACAUACAUAAUAACCGACUCUUUUAGGAAUUAUUACAGUACUCAUGAUCAUGAGAGGCUUUCAAUAAUUAAUAUUUCUAAGAAUUUCUUCACAGCCGGAAUAUUGAAUUUGGAGGGGAAGGGAGACAAAUGGAACAGAAUAUCAUCUUCUUCUAGUGUUGGAAAUUUUAUAUUAUUUAAUAAUAUUUAAUUUCUAUUGUGAAUGAAAAAUAAGUUUCUUUAAGAAACGUGUGUCUUAGGCCAGUUUUUCUAACUGGUCGGCUUCCUUAGAUUUGUGCCUAUUGCUUUUCAAAGUAUAAUGAUGCAAUGGUUGUAUCUCGUUCAGGCAAAUGGAAGGUAUAUAGCAAUUUAUAGAACAAUACAGUAAUCCAGAAGAAAUAUUAUGAAAUGAAAAGAAUAAAAAGUAAAAAAAGAGAAAGAAAGGAAUUCCCACCUGCAAUGUAUAUGUAUGAAAGGAAGGACCAAGUUUGUUUUAAAAUGGUAAGAACAAGUUGAUUUUAAAUUGGGUUCAGAUCAACUCAUAGAUUUCUUGCCUUUUCUGUUCUCCUUCCUUGGACAUGAACUGUUUAAUCUUGGACUCUUCCCCAUCAUGUUGGGCCUGUCUUCUUCUUGAGGAUUGUAUAGGCCUAGGAAAUGCUUCGGGGUAGUUUUUGUGUUUUGGGCAUUGGGACCCAACUUCACAAAAAGAAAACAAAUUUGACCAAAACACAAAUUUGAAGGACAUUGAAAUUGUACCCGUAGGAUAGAUUAAAACACUAUAAGGGAGGUAAAUAGUACGUUUACAGAGUUUAAGUGUAAUAAAGGAAUAAAAACAUGCCCAGAGAAUUGAUAAGUGAUAUCAAUUCUUGAAUAUACGUGAAAAUUAUUUUAUGUGGUUAAACCCCACCUCUGGGGAAAAUCCACGGAACUUCUUAGUCCAACUUCUAUCACUUAUCCUAGACACAUUCUAGAUAAUGUUUGCCAACCUCUUCGUAACUCAACUUCUGUCACGAGAUGAUCUUUCAACACUUUAUGUCGAACGCAAUACUGGUCACGAUUUCUUCAAGCUCGCCGGAGUUCUUCCAAUUCUCCUUAUAUUGAAUCUGAUACUAGUCACGAUCGAUUCAAGCUCAUCGGAGAAAAAUCGCCACAACAAUCUUGGUGCCCUCAACCGUAUGAGUCACUGAACAUGCAAAUGAAUACAAUAUGAAUGAUAAAAGUGUUUGAUAAAUCACCAAGUUAUGGAACACUUGAUGAUUUAUCUCAAAUAAAAAUUCAGCUUUCCAAAGUUUAUGAAUUGAAAAUAUGACCGUUAAAGCUCUCUAAACAAAGAAGACGAAGGUCUUAUUUUAUAGACUUUUACUUUACAAGAAAGAAAACACGUUGAAAACCAAAUCUCCAAUUUCCAAGGCUUGACAGAAAAUCACAAAAUUAUCUUUCCUAUUCUAGAGAUUGGUCACAUGAAGUCCAACCAAUAGGAAAUGAGAUAUUUAAGAAAGGAAGAUUUUGAUCAAUAUCAAUAUCAAAUGAAUUCUUAUACGCCUAGUCAAUUGUUAUGGGUAUCUUGACUCCUUGAUAUUGUGAUAUGAUUGAAACAUGAUUUCCACGUUAGAAAAUUAAGGGGAUGUUAAAACAUGAAGGUAAUAGGAGAAUCAAAUUGAUUUGGGCCAAAAUUGCCUAAAAAGAAAACACUCCUUAAUAAACUUCAAUUUACUUUUAAAAAUAGUAAAACGUGAUUGAAUCGUUCUUUAAAACAAUUCCCUAAUAUACAUGCAUGAUAGUGAUAUCACUUACCUUUGAAUCAGAUGGCUUUCACGGGUCAAGCCACAAGUUUUUGUCUUGGGGAUUGCUGAGCUUCAUCAAUCCUGCCAAUGUCAAUUUUGCCCCUAAGCUCUCUCAAAGCACGUUUACAACCUAUGCUAACAUAUAUUAGAGUUUAUGUUAGUAUCAAGAAAAUGCCAACACUAAUUUCGUAACACGUAGAAAUUGUUAGAGAUUGAAGUUUUUAUCAUUUUUUCUUCCAGACUCUCCACCACUCACUAAUAUAGUUUACUCAUGUGAUGAGUUUACAAAACCUAUUUCUCUACUCUCACAAAGACUAUACUUAGGGGGGUGUAUUCAAUUAGGAUUCUAAAGCGUUUAAAAAGAUUUUGUUUAAGUGCCAGCUUUCAUAGAACUUGAUGGAACUUUAUAAUUCGUAUAGAACUUGAUAGACUUUCAGAAGACUUCUGUAUAAUUUUUUAAUAAAACUUUCUUAAGCUUUCAUAGAACUUGAUAGGCUUUCAUUCCAAACUUAUGUAGAUGGUAUAUUUCAUUUUAUCCCCAUCCUUGACAUUUAAAGAAAGAAACUUGAAUUUUUUCAAUCAAAUUUGUUUUUGUUACCAAAGCAGCAAAAACAAAAAGUACUUGUUUGCGAUGGAAGAACAUAUGCACAGUUCAAAAUGAAAAGAAUAAGAAGCAAAGUACCUAUUUGACCAAUGAAUGCUGUGUCAACUAGAGAAGCAAUUGGAUCGGCUGUCAAAGCCAAUGCUGCAGGCAAUGCAUCGAUGGUCCAAAUUGCAAUAAAAAAAUAUUUUGAAUAAUGGCUCUUGCAGACAAAGACCACAUAAAUUCUGAACUGGUCUAGCUUGAAUAAUAAGGUUAGAUUAGCCAAUUGAUGAGAUUAAAAGCAAAGCAAGUUGAUGAAUUUAUCAUCAACUAUUUAAUAACCACAGUCCUGAUCUCUUGGACCCCUGUAGUCCAAGAGAUUUAUGGUCACCCACCGUUGGAUGUAAAUUCAACGGUUGACUUGAAUCGGGUAAUAAUCAUUUAUGUCAUAUUGCAUUUAUAUAUAUCAUUUUGAACCAUUGGAUUAAUAUCCAACGGUGGGUGACCACAAUCUCUUGGACUCCUGUGGUCCAAGAGAUCGGGACUGUUAAUAACCAAUAGAGUAUUUAAACAUAAACAACAAUGUUUGAUCAACAAAACAAAUAGUCCAAAUAUCAUCCAAAAAACAAUAACAAAAAAUCAAUCAUUCCAAACAAACUAGUCAUUCUCAAAAACUCUCAAAAAACCCACUCAUUCCAAAUUGUAGGAUAUCCAAUUUGAGCACUCCUCAGGAGACAUUUUCAAAAAUGCAUCCUUUUUUGUGUUACUAUGCAACAAAGAGAGUGCUUUAUAACGAGCAUGUUCAUCCAAAUUUGGGGUCUCCUUAAUGGCAUCCCAUAUAUAACUCCGCUGCUCUCUCUCUUUUUCCCUUUUUGCCAAUAGGUUAUGGACCUCCCGGAAGUCGAUGACAAUUGAAUCAAUGCUAAGGCUAAUUCUUCCCAUAGCUUGCUGGGUGGUCACAUUUGAGAUAGCAUUCCCUUCCAAAUAUGUUCUAGUUCGUUUCCUCUAGUAACAAGCAUAAAUCCUAGUAACAAGCAUAAACCCUAACCCCAACCUAUAACCUAAUAACAAGAAGAAAACCCAACGAGGUAUUGAUCAAAGAAAAAUUAGGGAGCAUACCUUCACAGAUGGAGGAAGGAAGCUGUUCGUCUUCGCAGAGAGAAAAUCUAGGGAAAGAGAAAAACGUCUUAUGAAAUACUUGGGGGGGAGGUUGGAUUUAUUUUGGUCUUUUUUAUUUAUAACUCUCCCCUUAAAACCUACGUAAAUUUAUCACUUAAUGAAAUCCUUCCAAAUAUAUGACCUUUCGAAUACACCUAGAUUUGAUUCAACUUUUUUAUAAUCAUAAUUGAAUACACCCAUAUUUGAAUGGACUUUUUAAAAGUUCAUAUAGGUCCGAAAUGAAUAUACUCAAACUUGUAAAACCUCUUUUAAAGUUUGUAUAAAUCCAAAUUGAAUACACCUGGAUUUUUAAAAUCUUUUUAAACACUUUAUAAUCCUAAUUGAAUACACCCCCCUUAUUCUCAAAAGACUAUAUUACUUUACCUCUAUCUCUGUGAAAUGUAAAAAGUUGAAACUUUAAUGUCAAACCUCAACAAAAGAUGAACUUUCAUCAGUUACGUUGAAUUUGGAUUUGUUGAACUUAAGUGGUUUUAUUUUCUUUGUCAGUGUUUGAUGACUUAAUUUGGUAUUUAUUUCUUCUUUUUUUUCCUUGGAAAUGUGUUCCACCAACGUGAGGAAGAAAAAUAUGCACAAAUUAAUAUAUUUAAUAGAAGCCCAAGAUUUCGGAUGCAUAUAAUUUCUACAAAAAUCUACAAAGUUUUUUACUUUACAAACUUCUUAUGUCUACCAAUUUCUACUAAAAUUAAUUUCUCUGUGGUGCUCAAAUUCAUCAUAUGUGUGUCGUUAAUUUUAUUGAAAAUUGGAAGUUCCCAUCAUUUUUGUUUUUUGGGAAUUUUCUGAACCAAGGAAAAUCAAGUAAAAUUAAUAAAGCCUAAAUUGGAAAGGGAAAAUAUCUAGAGGAUGCAUUGUAGGAUUGCUCAUGCCAAUAAUUGUACCCUCUAAAUAUAUAGAGACAUAUUUUUUUUGUUUUCAUGACAUGUGGUCCUAAAAUUAUUGUGUAAAUCUUCAAUCCUGAACGAUGCACCUAAAACUCAUCCACCCAUUCUCAGGCCAAUUAUUGCACCUAGUGGGCUCUCGACCCCCUCUCAAAUUUAACCACAUAUUUUAUGGACCAUCCAGCUGUGAGGUACAUUCCCCCCACAUGCCACAAUUGUAUAUUCACAAUUACGUCUGAUACAUCACAUCAUGCCACUUGCCUCAAAUGAAUUUAAGUGAGUGAGGCAGUUGGAAGUAAUUAAGCUCUAUAUUGGUGGGUGGAGUGUUACUUCUCGGUUCCCCUCAUCAUUCGUCUAUAAAAUGGUGAAGGCAGUUGCUAUUGUUACCAUAAGAGCCAGCUCCGACUUCCUUUAAUUUCUUGCUUCAUAUCCACUAGCUACAUCUGUUACCAAGUUAAUUUCAGUUCUAAUGGGGUUUCAUCUCCCACUCAUCUUUGCUCUUCUCAGUGUAAGCUCUGCAAUUUGAUUAACUUUUCCAUUCUCUCUCAUUGUACUCUAUAUAAACGAAAGUUUUGUGUUCCUAUUGUUCUCUCCGAUUUUAUUUAGUACGUACUUAAGUGUCGUCCACUAAUUAAUUAUACUUUGUGAUUUGAUUUUAAUUUGAGUUUGAAUUAAUGUUGCAGCUAGCAGCAGUGGCACUGGCAAACCAUGCUGCUCAACCAGCACCUCAACUUUACUGGAGCUCCGUCCUGCCAAACACACAGAUGCCAAGAUCUAUCAGUGAACUUCUGCAUCCUGGUUUGUGUUGAGCUCUUUAGAAUCUUAGAUAUCUCUUCUACCUGCCAUUUUACUAAAAUAUGUUCCACCACAUAUUUAUCAGUUAACCAUUGUCAUUACAUGAGUGACACAUAUUCACAAAUCGGCUGAUCACUUAUUUUCCAUUAUGACUUGAUAUAUAAUUUGCAGACUCCACAAAUGAAGAAAAGAGCACAAAUGACGUUGGCAAACCUGAAACUUUCCCAUUGGGCAAUCAACAUUACUCCAGUCAAAAACAUUAUGGAGGCAUACCUGAAACUUCCCCAUUGGGCAAUAAACAUUACUCCAGUCAAAAACAUUAUGGAAGAGGCAAACCUGAAACUUUCCCAUUGGGCAAUCAGCAUUACUCCAGUCAAAGACAUUAUGGAAGAGGCAAACCUGAAACUUUCCCAUUGGGCAAUAAACAUUACUCCAGUCAAAAACAUUAUGGAAGAGGCAAACCUGAAACUUUCCCAUUGGGCAAUCAGCAUUACUCCAGUCAAAAAAAGUAUGGAAGAGGUGCUUCUCCAUCCGACAAUCAACAACUCCAUUAUAAAGACUUAGCUAUUUUCUUCUUGGAGAAGGACAUGCGCCCUGGCACAACAAUGAAGUUCCAAUUCCCUAUAAAUUCAAACACGGCUACUUUCUUGCCACGAGAAAGCGCUCAAUCGAUCCCCUUCUCCUCUAACAAACUGCCAGAAAUUUUCAACCAUUUUUCAGUGAAGCCAACAUCUGAGGAAGCCAAAACAAUUAAGCAAACAAUCGAAGAGUGUGAAGCUCCAGACCUUAAGGGAGAGGAAAUAUAUUGCGCCACAUCUUUAGAAUCAAUGGUUGAUUUUAGCACUUCGAAGCUUGGAACAAGAAACGUUGAAGCAAUCUCGACGGAGGUAUUGGAAAAAGGAGCCACCAUGUCCAUCCAAAACUAUACAACAAUGCCGGGACUGAAGAAGUUGGCAGGUGACAAAGUCGUUGUGUGUCAUAAGCAGAACUAUCCCUAUGCUGUGUUUUUCUGCCAUGCAAUAAAACAUACAGCAGCUUAUGCUCUCUCCCUGAAAGGCGAUGAUGGGGAGAAGGUUAAAGCAGUAACCAUCUGCCAUCUAGACACAUCAGAAUGGGACCCAGAGCAUAUGUCCUUCCAAAUCGUCAACGUUAAGCCCGGAACCAUUCCCAUCUGCCAUUUCAUUUCCACUGAUGCUAUUGCCUGGGUUCCGAACCACAAAUCUGCAUGAUCAUCACUUAGCACUAGUACUGUGCGUAUAAUAUGCCUGUAUAAUUAUCUCCCUACUUAUUUCUGCCUCUUCAUCAUGUGGUGUAAGAUAUAUGUUGAGAUGAAGUUUUUGGGAUUUGUGGUCGAAAUUAACCCGAUCAUGUUUUCUCUUGCAACCAUAUAGACUUCAACUUGUACUCAUAAUAAAGCAUGCUAUAUUUAUGAAGAGAUAUUAAUCUUCAGGCAAAUAGAUAUUAUGAAAACAUAUAUAGCAAUUUAUCCAGAAGAAACAUUAUGAAAUGAAAAGAAUAAAAAGUAGAAAAACAGAAGGAAAGGAAUUCGCACGUGCUAUGCUAUGUAUGAAAGGACCAAGAUUGUUUUCCCUUUGGUUAAUGACUAGAAAAGCUCACUUGCAGAGUGCUUUCUCCGACCAUAGAUGGAAGAGAAAUUUUCUCUUAAUAAUAGCACAAUGAUCGGGUAAUUGUAAGAACAAGUUGAUUUAAAAUUCCUUGACCCAAAAAAAAAAAAAAAGUUCUUUUCAAAUUCAGGUCAACCCAUAGAUUUCUUGCCUUCGUCUUCUUCAUCACGUUGGGCUUGUCUUCUUUUUGCGUUUUGGGCCUUGGAAGUUGGGACCCAACCCAACUUCACAAAAAGAAAACAGAUUUGCCAAAAAUCAAAUUUCAAGUCUCUCCUCCGAUCACUAAUACAGAUCAAAUUUUGGAUUUGAUGAACUAAAGUGGUUUUACUUUCUCUGUCAGUGUUUGAUGACUUAAUUUGUUAUUUACUUUUUUUUUUUUACUUGAUCUUUGUAGGGGCUUUUUUUUUUCCGGCAGCUUAAACGGGCUGGGCUGCCGUAAAGGGUAGAUUGAUGAAAUUGUCCCCUUUGUCUGAAUUCGAAAAUCAAGCCCCAAAAGCGCUUCGAAAGGGCAGUAGAGCCUUAGGAAGCGUUCUGGUUACCUUCACUAAUUAAAACAACAGCAACUUACAGAUGAUUUCUUGAGGCUUACAGAUAAAUUUUCUAGCUUGGCAUGACAUGGAAGCAAAAUCAGCAUGAGUUUAGCACCAAAGAGGAAAAUAUGGCUUCCUAGGGAGAAAUGAGAGUGUUUAAGGUGAGGAAGAAGAGGUUUGCAGGCUGAUUUGGCUGAGAAAAGAGAAAGAAAGAACAAUGUUCUUCCGGCAGCUUGACAAAGCUUCUGACAGAUGUGAAAGUCGUCCGCCAGAAGAGGAAAAUGGAGAAGAAGGAUGAAUAGUGCACGAAAUUGGUGGGUUCUUGCAGGUAAGAGAGAAAGCUUGCUCUCUGAAUCUGAGUUGGUUUUGGUUGGGUAGAAGAAGCCCCCUUUUAUAGCUGCGGGAAACCAUCUUUUUCCAAGAAACCCUAAUGGUUUCUAUCCUUUUUGGCCAAGCUUUUCCCUUCCUUUCUCUUCUCCUCCCUUGACUUUUCCUAUCUUGGUGAAAUUUCCUCUGCCUAUUUGCACAAAAUUAGAGAUUUUGAGGAGCUCAAGGCCCCUUUCCCGCAGCUGCCUUAGUGGAGAAUCCCCAUUUUCAGUCAUCUUUCUUCCUUCUUUUCUCCCAUCUUCCAAGGCUAGGUUUGAUGAGAGAAAGAAAUGGAUAUGCACACUGGUUUGAAGGGUGUUUUUCCUUGAAACUUGUUCUCUCCCAUGUGCUGGAGCUUCCCAGCAGCUUACACACAUAGAUAUUUUGGCUUUCAUCGUGGCUUUUGUUUUCAGCUAGGUGCUGGAGAUUUUGCAUAUAUUUUCUUGAGUUGCUUGGGCCUUCUAGGACAAUACGUUGGUUUAUCAAGUGAAUGGGCUAACUUCAUCAAUUGUUGGGCAAUUUUGGUUGAGUUAAUGGACUAUUUUGGUUCAAGUAAUGGACUAUUUUGGUUGAAAUAAUAGGCUAUUUUUCUCUCUUUGUGCUCACCCACAUAUUUGGGCCUAAAAAAUGGGCUUGAGUUUCGGGGCUCCCAAGCAACCCCGGGACUUCCAUUUCUCGGCCCAUCAAUGAGCCUCAUGUCAACUUAUUACCAUCCAUACCACAACCCACUCAAGCAAGCCUCAGGCAUCUUGCGUGGCUUGGGCCCACGUAAGCUCGUAGUGGCAAUGUUGCUUAUUUGCUUGACGUGGCAUGUGUGCAAGUGCAUAUGACGAACUUUCGCGUGCCCAAAUUGAGUUUCUUCUCGGUAGGGUAUCGCAUUGGGCCGAGAAUUUAAUUGGGUAGAACCGUGGAUUUUUUGGGCCUCAACAAUCUUAUAUAUAUUAGUUUUCUUUUUUUCCUUAAUAUUCACCACCUUUCUGUUGCAUAAGUAUUCCAGUCUUAGCGGGUUUCCAUCUACCACUCAUCUUUGCUCUUUUAAGUGCAAGCUUUUUUAUUUUUAUUUUUUUAUGCACAAGAUUAGAGGGGAGGGAGAUUUCUCAAUGUAAGCUUUGCAGUUUCAUAAUUAAUAUUUCCAAUAUCUCACUGUUAGUAAAAUAUGGAACGGGAAAAGUACGAAUAAAAUACACACAUGUUUUAUUUAGCAAAAUUUUGACAAGAUACAACUGAAAAGUUUGGCCACUAUAUAAUAUUUUGAUUUAAUUUUUUUUAUUUUUUUAAUAUAUAUUAUUUUUAUUCAAUAAUAUGUGAAAAAUAGGUGUACAAUAUAUGAAAUUUGUAUGUAUUAUUGAAAAAUUCGUAAAAAAAAAACAUGUUAUUAAAUGUGAAAAAUAUGUACGUAUAUGUAUAAAACAUGUAUUGUACAUUACUUUUUAACAAACUUGUAUUUUACCUAGUCUUUAAACCGUAUAUGGAAAACGGAAGUAUUAUUGAAAAAUACAUAUGUACGUAUAUGUAUAAAACAUGUAUUGUACAUUACUUUUUAACAAACUUGUAUUUUACCUAGUCUUUAAACCGUAUAUGGAAAACGGAAGUAUUAUUAAAAAAUACAUAUGUACGUGUAUAAUAUGAGUAUUAAACAAAAAAAUGUGCUAAGUACUUAUCUUUUAAUUUAAUAAUUCAUUUCAUUUUGUGAUCUCAUACGUAGUAAUGAGAGUUCAAAUUAAUGUUGCAGCUGACAAUGGUGGCUCUGGCAAGCCAUGCUUGAUGCAGGAGUAUAGGGGUGGAUCAAGAUAGAUAUUUACCAUGUAAUUAGUUAUUUCAUGAUAUAUUGUUAUUUUCUUAUUUAGGUAGUUUUAUGAUAUCUUUUAUUAUUUAUGUGGGAUUUUAUAAUUAAUUAGUUUACUUUUGGACCAAGUAGCCUUGGUGCUCAAGUCUUGUAAAGCUUAUAAAUAAGGCUAAUGUAAUAGUUGUAGGAAAAGAGAUGUCGAUGAUUAAUAAAAUCGUUUAUUUGUGGCAUGGAUUUGCUACGAUAUAUGUGAGUUUGCACUAGCCCUAGAUUUCGGUGCUCGUGUAUGUGGUUGGUGACCUGUGUCCGGAUCCCGAUCCCCAUCAAUGCUGUUCUCCCAGUACCUCAACUUUACUGGAACUCUUUCCUGCCAAACACAAAUGCCAAGAGCUAUCAGUCAACUUCUGCAUCCUGGUUUCUAUUAAGGGACUUUUCGUGAGCUUAUCAUCUACCCAAAUUUUACUCAUCCGACGUAAUUUUAAAAGUGAUUUGAUCCUUUGGCAAAGUAAUCUUGAACUACAAAAAAGGAGGGCACUCGAAUAGGCAUGCCAUUUGGUAUUACCCACCUCUAAUUUCUUUUAAAAUUUUAGUAAUUGAUUUUUAAGAUUAGAAAAUGGGAAAGUUCAAAACCGAAAAAGUUGUUUCAGUUUUGGCAAGUAUCGGAAAAGACUAAAAUUUUCCGACUUUAUUAUUACUAGAAACAAAGUCGAAGUAUUCACCAAUCAUGUGGCCUUCCAAGUGCUCAAGGUUAAGCCAGGAACCGUUCCUAUCAGCCAUUUCCUUCCCAAGUAUGAUCAUGUUGUCUGGGUUCCAACCCACAAAUCUACAUCAGUACCUGAACUAAUCAGUUCUACAUGAAUAUUCAUUCAUGGCAACCUUGGGCUAAGUAUUUGAAUUUAUGCUCAUAAAGCUUUAAUGCUUUUGAGGGCCAAUCGUUGUCUACAUAUGGUAUUGUAGCAUCUUUAGAUGGAAGAGGUCAGGGGUUCAAUUCUUGUUUUCCACUUCUUUAUUUGUUGGUUUAUCGAGUGUAGAGUGGAGUUGCACCUAUAUGUUCGUCUCUCACCCCAUCAUUUACCAUUGAUAUAUAUUUAAUAGAAGCCUAAGAUUUCGGAAGCACAUAAUUUCUACUUUACAAACUUCCUGUGUCUACCAAUUUCUACUAAAAUUAAUUUAUCUGCGGUGCUGAGAUUCAUCAUAAUUUUAAUAGAAAUUGGAAGUUUUCAUCAUUUUUGCUUUAAGUCUCUACUCCACUCACUAAUAAAGAUUACUCAUGUGAGUUUACAAAACAUUUUUUUUUUCUACUCUCUCCUGAAGACUACACUUCUUCUCAAAAAAUUAGAUCACUUCACAUCUUGUGUAUGUGAAAACUAAUGUAAAAAGUUGAAACUUUAUCGUAAAACCUCGACAAAAAUGAGCUCUACUACAAAAUGUUAAAUUUGGAUUCGUUGAUUUAAAUGGCAAUUUGACACUUGAUAGAAAUUUUUACAUACAUGUGUUAGUGUUUGAUCACUUCACAUGUCACUUACUAUAUUUAUUCCACUCAAGUUAGGUAAAUAUUAUUAUCAAACAUUUCAAUUAAUUUGUGAUUUUUUUAUUAUUUAAUCAAUUAUGAAUUAAUGGAUUCUUCUUGUUGUUUUGAAGACCAACAAAAAAAAAAAAAAGGGUAGUGAUGGCUUAUAAUUCUGGUAAAACAACAGUGACGUGGACAACAGAUGUUACGCUGUACUAAAGAUUUUUGAAGAUUCUUUAUUUGAGUUUCUUUCAAGAUAAAAACCAUAUUAUCCACAACCACAAGCACAUCCGGCAGACAAUCUUUGGCUAUUCAUCACAAUUGGGAGACAAUGAAGAAGACAGAAAAUGGAGUAAUUCAGAUGUUACCAGCCAUCCACGACAAACUGAAGUCUGCAAAGCAUUCGUAAUCUAAAAAGGAUGGGGAGGCUGCGCAAUACUUAGCCACGUGUAGGCCAGGAGGCUUUCCAAUUUUAAUAUAUAUAUAGAUUGAAAAAAUAAAAUAAAAAUCAAUCUAUUAUCAUAUAUAUUAUAAAAUAAAGAUUAUUGCUCCCAUGGGCGGUGCUAUGCACAGGACAGUGCCUGCCUAGUCCAAAUUUUUUUUAAAUAAAAAUAAAAAUCUACAUAUGUUAUAAGCUCAUCCAAAAAAAAAAAAAAAAAUAAAAGUGUUGUAAAUUAUAAGGUGGAGCCCACAUGUUGGAAGGCUUUGCCUACAAAAGGGUUCACACCCUCCCUUUGUAAUUAGACAUUGAGAAUACUAAGGAAGACAGAAAUGAAUAGAGAGAAAACAUUCCCUUCUCUCCAUCUCAAUUCCCUCUCCAAUUCCUCUAGAUUUAUAACACGUUAUCAGCAGCACGAAUCGCUUUCAAACAAUACCAGCUGAAUUUUAUGAUGAAACCCAGAUCUCUCAUCCAUCUCUGCUGCUCCACUACUUCAAAAUAAAUCCCACAGAAAAAGAAAAAGCCUCAAUGCUCUCUCUCUCUCUCUGUCUCGCUUGGGAGACUUGGACAAUUCCUCAUCCCCGUUACUGACAAUUUCAACAGCUUCAGGGGAAGCUAGUUUAUCUUCCUCUGCUCACGAAACCAUGACUCUUUCAGAGCCAAACAACAACACAAUAGACAACGCAUGGAGACCAGACUGGAGCUCGUCGGCUAAGGCACCGACGAUCCGACCCUACCCGUAUGGACCUUCCGGAUGUGGUUCCUGGGUCUUGUCUCAUGUGCCCUCCUCUCAUUUCUCAACCAAUUCUACAAGCAGCAGAGCUUCAAAUCAAACAGAUCAUGGCAUCGCUUUCACACCUCCCCAUCUUCCUCUUCCUCCUGUUCACCGCUUUCUAUUCUACAGCUUCGCAGUCCUUCAUCGGCGCAUCCAAAGGCGACAUACCGGCGCUCGCCUCAGAUCCGAACGCGGCGGCUCAGUGGGUGAACUCGAAUGUCCUCGCCUUCUACUCGGCCAGCAACAUCGACCUCAUCAACGUCGGCAACGAGGUCCUUUUUCUCCAACGACCAGGGCCUCAUCUCGCAGCUCCUCCCCGCCAUGCGAAAUGUCCAAUCUGCCCUCUCCGCCGCGUCCCUCGGCGGCAAGGUCCGUGUCUCCACGGUCCACUGCCUCGCCGGAUCGGGAUCCUUCCUUCAAGUGUUUCUCUGUCUUCGACUUGAAAAAGAAGGUCAUGGCAGGCCUAUGUAAAAAUUGCGAAAAGGAAGGCAAUCUUCAACCUUUUCUCCUGUCUCUCUCUUGAUCAAUUCAUGGAAGGCACAUUUGGGUCUUCCGGGGGCUCAUCAAAUGAGUCAGCAAUGUCAAAGGUGGAGGUGGUGGAGCAAGACUACGUGGGGAUGUCAUAUGAGGCAACCUCAUACCCAGCUGAGGCAGAGCUUGUGCUGGGCCUGGGCCUUGGCCUGAGCCUUCGUGGUGGUGGUGCAGGGAAGCAGCCAAAGCCAUGUGCAUGGGGUGAGCGUGGUAGAAUCUUGACUGCUAAAGUUAGGUGCUGAGUUACACUGUGUUCUCUGCUACUGACCCUAAGAGGAGUGCUAGAAACUUCCAUGUUCCGCCAUCAUUUCGCUUUCACUGUUACAAGGCACUGGAGUAUGUUUAAUUGAAAAGUGAGAUACACAGCAAGUUGAUCAGCCUAGUGGAAAGCAAAGGAUUAUUGCCAGGGAUAUGAACACCCACCGAAAUAAAGGGAUAAGUACUCUUUUUCCCUUCGACCAGUUUUUUUUUGUCCCACUGGGUUUUUACUGGCAAGGUUUUUCACGAAACAUAUUCCGUAUCAUUUGUGGUCUCUAAGAGGGAGUGUUGUAAAUUAUAAGGUGGAGCCCACAUGUUGGAAGGCUUUGCCUACAAAAGGGUUCACACCCUCCCUUUGUAAUUAGACAUUGAGAAUACUAAGGAAGACAGAAAUGAAUAGAGAGAAAACAUUCCCUUCUCUCCAUCUCAAUUCCCUCUCCAAUUCCUCUAGAUUUAUAACAAAAAGUAAAUUCUACACAUAUGUUGCCCAUCCAGGUGGUCCCAUAUCUUCUCUUUCCUUUUCUUUUGGCUAUUAGACUUCUUGUUUCUCUCUCUCUCUUUGCUACCCCACAUCAGCAAGUUUCUCCCUCUCUUUUUUUGGGAUCAAAUUCUUCUUCUAUUGACAAAAUCUUCUAUUAUAUUGGGUGGGCAACUUGGCAACAACAUCUUCUCCUCUCCUUUUGUCAACAGCAAGUAUUAUUCUCAUUCUCUCAUUUGCUAUAUAUCUUUAAUUAUAGUUUUAAUUUAAAAUUGAGUAUUCUAGGGUUUAAUUAGGGAUGAAUUAUAAUUUUGGGAUUUUGUUGAAAUUAAUUAGGGCUUCGAUUAGGGGUGAAUUAUUCUACUGCUUUGAUUUGGAAUUUUGUUAAAAUUGAGUAUUAUAGGUUUAAUUAUGGAUGAAUUACAAUUUUUGGUUUUGGUAUUGUUGAGAUGUUAUUAUGAGAAUUUGUUUGAUUUUUUGUUGGUAUAUUUGAUUAAAAUUCUUUCUACAUAUUAUUCAUAGGCUAUCUUUUAUUAUGUCGGAUCACAAUCGGAAUCCCAAGAAAACAAAAAAUUUGAAUAGUGUUGUUUUGUAUUGCAUUGCAUUUACUUUUGGUUUUAGUUUUGCUUUUAGUGUAAAUUACUCAAAUGGUCCUCAAAUUUGUACCCAAUUUACAUUUUGGUCCAUAAACUAAAUUAUUCAUUCAAAUGGUCCACCAACUCUUUAUUAAUCGGUGCUUUGGUCCUAUCGUUAUGUUUUCUAUUAAAUUUAGUCAUGUGAGCAGCACAUGCUACAUUUGUAUGGGUAAAUAAGACUUUUGACCAGUGGCGGAUCCACGUUGGGACAAGAGGGGUCGGACGACCCCUUGGAAGGCUGGAAAUUUGGCAAGGGAGUCCAUGAAAGCCCCCUUGGACAGCUGCUGGAAGCCCCCUUGUAUGCACACAAUGUGCUCGACGAAAUGCCCCAACGAAAUGUCCUGCGCAGCUGUGCUGCGCCUUGCGCGUAAUUUUUUUUUAAAACCAGCCUUGCCAAACGACGUCGUUUGGUCAAGGCUCAGUCAAAUUUUUUUUUAAUUAACCUGGCCUCAAAACGACGUCGUUUUGGGCCAGGUUUAAAAAAAAAAAAACAGAACAGUACACACGCACAGCAGCUCUGCACAGAUUCAUUUUCUCCAAACCUUUCAUUCCCAAUUCCACAGCCCCUCUUCCCAUCCUCUCAAACCCUAACCUCCCAACCUCCCAACCUUGGACAACCUCCAUCAACUCUUCACCGGUGGCCCAAUGCCGAUCACCACCACCUUCUACCGCCGUCCGCCGCCCAUUUUUUAAACUACAAGUAAGUAAGCAUGGAAAAUCUGAUAUUAAUAAUUAUAGUGAUAAUAUAUAUUGUUGAUAUUGAUAUUUUUUUUUUAUGUAAUGAAAUUUAUGGAUAUGAAUCAUAUUGAUUGAUUGAGUUUAUGCUUGAAAUUUAUGGAUAUGAAUCAUAUUGAUAUUUUUUUUUAUGUAAUUAAAUUUAUGGAUAUGAAUCAUAGUGAUAAUCAUAUUAAUGUAGAUUGAUUGAGUUUAUGCUUGAUUGAUAAUAUGAAUUGAUUGGGUAUAUUAAAUAUUGAUUGCUAUUUGAUAUGAUAAUUUGGUAUAUUGAAUAUUGAUUGAUAUGGGUUUAGGGAGUAUAUUGAAUAUUGAGAGUGGGUUAUUGAAAUUUUCAUAUUCAUAUGAUAAUUAGGAUAAAAAUUAAUGAUUGAUUGAAUUAAUUGAUUUGUAGAUUUAUGGAACGAUUCUUUAAAAGAAAAUUAUCUACGGAUAGUUCUUCUCUGUCUAAUCCGGGUAGUUCAAAUGCAAGACCAAUUGAAGUAGAUGAGAUCUUAGCUAAUCUUCAAGCAGACCCUGGACUAAGAACUCGAAUGGCGGAUUAUAGUCCUAAUAUUAGGGAUGAGAUCCGAAGAGCAUAUCUACAAAAGGGACCUUGUCAACCUAGAAGUUAUAAAUUCCCACAAACUAAUCAAUCAGGAAUUAAUAGACGCUUCAUUGCUCAUUGGUUUGAUGAUCAUGAUUGGUUGGAAUAUAGUAUUGCUAAAGAUGCUACGUUUUGUCUUCAUUGUUAUCUCUUCAAAUCUAAUUUUGAUCAAGUGGGUGGUGAUGCAUUCACUGGGGUAGGCUUCAAUAAUUGGAAGAAGGCGAAAGAAAGAUUUAACCUUCAUAUUGGACCGGUUGGUAGUGUUCACAACCAAGCUAGAGAAGUUGCUUACAAUUUGAUGCAUCAAACUACACACAUUGAAACAAUUGUGCUCAAGCAAACAAGCCAAGCUCGCACGGCUUAUCGCACUUGCUUGAAUGCAUCACUUAAGUGCACUAGGUAUUUGUUGCGGCAAGGGCUUUCUUUUCGUGGUCAUGAUGAAAGUGCACAAUCAAGUAAUAAAGGGAAUUAUUUAGAGCUCUUGCAAUUUCUUGCGGAUCAUGAUGAAAAAGUUAAGGCCGUUGUAUUGGAAAAUGCUCCGGGAAAUUUAAAGUUAAUAGCUCCUUCAAUUCAAAAAGAUCUUGUCAAUUCUUGUGCCAAAGAAACCAUUGAUCUUAUCUUGAGUGAUGUAAAAGAUAGAUAUUUUUCAAUAAUGGUGGAUGAAGCACGUGAUGUUUCAAUAAAGGAGCAAAUGGCAAUGGUGUUGCGUUAUGUGAAUGACAAAGGACAAAUAAUUGAAAGGUUUGUGGGGGUUCAACAUGUAACCGACACUACUUCAAGUGCACUAAAGGAAACAAUUGAUGAAUUCUUUUCUUCCGCGAAUUUGAGCUUUUCCAAGCUACGAGGACAAGGUUAUGAUGGAGCUAGCAAUAUGAGAGGUGAGUUCAAUGGCCUUAAGAGAAAGAUUUUGAGAGAACAACCUUGUGCAUUUUAUGUUCAUUGCUUUGCUCAUCAACUUCAACUAGCUCUUGUUGCGGUAGCAAAGAAAAACAUUGAUGUCAACUCUUUUUUCACAACGGCUAAUAGUUUGGUUAAUGUGGUUGGAGCAUCUUGUAAGCGUCGCGAUGCACUUAGAGCACAAUACCAAGAAGAGCUUGUGAGAGCUUUUGAAGAUGAUUGUCUUAUAACGGGGCGGGGCUUAAAUCAAGAAAGGACUCUCAAACGUGCCGGCAAUACACGAUGGAACUCACAUUAUGGUACGUUGAUUAGUAUCAUUUCUAUGUUCCCAUCUGUGGUGAAUGUGCUUCAAAUGAUUGUUGAUGAUAAUCUUAAUGAUAGUUCGGGUGAAGCCUAUAAGUUAAGGAGAGAAAUACAAUCUUUUGAGUUUGUGUUUCACUUAUUUGUAAUGAAAGCUAUAUUGGGAAUAACAAACACUUUGUCUCUAGCAUUGCAAAAGAAAGAUCAAGACAUUGUGAGUACAAUGAAUUUAGUGAAAACAUGCAAGGAAAACCUGCAGUUGAUGAGGGAUAAUGAGUUUGAAGAAUUGGUUGGGCAAGCAUCCUCGUUUUGUUACAAAUAUGAUAUUAUAGUUCCUACCAUGGAUGAGGAAUAUGUAAUUCCAGGGAGAUCAUGGCGUAAUGCUCCAAUGAAGACAAAUUAUCAUCGUUAUCGUGUGGAGAUCUUUAUUCAUGUAAUUGAUGGGCAACUUGCGGAAUUAAAUGAUCGCUUCAACGAGGUAAGUACUGAGUUACUUACUUGUUUGGCAUGCUUGAGUCCAAAAAAUAACUUUGUGACUUUUGACAAACGAAAGCUAGUUCGUCUUGCUCAAUUUUAUCCUUAUGAUUUUUCGGAUAGAGACUUAUUGAUGCUUGAAGAUCAACUUGGUGUUUAUGUUCAUCAUAUGCGUUCGAGUAGUGAUUUUUCUCAAUUGGAAGGGAUUAGUAGUCUUGCGGAAAAAAUGGUGGAGAAAGGAAUGCAUGAAAUAUUUCCUUUUGUAUUUGCUUCUUACAUUGGCUUUGGUUUUACCGGUUGCAACUGCAUCAGUGGAGAGGGCAUUUUCCGCUAUGAAUAUUAUUAAAAAUCCACUUCGCAACAGAAUGGGAGAUCAAUGGUUGAAUGAUAGCUUGCUUGUUUACAUUGAGAGAGAUGUUUUUGCUUGUAUUGAUAACGAAAUUAUAAUGCAAUGUUUUCAGAAUAUGAAAACUCGUCGUGGACAAUUGUAACUUGUAUUAUUGGUUUUGUUAUGAAUUAUGAAUGAAAGUACUAUCUUUCUAUCUUUUUAGCAUUAUUUUCUUUGUAGAAAAAUUUCAGAACUUUUACACUAAGCCCCCUUGGCUACAUAAUCCUGGAUCCGCCACUGCUUUUGACCACUUUAUCACCUAUGUAUCACCACUUUAUAACCUAUUUGGGGAACAUAGGUCAGUUAUGGACGGUUUUACCCUUACAUUUGACGGCAACAUUAACAUAAUGUAACAGUGGGAUCAAUGGAGUGAUUAAUAUAAAGUUGAUGGACCAUUUGAAUGAAUAAUUUAAUUGAGAGACCAAAAUGUAAAUCAAGUAUAAGUUUGAGGACCAUUUGAGUAAUUUACCCUUCGCUUUUAUAUUUGUUGAACUUUUAUUUAUGAUAGAUAUGCAUUUAAGGGUAAGACCCAUUAUGUUCCCCUGGCUAGGUGUAUCUUUUUAUGUUUAUUAAUGAAAUUCACUCGAACUGUUGAGUUUAGUAUGUAAGUUUUGCCUAACUGGCUUUUGAAUCCUAGAACCGCCACUGUUGCUCCAUCCUCCAUGCACUUGCAUGUGCUCUUACAAAGUGUGAAGUAGAUUUUGUGUGCUCCAAGUCAUUGACUAGAGCUGAAACAUGGUUAGCUAGAUUUAUAAGGACCCAUCUCUUUAUUUCCUAGACAUAUACCCAUCUCUCUAUAAAUCUAUAUGUAAAACCUAAUUUCAAACUUAAAUGACCAGUAGGAUAUAAAAGGUCAUAGUAUUCCUAUGUUUUUAUAUCGUUGCCACCAGACUUCUUAUUUUAUUUAUAAUUUAUUUCAAGCAUUUCAUUAACUGCCAUAAUUGUAAUUAAUACUCCAUAUUAAUAGCAUAUCAAUCACCCCAUUUCUUUUGGUUGCCAUUCCCUCUAACAUAUCGCCCCUUAAAUUUGAAAACCAAAAAAAAAAAAUGUAAAUUACAUAUCCAAUAAUGUACCUAUGAAAAAUAUAAAUAUAAAUAUAUACAUAUAAAAAUAUAGGUAUAUUAUUUACCAAAUAGAAAAUAUAAAAACCUAGGUCAGUUGCUUUGUAAUUGAAAUUUCUGUACAUUUUCCACAAAUUAAAAAUAGGUACAUAAUAAUUUAUAGAAAAUAUAUGUACAUUAUUUAUCCAUAGGUAAAAAUACCGAUAAAUGCACAUAGGUGAAUUAUUUACCAAUAUAUUAUUUUUUUGCUAAGGAUUUACCUUAGUUUUUAGUAGAUUAAUUUACCUACCUAGAGGCAUAGGUAGCUUAAAAAAAAUGUACCACCUUAGUUGGUUGCAUACUAAUUUACCUACCUAGAGGCAUAGGUUGCUAAGAAAAAAUGUAGGUAAAUUCAUGUACCUAAACACAUAGGGGUCAAAUAGAGAAUAACAUGUUAUUUCCCUUUGAACAAAUUAAUUUCAAACCAUAACAAUUAUUGAAUUUGGAAAUUGGUAUAAAUAAAAGGAAAUAAAUAAACUAUCAAUUUGAAAAUUAAAAUAAGAAAUGAUCAAGUAGUCAUAUUUGAAAAAAAAGGAAAGAAUAUAUUCUUGGUUUUUAUAGGAACAACGAGUAUAUUCAAACCAAACGGCGAUAACUACACCAAGCUUUAAUUACUUUUUUUUAAGGCCAAAAGUCACUUUUGGUCCCUGUAGUUCGGCAUUUCUACCACUUUUGAUGUUGUAGUUUCAAUUCCGUCAAUUUUGCCAUUGUAGUUUCGUAUUUGUAGCAAUUCAAGGACCUGUUAAUAUUAAUGUCAAUUUGUUUAAUGAUGCAAGAGGUAAUUUCGUCAUCCCAAAAUCCUUGAGCAUAAAAGAUUGUCUGAAAUUCUCCCCAUUUCAUAUUAGGGCUCGAAAUUCAACCACUAAUCCUAAUUUUUGAAGAACCCUAGACCCAAAUGACCAAUUUCAAGCCCUAAUAUGAAAUUACGGAAGUUUUAGAUGAGCUUUUAUGCUCAAGGAUUUUGAGUUGAAGAAACUGCCCCUUGCACUGUCAAAUAAAUUGACAGGAAUACUGACUUGUCCUUGAAUUGCUACAAAUACAAAACUACAGUGUCAAAAUUAACAGAAUUUAAACUAUAGGGUCAAAAGUAGUUGAAGUGUCAAACUAUAAGGACCAAAAGUGACUUUUAGCCUUUUUGUUUCAAUAAGGAAAAAACUGACCUAUUAAAUCCUUGGAAUCUAUACAAAAUUGAAACACAAUUAAUCAACAUUGAAUUGCAGCUAAUUUCUUAAACAAGGGUAUUAUAGGAAUUUAAAAAGUAUAACAUUUAAUCCAUUGAAUUUGAUUAGGAAACUUGAUGAAUUGAAUCCUAGUUAUAUAGUUUUUCUUAUAAAAAUCAGGUUUUAUUUAUAGACAAAUAAAACAAUGGGUUGUAGGUAAGAAAAUAUUAAUUUGAAGGGAAAGAGUCAAAUUUACUAAAUUAAUAAAGCAUAAAUUGGAAAGGGAAAAGAUCUAGAGGAUGCAUUGUAGGAUUGCUCAUGCCAAUAAUUGCACCCUCUCGAUAUUGAAAAACCUAUUGUUUAUUAUUAUCUUCAAUCCUGAAUGAUGCACCUAAAACCCAAGUGUCUCAGGCCAACCAUUGCGCUCAUACCACUUGUUGCAGUACACAUUCACCUGUUUUUAAAGAAAGAAAUUCUACCAAUCGAUAUUUUCUCAAAUUUAAUCACAUAGAUCUAUUAUGGUUAACCAUAUGUACUUUUAUCUGCCAUCCAGAGGUACCUUUUUCCAACGUGCAACAAUUGUAUUUGAUUCACAAUUAUGUCUGAUAUACAUCACAUCAUGCCACUUGCCUCAAAUGAAUUUAAUUGAGUGAGGCAAUGGGAAGUAAUUAAGCUCUAUAUUGGUGGGUGGAGUGUUACUUCUGGAACCCUCAUCAUUCGUCCAUACAGGGGAACAAUUCCCUUCCUUCUAUAAAAUGGGAGCAAUUCUCUCACUGUACUCUAUAUAAAGGAAUAAGUGUCGUCCACUAAUUAAUUACACUUUGUGAGAUUUGAUUUUAAUUAGAGUUCGAAUUAAUGUUGCAGCUAGCAGCGGUGGCACUGGCAAACCAUGCUGCUCAACCAGCACCUCCACUUUACUGGAAUUCCAUCCUGCCAAACACACAAAUGCCAAGAGCUAUCAGUGAACUUCUGCAUCCUGAUUUGUGUUGAAUAGAUAUAGUAUGUUACUGGAGUACGUAUGGCAACAUAUUCACAAAUGUGUCACGUAUUUUCCAUUAUGACGUUGAUAUAUAAUUGCAGACUCCACAAACGAAGAAAAGAGCACAAAUGUCAUGAAUGCUGUUGGGAAUGGAAAGCCAAUUGACCACAAGGGCAAACCUGAAAAUACUGUACUACCACAGCUUGCACGACGCCCAUUUUCUUACAAGAGUGAUGAUCGUCCCACUGACAAUCAACUCCAUUAUAAAAACGUAGCUAUUUUCUUCUUGGAGAAGGACAUGCGCCCUGGCACAACAAUGAGCUUCCAAUUCCCUAGAAAUUCAAACACGGCUACUUUCCUGCCACGAGAAAGAGCUCAAUCGAUCCCCUUCUCCUCUAACAAACUACCAGAAAUUUUCAACCAUUUUUCAGUGAAGCCAACAUCUGUGGAAGCCAAAACAAUUAAGCAAACAAUCGAAGAGUGUGAGGCUCCAGGCAUUAAGGGAGAGGAAAUAUAUUGCGCCACAUCUUUAGAAUCAAUGGUUGAUUUUAGCACUUCGAAGCUUCGAACAAGAAACGUUCAAGCAAUCUCGACGGAGGUAUUGGAAAAAGGUGCCACCAUGUCCAUGCACAAGCACACAACAAUGCCGGGACUGAAGAAGUUGGCAGGUGUCAAAGUCGUUUUGUGUCAUAAGCAGAACUAUCCCUAUGCUGUGUUUUACUGCCAUGUAAUAAAACCAACAGCAGCUUAUGUUCUCUCCCUGAAAGGCGAUGAUGGGGUGAAAGUUAAAGCAGUAGCCAUCUGCCAUCUAGACACAUCAGAAUGGAACCCAAAGCAUUUGGCCUUCCAAAUCCUCAAAGUUAAGCCCGGAACAAUUCCCAUCUGCCAUUUCCUUCCCACUGAUCAUAUUGUCUGGGUUCCGAACCACAAAUCUGCAUGAUCAUCACUUAGCACUGUACGUAUAAUAACCUUUACCCCUGUAUAAUUAUCUCCCUACUCUACUUAUUUCUGCCUCUUCAUGUGGUGUAAGAUAUAUGAUGAGAUGAAGUUUUUGGGAUUAGUGGUCGGGUUGCCUUAAAAACACAGAUUACAGAAACUGCUUGAACUUAACCCGAUCAUGUUUUCUCUUGUACUCGUAAAGCAUGCUGUUGUGGUUCUACUUAAUUUCGUCCUCCCCAAUGUUUGAGUGUUUAAUUGUUACGUUGGAAUAGGCUGCUAAUGCAUGUAGUUAGAGAAGCUUUCAUUUAUAUCAAAGUCCUCAAACUAUCAAGAAUUAAUGCAUCCAGAAACAUAUAUACCAAGACGCAAAACAACAUAUUUUCCAUGCUGUGUCGGUAACACCAAAGCAAACUUCCUUUAUCACAAAAGGACCAAAUUCCAAUACUAAUCUAAUCCAUCAUGUAAAGCAUACAAUCUACAACUGCCUCCCUAAAUUUGUCCAUUGGAUAUAUAUGUCACUUUUUGGUAAUUUGGUAUAGCAGCACCACGUAGUAUGCAUUUAACAGAAAAGUAAACAAAAUUGACAGUAGAACUAUUUGUCCUAACGAAACUGAAGUUGAAAGACCAUGAGAACGAUUUUGAAAAUUAAGGGACUCAAAUGAAAAUUGGGUCUAAGUUCAGGGACCAAUAAAACGAUUAACCCAUAGAUUUUGGAUCCAGUACCACAUCCCAAAGAGAAAACCACAAGUUUGCAAGCAAGUUUGUCCAUACUAACACUACGUACAGUAUGGGCAAUGUGCUAGACUCAUCUCACUUUCUCAACCUAUCCUAUACUUGUCUAAAAGAGUUUCUAAUUUAAUGUACUGAGAUUUACGAAAGAAAUAUCAGAGAAACAAUUUUCAGGCAAUAAAAAAAUGUCUUGGCAAGAAAAUGCACAAUUUGUUACAUAACUUAUUAAAUAUGAACAGUUGAAAGAAAAAAGAAUUUGGAUGAGGGAUUUGCAAAUUCCUAUGGCCCAAUUACCUUUUUUUCUUUGUUUUUUUUUGGUUCUUUUGAUCCAGUAGCAUAUUCCAAAGAAUGAAAACCACAGGCAUGCAAUGCAAGCUCUUUUCCCAUGUUUUCCUCUGUUUUUCUCCUAUCAUGGAAGUGAUUAAAACACACCUCUAAGCUUGUUUUGCGUUUGGUAGCCGAGUGUAAAAGCUCAAUGCAAGAUAGUUUGAGGUAGAAUUUUCUCCUGUUUUAUUAGGACAAUGAUGAGCUAUAUGUGACAACAAAUUGCUUUAAUAAUGAAAAUUAAAAAAGUGUGAUUCAUUGAAUAUUUGCGGGGUUUUGUUCAGAGCUGACAAAGUUCUAAGUCAACACAUCAAAUUCCUUUUUCCAACAAUCGUAUUUGAUUCACAAUUUUGUCUGAUAUACAUCACAUCAUGACACUUGCAUCAAAUGAAUUUAAUUGAGUGAGGCAAUGGGAAGUAAUUAAGCUCUAUAUUGGUGGGUGGAGUGUUACUUCUGGAAUCCUAAUCAUUCGUCCCUACAGGACUCUAGAACUCUCACACUUCUUACAAGGACUACUUAACUCUAUAGCUUAUUGCAUAUAGCAUAUAUAUGCAAACCCAAUUAGAAAUUCUACAACAGAAGCAAGAUCAAUCUCACUAUGCCUUCUAAACAAACAAACAAAUAAAACAAGCAUAUUAAUUGCUUUAAUCACUCUACUAACAUCAACACAGCACACUUAGUUUACUAACAGAUGAUAUAGAAAGGAAAAAAAAGGACCAAUAGGGAGAAAAUGGUGAACUAAGGAGAGACUAAUACUUCUGGUCCUUAGAAGGCAUAACAGAAAUAAUAGAGCACACUGCUUGAAUGCAAGUCAGUAUUAGGAGCAAAACAGCUGCAAUGAAAGAAAUAGUUGCCCAAGGUGUAUUGAAAUAAUGUUGCCUCAAAUUUGCCUUCCAUUUGUUCCAAGGCUUUCUGCAGUAGCUAUUAAGGCGCUCAGAAAGAGUAGCAAAGUAGAAGCUUUCACGAUACACUGCAAUUCCUUUUCCGAGGUUGUUAAUCAGAGUGCACACCUCAUUGUAGUCACCAAGCAUAUUUUUGACAAUCCCAUACUUCAGAAGGAACUCCACAUCCUUUUCGGUGUUCACAAACUCAUCCAUGAGUGAAACAUAAUCACUUAUGUAAUUCUUACGGCAAUGGCACUAUUCAAAGGCAAUGAGGUUAUGGAGUGUGAGCUCUGUGUAAUCGUUUAUUUUUAGUUUUGGAAUUUCUAGAAUCCCAUCGUUGAAUCGUGUUAACGCAGCUUUCCUUUCCUAGCCUACGCGGAAGUCAACUUCACAAUCUCCUCCUAGCAAUUAGCCUUUCCUACUGUAAAUCGGAUUGUAUUCAUGUCUAUAUUAUUUCCUACCUUAAAUAGAUAUCCUGUACUAGUAUACAUAGGGACUUUGUGUAAUCUGUUAAAUACAAGGAAAUAUAUACUCUACAUGGUAUCAACCUAACCUAGGGUUCUCUCUCUCCCCCUUAUUCGAUCCUCUUCUCCUUUAGGUCCACCUCAUGGCUUCGUUUGAAUCCACCAUCUCCCUCCCAAGCCCUAACUCUUCUCAUUUUAUCAAGCUUACUAACUCCAACUAUCUUCUUUGGCUCCGCCAACUCAAACCCUUUUAGUUGGCCAUGACCUCUGGAAAUUUAUCGAUGGCAUUCAUAAACAACCUUCUGCCCACACCUCCACCUCUACCACCACAACACCCACAACCACCACCACUCUUACCGAAAUCAAUCCUACCUAUGCUCAGUGGUACCAACAAGACCAACUCAUUGUUAGCUACAUCACCAGUACACUCUCUGAGUCCAUUUUCUCUCUCACUGUCGGUUGCAUCUCUGCCCGGGAUCUCUGGGAGUGUCUCCAAUGCCACUUCUCUUAAUCCAAUAUGGCCAGUGAAUCUGCUCUUCGUUUUCAACUCAUGGAUUUGCAAAAAGGCUCUCAACCCAUUGAUGCUUACCUUCGUCAUGCUAAGUCUCUUGCCGAUUCACUAGCUGCCAUCAAUUAACCUGUCUCCCCAAAAGAACUUGUCACUGCUGUGCUUCGGGGUUUAGGACCCGAUCACAAAAUGCUCAUCACAGCAAUUCUCAAUUUCUCUCCGCUUCCAGACUUUGCUGAUCUUCGUGCUCGUUUGUUAGCUUUUGAUGCACAGACUCCUCGAAUCUUUCCUGAUCAAAACACAACGCUAAUGGCCACCCAAUCUUCUCCUUACACCACCGGUCAUACUUCCUUCCCUUCUCACCGUGGUUGUGGCUCUUCCAGCAAUAGGCGCGGUGGCUGGUGCAGUAUUGGCCGUGGUGGCUGGCACAACUUCUCAUCUUCCUAGAGCAACCCGUGGAAUGGCUUCCAGCAGCCCUAAUGACCUAAUCAACUGUGGCCUCCUUUUGCUCUAAGUUUUGGAUCUCAAAGCAACUGGCCUUCCUUUCAACCUCUUUGGGCCCAAUCUGCCGCUUCUAGCAAACACUCUGCCCGACCCAACUCAGCUCCUGGUGUCUUGGGACCCGCUUGGUGCACCACAUGCAAUACCAAUCGACAUACUACUACAACAUGUCCUUAUUGCUACAAUGGCCCAGAAUUCUUCCUUUGCUGGGGCUCAAUUCAUGCAGCCACCUAACUCUACAUGGUACCCUGACACAAGUGCCACUCAUCAUAUGACUGGUAGUUCUUCUAAUCUCCAAAGGAAAUUAAAUGAAGGAGUCCUACGAAGGCUCAAGGCUCGAAAGCACACGAUCCGGCUCUGCUGCGGAGCUCACUCAACUACUGGCUGAGGGGGCGCAAAACAGAAAAUUGUGAGUGGACAAAAAUAAAAAUUCAGUUCAGUGUAAACCAACGUAAUAUAACCCCACCGUUUAGAAAACCAUGCAAGAAAUCCAAAUGCAUCUCAAAACCAUCAUAAUCAUCAAAUCAAAAUCAAAUACUGGAUGCCAAGUCCGAAAUCCAUAAAGAAAGCUUUACAAACCCACCAUCCAAAUCUUACAAUCCCACAACUAAACUCUCGAAAGCGUACCCAUUGGCAGUACCAGCAAGGAAGUAUCCUCACCGAGAAACAAGAACAAAAGAAUAGCUAUAUAUAUAAUUAUAUAAUAUAACCACACCUAGUUGUACCGGGAAAACAAUCCAACCGGGGGAUUGUUUGACUAGUCACCAUGGCAGAGUCAAAGUAAACAAAUUCCUCAAUUCACCAUGUGACUAGGGAACGAGCUGUCCAACUGGGGGACCAACUCUCAGCCAGCAUGUACCGUCGAUAGCCUCAAAACCCGUACGUCUGUGACCAGUCCUACGCGUGCAGACUACCCAAUCAAGGGUUUACAGCAACAUCCCAUCAAGGAUGCCCUAGGUUCCCACAAUUCCAAGUAUCUCAAGUUUGCGUAUCCAAGUUCCAAAUCCGGGGAGGUACAUAGGGUAGUGCUUAUAGCACUCCAAAUUGACAUUCUAUACUCAUCACUUUCCACAAUCUCAUCUCAACAACCUAAGUACCCCACACAUAGCCAAACAUAUAUAGAAAUUCUCAAAAUCCAUAUAUACAUACUCAAGAUACUCAAAUAUGUCAAAAUCCAAAAUAUAUUUCCAAUGCAUCAUAAAAAUAUCACUUUUAACAAUUGAAUAAAUAAUAUAUAUCCAAUAUACCAAUUAAAACAUCAUGCAUAAUAUUUCCCAUCAUAAAAUCAUGCAUAAGAUUUGAAAACAAAGUCCACUCACAAGUAGUCCCACACUGCUUGACCUUGAGAGGGUCCCGCCUACUGCGUAUGCGUGGUUGGAGUACCUAUUUCAGAAUACGUAUACGAGAUUAAUAAGAAGCGUUUCGAACGAGAACUUUGAAUUAAAUAUCCUAAUUUCCCAGGUUUCUAGUAAGUGUACUAGGAACGAGACGUUCUAAGGUUCCACUACCCAAUUCGAACCAUGGAAGAGCUUCGGGAGACACUCGGUCAACCGGCGGUCAAAUUCCCAAAUCGGGUCAACUGGCCCACGGGACCCACGACCUCCGUUUUUAAAAUCCGUAAGUUCCUAAAGGUUUCACAAUGUCUAAGAUACUACUAUCACAAGUUUGGUCCGAAACGGACUGUUAGAUCGCUUACGAUCGCACGAUCAGACGGUUAUUGUAAAACGUAAACUUUAAGUUAUUGAAUCAGAACAUCCGGGGCUCCGAUUCACGAUCCGCGAAUUCCUACACGAUCCUAGGAAGGUCUAGAGUAACAUAUAUUGGAAUGGAGUCGAUCCAAAGGUCCGAACAUAUCGAACCUAGACCGGAUAACUCCUAAUAUGUGAGAUUCGUUCGGGGUUCGAACAUCAACCAAAUUGGAAUCCUAAGGUACCUACGUGCUCGUGACAUUAAGGGGAUCAAUUGGGACAAAAAUGCCCCUCUGCUACAGUGCCCACGUGCCACCACACGCGGCGGUAGAGAGUGGGUGUCCAAAGCGAUUUCUCUUCGCCGGAAAAUCUCCAAAUUACAAGCCACUCUCCUGGCUACAGGUUCUACUCAACGAGUGGAACACUUUAUUCAACUACAGCCAAGUCCAAUUCGGACGGCAAGUGGCCGGAAACUCACGGUUUAACCCGGAACUUCAUGGCUUGGAUUGGGCGACCAUCGUCACCAUUGUCGUGGCACAACCUAGGAAAUAGCUAAAAGGAGAGGAGGGCUACCUAUUCCAAGCGAUGGCGCAGCUCGCGGUAGCCGAAAAUGUAGCCGAUGACGUUGGCAGUUUUGGCCGGUUUUUCACGUCGUUGCCAUCGCCGUUUGUCGAGUUUUCGAUUGGAGAAAAGGGGUGGGGUGAGUAGAGGAGGAAGAGAGGAAGCUUUUGCAAGAAAUGACACUUGUCAGGGAGGGGGGGGUUGGGGGAAGAGAGAGAGAGAGAGAGAGAGAGAGAGAGAAAAAAAAAAAAUUUCAGAUUUUCAUCCAAACCCUUUUCGAAAUAUUUACAAGUUUGCCACUAAACUACUUUUGGUUGCCAAAUCUUCGUUAUAACUCCGAUUCAAGCCUACCACGUGUCUACGGAUUCGUCUCAAUACAACCUACCCAAAAAUACCAGUCACUGCCCCAAACUCUUUUUGGGUAAGAAAAUGACCAAAAUACCCCUACCCCAAGGGUAAAUUCAUAAUUUCACUUCAAUAAUUUAAUAAAGAAUUAAAUUUGGAGUCGGGGUGUUACAUUAACUACCUGUUUAGUAGGUGUGGGGUUUUAUACAAAAAGCAUCGAUGUUAUUGGGAGUGGAACCACUUAUUAUAAGUUGUGAUUUAUUUAGUCAAGUUUCCUAUGUGGGAUUUUCUAUUCUUCAACAAGCCCCCUCAUGUGGGACCACCACAUAGUGGGCCACAUGUAAAGCUAAGUCCACAUCGGAGUCAAUCAUUCAAGCCCAAUACCUAAACACCACGUAUUGUGUGAGGGGUAGGGGUAAACAUUCAAGCCCAACAUGUGAACCACCAAAUAUUAAGUAAGGGUAAAGGCUCAAUUCAGGCCCAAUCAAUGAACCCAUUAUGAUAUCAUGUUAAAUUUCAGAUAGACGGGACUGUGGCCCACCACUAGCAACAUUGAUAUUGUCCCCAACUUAACUACAUGUUUAGUAGGUGUGGAGUUCUAUACAUAAGGUCUCGAUGUUUUUAGGAGUGGAACCACUUAUUAUAAGUUAUAAUUUAUUUAGUCAAGUUUCCAGUCAACCUGACUUUGAUACCAUGUUAAGAUUUUAAAGGGACGAACUCUUGGCACUAUUAGUAACAUCGACAUUGUCCCCAACUUAACCACCUGUUUAGCAAGUGUGGGGUUUUAUCCUAAAGGCCUCGAUCUUAUUAAGAGUUGAGUCAUUUAUUAUAUGGAACUUUCUAUUUUGUUAACUCUGUGUAUUCUUCAUCAAUGUGAACACCCCUAAACCAAUCAUACCUGAUACGAAUUGAAACACAAGUUUGUUUUUUGCCUUUGGUAGAUGAGUAGCUAGAAAAGCUCAAUGCACUUGCUCUUCUGCUACAUUUCAAUAUAAGAACAAGGUUUGGAAGUCAGGUCAACUCCUCAUAGCUUCCUUGCCUUUGCUUUGACAUGUCUAUGCACUUCUUGGGGAAGUUUGAAUAAUCCAUUGCAGGCCCCAUGACAACUAAGGAACCAACAUUUUGUAGAAGGUUUUGUCUAUACCUUUUGACUAUAAGUAAAAUCUUUUGUAUCUGCUCUUAUGUUUCGGUGAAGUUUCUAUGUGUCCUUUGUGCCGAGUUUCUAUGCGUCCUUUGUUGAACCAAAAAAUGAGGUUGUUUCUUACUAGAUUCAAAUACUUAAAAGAAAAAAAGAAAUUGUUGUUUCUUAAUGGAUUUUAUGAUGAACAAUAUCAAACUCUCCUCUUAUACGUCUGUUGGUAAAUUUUAACAACAAUAUUAAAACCUUGCAAGUGCACAAAUCAAAUGAUAGUAUAGUAAGCAAGCAAGGGUCGAUCCCACGGAGAUUGUGAUCUAAAGAGAUGUUUAUCAAUGUCACGCAAUGAAAAUCAAAACAAAGGACUUCCAAACACACGCCAACACCAAGGGGGGUUUUGAUUUGUUUUUGUGAAUCAAACAAAAUAAGGAAAAGGAAACAAAAGAGAAUUUAAAUUAGAGUUUAAGAGAAAUUGGUUUAAAAUCAAUCAAGAUCAAUAGCUAGGACUUACUAUCCACCUCCAAACAAUCAAUCAAUCCAUAAACAACAAUAGAUAAUCAAUUUCUAGUAAGCACACUACUACAAAAAAGCAAAAAGACGACGGUAAAUCACCGUCGUGUAUUCGGUUUUUCAAUGGUCGUGGAAUCCACCGUCAUCUUUUCCCUCAUAAACCACGACGCUAAAUCACCGUCGUUGUUACAAUAUACAACGUCAUCAACAAAUACAAAACGACGUCUUUGUACUGCAAAAAGAUCUAAAAAAGCAAUCGAUGAUGAGAAAAGACGACCAACUCUCUAAACAAACCGUCGUUAAAAAGAAAAAAUAUGACACAUAUUAACAGAACAUGGCCGCAAGAUAGACAUACAACGACGAAAAUUAAAAUAAGACGCCGUUAAAUAUCAUUUUCACGACAAUAAAAAAUAUGUCGUCUUUAAAUACAUUAGAAGACGACGUUAUUGAUACCUACUACGUCGCCUAUAUAAAAAUAACCGUCGUAAAAUAAAUUUUCCACUUCGAUUUUUCUAUAAAAGAUGACGUGGAAAUAGUUGUCAGUGUCAUUAUUUACGACGUAUGUAUUUAUAGAGUAGACGUUGAACAACGAAACAACGUCGGUUACAAAUAUAUGAGAGUCGUAUUACAAAAUUUAUACGUCCUAUUUUCAGAAACAAACAACGACGAUAAAUAUUAGACGUUGUUAAAUAAAACAACGUCGAAAACAAAUAAAAACAGACGUGUUUAGUCUGCUAAAGUUCUAAAAAAUAGUCGAGGAUGAGAAUAGACGACCAACUCAAACAAAUCACCGUCGUUAAAAAGGAAAAAUAUGACACAUAUUAAAAGAACAAGGCCGCAAGAUAGACAUACAACGACGACAACUAAAACACUACGCCGUCAAAUAUAAUUUUCACGACAAGAAAAAAUAUGACGUCUUUAAAUACAUGAGAAGACGACGUUAUUGAAAUAUACUACGUUUCUUAUUUACAAACAACCGUCGUGAAAUAAAUUUUCCACUUCGAUUUUUCUAAAAAAGAUGAUGUGGAAAUAGUUGUCAGUGUCAUUAUUUACGACGUAUGUAUUUAUAUAGUUGACGUUGAAAUGCGAAACAACGUCGGUGGCAUUUAUAUAGUCGACGUUGUAUUUAUAUGUAUUCAUUACUCACGACGCACUUAUUAAUAUAGACGACGUUGAACUUCUAAACAACGUCGGUUCCAAAUAAAUGAGAGCCGUAUUACAGAAAAUAUAGAUGGCGUUGAUUAUGAUGAGAGCCGUAUUACAAAUAACGUCGUUUAAUUGAUAUUAGACGGCGGUUAUAAUGAAUUACCGUCGGAAUUCAUUUCGUUCCUCUUCGUUUAUAAAAGAACUUGCGACGUGGAAAAUGUAUGAUGACGUCGUAUUUUUUAACGUUCAGAUUAUAUAUCUCGUUUUUUAGACGUCGGUAUUAUGGGAUUGGAGUCGUGUUAUUUUGAAUUACAUGGCGGUUCUUAAUCCUUCCCCGACGUGAUAUCCUGAAUAAUUGCUUCAUAAUAGCGUCGUGGUUCUUCAUUGUUACGUUGCUUUAAGACGUCGGUAAAUAUGCUGAAUAACUGGUUCACAAUAACGUCGUGUUUUAUUUGAACGUAGAAAGUGAAGAAAUCACAUUACAAUAUAUUACAAAAUUAAUGUCAUACACUGCCAAUUACAUAAGCAUCAUUCAAUCCAUAUAUCUUCACACCCAUCUCGAAUAUUUUGACCGCCUAACUCACCCACCAGUUCAUCAAAUGUGUCAACAUUUGGCAUCCCUCUAGUAAAUGGCUCACACUCAAUUAUCACAUCACCUAAGACUUCAUCACCAAUAACAUUAUUAUAUUCUCUAUUAGGCAUUGAUAACACUACCGACCAACCACGAUGCAUCGGGUCGUCAACAAAAAAUAUUUGUUUGACUUGAGAAGCCAAAACAAAUUGGUCAUUCCUAUGUCCAAUUUUACUCAAAUCUACAAGGGUAAAUCCAAGUUCGUCGACUACAAGACCAGAACUAUCUAUCCAAUCACACCUAAAGACUGGGAUUGUAAACUUUUGGUAGUCAAGGUCCCAAAUUUCUUGAAUGACACCAUAGAAACCCAUAUUUGAGAGAAUUGAGUUUUUAUCCUUGGCACUAGCAACUUGCAUGGUAUGUGCAAGUAAAUAAACUCCACUAUUUUGAGUUGUCCGCACAUCAUCUUGUGCCUUGAUAUUGAAUUUAAUACCUUUAAUAAGAUAGCUCCUAUAUAAUGGCACAGCCAUGUUUGGACCAGCUGCUAGCCACCUUAAAUUUUCUGAUACGCCAUGAUUGUCUUCCUCAAGUUCACUUUGAACCUGCAAAUUAAUCAUAUAUCUUAAUGCAAUCUAACAUAGAAAUAAGAAGAAAAUUAAAAGAGAAAUAUGUUAUUCAACAACAUAUACCUUGAAGCGUAGCCAUUGAAUGAAAGUGUUAUUGUGCUUAUCCUGCAGCCACUUUGUGAUUUAAGGUAUGACAAUCAUGUGAUUUAAGGCCAAGAAGUCUUGAAUCUUGUAAAGAUACAAGAUUUUUAAUAUUUGAAGAAUAACCUUCAGGGACCUUCAUACCAUAGAAAGAAUUGCAAACCUCUCUCUUCUCUGCUCUUGACAAAUUCCAAGGCCCAGGAGGCAAACGAGUACGUCUUUCUCCAUACUCGGGUUGCAAAUCAGUUUUGACCCCCAUGUUCAAUAAAUCUAAUCGAGCAGCAAUCCCAUCUUUAUUUUUUCCAGGGAUCUCCAGCAAUGUACCAAUGAUACUAUCGCAAACAUUCUUCUCAAUGUGCAUAACAUCUAGGGCAUGCCUCACAGGAAGGUAUUUCCAAUACUCGAGAUCAAAGAAUAUUGAUUUCUUCUUCCAACAAACUCUGUCACCAUUUUCAACCAUGUGCAGCACUUCUUCUCCGGUUAAUGGCUCGGGAGGUAUGCCAUAUUCAGGUUUCCCAUUAAAAGCUGCACGUUGCCUCCUAUAUGGAUGAUUGAUUGGUAACCAUUUUCUAUGCCCAAUGUAACAAAUUUUGUGGCCAUUUUCAACCUGUGACUAGGUGUAUCAUCGCCGCAUAUUGGACAAGCUUUAUAUCCUUUAACAACACAACCAGAUAAGUUUCCAUAGGCGGGGAAAUCAUUAAUUGUCCACAUUAAUGCAGCUCUGAGUGUAAAGUAUUCUCCAUUAUGUGCAUCAUACACUCCUCUAAUCCCAUCCCACAAAGAUUUUAAAUCAUCAAUCAAAGGCUCCAAGUAGACGUCUAUAUCAUUUUCGGGUUGUUUAGGACCGGAAAUCAAUAAGGUUAACAUCAUGAACUUUCGUUUCAUGCACAGCCAUGGAGGGAGAUUAUAUGUAACUAAGAUAACCGGCCAACAACUAUAUCUGCUACUUAGAGAACUGUGGGGAUUGAAUCCAUCAGAUGAAAGAGCCAAUCUCAAGUUUCUCGGCUCAUUACCAAACUCAGGCCAUUUAUCAUCAAGAAGUUUCCAAGACGGGGAAUCCGCCGGAUGAGACAUCUGACCGUCAAUUGAUUUUCUAGCAGCAUGCCAAGUCAAACUCUUAGCUGUCUCAUGUGAUUGAAACAUCCUUUUAAACCUUGGAAUUGGAGGAAAAUACCACACCACCUUCGCUGGCACAUCCUCUUUCAAGAUUGAAUCUUUGCCUUCCUUCCACCUUGAGAUACCACAAGUAGGACAAUUAGUUGAAUCCUCAUACUCCUUCCUAUACAAGAUGCAAUCAUUGGGGCAUGCGUGCAUUUUCUCAUAACUCAGCCCCAAUGCACACAAAGUCUUUUUUGCCUCAUACAUAGAGGUUGGUAUUGUAUUUCCUUCUGGAAGCAAAUCGCCUUGAAGUAUCAAUAAUUCUGUAAAACAGACAUCACUCAUCCCAUGUUUUGCCUUCAAAUUAUACAACUUCACUAAUGCCGAUAACUUCGUGUACUUUCUACAACCAGGGUACACUGGUUGAUCUCCAUCCCCAAUCACAUUGGCAAACUCAUACGGAUCGGAACCAAAAUCACCAAAAUCAUUAUCAUCCAUAUCAAUUUCUUCAGACACAAAACUGUACCUACUAUGGCCAUCAUCUUCUUCAACAUUUCUACUAGCAUUAGUAGUUGCUUCCCAAGGUUCUCCGUGAAAUGUCCAAUUCUUAUAGCUUUGGUCAAUUCCAUUAAAGUAUAAGUGAUCCCUUAUAAUUCCAACCCCAAACAACUUCAAAUUAACACAUUUAACACAUGGACAACGGAUAUGUGUUGUAGUUAGAAGAUUUUCUACAGCAAAGUUCAAAAAUGCUUCCACCCCAAACUCAUAUGCCUUCGAUCUUCUAUCCGAGUGCAUCCAUGACUUAUUCAUCUCCGACACUAUAACCUAUUAUCUAUAAUAAAGUGAAAAUACAGGCAAUGACCAUCACUAUAGCAGAUUAUACAAAGAUCUAAUAGCAAGUAAUACAUAACAGAGACGACGGGUUUUAAACAAAAACAGACGUAUUUGGCAUAUAUAGACGACGGAUUUUCAACAGACGUCGUCUAAUAUAAGUAAUACAAACGACGGUUUAUGAAAAAACCGUCGUGUAUAAGUAAUACAACGACGGUUUUUUCAUAAACCGUCGUGUAAUCGUCGUCGUAUGCCUAAAAAGGCGUCGUGUCUCAGUUUAUUUUCAAGAACCCAAAACCCAUUAAGAACACAACAUAUAUAUGAAACCAAGCAAGAAACCAACAUAUACAUGAAGCCAAGCAUGAAAACAAUAAAUCCAUUCCCAAUUCAACAUAACAUAGGGUGAUUAAAAGAUCCGACAAAAUUAAAACCAUUCCCAAUUCAACAUAACAGAUAAUGUAAUCCAUGAACCCAUUAAACAGAAAAUCCAUGAACCUAUACCUAUAAGCACAUUAUUAACAGAUCGCAAAGCAUAUACCUAAAACCCUUUAACAAAACAACCUAAUAUCAUUCAAUGAAUUUACAAAGGGAAGAUAGGGUUUGUACUUACAGGUUGGACGAGCUCACAGAUUCGACGAAGCCUGGAGAGUGCAACUUUUAAUUAGAGCAGAAGUGAGAGAGCGAAUGUUAUGUUGCGCGAAAUCUGAAAAUUUUAGGGUUCAGGGUUAGAAGUAUAAGAAUAAGAGCCAAAUAUAAAAAAAUUUAGGGCGCGCGAAAAUUUUUAGAGCGCGCGCUCUUUAAAACGUCGAAAGAAAAACCAUGGCGAAAGUUCUACAAGAACCGACGUAAAUGUAAUAUUCCACGACGAAAACACUUAACGUAACGCCGUUUAUUUUGACGUUCAUUUUUCGGAUUAAUUUUAAAUUUAUUUUGAAUAUUUUGAUAUAAAGACGACUGAAAAACCACGUCGAAGUUAAGAAAUUGAAAACGUUGUAAAUUAUAAUAGACGACUUACAUAUUAAAAUGACGUCGUUUAAAGUGGAAACCAUGUCGGAUAUUUUACUGCACGACGUAACAUAUGUAUUCCACGACUCAACCACCGUCGUUAACAAUUAAUACCCUAAACCCUUAAAACUAAAUUAUAUAAUUUUAAAAAUUAAGUUUAUAAAAGGGUUUAUGGUUUUACAGCCUAAUAUAUACCCUAUACUACCCAAAAAUUAUACUUUAAAAAUAAACCCCAAUAAAUAACAACCCUAAUCUCUAAACCCUAGACUCUAAACCCUAAACCAUAAAACUAGAAGUGAUUUUAUGACUCAUCAAAACAAUUUUGUUUUGGAUGGUCAUUUUAAAUUUUUUUUAUUCAAAAUGAAUUUUUUCAAGGUUUAGGGGGAAGAAAAUAUAUCAAUGACUUCAUAGGAGUUGACUUUUCAUUUUUCUGAUUUAUUUUAAAUUUAUUUUGAAUAUUUUGAUAUAAAAAUAAUAAAAUAUUCUUAUCACAAUAACAAACCACGUCGGUGUUAAUAAAUUUUAGACGUUGUAAAUUGUAAUAGACGACUAAGUUGUUAAAAUGACGUCGUUUAAAUGAGAAACCAUGGCGGAUAUUUAACUAUCCGACAUAAAAUAUAUAUUCCACGACUUAACCGCUGUCGUUACAAAGUACUACCCUGAACCCUUAAGAAAUUGAAGACGUUGUAAACCAUAAACGACUCAAUUGUUCAAAGAACGUCGUCUAAAUAUCCUUUUACGUCGGAUUUGGUUAAAACGAAACAACAAAAAACGACGGCUUUUGACUUUAUUACGUCGUUGGAAAAGUAUUACACGUCGGUUACGCAAUUUGUAUGUUUGUUUUUUUUUUUAAUUUAAGAAAACCUCAACAAAUUUUUACAUUAUAUAUUAUAGACAAAAUUUGUACAUUAUACAUAAAUAUCAAGUGUUCAAUAAUUCCCCUAUUCCAGGUGAAGGCAAACAAACUCUGACCAUUCAUUCCGGACUUCAUCAAUUGCUUCUUGGGGGUAUGGCGCUUCCUGUUUUCCCUUGGCAUACUGCAUAAACAAUGACUAUUAGGGUUUAUAAAUAAAAAGAAAUUCAAUCACAGACGACGAUAUUUUUCAUAACCGACGUACUAUAUCUAUUCAACGACGGUAAUUUUACAUGACCGUCGUUGAUAAUACAAAAAACGACGUAAAAUGUAUGAAGGUAAUUUCUUCUUACCUUCUUCUCAAACCCCAAGGAAGGAUCCAUGAUGAUGUCCCUCAUGAAGCGCAUCACAUAAUACCCGCAUUCGACAUUGCUGGGUUGCUUUGGUGUCCCUGACAGAGUUUUCCAAAUGGCUGCCUUACGGCCUGGUCUGGCUAUGUGAGAAUUAUAAAUUUUUAUAGCACUGUUCACAAUGUUUUUGGCCUCUUCAUCGACCACACGAUUUCCUGGCAGAGGAUCCAGAAAAUAGACGGUUUCUCUCUUUGCUCUUACAAUCAGCAAGAUCCAAUGACGGCUGCACAAAAUUAAUAUAAAAACGACGGUUAUUUACAAUAACGACGUAUUAUAAUGUUUCACACGACGAAAUAAAGUAGCAAUCGACGACAUUUUACAUUUAUCACGACGAUAAAUAACUACCGACGUGGUUAGUAGUUUCAAACGACUCAAUAAAAUAAAACACCGACGUGGUUAGUUUAUACGCUGUAAUUUAUUGAAAAUCAUAAAAACAAAAUCCUGUUAAGGAGACUAACCCUGGAUUGUAAGGCAUCAGGAAAAUCUGUUCACCGUCAGUCUUUUGAAGUCGAGCUGCUAGUAAGCGUGAUCUGUCAGCUAUUGUGCCAGAGUUGGCACUAACUGUAGCAAGGUCGAUAAAGCCAACCAUAUUGCACAUAUUUGCUCGUUUCAAAACAUCGUGCAAGUGCCUAAAUAUAUAAAAUAAUAUAAACAAGUCAGCACAAAAAAACACACGACGGUUAUGUAUAACAAAACGACGUAUUAUAAAAUUUCACACGACGUACUGAAAUAGACAACGACGUUAUAAUAUAUUUAUCACGACGGUAAAUACUAACGACGUGGUUAGUUAGUUAAGACGACGUAAUAAAUAAACCAACGACGUAUUAUUUUAGAAUGACAAACCUCAUAUAUACAAAAAAACACGACGGUUAUGUAUAACAAAACGACGUAUUAUAAAAUUUCACACGACAUACUGAAAUAGACAACGACGUUAUGAUAUACUAACGACGUGGUUAGUUGGUUAAGACGACGCAAUAAAUACACCAACGACGUAUUAUUUUAGAAUGACAAACCUCAUAUAUACAGCAAUGACAGUGGCUCCUAUUUCUUCCAUGCCUGCAAAUUGUGUAAUAUCUUCAGGCAGGAGGAAGGUAUCGCGCUCUAGACCAAACACCUCCUUAUCAAUUGUAAAGUGCAGGGUCUUAUCCUGAGGCACGAGUGUCGUUUCCACAUAACGACAAAGGGAGUUUAAAGAAGAUGGCGCCUCCAUAUUUGAAUAAUCAACAACUUUAAUAACCUGUUUAAAGAAAUAUAAAAAAUGACGUGGUAAUUCAAUAAAAACGACGGUUUAAGGAAUAAAACGUCGUCUGAAAAGAAUUUAAACGUCGUCUGAAGAAACCGUCGUGGUGAAUAAUUUAUUACGUCUUAAAAAAAAUUCCGCCGUCUAAGUUGUAAACAAACGACGGUUUAAAGAAAAAUAUCGACGUCUGGAAUUUUGAAAAACAAAUAAAAAAGGCAAAGUUAUGUGAACAUACCUGGUCGUCAUCUUCUUUCUCCUUUUCAUCAUGUUUUUCUUCUGUCUUCCCUUCAUCUAUUACGUCGAGAAUGACUAACUCCGUCGUCUAAAAACCACAAAGUUUUAAAAUAACGACGUUUAAUGGCGUGUAAAACAAGUAAACUAAAUACGACGUGGUAUUGAAAUACAAACGACGGUUUAUGUUUAAAAUCGUGGUGGUAUGUAUUUCAAACGACGGUUUUAUUAAUAAUAACGACAUCUAAUGGUUUUUAAAAAAACAGAGAAUUCAAAGUUCAGAUAUGUUACCUUUUCUUCCUGAUGUUUCCCAUUUUUGGCAGUAUCAUCCUCAAAAUGCUGGGAUCUCACAUCACCUCCAGAGCAGCUUGCUUUGUCAGACAUUGGAUUUUUGGGACUUUGGCUAAUUCUGGGUUUAAGCAUGCUUGGAUCAAAAUUGGGAAUUAAUUGGGAAAGCUGACUCAGGAAAUGCUCCCUCUCAGCCUCUACCAAUUGUUUCGUUCUAGCCUCCAUCCUUAAAGCCUCUUCCCUUGCCUUAGCUUCCAUCUUUUUAGUCUCUUCUUGAAGGAGAACUCUUAAACUGUCCUUCAAACGGUCGUCAAAGCUCACUCUCUGUGGUUUGGGUAAAUUGAAAUAUUGCCUUGGUGAGAUCCCAGCACCUACUCCUCUCACUCUGCCUGGAUGCUCGGGGCCCAAAGCCAUGGUCAGCACAUCAUUGCUGCCAGAAACAGUGACUUUGCCUUCCGAGACUUGUUUUUGCAAUUCAUCCUAAAACAAAGAUAUAUAAAAAAGUAAGAACAAAAACACACGACGGUUAUUUAUAUACAAACGACGUAUUAUAUAAUUUCACACGACGCAAUAACAUAUAAAUCGACGUUAUUAUAAUUUAUCACGACGGUAGUUUUUAAACCGACGUGGUUAGUUUUUAAAACGACGAAAUGAAUAAACCACCGACGUCUUAUGCUUUAUUUACAGAUAACAGAGGGAUGAUUCAAUAUUCACACCUUUAACGACCUUGUUUAAAAUAUUUCGACGUAGUAAUUCAAUACAAACGACGCGAAAAUGAACCACCGACAUCUUAUGCUAUAAUUACAGAAAACAGAGUAGUGAUUCCUGAUUUAGACCUUUAACGAUGUGGUAAUAUCAUUCACACGACGCAAAAUAUAACAUAAGACGUAAUAAGAAUUAUUCACAGUUUAAUAAAAAUUUAAAACAGAGUGAGUAGGCUUACAAUUAAUUUUGCUUUCUCUGCCACCUUUGGAUCCGGGAUGUUACCAUGUUUGUCCUGUCUAGCUCUCUUCCAUAAGGUAGAUCGAUCAAUUUCUACCCCAGGCAUGGUUUCCUCCAAUUGAUCCUCCAAACCAGCAUAUCCUUUUCGAGACAAUCGAUGAUUGUACUCAAGUUUCUCCCUAAUCUGUGCAUGUUGAGAAUGCACAGACUCAAAAUCUUUGGAUAACCUUGAAGCUACAAAGGCAUCCCAUUGUGCUUUCUCUAUGAAUUUAUAUAUUUCAGGGGGUUGGCUUAAUCUCUCCCUGUCAUUAGUGUAUGGAAGGAUAUAUUGCCUCGUUAGUGUAGACUUGAAAUCCUUCCAUUUCUUGGCAGCAGAAGCUAACACAGAGCUCUUGCCCCCUUGACCUACCACAAAAGCAAUGUCAACUGCUUCCCAAAUCUGCUCCUUUAUAUCCUUGGAGAUUUGAGCCUAUUUCAUGUCCACAAGUGGAACUCUGGAGCGUGCCAACACACCAAUGUAGGACUGCAUCUCACUAUGUGCUUGGCCAAUUCCUUUCCCCCUUUUAUUGUACUCAACAAUUGGCCUCAGUUUCUGAAGUUUUCUCUUCACAACAUGAGGCAUUGUGCUCAUACCUCGACCAGACUUUGAAUCAUCAGAGAUUGUUGUCGUGCUGGUUCGUUCUGUCUCAGCAGAUGAUGAAGCAAACUUCAUCUUCUUCGAAGGCUUCACUUGAGGAGGUACCAUUCCAAGGUCCUUACCUCCAUUUUUCUUGGAGCCAGAAUCCUUACUUUGGUCUUAGUGAGAAACCAUUUUUACAGACAAAACUGCAAGUGAAAAUAUUUCAGGAAAAGAUUAAGAACACAAACGACAGUUAUUAAUAAAAUACGACGUAUGAUAUGAUUUUAAACGACGCAAUGAAAUAAUCUCAGACGUAAUAAAUGUUUAAAACCAAGGUAAUUAAACAACGACGAAAUAAUUAACUAUAAACGACGUGAUAAUUAACUAUAAACGACGAAAUAUUUAUAUAACGUCGUGGUAUUGAUGUUCACACGACGUCAGUCGUAAUAUACCGUCGUCUAUAUAAGGAUCCAAAACCCUUCUUUCUUUCUCUGUGAAUGUUUGAUUGCAGAUUUGAUUUUUCUGAACCAUGGUUUUUGUUUUCUAAUUUGAUAAAAUACAAGGCCAAGAAAGAAAGUUUUGGAAUCUUAUAUAGACGACGGUAUUUUAAUAUGACGUCGUGGUAUUAACAUUCACACGACGUAAAACAAUAAGAUACUGUCGUCUAUAUUAGAUACCAACCCUACUUUCUUUUUCUUUAUAUUUUAUCAAAUUAGGGAAAAACAAAAACCAUUGUUCAGAGAAAUCAAACCUGCAAUUAAACAAGCAAAUAAAAAAAAGACUAUAAUUUUAAAAACAACUUUGUCAAUUUUCAGACGACGCUAGAACGACUGACGAACCGUCGUGGUCUACAUAUUUAACCACGUACAUAAGAAGCUACCGUCGUCUUAUUUAGUUGAGGUAGUUGUCUUCAAAGUUGGAAACUUUCCCUCUUUGUCUGUAUAUUUUAUUGAACUUGGAAAGAAGUAAAAUGAUUUUGGCCAGAAAAAAGGUAAAAAGAUUUUUCAAACAAAAAACGUAUGAGCAUGCAAAACAACAACCAAAAUAGUGAAAAUGAAAGCUUACCUUUUGCGUGCAAUGAAAGCAAGAGGAAGAUUAUGUUUAAGUUCAGAGACGACGAAGAAGAAGAGAGGAAGACGAUGAGAUACUCUGACAGUGCUCUGACAAGGAAAAAAGUCUAAAAGUUUUCUCUGGGAGAUUGAACUUUUUAAUCGGGUUUGAAAACGGCGCAUGUGUAUGUCAGGUAGACGAAAAGUUGCUUACAUAUAAAACCAUUUCAAAAAAAUAAUACGGCGGUUACAUAUAACUACGACGUAUAAAUUACAAAAUACGACGGUACAUUUAACUUCGGACGUGGUAAAUAAAUACGACAGUAGUGUUGUAGGUACCGUCGUAGUAAACUCAAAAAUUAAAGUACAUAAGUAAUAACUCGCGUCAUGGUAGAUUAUUUAACACGUCGUUUUUAUUAAUUUACCGACGUGGAUUUCUGUAAUAUACGUCGAUAAUACCGACGUUGAUUUUACAAUUUAAACGGCGGUUUUUUUGUAAGGACCGCCGUUGGUUUUAAAAAUUUAUUCUAUAAAUUUGUCGCUUUCAUUCAUUUUCGGUUUACAUUUAAGGUUCCAAGUUCUUCCUCUCUCAGUCUCUCACGUCUCAAAGACAAUAAUUUGGAUGUCUUUCUCAAAGAGAAAUUGAGCUUACUCGCAUCAAAUAUAUGUCCACAAGAAGAAGCUUGUCAACUAGCCUUCUCACUUCCUUGAUCAAGCCUGAUAGGACACUUAGUGCUUCUGAAUACUCCUUGCUUUCCAUCAAAAGAGAUGCAAGCCUGGCCUCCACUCGCUGUCGAAGGAAAGUUCGCUUCUCAGGGAAAUCUUCUUGAUUUUCUUGGCUAAGAAGAUCCGUCAGAUUUGUGAUAGCCUCUUCCUUUAUCCGUAGAGCUUCAGAAGAAGAAGAUGGGUUUCAAGAAUGCGAUAAAGAAUAGAAAUGGCUUCAGAUGGCCUCUAAAGCAUGAGCAAUCGAAUCAGUAGUUGUUGGGAGAUAUGAUGAAGACAUUGUCAAUGCUUUGAACUAUACAAGUCCUGCAGAAAGAUAAAGGACCAAACUGUUAAAGAAACUGAAACAAUGGCGGUUUUCUGUUCUACCGUCGUCUUUUCUCGUCGUCUAUAUUAAGGUAAGAUGGCGGUAGAUUUAUAAUUACCGACGUAGAUUAUUUUGUUAAACGUCGUUAAGUGUACUACAACCGACGUGGAUUUUAUUUUUAAAUUAUAAAUAGAGUUUUUUUUCCCCUAUUCUUUCAGUUUUAGUUUUCAAUUACAAAGCGUGAUAAAUAGAUUUUUCUUUCCCGAGGAAAUUUAAAAUGAGGGAAAUUAAUGUUCUAGAAUUUGUAAACUAACACGACGCAAUAUUUGCAAAUCUGUGUCAUCUGUUAAGAUUAUGAUGUGGAACAGAGUUCCAUCUGGUAAGAUUUCGUAACCCUUGGGAUCUCAGACAAAUCUGAUUAUGUCGGCGGUUUUCUAUAUAAAUCGUCGUGGUUAUUUCAAUUCUUGUCAUUAAGUAGAUCUACCGACGUAGGAUAAGAAAAUCAAAGAAAAAAAUUGUUAACAAAAAUUCUUAUUAAGACGACGGUUAAAAUUAAAGGUACGACGUAUAAAAUGAAUAAAUACGACGUUAAAUUUUAUUGUACGAUUUAAAGAUAACGUCGUAGAACUAUAAGAGAAUGACGUCGAUAUAUUUAUAUUUUCCGUCGUUGUACAUUAAUUUAAUACGGCGAUAUUUUGUAUUUUAAAGCCGUGGAUUUGUUUGUAAUUAUACGGCGUCUUAUACGAAAACCUCGUCGUGUUAUUUUAUGAGUAAAAACGGCAGUUUUUAUUGAAAUCGUCGUCUUUACUUUCUACGUCGGUCGAUUCAUAACUUCUGCCGUUCUUUGUUGGCAUUGAUUUUACACUGCGAAAAUCUGUUUCAAAUAGACGUCGGUUGUUUAAUUAUGUACGUUGUUGUUUUUGAACAGCCAUUUGAAUCUCCAUUUUUUAGUUGUCUAAGGUUGUAUUACACGACGGUGUUUUUAGAACCGUCGUCUUUUUAAAAACCACGACGGUUUUCACUUAGACCGUCGUUGUUUUCUGGUCGUCUUUUUCACUUUUUGUAGUAGUGGCAUAUGAUGACGACACUCACAACAAGAUCAUGGCAUUUGACUCGAGUUGUAUGAUUCUCUCUUAAGUGUAUGUAAAGUGUAUGACAUUUACAUCAAUACGUGUAUUCUUAAUUGAAAUCUACUAUGGCAUUUACUCAAAUUAACAAUCAAGAAUCCAUUAAGAUCAAAGAGAAUAUGAGUGUCACAAAAACCCUAAAACAUGGCAUUUGUUAUUAGGAAUUCAAGAAUCGAUUUCUCAUAACUAGUUCUUAACCCAAUUAUUCGUUGCAAAUAAGAACACAUUCAAUAUGGCAAUUGACCUAUGUUCUACAACAAUUUAAUUCCAAUACAUGCUUCUAAGUUAGCUACUCAAAGAAACAAAAUAUCAGAAUUCACAUAACAUAUAGAAACCGAAAACAUCACGCUUGUAGAAACUAAAAAUCCAUUAACCUUGUUUAUAAAAUUGAAAUCAUGUUUAGGGCUUCAAGAUUAAGCCCUAACUAACAAGAAAUUAGUUACUCAUGGUCUUGGAUGAACUCAAAAAUAAAUACAUAAGAACUGAAAAUUAAAGAAGGAAGGAAAAGAAAGAACUCGUUCGCAGCUUUCUCCUCUUGCGCUGUUGAUCUCUUUAGGACGUGAAUCCUUUUUAUCAGCCUUGCCUCGUCUUUUAUAUCACUUAUAUCAGAGUUCUAAACCCUAAAAUUGACUGAAAAGUCGUCCAAGAAGUCUUGGUAAACAAGGAAUCCAAAUAGGAAAGUAAAAAUCACAAUUCCUAACUCCACUGGGAAAUACAGCUCAGCCCAAUGUUCACACGAUUUUGGGAUCUUCGACCUUGUAGAAAAAUCAUUAAAAAUAUAUUUUAGAAAGAUAAAUGUCUUAUCUUUCCAACCAUAUAUAGCACGUAACUUGAAAAAUUCGGAAAGGCUUCCGUUUCUUCACAUUCACGUAGCAUGUACGAAACUGUCCUGUCUGCACGUGGGCUAACUUUACUUGUAAUACUGUACCAAUUGGCUCGGUAGAAAAUUCUAGAAAAAUCAUAGAUUGAACUUCAAGAUGUUAGCUUUCAUCUCCAAUCAGGGGCGGCCUUGGGGAGGUGCAAGUGGCGCCACCGCACAGGGCCCCCGAAAAAAAAAAUAUUUAUAUUAUAUAUAUAUAUUAAUAUUAUAUGAAUCGUAUAUAUAAUAUAGCGUCUGGAUAUUUGCACAACAGCGUGUUCAGGGGAGUUGGAUGGAGCACAUCUCUCUUUGGCAAAAGGGCCCGAGUUCGAUGCUCCUUGAUGUCGUUCUACUGGCUAGCCUUUUGUGAUAUUAUUUUUGCAUUCAAACUUUACAUAAUUAUUGAACCAUUGGAUUAAUAUGCAACGAUGGGUGACCACAAUCUCUUGGACUCCUGUGGUCCAUGAGAUCGGGACUGAUAUUACAUGACUUAUUUUAUUAAAUUAUUAUCAUGUUGAUGAUUGGUUGUAUGAGAAUAUAGUUUGUAGAAAUAUUUAUCUAUUUCUUGUUGGGGUUUUCUUCCAGGUUAUAGGGUUUUGGAAUUUUUCUUUGUAAUCUAAACAUGCCACCUACUAGAAAAUACGUUUAUGGAUAUACAAAACGGCUUAGAAAAAGAAAAUUCGAGGAAUUGACUCAAUCUCAAAGAGGAGCUCUUGAUAGAUUCAUUGUUAGAGAAUCACAUGCUACAAUUGAUGAAAAUAUUUAAAUUUUUAUGAAUUUAAUUUCUGAUUUUCAUUGCAUAUUUAUUGAUGGUGAAUUUUAGUUAUAAAAAAAAAUUGUUUAUGACAUUAAGUUAUGGCAAAUUUUUAUAGUAUUUUCGUAUUAGAUUAUGCAAGGCCCCAAUUUAAGUUUCGCACAGGGCCCUCAAAAUCUCAGGGACGGCCCUGUCUCCAAUUGGUCUUGUGCUAAAAUUCCUCCGAAAAGUUGAUUUUCCCUUAAAAACCUUCUAAGAGUGCAGAAAAGCUGAAAAUCAGAAAAAUAAAGUAAUAAGCCAUUUUUAAAUCUAAUUCUCUUACAAAACCAAAGUAAAAAGAGUACAUAAAUGAGUAUAUUUAUGGACUUAUCAACGUCUUCUUCGUUGGACUUGGGGUUGUUUUCCUUAUAUGUCCCCUAUAUAUAUAUAUGGCCUUUAGUUGAGCCCACAAAUACCUUCAGUUAGUUUUUGGGUUUAGGGGCCUACAGAACCUGCACUAAACAAUAAAAGAAAAUACCUAAUUAGUUUAGUACGAAUUUAUAAUGAAGGCUUUAUUAGGUGAAGUUUUAUUUCUUAAUCGUUAGAUCAAAUUGGUUAGCAUCUGAAGUCGCCCAAAGAUUUGAGAGGGAUUCCACAAACAUAUAAUAUAAAGAAAGAAAGCAAUAGUAGGAGAUGAACCAGUACAAAAAACAAUAUAUAAAUAGUACAUAAUAAUUCCAUAACCUUGUCACAAACGCACUCACAAAUGCUUUCCAUAAACCUUGCCCUAACAUAUAACAAAUAAAGGCAACAUUGCAUAUGAUGCAACCAUGUCCAAAUCUGAUACGUGAUAAAAAAAAAAGGACAUGGCAGCAACAUAUGACUGAAGUAGAUGGGCUCUUUGCAUCUCGUGUUAUCGUAAUUAAAGACAUCAAAAUAUUAAGGUUGAAAUCUUCUAUAGUAGCAAGCAUUAAAAUAGGUUUGAAGCAGAGUUUAAAGAAAAUUCCAAUUCCACUGAUUUGCCUCUGCUCAAAGACGAGAACCAAAAUGGUUACUUCCCUUGCUGAGUAUAUUUGUUAACGUCGGAAACGGUAAUAGAUGACCAAUCAAACCCAAGUACGACGAGUUUUGCAUAGGAUCAGAAGUAGUUGAAUCCAGCUUGCAUCACACGCUUCUUUGACUCCAUUGCAUUAGAUGAGUUUUUGUAUUUUUGAACAGCUACACUCCGAAGUCGUUUGUGUCUACGCUUCAUGCGCUGCAACUUCGCCCUAUCCAGAUUGGCCUGCCUUUUGUCAUCUUCAAUUUGGCCUUCAACAAAUUCCAAACGUGCCCUUGCCCUUUGGAUUUCAUCACCAAGUUGAAGAUGCCUCUCCUUCCAAAAAGCAAGAACUCUUUCAGACUCAAAACUUCCAACAAAAUGGUCAUUCUAUCUAGGAAUGUGACAUUGCUUGUCUGGUGACUCACCUGCGUUUCAAAGGCGGUCUUUGUUUGGAGGGGUGUUUAUUAUGCUCACAUCAAACUUGGUUAGUAAAUCCAUUCUAUGGGGGGAGUGAGUUUCUGUGGAGGAGAGAGUUUCAGUAGAUGGAGACAGAUUCGGUGGAGGAGUGAGAUUUUUGUGGAGGGAGAAUUUCUAUGAAAUGGGUGAUAGUAAUACCAAUAAAAGGGUUCCCGCCAAAAAGUAUUUGGUUGACAAUGUAUAAAUUAAUUUUUGGUCUGAUACAAUCUAAGUUUAAUCCUAACUAGUUUGGUUAGUUUGGUUGAAUUCACUAACUAGAUGUCACUUCCAUUGAGUUUCUUUCAACCACUAUCAGUGGUGUAAGGAGAGUGUGAGGUUGACAUGCUUGAAAAGCAAAACCUAACACCUCUUUUUUUUAAAAUUGAAAGAAAGUACAUAUGUUGACUACACACAAGCUUUGGUAUGUUGGUCUAUAAAGCUAUGUUCCCUUUCUCAAACGAAAUUGCAUAUGCAAUCCUCGUCCUCCCAAAACAAAUAGAAUUAUUCAAGCAUGUCAACCUCUUCAGGCGCCAACAACACAAUCAAAGAUGACAAAUUGGAGUCGCAGGUUCUAUUUCCACAUUGUACUCGCCGACCCCUUCCAUUUUCAACAUCAUUUGGGAGUGAGGGGGACUCCGAUGAUCCAUUAGAGCUAAUACAUGCAGUCAAUAGCAAGCUGGAUUAUAAUUCCAGACUGAUCAAUUCAUGGCGCGAGAAAUAUGUUGAAGACGAAGCCAUUUUGGCUGAUCUUAACAUUAGAGUGAACAAAGCGUUCUCCCAAAAGAACAAGUACUUGAAGCUGAGUCAUAAAAGGAAGCUGAAAGCUGAGGAGUUAGAUACAGUAAUGAAUGAUGAAAUUAAAGGUUGUUUGAUGAAUCAUAUGCGAUGCGAAGAGCACCACAGUGAACUGGAGUUGGCAUUCAACGAAGGAUUCGAAAAAUUACGAGCAUUUGCAGCAACUACUCAUACAAGUUAUAAUUGGGACUAUGUGUCCCCUGAUGUUGUGAGAGAGAUACUAGACGAUGGUGGUGACAUGAAUGAGCAUAAGCACGUCAAAGCUGCUUGGAAGAAGCCGACCGAUACGACUAAGUGAUUGCGGCUACAGUUGUUCAGUUGGUUGAGAGUGAUCGUGGUAUUGCACAAAUUAGAAGUAUAUUCCCAUAAUGUCAUUAUCUAAUUUAAAAUAACACAAAUAUCAGUUUCAUUUGCUUCAUAUUGUAACACCCCGACCCCAAAUUUCCCCAAAAUUUACCCUCAUUUAAUUAAUUAAUUAUUUAAGGGUAUUUUAGUCAUAUUUUUAACCGGAGAGAGUUUGGGACCAUGACUUGUAUUUUUGGAUAGGUCGUACUGAGACGAGUUCAUAGACACGUAGUGGGCUCGAAUCAGAGUUGUAACGAGAGAGAUAUGGUCAAAAGAAACCCAGUGGCACAAUCGUAAAUAUUUCAAAAUGGGAUUUUUAUAAAAAUCUGGUUUUUCUCUCUCUCUCUCUCUCUCUCUCUCUCUCUCCCGCGACUUCUCUCUCUCUCCCGUCGGCUCUCUCUCUUUCUCUCCUUGUAUCUCCGGCCACCGACCACGGCUGUGGGCGGGGCCGGUACCAAACUGACCGGGACGACGUCCCCUUCCUUCCCCGACCAUUCCCCGCCGGCAACGCGGCCGUUGCUGGCCGGAAAAUGCAGAAAACCGCCGGGAGGUCGUCGAAACUUCAACGCCGUCGAUCUCCCUCCUCCGGCCACCAUUUUCGUCGACCCAGGUAUGGAUCUUGAACCUCUCGAGCUGUUCUAGCUGUUUGUUGGUUGGGUUUUGAUCGAUUCGAUCUCUAGAUCACUCGAUUUUCGAAUUGAAAAUUGGCCGAAACUUCGGCCGCCGUGAUCGGCCAUUUUCGGCCACUUUUUGUGGUAGGUCCAAGAACAAAAGUGGCUCCAAAUAGGGUGUUAUACCUAGGGUAGAAGUUUGGAGCCGAGAUGUUGAGAUUUUCCGGCGAAGCGUUAUCGCUUUGGGCACCCACGCGUGCGGCGGCGCGUGGGCACUGUAGAAAAAGUAGAUGUGUUCCGAUGAGAUCCUUAGGUUGUCACGAGUGCGUAGGAUUUGGCGGAUCUCAAUUCGGACGUCGUUUGACUAUCGAACGGAUAAUCGCAUAUUAUGCGUUAUCCGGGUUCGAUAGGUUGAGACCGUCGGAUGGUCCCAAAUUUAAUAUAUGUUGAUCUAGGUAUUUCUAGGAUCGUGUAGGAUUUCACGGAUCGUGAAUCGGAGCCCCGGAUGUUCCGAAUAAUAAUUUAAAGUUUAUAUUUUAUAUUAACCAUCAGAUUAUGCGAUCGUGAGAAAUCCGACCGUCUGAUCUGAACCAAACUGGCAGGAAAAGUGUCCUGUACCUGGUAGAACCCAUAGGGACCUUCGGAUCGGAAAUUGGAGGUCGUGGGUUCCGCAAGUCUGUUUGACCAGGGUUAGAGUAGUUUGACCCUUGGUUGACCGUGAGUCUCCCGGAGUAAUCUCACCCUUCCAGGGGGAAUUAUCGGGAGCUAGACUAUUGUGGAGGGUUACACAAUAUUAGAAUUAUUUAUAUAAUUAUAUAUGGUUGUACAAGGGUACAACAAAGUCUAGAAUGUCAGUUUGGAGUGCUAUACGCACUACUUUAGGUACCUCCUCGGAUUUUGGAUUCGCUACAAGCACCACCAAGUGAAAGUUAGGUCCCGCGUGGCGUAGGUUAUCCGGCGUUGGGACAGACCCCAUACGUGGCGUUGGUUGUACCGGCGUAUGGGGAGAUUUGCAAUAUGAUGUUCAGGUCUCACGUGGCGUAGGUUAUCCGGCGUUGAGACAGGCCCCGUACGUGGCGUUGGUUGUACCAGCGUACGGGGAGAUUAUGUGAUAUGAUGUUGAGGUCCCGCGUGGCGUAGGUUAUCCGGCGUUGGGACAGGCCCCAUACGUGGCGUUGGUUGUACCGGCGUAUGGGGAGUUAUAUGAUAUGAUAGUAUGGCAUGGUCGCACAUGGCGUAGGUUAUCCGGCGUGUUGACAGGCCCCAUACGUGGCGUUGGUUGUAUCGGCGUAUGGGGAGAAUAUGUGAAAUGCAGAGAAAGGAAAUAAGGUAUCACCGAUGUGUGGAAUUGGGUUUUAGGGAAGAACUACGUGUGGCUUGAUCCCUCAAGGAGGGUACGUAGGCAGCCUAAGGUUAUUGGGUGCAGCCGCAGACUAAAUAUUAGUCAUAUUUGGUAUUUGAAUUGUAUGGUAGUUGUUUGAGAAUUAUUGGAAGGCCAAAGGCCAUUUAUGAGAAUUUGCAUGAAAUUAUAUUGUGCAUGCUGCUAGUUGUGGAUAUUAAAUGUGUUUUUAUGCAGGUUGAAAUUUUGGGAAAUGUCCAAUUUAUAGGGGAGACUCUGCUGAAAUUUCGGCAGGAAGUCUCGGUUUUUAGUAAGUGGGCCUGGCAUCGGGGUGAUGUCAGGAAUUCCAAAGGGUUCGUCUCGGGUUUUGAGAAAAUUCGGGGCGGGUCCUUAAACAUAUAUAAUUAUUGGGACUAUGUAUUGCAAGUCAUCAUGUGUUCCUUCUGUCUAACAUUAUAUUUUGCAAAUAUCAAAAUAUUAUUCAAUAAGCAGUCAAUAUCACAGCAAGUUGGGAAUUAGUAAAGCCCCAUUAUCAUGUCCGUUCACAUUAAAGAGCUGGCGUACUUUUUCUCAAAAAACUGACACGUGAGUCAUAAGUAACAUAACAUGUGCUAUACAUUGUUUAGUGAAUGGUUUAUGGUUUAUUUAUAUAUAAUAAAAUUCCAAAUAUUGCUGAAUAUUUGUUUUUUCUAUAUCCCUGGGAACAUGAGUGACCAUAAGCAUGUAAGACCUGUUAAGAAGAAGCUGACUAAUACGACCGAGUGAUUGUGGCUACCGUUGUUUAGUUGGUUGGGGAGAUCGUGGUAUUGCUAAGAGGGAGCACAUAAUGUGCUUUGCAAUCAAAUUUUCUUUUGUGUGUGGAAUUAUGAGUAGUUCAAAUGUUAGUGUACCCUUUAAUAUUCUUCAACCGUUUGAAAUGUGAUUAGCUGCAAUGUACUUUUUUACACGCUGCUUUCUAAUCACUCUGUUCCAACAAAGUGCUUUAAGUAUCCUUCAGUUACAAAUGUUUACAAAAUCGUGCAUCUAAUAACCAGUCGAGCUCAGAUCUUAAUAACAAGUAAAACACUAGAACAUAACAUUCGGAAAAAGUGGGUGCUGCUGGAAAUCAUUACUGGUAAUGGAAGCAAGAGCUGGCUGCUGGAAAUGCUGCAUUAGCCUGUGAUAUAAUCAAUGAAUCUCUGUUAAAACAUAAUUCACCAUAAACUACCCAUUUUACAUGGUAAAAGUCAUUGCUUCUUCACAUAACUCAAAAUUUGAUACUUUAUCAAAUGUCUAUGAAAAUUUCUAAAUAGGGGAAAGACGUAAAAUUAACAUGUGUCCAAAUUUCAUGCAAGAAUGAAACCAAGCAAAUUUUUAUUUCAAUUAUCAGUGGACAUAGUAAGAACUCAUCGGUGGACAUGAACAAAAAAAUAAUAAUAUUAAAAACUGAAUCUAGAAAACUUCACCUGAUCAUUAGUCUUCAUAACAACCGAAUUUCGUCUAAUAGAAACAUAAAUCAUUCAGUUGGUCCGUGCAUCGUGUCAAAUUCAUAGAAUAAUGGGUCACUACGAUCUAUUGGAGUUGAUUCGUCAUUGUUCGACGGUGAUGUCCUGCAUAGACAUCAAACACAAGCACAGAAAAAAUUUACCUAUUCAAAUUUUAGGUGUUAUUAUAAAUAGUGUUAGCAUCUUACGGUGUGUUCAAAUUUCUUGCGCAUUGUCUUCUAUCAUGACCAAUGUGUCCACACUCCAGACAGUGUCUAAUCCCUCGCUUCAUUGCCUUUUCUUUUGCUCCCGUUACUCGUUUCGACCUUCUUUUGCACCUCACUCUCUUAGGGUCUUUCAUAUAUUGUGUUUGAGAGCUGGACCCUCCAACUUCGUUAUUACUUGGUCCAUCCUUCAACAACUUCAACUUCACCUGCAAACUUUUUAGAGUCUCUGACAGUAGCUCACAUCCUUCUUCACUCAUUAAUGCACCCUCAACCACAUCUUAAGCAAGUCGAGACAUUGUACUCCGCCUUAUUAAAAGACCAGGAUCUGCAGAGUCUUUAAUUUCGUUGCCAUUUGCAUCUGACACCAAUUCAGAUUUUGCAGUUUUCUUCCACCUCUUUAAAAUAUAUUUAUCGGGCAUAUAUUCAAUCUGGUCCCUUCUGAACAAUGCUAGGAUGUGCUUGCAAAUAAUUCCAACAAAUUCAAAUCUUUUGCACCCACACGAUGCGUGGUCAGAAUCUUUAACAUAUACGACGUCUGCCACUCUUGUUUCCCAAUUUUUCCUUUUGCUCACGCGAAAGACAACUUUAGAAGCACCCUCUGUUUUGAGCUCUAGGAAACAUGUUGUACUUUGUAUUAGUUCUUGGUCAAACUUUUGAAACAUUGUCCUUGUGUACAAGGUAGCCAUUUGUUUGUUCAUUGGCAUCGGUAGAAUACAUUGAGCCACUUCAAAUGCAUCUACGUGAUCAGCAACUAACUCUUUUUGACGUUGAUGAGAAAGUGCCCUCUCAAAUCGUAUUAUGAAAUCCAUCAACGAAUUUCUCCUUGAUAUGUAUUGCUUGAAAAAACCAUGAGAACCUUCCACUCUUUGGCUGCUUGACAUUCCAGCGGCAAAAAAUUGUUGUGCGUAGGCUGGAACCCAAGAUUCUCUUAAAUCAAACAUUGAACUUAGCCAUGGAUGGUCAGUCAAACCAGCCUUUGUAACCACAAUAUUCCAUUUUGUAACAAACUUAUCCUUAUUGUCAGUAUCCCAUACGGCUUUCUGAAAUUCACGCCAAUACUCCUUAUAAGCAGAAUGUGGUAACUUAACAGAGAACUUUGAUGUGAUGUGCAAUAUGCAAAGUCGAUGAAAUGUAGUCGGGAAGGGUAUUGAAAUCGCUCUGGUCAUUGCCGCAUCUUGAUCUGUAAUGAUCGUUUUAGGUCCGCCACUUGGCAUGGCUUUCUUAAACUCCUCAAACAUCCAAAUAAACGACUCAGUCGUUUCCUUGCUCAAAAAUGCGCAUGCUUAGACAAUUGUCUGACCAUGGUUAUUAACUCCCAACAUUGGUGCAAAUGUCAAGUCGUAUCGAUUCGUGUUGAAUGUGGUAUCGAAUACAACAACAUCUCCAUAAAACCCGUACGCCCAUCUAGAAGUUGCAUCUGCCCAAAAACAUUGACUAAACCUGUCAUGGCCAUCUCUCUCAAUCUUGAAAUAAAAAGCCUCAUUUUUUUUUUCUGUUCAGCCAUAAAAUACUCGGUCACUAGUUCAACAUCGUGGUUCCUCAACUUCCCAUUCACACUACAUUCAAAAUUGUAGAUAUCUUUUUUGAUAAAACCGAUUUUAUCCAUUCCUCCGGAUUGCACCUCGAAAAUACUUACCUUCUGAUGAAUGAGAAUAUUAACCGAACCCAACUGUUUUGUGAGUACUUUUGUAGAAUCUGAACUAUGACGGUGUGAUCUCAAUAAAUGCAUUCUUUCUGAGGGUGUCAUCUUAUGAUUGUGUCCCUCUGCAAAAAGAGAGAUGGUAUACUUCUUGCUCCCAUUUGUCUUCACAACCACAAUCUUAGCUUUGCAAUUGCAUCUACUUAUUCCCCGCUGUCUUUUUCUCUCCCGAGUUUCAUCUCUCCUGUAUUCACCUUGUUUGCAACAUACAAAUUCUUUCCUCAAAAUCUCUUUCUUAUUUCCCCCCCAAAAGCUGGAAUGAAGUCGAAUACCAAAGCCAGCCAAGAAUGCAUAUCUAUUAUAGAAAUUGUAAACGAGGUCAAGCAAGUCGAACUUCAUCCCAACUGCUGGUGUUUCCUCAUUUCUUACUUCAAGAAUGUAAACCCUCCCAUUAGCUGUUACACAGUCAUCACUCUCUGAGCCCCCAGACAUUUUAUCCACGUAUAUUAUUGAUCCACUUCUAUAUUAUUGCAUAGCAAAUAUUAAUUCAUUAAUAAAUCAUUACUGCAUCACAACAUAUCAAUGCAUUCCACUUACACAAAACAUUGCCCAAAUUGACACAAAACACGCAUAGCCUAACUUGUUGGAUUCCGAUUACACAAAACGCAAGCAAAAUUUAAUAAUAGUUACGUCAUCUCUUGUGAAAUAAUCUAGAAAAAAUAACAUUAGAACCAACAUGUUCAACUAAGAACACAAAUGCAAUUCAAACCAGCAAUCACAUAACUUCACCCAAUAUCCUCUCCAAAUGCUUACUCCUAAUGUCAUUAAGCCUAAGUUUAGGAUCUUUUACCUACAUUUCAUAAUUUUUCACCCCCACCAAAAAUAAUCAACUAAGUAUACUGAAUAUUCAUAAGGAAAUGACGCAUUAUUGAUGCCACAAAUGACGAAUUUCCUACCCUCACAAAAAACAAAUCAAACCCAAUUAAAUCAAUCCAGCAAGAGUGAACUUACCUCUCAAAAUCAAUCGGGAGCUCCGAAGUCAGUAAGCUUGAGAGAAUGUGGUGGACAUUAGAGAAGACUCUUUGGUAUUGGAGACUCCAUCUCUACCAAAAUCGAGGAACGAACUGCUGCUACGGCGUCUAGCUACAGAAAAAGAUAUGCUACUUUACUUUCAUCUGGAAUCUUGUUUGCUGAACGAAAAAGAGAAAGGGUUUUCACUUGAGCCAUAGAAUCAAAACAAGGCAACAUCUAGGUAAGAGCCAUUAAUCGUCAUAUCGAGGAUACCAUAGAUCGCAGGCCUCCCAAGGAGCUGAUGACAAUGGAGCGACUAUAGGGUUUGGGAGCUUUGGAUCCUUCUAAUUGUGGGUUUGCGUUACAUUCAAAAAAAGAGGAGUGUGUUGUUGAGUUUUUCACAUAGAGGGAAAGAGGGAAAGAUCUUCAACUGAAGUUGGGUUUCCAACGGGUCAAAUUUCAACCCGGUUCUACAUGCACCCUCUUUUAAAAACUCACCGUUGGAUUUCAUCCAACGGCUCGUACAUACCCCUCAAAAACACCCCUUAUAACUUUCCACUCACUAUAGAAGCUCUCCCCAGGAAAUGCUUCGAGGUAGAUUUUAUGUUUUGGGCCUUGGGACCCAACUUCACAAAAAGAAAACAAAUUUGACCAAAAAACAAAGUUGAAGGACAUUGAUAUUGUACCUGUAGGAUAGGUUAAAACACUAAAAGGAAGGUAAAUAGUACGUUUACAGAGUUUAAGUGUAAUAAAGGAAUAAAAACAUGCCCAGAGAAUUGAUAAGUGAUAUCAAUUCUUGAAUAUAUAGAACGUAAAAUAAAGGAAUACGUAGAAAAUUAUUUUAUGUGGUAAAACUCAAUCUAUGGGGCCACGGGACUUCUUAGUCCAAAAAAAAUCCAUUGAACGAUGAUUACAAGAAGUACUCACACACUUAUCCUAGACACAUUCUAGAUAAUUUUUACUAACAUCUUUGUAACUCAACUUCUGUCAUAGGAUGAUUUUUUGACACUCCUUAUGUUGAACGCAAUACUGGUCACGAUUUCUUCAAGCUCGCAGGAACUCUCCUUAUAUUGAAUAUGAUACUAGUCACGAUAGAUUCAAGCUCAUCGGAGAAAAACAGCCACAACGGUCUUGGUGCCCUCAAUGGUAUGAGUCACUGAACAUGCAAAUAAAUACAAUAUGAAUGAUAAAAGUGUUUGAUAAAUCACCAAGUUAUGGAACACUUGAUGAUUUAUCUCAAAUAAAAACUCAGCUUUCCAAAGUUUAUGAAUUGAAAAUAUGAUCGUUAAAGCUCUCUAAACAAAGAAGACGAAGAUCUUAUUUUAUAGAAUUUUUCUUUAUAAGAAAGAAAACACAUUGAAAACCAAAUCUCCAAGGCUUGACAGAAAAUCACAAAAGUAUCUUUCCUAUUCUAGAGAUUGGUCACAUGUAGUCCAACCAAUAGGACAUGAGAUAUUUAAGAAAUGAAGAUUUUGAUCAAUAUCAAUAUCAAAUGAAUUCUUAUACGCCUAGUCAACUAUUAAGGGUAUCUUGACUCCUUGAUAUUGUGAUAUGAUUGAAACAUGAUUUCCACGUUAGAAAAUUAAGGGGAUGUUAAAACAUGAAAGUAAUAGGAGAAUCAAAUUGAUUUCGGCCAAAAUUGCCUAAAAAGAAAACACUCCUAAAUAAACUCAAUUCACUUUUAAAAACAGUAAAACGUGAUUGAAUUGUUCUUUAAAACAAUUCCCUAAUAUACAUGCAUGAUAAUGACAUCACUUACCUCUGAAUCAAAUGCCUUUCAUAGGUCAAGCCACAAGUCUGUGUUUUGGGGAUUGCUGAGCUGCAUCAAUCCUGCCAAUGUCAAUGCUGCCCCUAUGCUCUCUCAAAGCACGUUUACAACCUAUGCUAACAUAUACCCUAAACCCUAGUAUCAAGAAAAUGCCAACACUAAUUUCGUAACACGUAGAAAUUGUUAGAGAUUGGAAGUUUUUUUUCUUCAAGUCUCUCCACCACUCACUAAUACAGAUUGCUCAUGUGAUGAGUUUACAAAACCUAUUUCUCUACUCUCACAAAGACUAUACUUCUUCUCAAAAGACUAUAUCACUUUACCUCUAUCUCUGUGAAAUGUAAAAAGUUGAAACUUUAAUGUCAAACCUCGACAAAAGAUGAACUUCCAUAAGUUACGUUGAAUUUGGAUUUGUUGAACUUAAGUGGUUUUACUUUUCUGUCAGUGUUUGAUGACUUAAUUUGGUAUUUACUUCUUCUUUUUUUCCUUGGAAAUGUGUUCCACCAACGUGAGGAAGAAAAAUAUGCACAAAUUAAUAUAUUUAAUAGAAGCCCAAGAUUUCGGAAGCACAUAAUUUCUACAAAAUUCUACAAAGUGUUCUACUUUACAAACUUCAUAUGUCUACCAAUUUUUACUAAAAUUAAUUUAUCUGCAGUGCUCAAAUUCAUCAUAUGUGUGUCCUUAAUUUUAGUGAAAAUUGGAAGUUUCCAUUAUUUUUGUUUUACGGGAAUUUUUUGAACCAAGGAAAAUCAAGUAAAAUUAAUAAAGCAUAAAUUGGAAAGGGAAAAUAUCUAGAGGAUGCAUUGUAGGAUUGCUCAUGCCAAUAAUUGUACCCUCUAAAUAUAUAGGGACAUAUUUUUUUUGCUCAUACCACUUGUUGCAGUACACAUUCACCCGUUUUCAAAGAAAGAAAUUCUACCAAUCGAUAAUGUCUCAAAUUUAAUCACAUAUUUUAUGGACCAUCCAGCUAUGAGGUUUUAUCUCAAAAACCUUCGGUACAUUUCUCCCACAUGCCACAAUUGUAUAUUCACAAUUACGUCUGAUACAUCACAUCAUGCCACUUGCCUCAAAUGAAUUUAAGUGAGUGAGGCAGUUGGAAGUAAUUAAGCUCUAUAUUGGUGGGUGGAGUGUUAGUUCUGGGUACCCCUCAUCAUUCGUCUAUAAAAUGGUGAAGCCAGUUGCUACUGUUACCAUAAGAGCCAGCUCCGACUUUCUUUAAUUUCUUGCUUCAUAUCCACUAGCUACAUCUGUUGCUCUUCUCAGUGUAAGCUCUGCAAUUUGAUUAACUUUCCCAUUAUCUCUCACUGUACUCUAUAUAAAGGAAUAAGUGUCGUCCAUUAAUUCUCUCCGAAAGUGUCGUCCUGAUUUUAAUUAGAGUUCGAAUUAAUGUUGCAGCUAGCAGCGGUUGCACUGGCAAACCAUGCUGCUCAACCGGUACCUCAACUUUACUGGAACUCCGUCCUGCCAAACACACAGAUGCCAAGAUCUAUCAGUGAACUUCUGCAUCCUGGUUUGUGUUUGAGCACUUUAGAAUCUUAGAUAUCUCUUCUACCUGCCAUUUUACUAAAAUAUGUUCAACCACAUAUUUAUCAGUUAACUACUGUCAUUACAUGAGUGACACAUAUUCACAAAUCGGCUGAUCACUUAUUUUCCAUUAUGACGUUGAUAUAUAAUGUUGGGAAUGGAAAGCCAAUUGACCACAAGGGAAAACCUGAAAAUACUGUACUACCACAGCUAGCACGAAGCCCAUUUUCUUACAAGAGUGAUGUGGGGACCAAAUCUCAUGUAUCAUAGCUUAACCCAUAUGCCACAACUAAAAGACGUGGGAUGAUCGAACAGCAUACCCACAUGGUCAUGGAUCUCUUCAGAUAAUCAAUAUUAAACAACCCAUAAACUUCUCCCUUUGAAGAACAAAUUAAAACCAAUUUCUAGAGGAAGGUUACAAAACAUUUUAGCCCGUGAAGAACAAAUCAAGACAAUAUAACCCAUUUGAUAACAAAAUCAAAAUGAGAUUUACCAAUACUAGAUGACCACGGCGCCAGUAUAAUGGUACGACGGCGGCGUUAUUGUAACGGUGGAGAAGUGGAUGGUAUGACGACGGUGUUAGUGUGACGGUGGAGGAAACGAUAUUAUGAAGGAGGCGUUGCUAUGUUCGGUGGAGGAGUCGUGUGUUUCACAGUUCAAUAUAUCCUUUUUAGUCAUUUUAUAUUAGGGUAAAUCAGUAAUUCAAUAAAUAAUUUGAUAGUAUGGUGUACUCAGUUAAUAUUAGGGUUCAUUUAACAGCACUCAAAUUAACUAGUGUAGAGUCUAUCUAUAUUAUUAAUACUAAAAAUAAAUAUAUGACUAAAUAACUCAAAAAAAAAAUAAAUCUACAAUCUUUUUUUUAAAAAAUUUUUUUUAUAGAAUUUUAUUAGAUUAAUAGGCACUACUAAAAAAUCUCCUUAUAAACUACAAAUACACGCAUAACUUAUACUAAUGUGAGCUACUGACACCACCUGCCACAUGACAGUUGUCCAAGCAUAGUGUUGUCAUUCAUUAUUCCCCACAGCAACUAACAUCCAAUAAAGGGUUGGGGCCCACCCAUACUCCACCUCUCUGUAUGUAGCUCUUUGAGAAUACAGAAGAAAUAUUUUUUAGGGAAAUAGCUUAAAAUGAUACCCAUUUCAUAAUUUUAAUUAAAAAUACCACCCCUUUCCAAUUUUUGUACAACUAUCACCUAUAAAUAUAAAAUUAUUGUCCACUUAUUGCUGAUUUUUCACAAGUUCAGAAAUUUUGGAAAGAAGAAGCUCACACAGCUCUCUCUCUCUCUCUCUCUCUCUCUCUCUCUCUCUAGCACAACUCUCUUUCUUUGGUAUCUGUCUAUCACAGCUCUCUGUGUCUCUCUUGGCUCUCUCUAUCUUGGCUCUCUCUCUCUCUAGCACAACUCUCUGUCUCUCUCUUUGCUCUCUUUCUCAUAGCGCAGCUGUUUCUCUCUCUAGCUUCGUUAUGUCUCUUUCUCCCCUAUUCGAUCUCUUGCUUUCUGUUUGGAAUCGCGAACCCCUCCCUUUAGCUAUGUCUUCUGAAUAGCUGCUUGCAACCUUGAAGCUCUAGUGGAUUGCCGACCUCGAAAAGGUAGUGUUGAUGGUUAUUUUCUUAAUAUCAGUGGGAUUAUGUGAAAUGGGUUAUAGUUUGAUUGUUUGGGUUUGUGUUAAAUUCGUUUUGGCUUUAAUUUCUUUGGGUUAGGUUUUGUUGAAUAUUCAUACUCAUUCAUCUGGGUUUGUACCAAUUGCAUUUAGAUUGGUCUGGAUAUGUGAAUCUUGAAACUUGGGAUUUUCUAUUUGAUGUAGUAGAUCUGUAUAGUGUGAUUCUGUUGUGUUCCUCUUAUUUUACAGUCGUAUUGCUGUUAUAUUGUCAUUAUAUUGCUUAUAUAUUGCUGUUAUAUUGUGGUUAUAUUGCUAUUGUAUUGUUUGGUUAUUGUGGUUAUAUUGUGUUAAUGAAAUGUUGUUUUGUCAUGGUCAGAAAUGGAGACAAUUGUUAUUCUCGUGUGCUACAAUGGAAAAUGGGUCACCUCGAAGAAGAUGUGCAAAUACGAAGGGGGUGACUCAAAAGGCUUAAUAGUUCCACGGACCAUCAAAUUUGUUGAACUGUUGGACCGUGUGCAUUAGAUUGGUAAUACAAACAGCAGGGAAGACAAGGUUUGCUUAAAAUUCUCAGUUUUGGUGGCCUCGAAUGAGUGGAAGCACAUAAAUAUUGAGGACGAUGAUGAUAUCAAUUUUUUUAUGAAGUACAAUUCCGAGGUAACACCUUCAAAACUAGCUCCCUUACUCGUGAGUAUAGAAGAUAAAGGAUUGACAAAUGAUGUAGUUCAUAGUAUGCAUAUCACGACAGAUAGUAGUCGGAUGGGUCAUUCUUCAGUUGCCAUUGUUGAAAGCAAUGAAGUAACUUGGAAUAAUACGAAUGUCACUGAUGUGGGAGGUGAAGUAGGGACAGAUUUUGUGGAUAUGAUUGAUUUUAGCGAGGUGUAGGAGAUGCAUGGUGGUGAUAAUAGUACUGAAAGAAAUGAAGUGUCAGUGUACUCUGCCCCUCCUAAUUUGGGCUGCUUCAACAUAGCUGCCCAGUUGCCAAUAAUGCGUUUAGGAGGAGAAUCUGAACCCACUCGUCAACAUUAUUGGAGUCAAAUAGGUGAACAAAAUCGGUACAAUGCAGCCGGUGUAAAUGAUGAAGAAGCAUAUUUGGACAGCGGGUUUUCACGAAGUGAUUGGAAUCCGAAAAUUACAGUUGGGCAAAUUUUCUCUAGUAAGAAAGCAUUGUUGACGGAGUUACGGUUGACGGCAUUAAGAGGCCACUUUGAAUUUAAGGUGCAAUUCUCUUGCACUAAAAGGUUGCUUGUGGUUUGUUGUCAACGUCCAUGCCCAUGGCGGGUCCGAGCAUCGAGAAUUGGAGAAUACAGCUUCAUGAUUGUGAGGUGUACAACUGUCCAUGAAUGUGAUUUGAGGUUCGUAAGUGACAAGCAUCGUCAAGCAACCGCAGCACUUGUAGCCACUUCACUUAAAAGGAAGUGACAUUAUGAGAGAUGUGAAACACAACUUUGGUUGCACCAUCCAUUAUUCGAAAGCUUGGAAAGCAAAGGAGUUAGCUCUAUUGUCCAUUAGAGGAUCAGCGGAGGAGGCAUAUUAUAUCCUUCCAGCUUAUUGCUAUGAAUUGGAGCGUAUGAAUCCCGGCACAAAAACACACAUCCAAACUGAUGAGAACAAUCACUUUGUGUAUUUAUUUAUGGCGGUUGGCGCAUGUAUUAGAGGGUUCCGUUCUUCCAUGCGCCCAGUGAUAGCCGUGGAUGCCACUCAUUUAAAAUCCAAGUACAAGGGUGUUAUGUUUGUAGCAAAUGCAUUCGAUGGUAAUUGAAAUAUAUAUCCUCUUGCUUUUGGGAUCGGGGAUUUGGAGACGGAUGCAUCAUGGCAUUGGUUUUUCACUAAACUUCAUGAAGCCAUUGGUGAGUGUCCCAAUCUUGUUAUUAUUUCUGAUCGCAAUGUUAGCAUAGAGAAUGUGUGGAACAAAAUUUUUCCAACUGCACAACGUGGCAUAUGCUUUUAUCAUAUGAAGGGGAACAUGAAACGCACUUGCUAGUUGAAAAAGCGUGAUCACAUACUUAUGCACUUUGAGCAGGCUGCGAAAUCUUAUUCCAUUGCUGAAUUUGAUUGUCAUUUUUGCAAGAUCAAGCGAAAGGAACAUGUUGCUCAAUAUCUUGAAGAGACAGGGUUACAUAAGUGGUCUAGAGCUCACAUGGAUGGACGCCGCUACAAUGUAAUGACAACAAAUAUUGCAGAGUCAAUCAACUCAGUCCUUAGGUUUGCAAGGAUGCUGCCAGUGGUUCAUUUGAUAGGGGAAAUUGUUAAUCUCCUUGUGAAAUGGUUCACCGAACGUUGUGAGUUGGUUUUGAAUUGCACAACAACAUUGUGCCCCAAUUUUGGAGAGAAGAAGUUGAGGAACAGGUUGGAGGAUGCUGCAAGGAUGAAUGUGGUUAAAGUAAAUAAUGCACAGUUUAAUGUUUUGGACGGUGAUAUGGACGGCCUCGUAGAUUUGGCGAACAGCAGUUGUAGUUGUAGAAAGUUUCAGCUUGAGCAGCUACCUUGCAAGCAUGUAGUUGCAGUUUGCCGCUUCUUGAAAGUAAAUGUAUACGCAAAGGCUUCUCGGUAUUACACUCAGAAAACCUGGAUGAUGCUUAUUCGGAUAGCAUCUACCCGGCACAACCUCACGGAAUGUGGGAUAUUCCUGAAGAUGUUCGAAGUCGAGUUGUGCUGCCUCCCAUGGCAAGGGUCAUGCCAGGCAGACGAAAGAAGAUCAGAAUUCCCUCGCAAGGAGAGGGCACCAUUAGAAGAAAGUGCUCAAGGUGCGGUUCCGCAGGCCACAAUAAAAGCACAUGUAAAAACAAUAUUCCAUUGCGCAAUGUAUCUUAGACAAUAUGAUUUGUGUUGCUUUGGUAGGUCAUGUAAACUCUACUUUUAUUUGUGGUGGGUUUCGUGUUAUGUUGAAUGGGAAUUCUUUUAAAUUUGCAUAAUUUGGGUUGCAUUGCUACAGCAUGCUGUAUUGCUGACAGAUUGCUAUUAUAUUGGACUUUUAUUGUACUGGUAUUGCUUCCAGAUUGCUAUUAUAAUUUGAGUGCGAAAUUAAAGGGACUGGAAUGUAAUUCCAAAUGGAUCCAAAUCAUUAAAGUUCUUAGAAUUCCUAUAUUACACAGUUACUGUGAUACUCCGACUAUACCUUCUUUUAUGAUUACAAAUUCGGCCAAUGCAUAGGCCAGAUGUGGGGCAAAUACAAGGUGAAAUGUCCUAUGUGUUUGACUACAUAUACUUGUUGAAGGAGCAUUACGAAUGCUAACCUCAAUAGAUUGCUCAUGUCUUGCCAAGAACACUCUUGAAUUUAUGCAAUGUGCCCAAGCCAGUCCCAAAGCUGGACUCACCCGUCUGCCUGAUGUGUCCAGGGACUCCAAGUUUCCCAACCUCACCUCAUUCACUUUAUCAUGUGGCCCAAUAAAAUCCACCACUUGGUUGGUGACAACCACCGCCAACCCAAACUUAUUUGCUAAACCCUUCAAUGUCCCAGAUAUGUUGAAAAAUAUUUCAAACCGCCAUUUCAAAUCUGCUGGUGUUGUCUGAUACUGUGAUCGGAACAAUGCAGCAAUGGAAUCAAUGACAAUGAGUUUCACAGGUAGGUGGGUGUGAUCAAUGGCAAUAAAUGCUUCUAUGUCUCCAAGGACAUGGAUGAGUUGUUGAGCAUCAUGAACACCAUGAACAUAUAUGUCUUCCAAUGGCUCCAACCUUAUUAAGUUGGGGUAUGAUGCAUGAUAAAGGUUGCCUAGUUGUUGCAAUCGACGAAAUGGGAAGCUGAAUUCUGUGAAUAUGUAGACGGUGGAGCCCUCUAGUCCGCCAUGUGAGGGUGGGAGCUGAGCUGGUACCGUAAGUUGGAGACAAAGUUGCGUCUUCCCAGAACCACUCUCCCCUACCAAUUCUGUUAUAGAGUUGCAGGGUAUCCCACCCCCCAAGCAGUCAUCUAGUAUUGGGCAUCCAAUGGAUAAUUGAGGGGUUGAAAGAGGAAGGAGCAUGAGGUUUUAGGGUGUCAUAUUUGUGUAAUUUAGGGGGGGAUGUGAUGGUGCUACAAGGCAUGCAUUAUAUAUAUAUAUAUAUGUAGAGUUCAUUUUGAAGGUCUGUAUUGUAGGCCAUAUGUCUUUUAAGGGAUGUAUAAUCCAUCCUUUUUUCAGGUUGUAAUUAAUUUUUUGUUUAUUUAUUAGUAUUUUUUUGGACCAAAUAAUUUAAAAAACAUUAUGAUGCAGUACGUACUGUAAUAGGAUCAUAUUGUAACUCUAUCAUCACUCUAUUGUACUCUUAUUGACAUAAUAUUGCCGUUAUAUGCAUGUUUAUUAUAUAGUUAUUACUGCUAUAUCGCCACUGAACUGGACACCGAUAAACUGUAUACGCACAAAUACAAAAAGAGGCUUCAUCAUUCCAUAAAAUCCUAUUUCCAAACUUACAUAAUACAACAACAGGCCACCCCAUCGUUACAUAAUACAAAAAUACGCCACCUCAUAGUUCCAUUUCCCUACUGUUGACAAAUUCGAAGUUGCAUACUCUUCAAGUGCGGUGACCGCGACGCAUGAAAUUCAUGACCCCGGCCACAGUGAUGUUGGCCUAGUUUCCUGCCGGAUCCACUAUUUUUGCAAACUUACGAAAUAGUUCGAAUCCGCUUUCCACUUCUUCUUGCUUCAACUUGGCCGUUGCUUCUGAUUCCUUGAAUACCAUAAUUGCAGUGGUAGGGGCAAUUUCAAUUUUUGCUUUCAUUGUCUUUAUAUGUAGGAGAUGCAUGCGCGCAUGAUAACGAGAGCGAAUUGUGCGGUUUUUUAUGACACCCCAUCUAGUUUGGCCCUCCACAAUUUUGAAACUAUGUCUGCAUGAAGAUUUUUCCAAAACAUGGUAUUGCCUCGACAUUGCUGCAUGCCAUGGACCAAGUCUGCAGGGAGUGAAUUGGGUGACUUGGCUUGUGUUUCAGUCUUCUCUCCUUCAGUAAUUGAAAGUGUUGGGUGUGGUGUGAGGUUAUGGUCCAUGGUCUUCGAUAUUUAUUGUAGCCUAGUGUACAACUUAAUUGGAAAAAAAGGGGACUAAAUGCGAUGGGAGUGAAAUCAGUGGGGAAGGUAGUGGCUGUAAGCAGGAGUUAAUGUGAUGGAAGUUUUCAUUUCAAACAACUGGGUUGAUUAAUAUAGGCAAGUUUUAAUGACCUGGAGUAACUCAGAGAGUUAUUGGUGGGAGGGAUUAGAGGGAGUAAUUGGCGGGAGGGAUUGGCGGGAGUCUUAGGCGGGAUAGUAUUGGGCGGGAGUUAUUACCCAGUUGACUGUAUGCCUUUUUGUAAUAUAUUUGUAUGUUGGACGUUCCAAACUUGGUAAUUUUCCCAUUAUGUAAUUCAAAUAAGGGAUUUGCCUAUUUGCCUAAUUGACCAACUCAUUCAAAUUGACCAAUAUGGUUAUUGUCUUAUUUCUCAUUUCAGCAAUCUCAAUUCGUUUCCAUUUUUCCAUUCUUCAUAUUUUCCUAUUUUCCAUGUGUCAUCCAAUUUUCCAAUUUUCCAAUUUUUCAUUAUUUUUGCCUAUUUUUUCCUAUUCCCUAUUUUCCUAUUGUGCAAUUUCCCAAGUUUCCUUUUGUUGUAUUUCUAGUUUUCCAAUUUUUCAAUGUUCCCAUUUUCCCAUUAUGUAAUUUAAAAAAAGUUGCCUGCUUUGCCUAAUUCAGAAAGUAAUUAAAAUGGUCCAAUAUGGUAAUUGUCUUAUUUUCCAUUUCCACAAUUUCAAUUCGUUUCCAAUUUUCUUAUUUUCCAUGUGUCCCUAUUUCCUAUUUCCAUUUUUCAAAUUUUAAGUUUUUGUCCAAUUAUCCAAUUAUCUUUUUUCCAAUUGGACUAUUUUCUAAGUUUCCUUUUUUUCCUAUUUCCAAUUUUCCAAUUUUUCAAUUUGCUAACUUUCCUUUUGUUCUAUUUCCAAUUUUGCUAUUUUCCAAGUUGCCUUAUUUCCUAUUUUUCAAUUAUCCAGUUAUCCAAUAUUCCAAUUUUCCAAUUAUCCAAUUUUCAAUUUUCCAAUUUGCGAAUUUGCCUAUUUUCCAAGUGUCCUUUUUUCCUAUUUCCUAUUUCAAAUUUUCCAAUUUUCAUGUUUUCAGAGUUUCCUUUUUUUUUCCUAUUUUCCAAGUUUCCUUUUGUCCAAUUUCAAAUUUUCCAAUUUUCCAAGUUGCUUUAUUUUCCAAUUACCCAAAUUUCCUAUUUUCCAAGUGUCCUUUUUUCCUUUUUCCAAUUUUCCAAUUUUCCAAGUGUCAUGUAAUCCUAUUGCCUAGUUUCCUCUUUCCAAUUUUUCCUUUUUUCCUAUUUCCAAUUUUCAAUUUUCCAAAUUUCCCAAAUUUCCAACUUUCCAUUUUUUCGUAUUUCCGAUUUGCCAAUUUUCCUUUUGUUCUAUUUCCAAUUUUCCAAGUUUCCUUAUUUCCCAUUCUCCAAGUUUUCACUUUUCCUAUUUUUCAAUUUCGCUAUUUUCCAAUUUUCUGUUCUGAAAUUCGCAAUAAAUGCUUAGUUACACAGUCCUAUUUUGGGUUGAAAUCCACAAUUUUCAAUUUCCCAUUAAGGUUUGCUUUUUUGUCGUUUGGAAGCCAAUUUUAUUGUUGUUAAUGUAAUGUUGUACUGUUGUAAAUUACAGCCAAUGAGUUAAUGAUGUAGUUUGCAAUCCCAUCAAUUGAAUGCACCAACUAAAUACCCAAUAUACUUCAUAUAAGUUCGUACAUAUAACUCAACCUUCCUAUACAGAACUGCAACAGAGGCACCUUCUUAACGGGAAAGGUAAUUAGUCUUACUAAAACGCAAAUAUUCUCCACUACAGCUAACCAAUUGUCGUUUACAACUGGAGACUGAAUCUACCUUUAUUUGUUUUGUUGCAGGCAACAGCUGUGAAUUGUCCCCGGCAAUACUUAAAGAUGUCGGAUGUACGCCCUCCAAAUGAGCAUGUCACAGUUACCCGGGGGACCAGCCGUGGCAUGUGCCAUUCCCAUCUCCACCUCGGACUCCCAAUCAUGAUCCCACUUCAUCUGGAAGUGAGGCUGAGAGCAAUGAUCCGCUUGACAAAAUCUCUGCCGUCAAGCACCACCUCCAAUAUAUGUCAAAGGCAACGGAUUGGUGGGAGAGUAAGUGCGAUAUUCAUGGCCAAGUUAUGGGAAACUUGGCCAACAAGUUGAACAAAGCAUACGCUGGAGAGGUGAAGCAAACUCUAAAAGCAAAAAGUCGGAGCAAAGAGUUAGAGUCCUUGAAGUUGAAAUUGGAAGAGAGAAAGAAAAAUGCUGUCGAAAAAUUCACACAAUCUGAAGAAUAUAACCAUGAAAUGGUUGAAUGUUUCAACAACGGCUUUGAAAUGUUCCGAGAUUAUGCUUCGGUCAUCUCACCAGACUACAAUUGGAGUGAAAUUGAUGUAGCUGGUGUUUGGCAGGUGCUGAAUAUGGGUGCUGAGGGAAUGGCUCAUCAUAGCCUCGUGCAUGCAGCAAGGAGAAAGGACAAAGACUUGGAUCUUUUGAUGGACCUGUAGUAACAGUGAGUGCUGCUUCAGUUCAACUCACCUGAGUACAUGGAUCUUUUGUUGCCUUCAUUUUCCCUUCGCAGGCUAGUAUUGUUAAGGUUCGGUGGCGAUUUCUUUUGCAUGUGUAAAAUGUUGUCUGUAAUGUGUAUGUAUUGUAUGUAGAUUGACUUAAUAUUGUAGUUCUAUUGUAUGUAUAUUGCCUUAAUAUUGCCUUUGUAUAGCAUAGAUAGUGUAUGCAUAUUGCCACCGUAUUGGAUGUAUAUUGUAAAACUAUUGGUAUCGUAUUGCCCUUAUAUUGCUCUAAUAUUGCCUCUAUAGUGCACCUAUAUUGACCUAAUAUUGCUCUUAUAUCGUAUGUCAAUGGCAUGUGCUCUAAUAAGUCUCCAGUUCGUUGAAAGUAAUCCUGAAUUCAAAUAUGAUGGACAAGACAAUUGUUAUCCAUCCUUAUAUUACCAUGAAUUGAUUUGGACCUUUCAAAUGAUAGUUGGAGUUGCACAUGGAUUCAUAUUCAAAAGGAAAGUAAUUCUCUCCCUCAAUGAAUUGUCGUUCAAAAGAAGGCAGCUAUCAAAUUUUGGGUACAAAAAGGCAACAUCCACGGUAAAUUAAUUGGGCACAAACCACAUAUUACAAAACCAGGAUGAUUUUUGGCAUGCUUCAAAAGAGAAGGGCCAAAUACAACAGAAAAGAAAAUCCAUUCAAGCUUGUACAAUAGAAUGCACAAUAACCCUUUUACAUGUCCUUCCAACACCAGUGUUUUGCCUACUUUAGAGUCGCAGGAGGAGAGCUUAUUGCCAUUGUGCAAUUCGAGGGGGCAGUCAAUUUGGAAUGGUGGCAUAAACAUGUUUACUCCACGGAUCACCUAUAUGGGACAGAGCUUCCUUCUUCCCUUGUCGUCUGUAGGUUUCAACUUCACACUUUUUAUAUACAUGUAUGAGAACUUGUGGCUAUUUAUUUAUGGCCUUCUAACACUUGUUCUGCCAUUCCAAAGUGGGUUGGAGACUUUUUGAGUUGAAUGACUGGAAAGACUUCAGAUGACAGAAACUAGAGAGUUUGAAGAAAAAGGGUUACCAAGAACAGCAGUCAUGCCCACGACAUAAACUAAACAUGCUAUAAGCUCCACAGUAAUAUUUACUUCAUCUCCAUAAUCAGAAUAUUGGGAAAAAAAUACCACGGAGAAAUACGUGAAAUGAAAAACAACUCGGCAGUUACUGUGAGAUUGUGUACAUAAAACUUGGAACAACCAAACCAAUUAAAGCUAAGCCAUCUCAUACGUAUACCUACAUCAAAUAACAGUGUAUGGUCAUCUUGUUUAGAAUAUUGCAAUCAACACUUGGUUGAGACCGACCUGCAAAAACAACUGGGUUAAGUACAGAUGAAGCCAUUUAUGAAGGGCAGUUCCAGAAUUAAGACCUACGUUAAUUUGUAACUGCCACCGAAUCAGUUCAUAGUGCCAAAUGCAUCUACCAAGCACACAGAUAUGACCAGCCAAAAGAAAAAAAAGCAAAGUAAAAAAGAUAAAAGAGGCAUGCCAUAAAUGGGAACCUCAGCAGAAAUCAUCAGAUAUGCAUACAAGCAGAUUGAGUAACAUCUCACUAAGUAGAGGUCAUGUUGGUAAUCGCAUGUUGUGUUUGCACACAGACAUUUGGUUUUUGCAAACACAACAUGCAAUUGCAUUCCAUGAUGUGUGUGUUGUGUUUGCACACAGACAUUUGGUUUUUGCAAACACAACAUGCAAUUGCAUGAUGUGUGUGUUGUGUUUGCACACAGACAUAUGGUUUUUGCAAACACAACAUGCAAUUGCAUAUUGUGUGUGUUGUGUUUGCACACAGACAUAUGGUUUUUGCAAACACAACAUGCAAUUGCAUAUUGUGUGUGUUGUGUUUGCACACAGACAUUUGGUUUUUACACACACGAUAUGUAACAUUUAGUUUUACCCUUUUAUUCUUAUUUUCUUCGUUCAAACAUGGUGGUGAGAAAAGCACCAAACCAUCCCAUCAUAUAAAGCAAAACUCAUACAAUAUUUUAGAUGCAAAAGUUAUAUAUUUUAUAUAAAUGCAUCAUCCGCAUGGCUUGAAAUUACAAAUUCACGUUCACAUAUUACUUUUCACAAGCGCACAGACUAACAAUAAUAAUAAUCAACCAAGUAGUUGCGACAUUCAUCCUAUUACGUCCAUAUUGAUAAUGUCAGAAGUUUCAUCGAUAAGCCUCAUCAAACUACAAGUUUUUUAAUUUGAAUUAUGAAUUCAGAACUAAAAGCUCAUGAUAUGCAGAAAAUGACAUACAUUGUCCACAAUCGACUUUUCGAUAUAUUUCUGCUCUAGCAAUUUAUCGUCCAAAUUCUGGACUCUCUGUGUCAGGUGCUUCUUUGUGUUCUAUCCAGCAUAAGAAUAUUUAAUAGUGUGAUUUCAAUUGUUUAUACAAAUUCUAUAAGUAAUAUUGAUGAGUGCUGUAAAUCUAUUUGAUAUUGGGAACAAACAUGGUCCCACUAACAGAAACUCAAACAAAACAGGAAUUUUUUUUUAUUUUUUUUGGCAUAGACAGCCGAAAAGAAACUUACAGCAAUAGCCUCUGUCACGCUCUCCAGACGUUUAUGCAAUUUUGAAACAGCAGCAUUCAUACUACGCUUUGUCACAUACAGAAGAUCUGAGAAUUUUAGACCCUAACCAUUUGUGAAGAGCAAAUAUUAGAUUUGCUUAAAGAAGACAACAACUCACAGAACCAAUGGAUGAAAUAAUAUGAACAUAAAUAUAUCAUUUGGAUACCUUCCACCACAUGUAACCAUAACCCAAUGCCCCCAAGGUAGCUGUUGGCAUUAUUAGUGAUGUCAAACCUAUUAAAAAAAUCAAAAAAAAAAAUAUAACCAAGUAUAAAAUGUUUCUAUUGCAUUAUGAAAUACAUACGUGUAAGGAAUUAAUCGUUUUACAACUUAACCAAAAAGUCAAGGCAGGAGCAUGCAUUCAUUGAGUGGUUAUAAGCAAGAGGAAAAAGCACAAAGCAUGCUAAGAAUUCAUUUGAACACAGAAGAGAAAGUAAGCUACCUUGGAAUUUGGCUGUCAUUCCCCUUCAGGACGGCUCUCUGUAGUGACGAGUCUAGUUGUCGGACCUCAGCUGCCAGUCGGCGCACCUAAAACAAAGUAACACAGGAAAAUUGAUAUCCAUUACAAAAAACAAAAAUUGAACACGAGAAAGCAUCCUUCGACACUAAAUUUAUAGCAGUUUUUCCAAUACCUGUGAUGCGAUCGCAUAAAAGUCACCUUCUGAUUGUUCUCCGGUUCCAUUGAACAAAGGCUGCAAACAAAACAGAAAUAGACACAAAUCCAUCAAUUUUUUGAGCAACAAGACACAAGCUCCGAAAUAAAUAAACUAUCUAACUGAUCAAAACCCUAGUUUACCAAAUGCAUUACAAAAUUAAAAACUCAUACAAAAAUAACACCAAAUACAAAUGUUCUGCGAGUUCCACUAGCAAAGCAGAGUACAAAUCAUGAAAAUGGUACCUGAAGUUCACCGAUCAAUUCAGAUAAUUGACCAUUCUUACGCAGGAUGGUGCUCGUAUACCCUGUAGAAAGAGAACAAUCACUCAGAUCAAAUGUAGCUAAAUACACAAGGAAACUAAUCCAGUAUGCAAGAUGAAAGAGGAGUGAUUGGUACCUACUCCAGCGAAGAUCAGCAAACACAGUAUGAGGUUCCAAAUUCAAAUAACAACAUAAUGCUAAGCAGAGAAGUAGAAUUGCUGCCGAAAUUAUUUAAAACGAACUAAGUCAAAACUAAAUGGAGAAAUGUUAACAAAGUUGUAUGCUUCAGUAAGUCCAGUAACAGAUUCCCAAAACCACAGAGACAAAAUGUGAACAAUGGCUACAAAAGCAUCCAUAAAGAGCAACUAUGUUUAUAUAUGGAGGUGUACAAAAUAGUUAACCUUCAAAAUCGAAACAGUGUGUGUGCCAUGUAAGGCAAUUAGCCACUGCUUCUAGACUAUACAAUAUUACACCUCACAAUAAUAACUAAACCAACUAGCUCUAGCAAAAAGGCAGGAUGACCAUAUAAAGUACCCCCAGCAAAGCAUCUACGUCUGCAUCUUCAUAUCAAGGAGUUCCUGACAUAAGUAAUGAGCAAAGUGAAUUCCCAAGUCAUAAGUCCAGAAUGAGGUGAAUUCACGGACAUUAAAACAUUUACCUCAUAAAUAUGCCUCCCCCCUUAAACCCUCAAUUGCAAGCCUCAGCCGGUAAUAUUUGAUCUUCAAAGGGUCAACUUUAUCUACCGAAAUCCCAGCACUGAGAUGCUCGAUGAAUUUGACGGUCAUGAUUCCGCAAGACGUACUGUGAGACCAAUAAGUUGGGAAAUUAGAACUGCAGUUAUGUAAGAUUUGGAUAAACUGCACUAAAUUCACAAAGCUUACCCAUCUCGUUGUUGUGGCACAUCUGCAAUGCUGCAAACUGAGAAUGGCGUAAACGUCAACAUCUUCAGCCCCUUUUGCUUAACCUUUUCAACCUCAGAAUCUUCAUAAAAGUGCAUAUCGUACAGCACUCGUGCCAGCGUAUCGCUAAUAGGGUGCAGAAGUGUAACCAGCUUCGAACAUUUGGUAAAAGCAACAUAUGAGUCAUACACAGUUGCAGUAUGUCAGACGAAAUCAAUUUCGAUUGCAACCCAGUAAGACCCUUUAAGAUUAUAUGGAAUAUAGACCUUCCGGACUUUUGUCCAAGCUUGGCCAUACCCGUGUUGCCACGUACCGCGUACAAAGUAAUGUAUAUUCUGCAGCUUGCUGGGUGGAAGGUCAACGGUGUUUGAAGCAACUGCCUUCUUCGAUCCACGUUUCUUGGCAGUCGGUUUGAACGGAUCUAGAAAUUGCUGCAUAAAUUGAAAUGAAGGCAUAUUAGAAAAUCACAACCGAAAGCAAAUGAAGCAGCGAAUGUAACAUGGUAACAUGUUUACCUGCAAGCAACAAUCUGCUGUUGUCCAGUCAGUUCCAAAUACCAACGGAUGAGAGAGUUGCCUUUUCCAGAUAAGAAAGGUUGCCAUGUCCAGGUGCUGAAAGUUGACACACAUAAUAUCAGCACAAUUUCAUACAACUGUACACUUAAAAAAGGUGAGAAAACAAUUUAAUUAUCGCAAUAAAGUAGAGCUUUGUGUAUUCUUACCCUUGAGCUAAUCCAUUCCGUUUCAUCGAUAAGUCUGUAGAAAAAAUCAGCGCCCACUGAAAAUAAUUCCAGCUGCACCUCCGCACUACAAAAGGCAAACUUGCAAUGGUUACUUUUAUAGUCAUCUCAUAAUUCUGACUUUGUUGAUGACAAAAAUACACAUGUAUAUUAAAGCAAACUCUACGUUUUCUCAUUAGUCUAUGACUACAUACUAGAAUAGGAUGAAGAUUGGAAUUCAAAGGUAAAGAAUCCUAACCUGAUAUCGUUUUUCCAGGCAGUACAAAACUCUAUUACUGCCUUCACAUCUUCAAUGGGCACGGAUUUUGAUGGAUCAAAACAUGGCGGGGUUGCAGUCGCAGCCAACACACUCAUCGUCCUCUUCUUCCUCAAAGGAUCAGUAAAUGGGCUCAACAAUGUCUGCGCCGGGCGCUUCUGUCUGCACCCUUUACCUUCCACUUCUUUUUUUUCCACACUCGAACUACCUUCUUCAUCACCAGCCAUACUAACUGUGGGUAGACUUGGAGGAUUCAUCGGACCUCCCGAUGGCAUACUCUUAGUCACUUUCCAAUCUUCUAACAGAGACAACACUUUUUGGCAGAUUUCGUCACACCCGGCCACAUCUUCCGGGGUAGGCAGCUUCUCGGAUUGUGCCUGCUCAGCUGCUUCAUGCACUUGUAAGUGAGGAACUGAAGCGGCCAUUUCUGCCUCUUCGACUACCAUGGCUGCGGAAGGUUCGGCUCCAUCACCGGGAACUUGUGUUUCCAUUACCGCCGGUUCUGUAGGCGGACUAACAUGGUCAUGUAAUGGCGACAAGUGAUUGUCGCCUCCUUCAUUCAUAUGAGGACUACUGAGGUCCUCAUGUCCUUUCCCACCUUCAUUCACCCCACCAUUUCGUUUUUUCAGCUGCUCUAUCUCCACAUUAAAAUAAUGCUCCAUUAAAGCCAGGGUGUUGCGGAAAUCCUCCACACACUUUUUAUUUUUUUCGAACUCUCUUUCAACUUUCAAUGACUCCUUCCGUACCAUGUCUUCCAACUGAUGCACUCUGUUGCGAAGCGCUCGAUUUGAUAUGGCAACUUUGGCCAAUUCAUCCUUUGUCCUUUGAAAGUCACGCUUCAAAGUGCGUAACUCUCUGGACGCGACUGUACCCUGCAUUCAGUUAUAAUGCAAGUGUUACAAUAUUUUCAAAAUAUAUUGCAACAAUACAGCAGUUAUUUUCCUAUUGUAUUAUGACGUAUAUCUUGGAAAAAAAUGUAAUGCUUGCCUUAGAAGACGACGGAAGGCUAGCAGUUUCGUCAAUGUCCUUAUCUUUUUCUUCUACAGAGGCAGAAGUGCUGGUUUUUUGUUCAGCGUCAUCGCCAAACAACUGAACAAGUUCUUCAGUGUCGUCAACACUGUCACCCCAAGUCCAAUACGGCUGCUGCUUGUCGAUUACAGAUGGCCGGAGAAGUUGCACAUCAACCUGCAAUUUACACAUACAAUAUACAUAUCAGUAAACUUAUUAUAUUAUAUUUUCAUAUGCCUAACAUUAUCAUUAAAAACUUAACUAACCUCACGGUUCUCGAAUACUUGGCUCAUUAGCUCAUAAAAACACGGCGAACUAUUGCUCCUCCAAUGUAGUAAACGAGGGAUGUAGGCAUUAUCUUCGUGCACCACCAAAUGUAGUGCAGCCAACGCUGGAAAAACCUCAUAAGCCCAAAUCUGGUUUGAGGAAUAAAACGUGAGUCACUGUAAACAAAUGAAAUUUAACUUCAACAUGAAUGGAAAUUUGCUCACCUGAAGUGCAUAGGCAAAACCUUUGAGGUGGUACUCUCUUGGUCUACCAGUUGCCGUUGUUUUUGCUUUCUUUUCAGAUUUUUUUGUUUUUGCAGCUUUUUUGGGCACUUUCACUCGCUGGUAAUCUGUACAAAGUGCCCUCAGAAGUGACACAAUUGUCUUGGCAUAACACACAGCACCCCAUGGAUACUUCCCAAACUCUUCAAGGUCUUCCACCAACUUCAAAUAUCGCAUGUCAAUCUGGACAUGUUUUUCACUGCCCAACAGCACAAACACAGCAAAGUAUACAAAUCUGAGCUUCAAUACAUCGUCCGCAUCAACGCAUUUGAGGAAGGCCUUUUCUAAUUCCAAAACAUUGACAGUUUUAUAGUUGCCAAAGUACUUCCUUUUCAAUGAGCAGUUCUCAUUAGUGGGAAUCGGAAUAAAGGGAAGGUUUCCAAACCUUAGCCCUGUCACGAUGCAAAAUUGCUGCGCCGUGAAUUGGAUCACCUUAUUGCCAACGAUGAAUUUGAUCCCGUUGAGUUGGGAAACUGUCUUUGGAUCAGCUUUCCUCAGCAGCAAGCCGUGGACAAUUGGCGAAGUCCACUUGAGGUCCUCAAUCAGUAGGAGAUGCCCAAAACAACUCUCUUCAAACCUUUGUAGCUGUUGUUCACUGAAUUUCUCCUUUAUCGUGCUGAUUGCAGUCUUCGUAUGGGAUAGGGACAAUGCUUUUCCUUGGAACUUUUCUUCCUCUGCAAUCAUCAACUUCAUUUGAGCAACCAUCUUUCCCUGCAUGCCAAUAUUAUAAAAAAAAAUUCAGUCCGUUGCAAUCUAGACAAUAACAAGCAAUAAACAAUCAGCACUUAUCUACAGCCUAUUAUAGGAUAUUAAGUGAAAACAAAAAAACAAAAAAUACAGGGCAUAAACAAAACCCCAGCUAUUUACAACUGACCUACUAAUUCAAUAGCUCAAAGCCACAUCCCAAGACACCCAGUACUCUACCACUCUUGCAUAAUAUAAUAUCUAAAGACACAUCUCAACACACCAGAUAAUCAUGACACAGCUUCAGCUAGAAUGGGAAUGUGCGGUAGCACAAGCCUAAUUGAGAACAAUUCAAGACUAACGAUAGAAAUCUAUCUGACUAGAAAGAGUUUUAAAAAAACAAGAAGACAUCGGGAAAGAAUUGAUUGACUUCAAGGUAUAAUGUAAUGGAACAUCCUAUGAAUUAGUGGCAACCAUAAUAAUGACUCCACUAUGGCCCUCCUUUCAAAUGUAAGAAAAUGAAUGAAAUUGGCACCAUCCCUUCAGUUUUUUCUUAACAAAAUAAGAGAUUUGUAUGUAUUCUCUGCUUUAUCGAUAUCAAAGAUAAAUUAAUAAAUAAACCAUCAAAACUGUAUAAAAUGUUUGUUAGACAUGUACAAUUACAAAAUUAUAAGUUCUCCUCAGAAACAAAGUUCUCUAAGUACGCAAACAAGAAAAGCAAAAGCUUAAAGAGUUAGCUUAUAGCAAAAUCAAUGUCCCCAUUUCUCUAAACCACACCUGCUGGUGGUAGGUUCCCAUCUUCACUCAUUUCCCGCUUUCUUUUAAACAGACAAUGAUCAAGCACAAAAGAGCAAACUUUUAAAUAACUCAUAUUACACCACAAAUAGUUCUAAAGAAAACUUAUUCAUAUCCAAUAUGCAACCCCUAAAGUUAGUAAACAGAGUUAUAAAAAAAUAUGUCAAAUUAACAAGCAUUAUUCUCAAACAAAAAGUAUGAUAUGGUUGGGAGUUUACAAGUUCAAAAUGAUAUACACAGGUUAAUUGUCUUAGACUUUAGAUAUCAUCUUCAACAAAGAAAAUAGAUACCGAUUAGACUUGUAAGAAGGUUAAAUGCAAUGGUCAUAAAGACCCAUAGUAAGCCACCAAAUACCAAUCAAUAACUGCUAUAAAAACCAUAAUAAAACCAUAAUAAACUAAAAAUACAACAGCACUAAAAUGCCAACACAACAUCACUACAUUAGCAAUAUAGUAGCAACAAAACCACAAUACGACAUCAAUAGCAACAGCAAAACAACAGCAGUGCAAGCAUCAGUCCACAAAGAACAAACCCAUUCACUGUUUCAAACAAGGAAUCAUCAUACUAAGAUCAUUUCAGAGAAACCCCAAAACCAAUUUCAGUGAAACCCCUAAACCAAUUUCAGAGAAACCCCUAAACCAAUUUCAGAGAAACCCCUAAACCUUCAACCAAUUUCGAACAAAUCCCUGAACCAAUUUCAUAGAAAUGCAUAAACCCUAAACCAACUUCAAAGAAACCCUAAACUGUAAGAAAAUGACGAUGAACAGUACCUGUUCAAGGUGAACGAUGGAGUUGAGCUUCGAUGAACAAAUUUCGCUCGGAGAGGAAGAGAGAAGAGAGAGUCAGAGCUGAGCGACGAGAGAUUAAGGGCUGAGCGACGAGAGAGUGAGAGCUGAUCGACGAGAGAUGAGAGAGUGAGAGCAAAGUGACGACAGAGUGAAGAGAAAUUGAGAGAAGGAGCCAAGAGAGAGAGCUGAGAGAGAACUUCAGCAAAACUGAUAGAGAACUUCAGCAAAAGUGAUAUGUGUACAAUAAGGGGACAAUAAAUAUAUAUUUAUAGGUUAUAGUUCCAAAUUUUUUUAAAAAGAGUGGUAUUUUCAGUUACAAUUAUAAAAAUGGUGGCAUUUUGAGCUAUUUCCUUAUUUUUUAUUCAACAUGGACGCAGAAACUGUUGCUAAACUGCAAACUUCUUAAAAUAUUUGUCUCACUUUCUCAACCCUAUAUUUGUCUAACUUUCUAGAUCCAUGUACUGAGAUUUAUUAGGGAAAUAUUGUAGAAACUGAUUAUUUUGAAAUAUUAAAUGUGAAAAACUGAACAAAAAUUUGAUGGGUUACAUAUUUCAACUCAUUUCAGCAGCUUAGAUUUUGAAGACCUCGGAAGAGGCCAUGCAGUGAGCCUAGCUAGUGCACUGUUGAUCACUUCAGUGUCUACCGAUCUGUAAUUUUUCCAGAUUGGUUAUAUUUUCCUUUACAUAUUCUUAUAUUAUUCCCAGCUGUAAGUGUUUUACACACUUGUCUAUUAGAAAAGGGGAGACUUAUAAAUAAAUCCAAAAUGGGUACAGUAUUUAUAAAGAAUGACAAAAUUAAAGUGUUUGGGCAAUAAUGCCCUUAUUCAUUUUGAGAUUGCCUAAGGAAUAUUUUUUCUGAUUUUCAGAAGAUGCCAAAGGACCGUUGUUUGAUGAUUGCCGUAAGGAGCUAAGAAAACUUGCUUUGAUAGUUUUGGACAGAUGCAUGCUACUGUUGCUGGGAUGAUCUCUUCACGUGAAAUGAGGAUGAUGAUGCUUCUACACUACACAAUCCAACGAAUUCACAUGUCUAUUUCAGAUACAAGUAUAAACUAACAAGGCUUUAAAAUAUGGGCUGAUGCACUGUUGUUGAUGUUGCUGACACUGUUACUGUGUUGUUGAUACUGUCACUGCGUUGCUGUUGGAAAAAGCACAAGGACUUCACAUGUUGCUUUCGUCUUUUGUGGAGGAGAGAGACCUAGGACUUGCAUGUCUUAGAUAUUUAAGAUAAGGGGCUUUCGUUCCAUUUUGAAAAUACUUUGGGUGUUUUUGAAAGGUGAUUGUUUCUUUUGGGUUUCUCACUAAAUUUCGCUUUAGAAGGGAAAAUAAUAAUAAUAAUGUCAAACAAAGUAGGGUAAAUAUUCAGAUAUGCUCAUAUUAUUAUUCUUCUCCAAUAUUGAGGUAUUUAUACAAGUACAAAGAUGUGUUAACCCUAAAUAAAAUAGGAAAUAUAUCUAAAUUAUAAUAGGCAGUAAAUCUCUAUUACAAUAGGACUAAAUAAUAAUUGGUAAGUAACCAAAAUUCUAAUGAAAUAAGGAAUCAAAAUCCUAACUAAGUAAGGACUCGCCAACACUCCCCCUCAAGUUAGGGCAAACAUAUUUCGCAUGCCUAACUUGACAAGCGAGUCAUAGAACACCAUACUUGAGAAGCACCAAUUGUAGAGAAGGUCUUUUCGUCAACCACGAGUGAAACAAGUGACAAACUAAAGCAAAGUUCGCAGCGGAAACACAAGAGCGAAUCCUAAAAAAUAGGGCACAUAGCAGAACACAAAAAUCCUGGAGCACGACAGUAGAUAAGGCAGAACACAGAAACCCUGUUAGCACGGCAAUAGGUAAGGCAGAAAAAGUCAAGAGCAAAGGCAAGGUCAACAGGCGUGACCACAACGAAAACACACCAGCAAAGACAUGAGCAACAAUAUUAGCACCAUAAUAGACAUGAGCAACAAUACUGGUACCAACAACAGCAAUACAAGGCACUGGCACCAGCAAGAGCAACAAGGCAUGGACAUAACAUGCAUAAUCAAUAGUAAUCAACAUUGUCCCCAACAAGAGUCAUAAUAGGCAUGAGCAAUAACAUUGUCCCCACUAAGAGACUUAACAGGUAUGAGUAACAGUACUGGCACCAGCAAAGGGCAUAGUAGUCAGCAGCAAUAACAAUGACAAAUACUUCUAUUAUUGCAGAGACAACUUCUCUUCACUCCCCAUCUCCCCUUGAAGAGAAGGGGUCAUCGGAACCAUAAGAAAAGUGGCACUUAAGAAACAGAAGUUGACUGACGCUCAAAUGUAGAAGAAUCAGCCAUGGCAAAUAGGUAGCUGAAUUGCAGCGGAAUAGAUGAGCAGCGGUGUCACUCCCCCUCAUAUCUGAUAAUGUAUGAGAGUCGAGAUUUGGAGAAAGCAAUAUCGAAAAAUAAAGUUGCAGAACCCAAAUAAAGUUGCAUCUAUCUCCCCAUCAAAUCCGACACUGGUAAAGGGUCGAGAUUUGAAAGAGGAGAAAUUGAAAUAAUAGUAAAGAGACUCAAACAUGCAGUCUCAUGGCAGAAACAAAUGCAAGAGGGGAAGAUGGUAGCAUACGGUUGUCCCAUGAAGAAAAAACUUCAGAAAAGGAGAAUAGUAAGGGAGGAAACCUAGCAAAUCAUGAACAGAGACAAAGACAAAGAUGCUCAAACUGAGAAGCGGAAAGGCAACUCAAGAGAGCAACCGAAGAAGACAGAGGCCCGCAGAACAGUCAAAGUUAAGGCUCGGCGAGUGGUGACGAUGCUCGCGGAGGAAAGCAACGGCUCGGUGAGCGGUGAUGAGGCUCACGGAGUAAAGAGACUUGUUAUGAAGUUUCAAAGAUAGAGAAGCUGAGACAUCAAGAAAGACCAUCUGGCAUACAAAGAUGAAAAAUAAAAAUUUUGGAACAGUAGCAAAGAAGCAUGUGAAGGCUGGUGCGGUGAAAACACAUAUGAAAGGAUGAACAAAAGAAGAUGACUAUACAAGAUGAAGACCCAUGAUGGGUUAGGAAUGAGGAGUGCCAACGACUCUCAAUUUGGCAGAGGUUAUCGCAGGUUAGGAACCUGGCUCUGAUACCAUGUCAAACAAAGUAGGGUAAAUAUUCAGUUAUGCUCAGAUAUGCUCAUAUUAUUAUUUUUCUCCAAUAUGGAGAUAAUUAUACAAGUACAAAGAUGUGUUAACCCUAAAUAAAAUAGAAAAUAUAUCUAAAUUACAAUUGGAAGUAAAUCUAUAUUACAAUAGGACUAAAUAAUAAUUGGUAAGUAACUAAAAUUCUAAUGAAAUAAGGAACCAAAAUCCUAACUAAGUUAGGACUCGCCAACAAAUAAUAGUACAACUCUUAUUAGCAACAGGUUACAAACUUCUUCUACAACACACCAACAUGAAUCUAGCCCUGAUCCACUCUUUUACAUACUUGAAAACAAAACAAAACACGAAAAACAAAAAACAAGAAACAAGAUAGGGAGAAAAUGGCUACGGAGAGACUUCCUGCUAAUCAGGGGCGGCCCUGGGGUGGUGCAAGUGGCGUCACCGCACAGGGCCCCCGAUUCUUAAGGGCCCCCAAAAAAUAAUUCUUUAUAUUAUAUAUAUAUAUAUUAAUAUUAUAUGAAUCGUAUAUAAAGUAUAGCGUCUGGAUGAUAAAGAGACUCAUUAUCAUUAUCUUAGUCAUAAGAUUCAAAAUGAAUUGAUACUUUUGUUAGCUUCUGAGCUCAAAAGUGCAAUCAUUAAAAAGAUUGAAGAAGCUAAAUAUUUUUCUGUGAUUCUUGAUUGUACUCCAGAUGCUAGAAACCAAGAACAAAUGAGUUUGAUAGUAAGAUGUGUGGAUGUCUCUACUAAUUCAAUAAAGGUUGAAGAAUUCUUUUUGGAAUUUUUGAUUGUGAAUGAUACAACAGGACAAGGACUUUUUGAAGAGUUGCAAACGGUGUUGCAAAAACUUAAGCUUGAUAUUGAUAAUGUGAGAGGACAAGGCUAUGACAAUGGAUCAAAUAUGAGUGGGAAAUAUCAAGGUGUCCAAAGAAAAUUUUUGGAUGUAAAUCCUAGAGCAUUGUACACACCUUGUGGUUGUCAUAGUCUUAAUUUAACACUUUGCGAUAUUGCAAACUCUUGUGGAAAAGCAAAAGAUUUUUUUGGAAUCAUACAACGUAUUUAUACAUUGUUUGCUAAUUCUACAAAGCGGUGGAAGAUAUUGAAAGAUAAUGUUAAACACUUAACUCUGAAAUCAUUGUCAGUUACACGUUGGGAAAGUCGUAUUGAAAGUGUGAGAGCAAUAAGAUUCCAAGCUGCAGAUUUAAGAGAAGCUUUACUUCAGUUAGCAGAAAGUGACGGUGACUCCAAAAUAACAAGUGAAGCUAAUUCUUUGGCAACAUAUGAACUUGGAAAUUUUGAGUUCUUAUUGGGCAUGGUUAUUUGGUAUGAUAUAUUAGGUGGUGUCAAUGUAGUGAGCAAAAACUUACAAUCUGAAGACAUGCUUAUUGAUGUUGCUAUUGAUAAAGUGAAAGGGUUGAUUACUUUUUUUUUGAAAAGUAUAGAGAAAAUGGGUUUACAGAAGCUAUGUGUACUGCUAAAAAAAUUGCUACUGACAUGGGAAUUGACCCGGUGUUUCCUGAGAAGCGAAAAAUUCGUAGAAAAAAACAUUUUGAUGAGAAUACUUGUGAGCUAUCCCAAUCAGUUCCUGAAUCAACUGAAGAAAAGUUUAGAAUUGAUUAUUUCUUGUAUUUAGUGGACCAAGCUAUUGGUUCUUUACGAAGAAGGUUUCGACAAUAUCAAGAGUAUGAGAAUUUUUGGGUUUUUGUUUACUUCAGAGAAGUUAAAUUCAUUGGAUGAUUGCGAUUUGAAGAAUAGUUGCAGUCAUCUGGAAAGCAUUUUGAAAAAUGACAAGUUUUCUGAUGUCGAUGGGGAGGAUUUAUUUGUUGAGUUGAAAGUUUUACAAGAGCUUUUACCAAAAGUAAAUACCACAGCUACUGCAAUAUUAAAUUUCUUGAAAAGAUUAAAUUGUUUUCCAAAUGCAUUCAUUGCAUAUAGAAUCCUAUUGACUAUUCCUGUUACUGUUGCAUCUGCGGAAAGAAGUUUUUCAAAAUUAAAAUUGUUAAAAUCAUACUUGAGAUCAACUAUGUCGCAAGAAAGAUUAAAUGGACUAGCUUUGAUUUCAAUUGAAAGUGAACUUCUUGAAAAACUUGAUUAUGAACAUUUGAUUGAUGAUUUCUCUUCUAAAAAUUCAAGAAGAUCAAUUUUCAGACAUUAGUAUUGUACUAGCUGUGUUUUUUUUUUUCUUCUAGGGUAAAAGCUCUCAUAAUAAUUUUAAUUCUUCAAAUAAGACAGCAAAUACAAUGUGAUGAAUUUUGGAUAAUCAGGUAUGUUUUUGUUGUUGCUUUUGUGUUUAAUGCAAUAUAAUCUAAUUUUUUUAAUGACAUUUGUGUGCAACUACUCUUUGAUUUGUGAUUGCCAAUUUUUUUUUCUUUCUAUUAAACACAGAUUGCUUAUUGGAGGCAGCAAGAGACCUUAUAGGGGCACAAGGAGCUUAUUUUUGUACAAAACAUUUAACUUUAUCAAAUGGAAACAUUUAAAUUUUUAUGAAUUUGAUUUCUGAUUGUCAUUGCAUAUUUAUUGAUGGUGAAUUUUAGUUAUAAAAAAAAAAUUGUUUAUGACAUUAAGUUAUGGCAAAUUUUUAUAGUAUUUUCGUAUUAGAUUAUGCGAGGUCCCAAUUUAAGUUUCGCACAGGGCCCUCAAAAUCUCAGGAACGGCCCUGCUGCUAAUACUUGAUCAAUAACAGAGAUAAUAGAGCACACUGUUUGUAUGACAAUGAGUAUCAGAAGAAUAAUAGCUGCAAAGAGAGAAAUAGCUGCCCAAGGUGUGUUGAAAUACUUUUGUCUCAAAUUUGCCUUCCGUCUGUUCGUGGUCUUCUUGCAGUACUCGUUUAGUUUGCCAGCAAGAUCACCAAAAUAGUAGUUUCCGUGGUUCGGAGCAACUUUACUGCAAAGCUUGUUAAUCAUAAUGGAAACCUUAUUGUUGUCACCUAGCGUGUUUACAACAAUUCCAUUGUCAACAAGCAACUCUACAUCCUUUGGGGUGUUUACAAAUUUAUCCAGGAUGAAAACAUAAUCGCUUAUGUAUUUAUCCACGCAAUGGCCUUGUUCAAAGGCAAUGAGAUUUCUAUGUGUAAGCUGUGUAAUCAUGUAUUUCAAUUUUUGGAAUUUCCAAGGUGUUUUUCUUGAACUGUAUAUCGAAUAAGUUCUUGCUUGAUCCCACGUUAAACUUAACUCCGGCCUGGUGUAGUUUUGUCAUGCUGGGUGUACUUUGGAGCCCUCCAUUUUUUUUUCUUUUGGCAGAUGUAAAGUUCUAAUAAAAUCAACAAAAUGUAAAGGUUUUUUAGGAUCAGGAGGCAUAAAAGACUUACGGAAGGCUGGUGAGUUCUCCAAGUUUUCUAAACGCAGUGCCUGUUGGAAGAACUUGUAAGAGAGUUCAAUUAUUGAAGGCUCCCCAGUCUGAGCACCUGUGAGAUUGUAAAGAUCCUCGAGAAUGAAAAAUGGCAGCUGAUUUACGAGCAUAAGCAUGUCAGGCAAUAUAUUUUGUAGCACCCAUGGUUUUUUAAAUAUCCAAGCAUCAUCAUCCUGCAAUUUUUCUUCCUGAAAUUUUUCUUCGGAUUUAUUCCUCAACAAUAGCUCAAUGACAAAGGCGGCAUCAACUAGAAUGAUAUUCACAAAAGUAGCAAUGUUAAACUUCUUAGGGCUAGUUUGGCGGCGUUGUGCUUUUAAAAAAAUAUGCUUCUGCUGUGCUGUGAAAAUAAUUAGCUGUGAAAAAAAGCUACUAGGCGUUUGGUAAACUGUUUUUGAAAAACUGCUGUGAGUAGUCAAAGUGUUUGGUAAAUUUUUAUCAGAAGUACUUUUAGUGUGUAUAAUGACCAAAAAGGACAUGAUGAUGAAAUUGUUUGUUAUUUUCUUCAUUCUUUUUCUACUUUAAAAAAAAAAAAAACCCAAUUUCACUACAUAAAUUUUUAUUCUUUUUUAAUUCACACCUUUUUAUCAAAAAAUUUAAUCUACAAUUAACAUACAUAUUUUACCAUAAAUUAUAAAUUACUAUUAUAACAAAAGUAAUUCUAAAUAUUGUUAUAUUAAUAUGGGCUUCGGACAUGACAAAAAUACAAAAAUUGUUCAAUUUUAAAAUGCCCCAAUAGAUCACUACAAUAUAAAAGAAGCUAAUUAGAUGCAUUCAUUAAACUUGUAGCGAUGCUAUUUCUUAAUGCAUUCAUUAGCUUCUUUUUUUGGUUUCCAAUGGUUCUCUAACAAUUUUAACUAAAAAAACAACCAUAAUGCUUUGUGAACAAUAAAUUCAAGUCCAAAUCUGCUAUUGCCCACACCAUACAUAUAUACAUAAUUGUUCCUUUCAUAAAACUUGAAGAUUCAAUAGUAAUUACACAGUUUACCAAUCUUGAUUCCAACUAUAUCCAUAAAAUUAAACUAUAAUUAGAAAUAGAGGAGCUACAUGUGAUUACUCAUAAAUGCUUCCCACUCUCAUCAUCAUCAUCAUCAUCAUCUUCCUCCUCUGUACUUUGCCUUUCACAAAUGGACAAGACCAGAUGGUAACGUACACGACAUGGUCCACAUAUAGAUAAAUUUUGGGUUCACUGGAGAACAUAAAAGAGUUUUUACACGAAUACAAAGUUAGUUAAGUAGUGAAUAAAGUAAAACUAUUCUGUACAAUUCUAGCUGAUGCAGUCCAAAAAGAAUAUAUGUCUAAUAACUUAAAUAACAAUAAAGAGAAACAAAAGCCUCAUGAAAAAUGCUAGAGUAAAAGUUACAUAACUGAAUCGAUGGACAGAGAACUCCACAGGCAGAGAAACAGCAACAAAAAUUGUCAAAACAGUAGCAAGACCAUGUUGGAGUCAAGGCCAAAGAUCAUAUUUCCUGUGUAUCUUCUUCCAUUCUGAAUUAUUCUCGUAUUCAAAUACUGUAACUCUAUUUCAAGUGCACCCCAAAAUACUUAUCUAAGGCCAGUACAUAGGACUUCAUAAAGGGUGCGAUAAAAAAUAUUGCCCCUUAAUUGAUAAACAGAACCAAGAUCCCAACAGCACACCAAAACUAUACCAACCACACCUACAUAAUAUGGACAGAAAAUCCUGUUGUUCCGAUCUCUAACCACACCAAUGACAUUCAUUAGGAAAAUACAAAAGAUGGGUACCCUGCAUUUCUAACAUUUAAGAUAAAAUUCACUGCCAGCUAAUCACAAAUUUGAAAAGAUGGCAAGAAAAUUGGCUAAGCUUUAACAAAAACCAGAGCAGUCCUUGCAUAGACCUGACUUUUUGCUCCAAGCUUUAGCAGAUCACUUACUGGUAGAGAGCAGAGAACAUGUAUGUGAAUAUCUGAAGUUGGAAGGGUAAGCCAUCACAAACACCAAGAGAUCUGAUUCUCAUCUCUUGUUACAACAACAAAUCACAAACACCAAUACAUCUGAUUCAGAAUCUCAUAAACAAUGGAGGAACAAACACAUAUUCACACACAUAUAAAUCCCUAAACAGAAAAAAUAAAAAAUAAAAAAAAAACCAUGAAAGUCAUAGGAGAAUCAAAUUGAUUUGGGCCAAAAUUGCCUAAAAAGAAAACACUCCUAAAUAAACUUCAAUUCACUUUUAAAAACAGUAAAACAUGAUUGAAUCAUUCUUUAAAACAAUUCCCUAAUAUACAUGCAUGAUAAUGACAUCAUUUACCCCUGAAUCAAAUGCCUUUCACUGGUCAAGCCACAAGUCUGUGUUUUGGGAAUUGCUGAGCUGCAUCAAUCCUGCCAAUGUAAAUUCUGCCCCUAGGCUCUCUCAAAGUGCGUUUACAACCUAUGCUAACAUAUACUAGAGUUUGUUUUAGUAUCUAGAAAAUGCCAACACUAAUUUCGUAACACGUAGAAAUUGUUACAUAUUGGAAGUUUUUAUCAUUUUUUCUUCCAGUCUCUCCACCACUCACUAAUACAGAUUACUCAUGUGAUGAGUUUACAAAACAUAUUUCUCUACUCCCACAAAGACCAUACUUUUUCUCAAAAGACUAUAUCACUUUAUCUCUAUCUUUGUGAAAUGUAAAAAGUUGAAACUUUAAUGUCAAACCUCGACAAAAGAUGAACAUCCAUCAUCAAUUACAUUGAAUUUGAAUUUGUUGAACUUAAGUAGUUUUACUUCUCUGUCAGCGUUUGAUGACUUGAUUUGUUAUUUACUUCUUCUUUUUUCCUUGGAAAUGUGUUCCAUCAACGUGAGGAAGAAAAAUAUGCACAAAUUAAUAUAUUUAAUAGAAGCAAAAAUUAAUAUUUACAAAAAUAUGCACAAAUCAAGUAAAAUUAAUAAAGCAUAAAUUGGAAAGGGAAAAUAUGUAGAGGAUGCAUUGUAGGAUUGCUCAUGCCAAUAAUUGUACCCUCUAAAUAUAUAGGGACAUAUUUUUUUUUGUUUUCAUGACAUGUGGUCCUAAAAUUAUUGUUCUUAGCGGGCUCUCCACCCCUCUCGACUGAAAACCUAUUGUGUAAAUCUUCAAUCCUGAAUGAUGCACCUAAAACUCAUGUUGCAAUACACAUCCACCCAUUCUCAGGCCAAUUAUUACUCCUAGUGGGCUCUCCACCCCCUCUCAAAUUUAAGUGGUCCAUUAUUAUUAACCGUAUAUUUUAUGGACCAGCCAGCUGUGAGGUUUUAUCUCAAAAACCUUUCUCCCACAUGCCACAAUUUAUGUCUGAUACAUCACAUCAUGCCAGUUGUCUCAAAUGAAUUUAAGUGAGUGAGGCAGUGUUACUUCUGGGUACCCCUCAUUAUUCGUCUAUAAAUUGGUGAAGCCAGUUGCUACUGUUACCAUAAGAGCCAGCUCCGACUUUCAAAAUAAAAAUUCCAACAACGGUCUUAGUGCCUUCAAUUGUAUGAGUCAUUGAACAUGCAAAUGAAUAAAAUAUGAAUGAUAAAAGUGUUUGAUAAAUCACCAAGUUAUAGAACACUUGAUGAUUUAUCUCAAAUAAAAAUUCAGCUUUCUAAAGUUUGUGAAUUGAAAAUAUAAUCGUUAAAGCUCUCUAAACAAAGAAGACGAAAGUCUUAUUUUAUAGAAUUUUUCUUUACAAGAAAGAAAACAUGUUGAAAACCAAAUCUCCAAUUUCCAAGGCUUGACAGAAAAUCAAAAAAAUAUCUUUCCUAUUCUAGAGAUUGGUCACAUGUAGUUCAACCAAUAGGAAAUGAGAUAUUUAAGAAAGCAAGAUUUUGAUCAAUACCAAUAUCAAAUGAAUUCUUAUACGCCUAGUCAACUAUUAAGGGUAUCUUGACUCCUUGAUAUUGUGAUAUGAUUGAAACAUGAUUUCCAUGUUAGAAAAUUAAGGGGAUGUUAAAACAUGAAAGUAAUAGGAGAAUCAAAUUGAUUUGGACUAAAAUUGCCUAAAAAGAAAACACUCUUAAAUAAACUUCAAUUCACUUUUAAAAACAGUAAAACAUGAUUGAAUCAUUUUUUAAAACAAUUCCCUAAUAUACAUGCAUGAUAAUGACAUCACUUACCCCUAAAUCAAAUUGUCACGCCCCGGACCUGGGGGUCAGUGGAAACCCCACGUUCGGUGCGUGAGAAAAUAAAAAGUAAAAUAAAAUAAAAAGAAUGCCGAAACAAGGGUUUAAAAUAAACUUCUCUUAUAAAAAUAACUCCAAAAUCUUACAACUUUACAAGAAAUAAAUAAAGCCCUAUCAUUCUUAUCUAAUUCAGCCUCAACUGGUUUAGUCCUUGUCUUGCCCACUAAUUCAUCUAAAAAAUGAAGAGUGUUGCUAAACGAACCCUAAAAUUAAUUGAGUACACCCUACUACCAAACGAUUUAUUGAAUUUGUCACAUCUCGGGAUCAACUCCGCCGUAGCACGAUAUUGUUCGCUUUGGGCCCUCCCUCUCUGGCUCGCAUGGUUUUGUUUCUGGGAACUCACGAGUAACUUCCCAGUGGGUCACCAAUCCUGGGAUUGCUCUAGCCCACAACUCGCUUAACUUCGGAGUUCCUACGACUCCGAAGCCUGUGAGCUCCCAAAAGGUCUCGUGCUAGAUGGAUGCGGGUGUGCACAUAUAAGGCACAUCACCCCCUCUCCGUUGGUUGAUGUGGGAUCUUAUAGAAUUACUAAUUUAUCCUAAUAUAAAAUGACCAAAGAAGAUAAAAUAAUAUUGGUAUCUAUUGCUUUGAAUCCAUGCCUUCAAACAAAUUGACUUAAUUUUUAACAAACAACACGGAGUCCAGGAGAAGUGUAUUGAUCCAAGUUGAUUUUUGUAUGCGUAAAACUUAAACAAUCAAUAACACAAAGCAGUUCAUGCUGAAAUAUUGGAAACCCACACCCAAAGAGUUCUCCGCUGCGAGGUUGAAGGCAGGAGAGAUGGGUGACAGAUUUUACUUCCACUGCGAAGUUGGAGGCUAGGAGAGUCUGUGACUGCCAUGGUUGAGGGAGAAGAUGCGUUCAAAAUGCCUAUUGAUAUUUUACAUUAUUGGCUUUUUUCAAAAGUGAAAGUUUUUUUAUGGGUAAAACCUAAAUUUACUUUUUCUAUACAAGUUAACAGUGUUUGUGUAUUGUGAAAAGGUGGAGAGACGUGUCAAAAUUUUAGACAAAGGACAGGAGGAGAUAGGGAAUUUGGGGACAGCAGAUCUCAACUCCCUUGAGACCCUAUUCUCUACGCCACCCCUCCCCCUCAACAACCCUAGUCACCAUUUCUCCUUCAACUCCAACGGCAACUCAUUAAAACCCAAUUCUCAAAUGCAACAAUCUAAUCCCAAUCCCAAUUCAGAUGUUUCUAAAAAACCCAUUGUCGUGGUGGAGAACUGCAAUUCCAGGUGGUGGUGGUGGUACCACAUGGGAGAGAGAAAAAAGAAGAAGAAGAAGCAGGAGAGAGAGAGUUUUUUAUUUUAUUAUUAUUUUACUGUAAUUUUUUAAUUUAAAUAAUUAAAAAAAUUAAAAGUUAAAGAGGAUGUACCAUGGGUAUUUUUGGUAGUUAAAUAAGGUGUACUUAGGGUCAGUUUGGCAUUGCUGUGCUGUGAAAAUAAUAGCUGUCAGAUUUGCUGUGAGAGAAAUCAGCUGUGAGAGAAAUCAGUUUGGCGUUUGAUAAAAUUUUUGUUAAAAGUGUGUUGAUAUUGAUUUUAUGCUUAAUCCGAAAAUGAUUGCUGCAUAAUCAUUAAACCCAGCGCCUCUUCGAAACUGAUUCCUAUAUAAUCAGAAAAUGAAAGCACCUCAUUAGCUGCUUUCCUUUAUAGCUUUCUCUCACAGCAAUUUUUAACAAUAAGUGAUUUUCUCACAGUUUACCAAACGGGUUGGGCUUCUCAAAAUUUUUUAAAAAUCACUUAUUACCCCAAAUAAGCAAUACCAAACGGGCACUUAGUUAAUUUUACAUUUUAAUUUAAACAUUAGGGUGUACUCAGUUAAUUUUAGGGUUCGUUCAGCAGCACUCAAAAUUAAACAAGGUGAGGGAUGAGCAAGUAGGGACAUGAGACAUUGCCACAGUAGAUUGAUAUAACUAAAUAUUAUUAUAAACAUAGAAAUAUAUAAGUAUUAUUAUAAUAGGAUUCAUAAUAAUUAAUAUAAAAGUAUAACAACAAUAUUUACAUUUAUGUACCAAGAUAAUUACACAUAUAAAUAUAACCAAUAUAUAUUUUUAUAUAUUUUAAAAUAUAAGUCUUUACGUAAAUGCCUUUCACGGGUCAAGCCACAAGUCUGUGUUUUGGGGAUUGCUGAGCUGCAUCAAUCCUGCCAAUGUCAAUUCUGCCCCUGAGCUCUCUCAAAGCACGUUUAAAACCUAUGCUAACAUAUACUAGAGUUUAUGCUGUAUCUAGAAAAUGCCAACACUAAUUUCGUAACACGUAGAAAUUGUUAGAGAUUGGAAGUUUUUAUCAUUUUUUCUUCCAGUCUCUCCACUACUUAUUAAUACAGAUUACUCAUGUGAUGAGUUUACAAAACCUAUUUCUCUACUCUCGCAAAGACUAAACUUCUUCUCAAAAGACUAGAUCACUUUACCUCUAUCUCUGUGAAAUGUAAAAAGUUGAAACUUUAAUGUCAAACCUCGACAAAGUGUUCUACUUUACAAACUUCUUGUGUCUACCAAUUUGUACUAAAAUUAAUUUCUCUACAGUGCUCAGAUUCAUCAUAUGUGUGUCCUUAAUUUUAGUGGAAAUUGGAAGUUUCCAUAAUUUUUGCUUUAAGUCACUCUUCUGAAGGAAGUUGAGGUUCCACUUCAUAAUCCAAAAUGUCAGGUUGACUUAUGGCAAACAAUGUAAAUAUGUAGGAGUACUAUGACCUUUUAUAGCAUUUUUAGUUUGAAUUUGGGUUUUAUACAUAGAUUUCAAAAUUAAUAGGUUGAUGCCUAGGAAAUAGAAAUUGUAAGGGCCUAUAUUAGAGUAGCCCUCUUAAAAAUAAUAUUAAUUAAUGAAUAUUUGUUCUUCUUGUUGUUUUGAAGUAGUGGUGGGAGGCAGACCAACAAAAAAAAAAUAUAGUGAAGGCUUAUAAGAGCAUUUACAAUCAUGCUCCCUAUUUUUUAGUUAAAAUUUAGCUAAAAAUAGAAAAAAAGUUAUUAUAGGAGCUCUUUAUAAAGCUCCUUUAUAAAAUUUGAACUCCAAUCAUACUCCCUAGUUUAGGGAGUCAAAAAUACUAUAGUUAUUUUUUAAUUCAAUUUGAUUUUGGUUAAUCUCUAUAAAUAUGAAAAAAUAGUUAGCAUUAAUUAAAAGUUUAAACUAUGCAUAAAACAAAGAAACAUUAAAUUAUAGGGAGCCACUAUGAGUCAUUACUCUCUCCUCAGAUUUAGGAGCUCCUAAAGGUCUCCCUAUUUUAUGAGGUGGAUAAGGAGCAUGGUUGGAGUUGUAUUUCUUCAAUUUCCUCCCUAAAAUUUGUCUAAGGAUGUGGUUUAGGGAGCCCAUUGUGAAUGCUCUAACUCUGGUAAAACACGAGUGACAUGGACAACAUAUGUUACGUCGUACUGAAGAUUUUUGGGUUUCUUUAAUUGGUUAAGUAGCAUCCACACAGCUUCCUAAAUCAUCUCCUUAGACAAAUUUUAGGGAGGAAUUGGAAAAGUACAACUCCAACUAUGCUCCCUAUCCACCAACUAAAAUAGGGAGACUUCUAGGAGCUCCUAAAUCUGAUGAGAGAGAAAGGACUCUUAAUGACUCCCUAUAAUUUAAUGUUGCUUUAUAUUAUUUUGUAUACAGACGGGUCAAUUAUAUUAAAUUAAAAAAUAAUUAAAGUAUUUAUGACUCUCUAAACUAGUGAGCAUAAUUGUAGAUCAUCUUAUAUACCUUAAUUUGAAGAUUCUUUAUUUGGGUUUCUUUCAAGACUUAUCACCUUAGCCACGCCACCUACACGUCUGCAAGCUUUCCUAACAAGGAAGGGGAGGCUGCGCAAUACUUAUCACCUUAGCCACACUACACCAAAUUGACGUCUGCAAGCUUUCGUAAUCUAACAAGGAAGGGGAGGCUGCGCAAUACUUAUCACCUUAGCCACACCAACACCACAAGACCAAUAUGUGUAGUCCAGGAGGCUUUCCCAUUUUAAUAUAUAUUAUCAAAUAAAAUAAAAAUCAAUCUAUUAUCAUAUAUAUUAUAAAAUAAAGAUUAUUGCUCCAUCCUCCAUGCACUUGCAUGCCUCUUACAAAGUGUGAAGUAGAUUUUGUGUGCUCCAAGUCAUUGACGAGAGCUGUAACAUGGUUAGCUGGAUUUAUAAGAUCUUUUCUUUUCUGGGAAUUUUCUGAAUCAAGAAAAAUUAAGUAAAAUUAAUAAAGCAUAAAUUAGAAAGGAAAAAUAUCUAGAGGAUGCAUUGUAGGAUUGCACAUGCCAAUAAUUGUAUCCUCUAAAUAUAUAGGGACAUAUUUUUUUGUUUUCAUGACAUGUGGCCCUAAAAUUAUUGUUCCUAGCGGGCUCUCCACCCCCUCUCGAUUGAAAACUAAUUGUGUAAAUCUUCAAUCUUGAAUGAUGCACCUAAAACUCAAGUGUCCCAGGCCAAUUAUUGCUCUCAUACCACUUGUUGUAAUAAACAUCCAUCCAUUCUAAAGGAAAGAUAACCAUCGAUAUUAUCUCAAAUUUAACCACUUAAGUUCAUUAUGAUUAACUAUGUAUCUUAUGGACCAAUCCAAUCAUGAGGUUUUAUACCCAAUUAGAUCGACUAAUACAAAGUUCACACGUGGAUUGAAAAGCGCUAUCAGUAGGGGAGUGUUCGGCACCCUUUACUGCCGAACGCAACACAAGACCCCUUGCAUGCCUUCACUAAGUUGAGCCUAUCUAUUUUUUAGCAUUAACAAUAUAUAUAGAUUGAAAAAAUAAAAUAAAAAUCAAUCUAUUAUCAUAUAAAAUAAAUAUUAUUGCUCCAUCCUCCAUACACUUGCAUGCCCUCUUACAAAGUGUGAAGUAGAUUUUUUGUGCUCCAACUCAUUGACUAGGGCUGAAACAUGGUUAGUUGGAUUUAUAAGAUCUUUUCUUUUCUGGGAAUUUUCUGAAGCACGGAAAAUCAAAUAAAAUUAAUAAAGCAGAAACUGUACCCUUUAAUUAUAUAUGGACGUAUGUUUUUUUGUUUUCAAGUCUUAGAUGACAUGGGGACCUAAAAUUAUUGCUCCUAGUGGACUCUCGACCCCUCUCAAAUUUAAGUGGUCCAUUAUUAUUAACCACAUAUUUUAUGGACCAUGCAGCUGUGAGGUUUUAUCUCAAAAACCUUCGGUACAUUUCUCCCACAUGCCACAAUUGUAUAUUCACAAUUACGGCUGUUACGUCACAUCAUGCCACUUGCCUCACAUGCAACAAGUCUGUGUUUUGGGGAUUGCCGAGCUGCAUCAAUUCUGCCAAUGUCAAUUCUGCCCCUGGACUCUCUCAAAGCACAUUUAAAACCUAUGCGAACAUAUAUUAGAGUUUAUGAUGUAUGUAUCUAGAAAAUGCCAACACUAAUUUCGUAACAUGUAAAAAUUAUUAGAGAUUGGAAGUUUUUAUCAUUUUUUCUUCCAGUCUCUCCACCACUUAUUAAUACAGAUUACUCAUGUGAUGAGUUUACAAAACCUAUUUCUCUACUCUCGCAAAGACUAAACUUCUUCUCAAAAGACUAGAUCACUUUACCUCUAUCUCUGUGAAAUGUAAAAAGUUGAAACUUUAAUGUCAAACCUCGACAAAGUGUUCUACUUUACAAACUUCUUGUGUCUACCAAUUUGUACUAAAAUUAAUUUAUCUACGGUGCUCAGCUUCAUCGUAUGUGUGUCCUUAAUUUUAGUGGAAAUUGGAAGUUUCCAUAAUUUUUGCUUUAAGUCACUCUUCUGAAGGAAGUUGAGGUUCCACUCCAUAAUCCCAAAUGUCAGGUUGACUUAUGGCAAACAAUGUAAAUAUGUAGGAGUACUAUGACCUUUUAUAGCAUUUUUAGUUUGAAUUUGGGUUUUAUACAUAGAUUUCAAAAUUAAUAGGUUGAUGCCUAGGAAAUAGAAAUUGUAAGGGCCUAUAUUAGAGUAGCCCUCUUAAAAAUAAUAUUAAUUAAUGAAUAUUUGUUCUUCUUGUUGUUUUGAAGUAGUGGUGGGAGGCAGACCAACAAAAAAAAUAUAGUGAAGGCUUAUAAGAGCAUUUACAAUCAUGCUCCCUAUUUUUUAGUUAAAAUUUAGCUAAAAAUAGAAAAAAGUUAUUAUAGGAGCUCUUUAUAAAAUUUGAAUUCCAAUCGUACUCCCUAAUUUAGGGAGUCAUAAAUAUUAUAGUUAUUUUUUAAUUCAAUUUGAUUUUGGUUAAUCUCUAUAAAUAAAUAAAAAUAUGAAAAAAUAGUUAGCAUUAAUUAAAAGUUUAAACUAUGCAUAAAACAAAGAAACAUUAAAUUAUAGGGAGCCACUAUGCCAAUAAUUGUAUCCUCUAAAUAUAUAGGGACAUAUUUUUUUUGUUUUCAUGACAUGUGGCCCUAAAAUUAUUGUUCCUAGCGGGCUCUCCAACCCCUCUCGAUUGAAAACCAAUUGUGUAAAUCUUCAAUCUUGAAUGAUGCACCUAAAACUCAAGUGUCCCAGGCCAAUUAUUGCUCUCAUACCACGUGUUGUAAUAAACAUCCAUCCAUUCUAAAGGAAAGAUAACCAUCGAUAUUAUCUCAAAUUUAACCACUUAAGUUCAUUAUGAUUAACUAUGUAUCUUAUGAACCAAUCCAAUCGUGAGGUUUUAUACCCAAUUAGAUCGACCAAUACAAAGUUCACACGUGGAUUGAAAAGCACUAUCAAUAGGGGAGUGUUCGGCACCCUUUACUGCCGAGCGCAACACAAGAUCCCUUGCAUGCCCUCACUAAGUUGAGCCCAACUAUUUUUUAGCAUUAACAAUAUAUAUAGAUUGAAAAAAUAAAAUAAAAAUCAAUCUAUUAUCAUAUAUUUUAUAAAAUACAUAUUAUUGCUCCAUCCUCCAUACACUUGCAUGCCCUCUUACAAAGUGUGAAGUAGAUUUUUUGUGCUCCAACUCAUUGACUAGGGCUGAAACAUGGUUAGUUAGAUUUAUAAGAUCUUUUGUUUUUUGGGAAUUUUCUGAAGCAAGGAAAAUCAAAUAAAAUUAAUAAAGCAGAAACUGUACCCUUUAAUUAUAUAUGGACAUAUGUUUUUUUGUUUUUUUGCUCUCGACCCCUCUCAAAUUUAAGUGGUCCAUUAUUGUUAACCACAUAUUUUAUGGACCAUCCAGCUUCGGUACAUUUCAAAAAGCUUCGGUACAUUUCUCCCACAUGACACAAUUGUAUAUUCACAAUUACUUCUGGGUACCCCUCAUCAGUCGUCUAUAAAAUGGUGAAGCCAGUUGCUACUGUUACCAUAAGAGCCAGCUCCGACUUUCUUUAAUUUCUUGCUACAUCUGUUGCUAAGUUAAUUUCAGUCCUAAUGGGGUUUCAUCUCCCACUCAUCUUUGCUAUUCUCAGUGUAAGCUCUGCAAUUUGAUUAACUUUUCCAUUCUCUCUCAUUGUACUCUAUAUAUAUAAAUGAAAGUUUUGUGUUCCUAUAAUUCUCUCCGAUUUUAUUUAGUACGUACUUAAGUGUCGUCCACUAAUUAAUUACACUUUGUGAGAUUUGAUUUUAAUUAGAGUUCGAAUUAAUGUUGCAGCUAGCAGCGGUUGCACUGGCAAACAAUGCUGCUCAACCAGCACCUCAACUUUACUGGAACUCCGUCCUGCCAAACACACAGAUGCCAAGAUCUAUCAGUGAACUUCUGCAUCCUGGUUUGUGUUCAGCUCUUUAUAAUCUUAGAUAUCUCUUCUACCUGCCAUUUUACUAAAAUAUGUUCGACCACAUAUUUAUCAGCUAACUACUGUGAUUACAAGAAUGACACUUAUUUUCCAAUAUAAUUUGCAGACUCCACAAAUGAAGAAAAGAGCAAACCUGAAAUUUUCCCAUUGCAGGGCAAUAGAGUUUACACUCAAAGCCAUUAUAAAAAACGUCCUCCUCCUCCAUCUGACGAGGGCAAACCUGAAACUUUCCCAUUGGGCAAUAGCCAUUACACUCAAACCCGUUAUAAAAAACGUCCUCCUCCUCCAUCUGACGAGGGCAAACCUGAAAAUUUCCCAUUGGGCAAUAGCCAUUACACUCAAACCCGUUAUAAAAAACGUCCUCCUCCUCCAUCCGACGAGGGCAAACCUGAAAAUUUCCCAUUGGCCAAUAGCUUUUACACUCAAACCCGUUAUAAAAAACGUCCUCCUCCUCCAUCUGACGAGGGCAAACCUGAAAAUUUCCCAUUGGCCAAUAGCUUUUACACUCAAAGCCAUUAUAAAAAACGUCCUCCUCCUCCAUCUGACGAGGGCAAACCUGAAAAUUUCCCAUUGGCACGUUCUCCUCCAUCUGACAGUCAACUAAAGCAUUACAAAGACUUAGCUAUUUUCUUCUUCGAGAAGGACAUGCGCCCGGGCACAACUAUGAAGUUCCAAUUCCCUAGAAAUUCAAACACGGCUACUUUCCUGCCACGCGAAAGUG
rnacentral:lncRNA from 1 species